UUGACUUCACGAAGCUACUAUGUUGCAUAAGCUCUCAACCUUGAGAGAAUAUUGAUCUAGUGCUAAGGUCUUCAAUGGCUUUGACCCAUGAGUGAGACCCUAAAGUGGUCAUAUAUUCUCUAUAAAUUGAGUCACUAUGAUUGAGGCAUGUGAUAAUGGGUAUUCUCAAGAUAAGCACCAUGAUAUCUUAAGGGAUUGAAACAUUAUAUCCCCUUAGAUGAUCAUAAGGACAUGUGAUUGUGAAAAUUAUGGUCAUAAUAAUUCCUUAAGUGGAAUUUGACAGAUGCUCUUGAAGAGAUAUAGUAUGUCAAUUGAUCACAUAAUAGGAGGAUCUAAGACUCAAGGAUUGUAGAAGUAGUCUUGAGAGGUUGAUAACAUUCAUUUUGUUAAAUUAUGGAUAAUAAUUCAUGAGGAGCUUGCAUGCAAUUGCUAGUAGGUCACAAACUGAAGUUUUCUAUCUCGGUCUAAUAUCAUAAAGAUACUAAAGUGUAGUUGACUCUCUAGAGUUAGAUUUUGAGUCAACUUUAAAAUUGGAUUUUAAGGGAGCUAGUACUUCCCUAUGGAUCCUAGUGGUUCCCACUCAAACUCAUAUUCCUUGGUCAAAAAAUAUUUGAGGAAUAGUAGGAUUCUUUAUUUAUAUGUGUGUAUAAGAGCAUUUUGGUAAAUACAGAAGGUUGCACAAGUACAUAUAAAUAGUCUUUUAAAUCAGAUAAUUAAUUAAUUGAAGCUUAAUAGAUAAAUUUAGUUAAUUAGGACCUAAUGAGUUAGAUUAAGUAACCCAAACAUAAGAUGAGCUCAAGUCACUCGAGCUAAGAGGUAAGCCUAUAUAAACUCCUUAAAGGGUUUAAGGCUUAGUACUUUUCAGCUAUUCAAUCUUCUACCUUAAUAUCUAUCCCCGUAGAGAGGAUUCUAACACCCUUGUGUAUUAGGAUACAAGAAAGAGAGUUAUCAGGCAAAAGAUCAUGAGUUAUUUGAGAUCUUAAUUAACCUCUUCACCAAUUAGAUUUAAUUCUUUGAGCACUUAAAUCUAAUAUUCAUUGUUCUGAAUUCUCCCAUUACAUAGUUCUAGCAUUUCUACGAAGAUAGUGUCAUGCACCUAAUGAUCUAGGGCUUGAAGUUAAGUAAUCUAGAUGUUCCAACACAUCAGAAGUAUAAAUUUUUUAAUAAUGUUCUCUUAUCCAUACUUGUGAAAUAUGGAAAGCUAUAGUGAAAUAACAUAUGAAGUUUAUUAGCAAGAACUCUAUUUGAGAAUUAAUUGAACUAUUGUUAAGACAUAAGACCUUAAGGAAUAAGUAGGUUUUUAAGGUCAAACUUUAGGCAAAUGAUGCAAGUUGUUAAACUUAACUCAUGAAGAAAGGCUACAACCAAAAUGAGAGUGUAGAGUAUAAAAAAAAAAAAAAAAAAAAAAAAAAGAACUUCUCAUGAGAAGUGAGGUUUGCCUCAACUCUCCUUAUUCAACCAUUAUCACAUUUUGGAUUUGAAAUUAUAUCAAAUAAACAUUCAAAUCAUUUUUUUUUCAAUGGAGAACUAAAUAAGAAGAACUAUAUAGAUCAACUAACUUGUUUUAUGGCAACUAAAUAGAAAGUCAAAGUUAACAACUACAAAGGUCCAUUUAUAGCCUACAAUAAUCAUUUAAACAAUGGUAUAUUACACUAAUGGGUUUAUGAUGGUCUAAGAACACUAUUACAUGUUUGUUAAAUGGUGUAAGGGUAGAUUCUUUAUUUUUUAUUUAUUUAUUUAUUUUUUUGUAUACAAAUGAAAUGUUAGUUAGGGAUGAUAAUGAGAUGGUUGCCUCUAAAGUGUGGUGGUCGUCAACUUUUAAAAUGAACAACAUGCUUAAAGCAAACUAUGUGUUCAAAGUUAUGAUUCUAAUCAAUCAAUCAAUGAGACUUUUUGGUUUGUUUUACAAAUCAUACACAAUGAAUAUUCUUGGAAAAAAUCUAGAUGUAAAAUUGAAAAUCUAUUAGCAUACAUAUACAGAAAGAUAAGACCUUAAGCUUUAACAUGUGUCGUAAGACUUUAAAUGAAUAGGAAAAGAUCACUCAAGGUUCCUAUAUGCUAGCAUUGUUAGUAGCUUAAAGUACCCAAUGAUGUGUACAUGAACUAAUAUUUGUUAUGUAAUUAGGUUAGUAACUUCUAAUUAGAUCUAAACCUUGCUUACAAAAAAGCAAUGGACUGGAUGCUUUCGUACCUUAAAGUCACCAUAGGCUAUAUAAUUUUCUAUUGAGGAUUGAAUUUGGACUUGAUUAGCUAUAACAAUGAUAAUUGGGGUAGCAUCCUAAAUGAACCCAAAUCCACACAUGGUUAUAAUUUUACAUAUGCUCUAUGAUGGUAGCAUAUAUUGGUGAAAUAGAAAACAAUCAUGUAUAACAUUGUCUACCAUGCAUGUAGUUAGGAGUACAUGACUUGUCGUUUAGGAAAGUGACUAGUUUAUGAUGUUCAUACAUAUUUUUCACAAUAUUGCUUGUUCUUUUGAGCAUACUACUAUUUAUUGUGAUAGCAUGGAAACUUUAGCCUAUGUCAAAGACCCCCCCAAGUAUCCAUAGUUGAACCAAACACAUCAAUCUUAAACAUUAGUUUAUAUGAGACAUGGUUGCAUAGGAACAUAUUUCUAAUUGAUAAAUGGUUAAAAAUCCCACCCUCACCCCCUUGUUGACUAAGCUAAUAUGUAAAGAUGUUUAUUAGGGUCAUGUUGAGAGCAUUGUAUUAUUUAGAUUAUGAUUACAUGGGAGUUAAGUUAAGAGCAUUGGAUCAUGUAUAUUAUGAUUACAUAUUAUAUAUUUCAAUUAACCAUUAUAUCUAUGAUUUAUUCAUUGUCCAAUCUUGUUUGAUGGUGCCAUUUAAUUAUUUGUUUUACUUUAUUGACAUACACUUUCAUUACUUUGCACAAUUGAAACAUAAUGAGUCCAAACCACUUAGAUAGUGUGUUAGAUCAUUGAUAUUUAUAAGACUCCUAUUUGUAUCCAAUAAAACUUGCAUGUUAGUAGCGACCAAGUAUAGAUAGUCCUAUAGUACACAUUUGUAAUGGAGUCAAUUGCCAAAUCUUGUUAAUGUAGUGCUUGAUUUAGUAAGCAUGUGCAAAACUUGAGUUCUUUGUUCGAUGCAAGUAAACUAAGAUUUGUACAAUAUAGAAGAUCUAAGGUACACUCAUAAUGAAGAUCUCCAUGUCAGCAUGUAUUUUCAUACUAUAUCUUCUUGGCAAUCAAACAAGAAUGAAUGAAUAUAUUCAUAGCUACUCCCUCAUCAUGUGCAUUAAUCUUAUAGGUCAUUAUAUAGUAUAACUUUUAUGCCCUUGUGAUUUUCAGUCAUAAGUUACAAGUAUGGUGUAGUUUUAAAUAUUUUUCUAAGGGGAUUCACCAUGUUUAACUCAAUGUGAAUAAAAGUGUUUAAGAUAUAACGAGACACCUUUUAGGGAUGAAUUACACUGGUUAAGAUGAAAUUUAGUUUAAUACUCUUACACCUUUCUUAUCAAUGUGUUCGACAGUUGUACAAUCCAUUAGUCAAUAUGGACAUGGAUGAUAAUGAUAUAGUUGAGAGAAAUGCAUGACGUUAUUUUGCCUACUAUGCAUGAGUGGGAAACAAUGGAGUUUCUAUUUCAUGAGAUACUCUUAGUAGAACUUCAUUAACUAAGAGCUUGAGAGUAAGUUGCAUACUUAUCAGUUAAGAUUCCUCAUGCGAGGAAAGUUUAGUUAAGAUUCCUCUCGUGGGAGGAGGUUCACAUUUAGAUUUGGUCAGAAUAUAUAAGAGUUGUUUGUCCUUUGCAAUUCCAAUUCUAGUCUUUUUGCAUGUUUUCAAUUUAGUUUGUGGCAGUUGUUAAAUACUUCUACUUUAAUUUGUAGCAAUUAUAAUUUUUAAAGCUUACUAUUUAGGUUUAGAUUUACUACAUGCUUAUUAGAUAUCUUAAUUCCUAUUGUAUUCUCCUUGGUUAAUAAUCUUUCAAUUUGAUUGUGGAGUUCAAAGAUUUUUACCAAAAUAGGGAUCGGGGUUUUCAAAGUUAGGAAAAGUAUUUAAUAAAAUUAAUUUUUGAAAAAGUUUGCAAGCUAAAUCUUUCAAUUGAACCUAAUGAGUUUACAUACUAAAUCUCUCAUUUUCAGCCUUGGUUGUUUCCACUCUUUGCAAUUUAAUUAGUUUUUUUUAAUAUACAUAUAUAUAUAUAUAUAUAGAUAAUUCAUUUUGUGUACCUAUAUACUCAAGUUUUUGAGUAAUUAUGAGUUGUAUUGUUAUAUAGUAGAAUUUGAUAAACUAAAAAUGCUUACCUUUGAACAAUCGAGUACAAUAGCACAUUUGUGUGGAUAAAUCAUAGCUACCAACUUGAUUCUCCAUGCCUCCUCUAUUAGGCUGACUAAGAAAAUGGAUUAAUUUCACAAGAACACCUUAAGAAUAAAAAUGUCAAGAAAAAGAGAAAAAUCAUGCUUCAUCUAAUUUGACUGCAAGACUUAAAGGAAAAAACAUAAUAAUAUAAUAGUUAUUAUAAUGAAUAUAAUAAAAGGAAAAAUUGUCAUGUUCUUCCCAAUACUCAUAUAACCCCUUUCAAUGAAACUUUGUAAGCUCUACUAAUACAAAAUAAUGGUUCAUAUAGUAAAAGCUCAAUAAAUGAAUCUUUGAUAAAUUGAUAAUCUUACUUAUAAAACAAAAUCUUCUAGUCUUAACUCAUACCAAUGUACUAAAUUAGCAAUCUCGUUAAAUACAUAAGAAAAAUAUUUUCAAAAAUCAUUAAGGGCUCAAGAAAUAUAAACUAAUAAUUGAUGAAGUAGAAACAAAAAUUUAUAGUAUAGCAAAUAGAACUUCGUAAUAUAGUAUUAAGUAAUUUUUCAUAACUUUUGUUUUUCUAAAUUCACUUCUUUUAGAAUUAUCACAUAUUUGAAAUAGCUUUAUCUUUUUCAACAUUAAGUUUUGAUGCCACAUCUUUUUUUAGGAGUCUUUUUAUCUUUAAUUUACAAUCAAUAACUUUUUUUUUUCUUCAGUCUCUUAGGUUUCUAUGUAUUAACUUUUUACCAUGUUUAUUAUUUUUAAAUUUAUUAAGUCAUACAUGUACUAAUAAUGUACAGUAACAACAUAAUACUCUUCAUCAAUUAAUAAAUAUUCAUUUAUCUAUAAAUCAAUAACCUUGCUAAGAUCAUAAUUUUUCUUAGUACCAAGAGUACUAUUUUAUAAGAGUUUUUCUCUAUAUAGUUCCUUCAUUGUAGGAAUUUCUUUGGGUUAAUAUUACUAAAGUUGUAAUUUUAAAAAACAUAUAUAAUGGAAAUGAAGAGAAAUUUGAAAUCUAUGAAUUAGUGUUUUAUAUCAUUCUUUUUUCCUAUGAAUGCUAAAGCCAUUGUCAAAUAAAAAGAGUAAAUAAAAUAAUUAAUCAAGUAAUUAGUUGAAAGUGAAAUAGGUGACUUAAAACUAUUGCUUUGGUACAUGUUUGUUUGAGGUAAAUAUAGUAGAUAAUAAGAAAUAAAAUCCUCUAACUAUGUUUAUUUGAUAGAAUAAAAAAGUGAGUGUGUGGUUGCUCCAUAGGAGAAGACCACAUGUUAACCAAAGAAUAAGUAACUAGAAAGCUUACACAAGUGUUAAAUGAUCAAUUUCUCACCUAAGCACAUUAAUGAGAACUAAAUGUUGAAGGUCCAUGCCUCCAUGUGGGGAGACCUUAAUUGCUACCUUAAAGGGGCAGUUUAAAAGUGGUCACAUCCUCUAUGCCAAGUUAGUAUUCCAAAAACUAAGAAAGUUAACCUUUGAGUUGAUGCUUAUUUGUUUGGUAGUUUCCUCAUUCUUCUUACUAACUUGACCUUUGAAGGCUCUAUGACUGUAAGGAGCCUAGAGUGGUCACUUUAGGUUCCUUAUUAUUGUAAGGUCCUAACCAUCCAUUGAAGUAAGAAAGUGAACUAAUACUUGGAAAAAUGGUGUCAUCUAUGGUGAAGAUACAAAAAUUCAGCUCACCAAAAAAUCUUAGUAAAGCUACUAAAAAACACCCCACCCCGAGGCAAGGACCUUCAUUUUAGUACUCCUUGAGGUCUACCCAAAUCAAAGACCCGACGUUGAAGAAAUGAAGUCAACUAAACUUAGUUCCAUGCAUGAUAAGGUUGAAAAGCCUGCAUAAAAACCUACAGAAAGCUUGCCUCUUUAUAAGAAUAACUUGAACAUAAAAAGGAAGAAGACCUAUAAAAGGAAAUCAUAAACAACAAAGAAAAAGAAGUUUUUCCCUCCUUUGAAAAAGCUUUCUGUGAAUGCAAAAACCUAUUUUUUUUUUUUUUAUCAAGAAACCUUCCUUUGUAUCCAAAAAUUGGUGGAAUAAAAAUUUUUAAUUACAUAUGAAGAGUUUUAGCUUCUUCAUAUGGGAAUGCAUUAAAAGCCUUGAAGACAUUGUUUAGAUCUAUAGCAACGGUUAGGCAAUAGAAGACUAUGUAAUAGAGUCUUGGUAGGAAAAUGUAAUCAUGAUAGAAAUGAAGUGGAGCAAUGAGUGAGAGCAAACCAUUCAAUAAAUGAAGAAGCUCACUAAAAGAAGCAAUCGACUCAUUCAAGAAAAUGUUGCCUUCAAGGUAAGGGUAAACAAAUGCCAAUGUGAUUUUGACUAGGAACUCUCAUUGGUAAGCACCAAUAAGAUGCAAGUUAAUGAAUAAUAGUUAUCAAAGCAAUUAGACCAACAUAUAGAUUAAAUUGGGAGAGAAAGGUGAAGCAAACCUUAAUUAAACUAACCAAAUAGACCACCUUGCCAGAGGUCCCAAUGCUCUAAGGGCUUCUUACCACUAAAGCUACCACAAAAUGCAUAAUCUUAGUGGAUAAGGCGAUUGAGGCUAAGUCCCUUUAGGAGGAGGAGGAGGCCACAUGAGGGUUUUCCCUCCCUAAGUUUAAUUUCUUUCAAUGAAACUAAAGGCACUCUAGAUAACUCAUGCAUUUCUAUGCAUAUGAUGAUCUUAGAGAAGGGAAAUGAUCGACUUUUAUGCAAAAUCUUCUCCUUCAUCCUCCAAGGACUAACUUUGUAUUGUUUUAUCAACUUACCUUAGAGUUUGUUCCUGAUAUUGAGACCCUAAGGGCGAUGUCUGCCUCCUAGUACAUGCACUUAACAAGACAAAAGAAAAGCCUCAAAUAACCCAAGGUAGUUAUAGCUACCAUCCAUGGUGGCUCAUCUACUAGAUUUGAGUAACUAGACAGGGUAUCAAGAUGUUACAGAAGCAUAUGGCGAUUGAAGCAAAAGUCCUCACAUCCUUGCAUGAAGCAACUACCACUUGUCCAUAUGUCAUAUGCUUCUCUAAUAAAGACUUAAAAGGAGUCCAAACCCUGCCCAAGAUCCAUUGGUUAUUACUUUAAGAAUUAUUGAAUACAACAUGCACCUAUUCUUAGUUGACCUAACAAGUUUAGUUAACUUGCUAAAUAUAUUAGCCCAUAUAUGAACAAAUGAAUAUGGACGAAGGAAAACUAGUUUCAAGUCUUGGGUCAUUAGUGGGACUAGACAAAGUCCUAUGUGGCUCAACUAGGGAAGCAGCUCUAAUGGUUUCAAUUAGUUGUUGCCAUAUAAUGACACAAUUCUUUGUUAUGGAUAUCCUUUUCCCGAUAAUGCCAUUAUGGGAUGAACAUGGAUAUACAACCACAGAGGAACACUAUUCACAUACCAUCAUACAAUUAAAUUCCUAACACUACAAGGAAUAUGGGAAAUAUAUCGGGACUAGGUGGCAACAUGAGUAUGCUACACCAUACCCCUUAAAGCAGUCAACAAGUGCAUCAACCAGGACCUUUAGGAAGUUCAUAAAUCAAAACUCAAAUACAAAUUAGUAGGUGACCCAAGAAAGCAAUUAGAGAACCUAUGGAUUCAUUAUUUGAAAGCCCCUAAACCUAGGAGGUUCCUUCUAGUCCAUGUAAAAAAAAAAAAAAAGGUUUAAGAUGGCUACUAGAAAAAAACACAUCUUUGCUAGGAAACUACAGGACAUCAUGGGCAUUGAUCCCCAAGUCACAUGUCAUCGACUCAACAUAAACCCUAGUGUUUAGCUCCUUAAAAACAUUAGAUUGUGAAAGAAAUGGUAUUUAGGCUCUUAGAUGCUAGAUUUGGUCAUCUAGGUCUUUUAACAACAAAUAGAAGUCAGUAUGCUAGUUUACAUUAAUAACAUGUUAGUAACAAGUAAGAAGAGGAAUGAGUACCUGAUUGACCUCCUAAGAACAUUUCAAACUCUUAGAAAUUACUAAAUGAAGCUAAAUUAGUGAAGUGCACCUUCAAAUGUAGGGUAUGGAAAGUUCCUUAGGUACUUGGUUACAUACAAAGGAAAAGAAGCUAACCCAAACAAAAUAAAAUCAACUUUGGAGAUACCAAUGACCAAAAGGGUUGGAGAAGUCCAAAAGCUCACUAACAAGAUUGGUUCUUGAAAUGGAUUUAUAUAUUGGACAAAAAAUAUAUGUCCUCCUUUAUUUGACAUUAGCAAGAAGGGAAAAUGGACUAAAGGAACCAAAAAAUGCAACUAAGCCUAUGAAUCACUAAAGCAUUACAUGAUGCUAACCUUCACUUUGGAUAAACCUUAGGAUAAGGAGGUCUUACAAGGUCUCAUUAGUAGUAGUAAGUGGAGUGUUAUCUCAAAAAAAAAAAAAAAAAGGAAAAGAGGAGCAACCAAUGUACUAUGUCUAAAAGGCCCUCUUAGAUGUGGAAACCUGAGAUACAUAUAAAUAUUGAAAAACCGAUGCUUGCCCUUUAGAUUGCCACAUUGAAGCUUCAAUGUUACUUCCAAGUGCAUGUUAUUAAGGUAAUGACAAAGUGAUGAGAACUCAAACUUAAUACUUUAAUGGCUUUAAAGAGCCCACUUUAGUGUGUUUGAGGUACCAAAAAAUUAACCCAAGGUUUUGUUUUUUUUUAUAAUACCUUAGAAAAUUAUGUUUGAUGCAUUCUAUGACCAUUCUACAUUCUUUAAGGUGUUUUUUUGUUAGGAUAGAGUCCUUAAAAGUAUGAUAUGAUGUAAUAAAUUUGGAAUUCAAUAUUUAUUUAAUGAUGUUCUAGUUUCACUUUUAUCUAUCCUUAUUCCAUGUAUUGUACUUUAUGAGCAUUCUUAUCUACAUUUUUUGCAUUGCAUGUGACUUAAGUGCAUUAGGAGUUGCACAGAAGAUCUAAGUCAUGGGUUCCUUGCAAAUAGAUUACUUGUUCACAUUCAGUUCAUGGGCGUAGGCAAACCAUUAGAGGUUGCAAUGCGCCACCUCCUAAUUGGAGGGAUGGUUGGUCUUGACUAUUGGGAUGAGUUUUCCAUGAUGAGUGCACUAGUGUGUAUGGUUGCACAUUGAACAGGACCUAUGGUGAUUUAUGACUUAAACCUAUCGAGUAGUCAUGACUCCAUUGAGCUACUUCAUUGUAUUAUCUCUCAAACUUGAGAGAAUAUUGAGUUUGUGCUAAAGUUAAUAGUGGCUUUGGCUUAUAAGUGAGGUCGUAAGCUGAUCAUAUAUUCCCUAUGGAUCAGGUCACUAUUGAUGGAAGUCGAUAGCAAUGGGUAUUCUUAAUAAAGGCACCAUGAUAUCUAUUGGGAUUGAGAUAGUGUGUCCCUUGGGUGAUCUUAAGGAAGUGUGUUCAUGGAAACUUUGGCUAUAGUAGUUCCUUAAGUGGAAUUUGACAUAGACUCUUUGAGAGCUAAGAUAUGUUAAUUAAACACACAAUAGGAAGAUCUGUAACUCAAGGAUGGUAGAAGUAGUCUUGAAAGGCUGAUAGCUUUCACCUUGUUAGACUAUGAACACCAAUUCAUAGGGAGAUUAAACACAAUGGACAGUAGGUCAUGAACCCAAGCACUUAGUGUCUCCGUUGUUAUUUACAUAAGAUACCGGAGUUCAUUUGAUUCUUUGUAGUGGGAUGUUGAAUCAACUUUAAAAUUGGACUAUAAGGGAGCUAGUAUUCCUGUAGGUCCUAGUGGUCCUCGCUAUAAGCUCAUAUUCCUUGUUACAUGGGUAAUGAGGGUUGGAUUGACUUUAGGUUCACUUUUGUGCAUAAGGGCAUUUUGGUAAUUAUGCAAGGUUGUAUAGGAGUAAGUCAUCAAGGUCUCUGAACUGGGCUAAUUGAUUAAUUAGUAGGCCCUAUUGGGUUAGUUAAUCAAUUAGAACCCAUUUUAAACUAGAUUAAGUGACUUCAACCCAUGUGGGCUCAAGUCACUUAAGUCCACUUAGAAACCCUAUAAAUAACCCCUAGGGGUUAGGGUUUCCAUAACUUUUGUCUUCCAUCAUCCAGAGAGAUAGAGAGCCAUAGCCUCCACCAUUUUUUCCUCCUUAUCGAAAGUGUUCCAAGAUCAAGGUUCGAGUCAUUUGGCAAAAGACUUCGGGUUUACGAGACUUCUAUGAUUUCAAUUUUCAUCUUCACCAUGUGGAUUUGAUUCGGGAACACCUAAAUCUAAUGUAUGGUUUUCUUUAGCACUUUUUGAAUCCUUUUUAAGUAUAAAAAUGUUAUUUUUCCAUUGUGCAUAAGAUUUAGAAAAAGCCUAAGAUAGUUAUGCAUGUUCCUAACUUGAUCCGGACUUGGGAAAUGGAGAGAGAUUCGGGUUUUUCCCAUCAUUUUUGGUGCAAUAGAACCUUGUUAGGAAAUCAUAUAGACAAAAAUGCCUAAGUAAGGAGGAAACAUAGAUUGCACACCUAAAAGGUGUGCAAGACUUAAUCAUGCAAUUCUUUCUUAGUGUAAAGCCACAUAGUGCACCUCCCAUGUAUACCUUAAAGACCAAACACACAAGAUCUCUCUAAUGCAUUGGACCAAAUUUCACACCCUAUUCAAGCAACCCAAUCUGCAAACCUCUUAAGUGCUUUAAGCUAAGAUGUUGUGCACCCCCUUACUUGAGUCAACAAGAUGUGUAGUAGUGCAGCCCCUUGAUGUCAUCUAAAUUACAAACCAUUCUUACCUCUACAAUAGCUAAGUACUUAAUAAUUCUUCUAAUGAUUGGCUUACACACCAAAGUAGUAUGUUGUUUAUACCUCAAAGUCUUCAAUUGUACUACCUAAACGUACCUAAGCCAAAUUACAUAGAGAAAAAGAUGCAACUACCGACCAUAAGCUAACACAUCAAGAAUGAUGGCGGGUUGAUUGCAAUGACAAAGGACUUGACCCUUAAUAUAAGAAGAGACAAGUCUUGAGGAGGGGGGGACAAGUUUUGCCUAUAAAUGGAGGAUUGUGAAUAUACAAGUGGAAGCAAAUUAUAGAAAGUGAAAUUGUAGAUAAGUUUUUUCUGCUUGUGGGAACAAAAGUAGGAAUAAGAAUAACUUAAUGUAAUUUUAGUUUUUAAUUUUCCACUGUAAUCUUUUCUUUUCAUUAUAAAUGUUCCCUAAUUUCUAGUUUAAUGAGUUUUCUAGUCUUUUUAAUUAACAUCACAUUUCAGUUUUUCAAUUUCAACUUACAAAUUUGCAUUUUUAGUUCUUUACUUAAUUUUAACAUGCUUAGAUAACCUUUAACACUCUAAGGGGUGAGAGGAGCUCAAGUCUCCCAUAUCUUAGUUUAGCUCUCUAUUGGUUUAUCUGUGCAUUAGUUACAAGCAAUAUGAUCUCUAUUAGUAAUUAUAAUGACCAAAAGAAGUAACCAUGGGGAGAAAAGUCUAUGUUGCAUUGGUUGUGAGCGUUGUAAGUCAAGCAACCUUGGAAGCAUACUUAGGCAUUGUUUUAAUGAUUCUUUCAACUAAGUAUAGGCCUAUUGACAUGAAAAGAAUUUAUCUAAAUCAUUUGGUUAUAAGGAUAUUAAAAAAAAAAAAAACAAUUAGAGGGAGAUGAACGUUAUUAAGGUGGUUCUUGUUCAUUUGAAGCAGGAAACCUUUUUGGUAUAAAUCCUUGCUUUGACCCUAAAUCUGAAAGCAUAAGUUCAAAGCCUUGUUGGUGAGUUGUAUCUAAAAGUGGUGAUCCUAGUGAAUCUCUAGGUUUGAGGUUUUCUUUCCUUUAAUUUUCUAUCUUUUAAACUUUGUGUGUGUAUGUCUAUUUUAUUUAUAAAAUCAUUUUUCUAAUCUUUUAGCUAACAUUCACACCCCUAAAGCUAUUACCUUAGUUGCUACCAAUUAAAGUUCCUUGUGGAGGCAACCUAACAAUUAUAAAAUUAUUAAUUUUAUUUUUUUAUUUUUGGUUAAGGAGUUGAAAGUUUCAAUGAAUGAUCAAGUUUAAUUUCUCUUUGUAAAACUUAACUAUUAAAUAUAUUUCCUAGUUUUGAUAAAAGAAAUGAAUUAGAGAAUGACAAACCAAAAAUUAGUGUCGUCACUAGGGUACUUUCAACAUUGAUGACUCUAAAGGUAUUUUUGUGUAUAUGCUUGUUGUUUUAGAAGCUUAACAAGUAUAUUUCACCCACUCCCCACCUCUCUUUUAGUUGGAUUUUUUUCUUUUUUUACAUAAUUUUUUUUCUUUGGAUUUUCUUUUUCUACUCAGUUAGCAUUUUCAAUUGUUAAAUCCAACAUUUCCAGCAUUUUCUUUAAAGUGAUAUGAUGUAUUAGGGAAAUGAUUUUAAAGGAAGGGAACUAAGAGUGCAUUUGGGAGCGAUUCUACAAAGCAUUUCUAACAUUUCUAACACUUGAGUGAUAAAAAUUUUCAAGUAUUAUGAAUAUUAAAAGUGUUUCCUAGAAUCACUUCCAAAUAGGUUCUAAGUAAUCAACUAGAAGAAACAAUUUUAGAGGAAGGACACUAAGUAAUUAACCAAAAAAAAGUGAUUUUAGAGGAAGGACACUAAGUAAUCAACCAACCCCUAGUUAUCCUUUUCCUCAACACACCAAACCACCACCGUCUCAUAUCUAUUUUCCAAAUUCAACUAUUGGUGGUACUAAUAGAAGUGUGAUGAAUGGGGGUUUUAACCCCAAUAACUAGCCACCUAAGACCAUGAGGGAUUACCUAGUCGGGCCAAUGCUCCUUUUUGCUUGAUAUUUUUUUUUACGCUUUUCAAAUAAACAUUGAGCUUGAAAUGAUCCAAUUUCUAUCUCUAUUUUAUGGAAGGGAGGACGAAAAUCCUUUUUCUUAUUUAAAAGAAUUUGAAUAGGUAUGGUUUAUUUUGGUAGAACUGGAUUUGAUAUCUCUAUUUUAUGAGCCUUCAUGAAACCUGGAUCAUUCGAAACUCAAGGUUUUCUUUUUUCAUUAAAGAAAGAGGAUAAGCAUUGGUGGUAUAGCAUGAGACUCUAUAGGAUAAGUUCUUAGGAUACUUGAUAAAAUAUUUUUUUCACAAAUUUAUUUUGGUAUAUAAAAUUGUUUCCUUUGAAAGACAAAUUAAAAUUUUUUGUUUUAUAGAGAAUGAGACUUUUCAUCAUUGUUAUGAUUAAUUUAAAGCUUUUUUGUUUAACUUCCUUACCAUAGUUUUGAAAACUCAAGGAUUGCUUCUUCUUUUUAAAGGGGACCAUCCCCCUAAAUGAAAUAAUUUGUUGAAAACAUGACUGGUGGGUACUUUAUACAGGAGAAACCAAAAGAAGCACUUAAGCAUUUAAAAUUGCUUGCUGAAAAAUCAAGGGUUUGGGACCCCUUAGUCCUCAAGUGCAUCUUCUAGAACGUGAAAGCCAACCCCAACAACAUCUAAUCUCUCAUCUCAUCUCUCAAUUUAUCAUUUCCCCUUAGAACAAGAGUUUUGACGAAGAUGAUUUUUGGAUGCUGUAAGAGGACGAAGCCACUGAAGUUAAGGAAAAGGAAACUGUGUACAUAGCAGUUGAAAAGAAUUUGAAGAGAACUUCCAACAGGUUGCAAAUAAGGUUAUAAGCUGCAUUUUUUCUUCUUUUCCAAAAAAAAAAAAAACCAAAGAUAGAAAAAGAAAUCCGUAAAGAGCAAGAAACAGAGGAGGAGUGGAGCAAUGUAUUGCAUGAUCACACCUACUUUAUUUGUUUCUCAAUUCCCUUCUCUUUGCAACCCAAAAAUGUUGAUCUUCAAGGUAUCAUCAGAGGGCUUCUCAAUAUCUCUUCUAAUGAAAGUGGCUCUUAACUAGAGGGGAGGGCAUCCCAAAAAUUUUAGGAAACCAUGAAGAAAAAUUUAUCAAAGUGGAUGCUUCCAAUCUACCUGUGGGAAGCAAAGAAAAAGUGAACCAUUGGCUAGCUAGAAGCUAGCCAAAAACUUGUAAAUAGCUUUCAUUUUUUUUUUUCUUUAUUAUUUUUGUUUUUAUUGCUUUGGCCAAUUUAGUGUGUAGGAGCACCAUCAUUGUGAAGCCUAUAAUAUUAUGUUCUCAGUCCACUCAAUACAUUUGGGUAACCUUUAUCAUCUCAUAAGAACUCAAGUAUAAAUUUCUCUAUACUCUAUUGGUUUUAUCAUACUUCAGAGUAGGUGUAAAUUGUUAGCACCAGGAAAGUGUAGGACAUAUAGGAAUUGCGCACUUUUGAGGUUUGCUAACCCAACUUGUAUGAUGACUUAAAUUACGUAUCUGUAGAGCAUAACUCAAAUUGUACACUUUGAAAGCAUGACUGAAAUUCCACACCCUAAGAGAUUAAUUUAAACGGUGCAUCCAAAGGAGCGCAACCAAAAAUUGCACACCUUUAAGUGCGCAAUCAUUUCCCAAGGGAUGCCUACUUAUUCUCUUUUGUAUUAUUGUCCAAGCACGCCAUCCAUAAUAAAAAUCUUUAUUCUCUUAUGUAAACUUUUUGGAAGAAAAAUGCCUUCCCAAAUAAAACCAUAAUUGCUUAGAGACUUUUGUCCACCCCACCAUCAUAUCAAUUGAGGUAACCGAGAAGUCUUCUAAGUUUUAUAUAAAAGAAGUAAUUUUCACUAAAGUAGUCACUGCAAUAAAUACUAAAAUAAUCCAACGAAGCAUUCAGUGGAAUGAGCAUAUUAUAAAAUUGUACAUGGGAACCCGACAGUAAUUCAUAUCAAGAAAGUAGAUAGGGGAUAGUAAAUAUAGCUCACCAUGAAACCCCACCAUUAGAGCUCUGUACAGAAGUUCGAAUCCAGGCUUGUCUGCGAAAGGACUUGGAUCUACAUCAUCUCUGGUGACGCUUAAUAAAUAUGAAGUCAGCUCUUUAUGACCAUACCUAACAGCGCUGUGAAGAGGCGCAAAAUUGUGGCGUUGGCAGAUAUUGGGCAAGCUUGGGUUUCUGUUCACUAACAACUUGACUGCUUUUAUAUUGCCAGCCCUUGCAGCGUUGAAAAGGGUAGUGGCGCCAUCAGAAUCCCGCAGAGCCAGUGCCUCACUUGGCAUAAACUCAACGAACUUCUCCACGAAAUCCAUUCUGGCCUCUCCUAACUCAACUGCUAUGUGAAGCAUUGGGGAAUCAUCUGUUCCAAUCGGGGCGGAGAAUGAUUUGGGAUCAUCCGCCAAUAAUUUUGAAGCACUUUCCCAGUCACCAUUGAGCACAGCUUUGUACAGUUCCAAGUAAUAGAAUUCUGCAGUCACAAAACCAAAAGAUGUAUACCUCGCAGAGAAGAUACUCUCAUCCAAAGAGAAACAACAGCAGCCCCUUUUUCCCAGAGUCUUCAAAAGAUACAGGAAAUGGGCCAGGAACCAUUGAAGCAUAAGAGGUGCAAUGAUAGAGUCUUCCAAGUCAACUUUAUUUAGUUGAGUAUUGGGUCAGGAGUAGAUAUAGCGUUGAAACGUUAUGACUGGUGGAUGAUAGUCAUUCAAAAUAAACAAAGAAAAUUAGGGGGUAACUUUGAGCCGUUUGUUUUCGCAUGAUUUCUUCUGACUCUGUUGCUGGGCAUAGACCUCGACUGCCAUACAAGCACAGUCACCAGCGGCUGCCGUGGGAAUUAAUCCUAUGCACCACACAUUGCUAUGAUAGUUUACAAUAACUAAUUAUAUAAAAUCUGUUAAAAUAUUUUAUAUAAUUAACUUUUUGGAAUUUUUUUUUUAUCAAGUAGUAAAAUAAAGAAAAUUUAGGAAAAAAAUAUUUUUGAAAAAUGAUAAGUUUAAAAAAACGAUAAAGUUUUUGUAAAAUAUAGAAAAGGAUACAAGGCUAUUAAAUCAUAAUUAUAUGAUAACCUUUUAGUAUUUCAAUCUUUGAAUUUUUUUUGGAGAUUAUUUCCAUAAAUUCCACAUUCCAAAAACAAUGAUAAUCUUUACACAAUAUUAUUGUCAUAAAAAAUAAAAUUUUUUAAAAAAAUUAGAGAUUACAAAGAAUAUAAGGAUACGAAGAAUGUGAGAAUUGUCAUAUUUUUCGUACCCUCCUCACAUUCUUCAUGGCCCAACCCAUUUGAAUUUUUUUAUUUUUUUAUUUUUUUCAAACAUUAUUUACUUCACUUGCAAGUGUAAUUAGUGUUUUUACACAAUAUUAUUGUCAAAUGAAGUAAACAAAAAAAUCCUUAUUCUCUUAUGUAAACUUUUUGGAAGAAAAAUGCCUUCCCAAAUAAAACCAUAAUUGCUUAGAGACUUUUGUCCACCCCACCAUCAUAUCAAUUGAGGUAACCGAGAAGUCUUCUAAGUUUUAUAUAAAAGAAGUAAUUUUCACUUCCUUUUGCAUGCACUCAAACAAGAACACACACAAUAACGCAACAUGAAAACUCCAAAGAAUCUUAAAACCAAAACACUGAGCCUAAAUAAGAUAAGGAAGUGAGAUAAAAAUGAACAAUCAAGCCAAUUUGUUGAAGUCAAUAGGCACAAUACUAAAAUAAUCCAACAAGCAUUCAGUGGAAUGAGCAUUUGGACAGAAAGGGAACACAUUAAAUUUAAAAGCACUUGAAGCUAGCAAUGGGUGAUAUUGAUAUUUUUGGUCAAUCUCACCCUCAGUGCAGAAUUCCAAAUUGUUUCCAACUUUUCUGUAAUAUUUUUCUUACAUUUUUAUAUUAUCCAAAGACAGAAAAUUAAUUAUUCCUUUCAAGUUUUUUUUUUCUUUUUUAUUUAUAGGACAUAGCUAAACAGGAUUAGCAUAAAAGAAAAUAACUUGACUUAUAAACAAAAGCAAAGGAGAUGCAAUGGCAAACACAAAGCAAUUUAAAAGGGGCAAGCAGUAAAGAAACUAACAAUGAUAUAUUAUGAGUUGCCAUAAGUUGAAGCGACUUCCACUUGGGAAAGCCCAAGGCCUUUUAGCCAAUACUGUCAAAGGGGCAAAAUCCUCAUCAGAAUCAUUAGCAUCAUCGUGGCGGGCGGAAUCGAAAUGGCAUGUGGCAAGGUCAGGAUAACGUUCAACCAGAUACAGUGCUACAUCUGCAUAUUAUAAAAUUGUACAUGGGAACCCGACAGUAAUUCAUAUCAAGAAAAUAGAUAGGGGAUGGUAAAUAUAGCUCACCAUGAAACCCCACCAUUAGUGCUCUGCGCAGAAGUUCGAAUCCAGGCGAAUUUGAGAAAGGAUAUGGAGGUUCAUUAUCUCUGGUGACGCUUAAUAAAUAUAAAGUCAGCUCUUUAUGACCAUACCUAACAGCGCUGUGAAGAGGCGCAAAAUUGUCGCGUUGGCAGAUAUUGGGCAAGCUUGGGUUUUUGUUCACUAACAACUUGACUGCUUUUAUAUUGCCAGCCCUUGCAGCGUUGAAAAGGGCAGUGACGCCAUCAGAAUCCCGCAGAGCCAGUGCCUCACUUGGCAUAAACUCAACCAACUUCUCCACGAAACCCAUUCUGGCCUCUCCUAACUCAACUGCUAUGUGAAGCAUUCGGGAAUCAUCUGUUCCGAUCAGGGCGGAGAAUGAUCGUGGAUCAUCCUUCAAUAAUUUUGAAGCACUUUCCCAGUCACCAUUGUGUUGGGGAUAAAUGUAUGCCCAAGAUCCAAUCUAUCAUGUAAUCAACUUUAGUUUUAAUAAGGUAUUAAUUCUUUAUUUCAUUAUCAUAUCUGUUUAAAAUAGUUUAUAUGAUAAGGUCCUUGAUUAAAAUUUGAAAAUUGUUAUCAUGAUAGAGAUUAUGAUAAUGAGAAGCAAUUCUUUUAAUAAUUUUAAUCUAAACUGUUCUUGAUCAUAGGAUUAUUGUCAACAGGACAUCAAUAAUCCAGAUAGAUCAAUAUAUAUGUGAUGGUCUUUAUUGGAUAAAGAUUGAUAUAUCUCAUUUGUUAAAUUACAUAUAUAGAUGAUGCACAUGUAGAUGUGAUCAUUGAACUGACUCAACUGAGAAUUUCUAAUGGUCAUCUUUACCUUAAAUUGUCAAUAGGAAUUUCUCAAGAAGAAAUAUAAUAGUUUUCUUUGACCUGAGAUUAUCAAAGUAAUUAACAAGUUAUUUAUUAUAUUUUAAUCCCGGACACCUAAUGCCUUAGGGCACUAGUUGAAUGGAUAUUGGAUAUAAUUAAAUACUUGUAGAAUUAAUGAUUAAUCAAGAAGGAAUCCAUCAACUCGUGGUAAUGAGUUUGAGCUCUAUGAUAAAAAUAAGACCUUGGCCAAGGGCAAUUGAAUGAAUGAAGAAAUGAGUUUCUUAAGUUAUUCACUAAAUAAAUAAUGUGCUGACUUAUUAGAGUUUGACAGUAAUACCAUACUCUAGAGUUAGCCCAGAGCUGUGAAUGAUGGAAGGAAAUAUUACAUUAUUCUUCUACCGGUUCUUGAAAGUAAAAGAUAUUACUUCAUACUAUCUGGACGUUAAGGAGUGUUGCUAGAUGCCUACCUUAAUUAGUAAAUUGAUUUGAUUAAUUUACUACCAGCUUAGUAAUGAACCUACGGGGUUACACACAAACGAGUGUUUUAAUCUUUGCAAAGAACUAUUUAUUAUUAUUUGAUAAUUAAAUUAGAGAAUUUAAUUUUAAUCAAAUAAAUAAAUAUGUUCUAUGUGGAAUAUUAUUAUAUUCUUUGCUAGCACCAAGAAUAUAAUUAAUAUAUAGAUAAAAAAAUAAAAUAUUUUUCUUUGGACGUGGAAGUUAGUCCACGAGAAUGUUUGCUAAACAUUUGCAAACAUAUGGGUACAUGCAGCAACUUACAGGAGGGAUGUGGGUUUUGUUUUUAACUUACAAGACUUGGUCAAAGUGUUUUUCAAAUGCUAUUGAAAAUAGCAAAAGAAAAACAAAUGGACCAAUAGAAUCUCUUAGUAGCCCAAAAAAGAAGGAGGACACGAUAGAGAUAGAUUAAGUGAUAAAAUCAAAAAUCAAAUUAGUUGAGUUAUCUUAUCACUUAAAACAGAAGUUGUAUCGGAUAUGCUAUAUAGCAUAUAUACACAAUCUGAAUAAGGAUCGAUCUAUCUUUAUCCUCCUUGUUUUUACGCCAAAGAAAUACAAAGUGUUGUUCUAUUUUUUUUAAGUUCCGCGUAUCAAAGGGUUGAUAGCAAAGAUUAAUUUCGGUGUGGAUACACGUAGAGUCUUCAUACAAUUGGAGAAAAUUUUAUGCUUGAAGAACUGAUAUCCAGGUUAUUAUUUUAAAUUUUUUGAUAGCUGCAGUAUAUAUUUUGAAUGCAAAAUAGAUCAAUUUUCCGCUGUAUGUGUUAUAAAUUUAUUUUAUAACCUUUCAAUUGGUAUCAGAGCCAGGUUUAUUUUUGUGUUUAAAAUUAUACUACCAAUAUAAUUUUCGUGACGUGAAAGCUUUAUCCUCUGUUAUUGCUGUUCAUUAGACUGCAACAGUUGCAGAAGUAAAGAUUGAUGCGACAAUUGCUUAUUGCUUUUCUGUUGAUAUACGUGCCUAAUAGAUAUUUCAAAUUUAUAUUCACAUGCUGAAGUAUUACUUUUUGAAUUAUAUAUAUAUGUGAUCUUUUACUUUGAAUCCCGCAUGCAUAUAUAUUUUUAUAUGCUAAAGUCUUGUCAUGCUUUAUCAUUGUGAUAAGUAAAAGUUGAUUCAAAUAAAUGAUCCUCUGUCUUGCCAUUUAUCUAAUAUAAAAUAUAGUAAUAUAUAGUUGAUAUAUUUUGACUUACGUUUUAUUAAAACUAUUUGGCUUUAAUAUGAAUAUAUAAAUAUACAUGUACCUGGAGAGGUAUAAUUCAUUAUUGAUUUUGUUGAAUUAUUAUAUAUAGUGAUAUAUAUUAAUUCUUUGAUAGAUGAAUUCUAUUCAUGUAUAAUAAUGUGUUUAUGUAUAUUUGCAAGUUGUGUAAAUUUUUUAGCAUGUGAUGAAAUUUUUUUUAUUAAUAACAAGGAACGACCUGAUAACCAGGAGACUUGUAAUUAAUUACAGCAUGUAUGUUUAAAAUAAUUUUAUACUUAAUGUCUGGACUACCCAGAGAAGUAUUAAAUUAAAUUCAUAGAUAUUAAUAAGUUUGACCUGACAACCAGGAACUUAUGUAAUAUAUUAUUCUUUUGAAAUUGUAUGAGAUACAUUUUGUCUUAGAAUAUGUAUGAGAAACGACUUGAUAACCAAGUGGCUUAUUCAUAGUUUUAAGAAAUUAUAUAUGUUUUGACAUAAUUAUAUUUUAAUAUCCAGAAUGUCUUCCUUAUCACUCCGUUCCAUACUUGAAACUUCAAAAUUGGUUGGAGCCAAUUAUGAUGACUGGUACCGCAAUCUGAGAAUUGUUCUCAUGCAUGAAAAACUUAUCAAUAUAAGUGAUAAGCCUGCUAUAACUGCACCAGCUGACACAAAUCAUGCUGAAGCAACCAAGACCUAUCAAAAUACUUGGAAGAAUGUCUUUCUGCAAAAUGCAUAAUGCUAGCAUCCAUGAGUCCUGAACUUCAGAGGCAACAUGAGGAUAUGGAACCACCUGCAAUCAUCGAGCAUCUUAAGAAGAUGUACGGUGGACAAAGUAGGACAGCUAGAUACCAGUUAUCUAAGGCUUUGUUCAGGUCCUCAUUAGGUGUAAAUGCUCAAGUUGGACCCCAUGUUCUGAAGAUGAUUGAUCUUAUUGAACAACUUGAGAAGUUGGGGUGCACGCUUGGAAAGGAACUUUCUCAAGAUUUGAUUUUACAAUCACUUCCUGAUUCUUUGUCACAAUUCAUUGUGAAUUUCAACAUGAACAAAAUGAGUUGUGAUCUGCAUGAGAUGCUUAACUUGUUAAUUGAUUAUGAGAAUCAAGUUUCCUCUGAAAAGAAUAAAGGAAUUGUCAUGGUGGUUGGCAAGACUUCUAAGAAAAAGGGCAAAGGUAAAUAUAUACCAAAAAGGAAACCUCUUGGAACUAAGGGUGGUGUGACCAAACCCAAAUACAAGAAGGUUAAAACUGACCACAGUGAUGCUGAAUGCUUCUUCUGUAAAGAGAAAGGACAUUGGAAGAGAAACUGCAAGAAAUAUCUUGAUUCUUUGAAAAACAAGAAACAAGGUAAGACAUUAAUGAAAAAUGUUUUCAUGAUUUCUUUAACUGUCACAGAUUCUUCAACAUGGGUAUUAGAUACCGGUAGUAGUUUUAACAUCUACAAUAUGUUGUAGGGGCUGAAGAUAACUAGAUGGUUGAAGAAAGGAGAAAUCAACCUUCAAGUAGGGAAUGGAGCAAAUGUUGCCGCCUUAGCUUUAGGAUCAAUUUCUUUAAAUAUGCCCACUGGCAAAGUACUAGUGUUAAAUGAUUGUUAUUAUGUUCCGAACUUUGUUUCAAAUAUAAUUUCAAUUUCUAUGUUGGACAAGCGAGGUUUUCGCAUUAUUUUCAAUAAUAACAUUUGCUCAAUUUAUCAUGAUGAUGAUUUAUAUGUAAAUGGUUAUCUCCAACAUGGCAUUUAUGUCUUACCUGAUGUGAAUUAUAAUUCAGUUAUGCAUGUUUCUUCUAGUUUUAAAAGAAAAAGAGAUAGUCAAUUAAAUAAAACAUAUCUUUGGCACUGUAGGCUUGGUCAUGUUGGUGAGAAAAGAAUUAACAAGUUAUACAAGGAAGGUUACCUUGAUAAUUAUGAUUAUGAAUCAUAUAAAACUUGUGAAUCUUGUCUCAAAGGAAAAAUGACUAAAUCUCCAUUUAUUGGAACUGGAGAAAGAGCCUCUGAAUUAUUGGGACUAGUUCAUACAGAUGUUUGUGGACCCAUGAAAAUUCAAGCCAAAUGAGGAUAUUCUUAUUUUAUAACCUUCACUGAUGACAUGUCAAGAUAUGGUUUUUUGUAUCUCAUGAAACAUAAAUCUGAGUCAUUUGAAAUGUUCAAAAGGUUUCGCAGUGAAGUUGAAAAACAAACAGGUAACAGUAUCAAAGUGCUGAGAUCUGAUAGAGGAGGAGAAUAUCUCAGUGAAAAUUUUAUUGACUAUCUAAGAGAGAAUGGGAUUCUCUCACAGUGGACACCCCCAGGAACACCACAGCACAAUGGUGUAUCAGAAAGGAGAAAUCGAACCUUAUUAGAUAUGGUAAGAUCUAUGAUGAGGUUCACUGAUCUUCCAUUAAAUUUAUGGGGAUAUGCUUUAGAAGCAGCAGCUUAUUUACUAAACAAAAUCCAUACAAAAACAAUAUCUACAACUCCGUAUGAGAUAUGGAAAGGGCGUAAACCAAAUCUCAAACACAUUAAGGUUUGGGGUUGUCCAGCUUACGUUAAGAAAUUACAAACAGAUAAACUUGAGGCAAGGUCAGAUAAGUGUAGGUUCAUUGGGUAUCCCAAAGAAACAAUGGGAUAUUAUUUCUACCACCCUUUAGACCAUAAAGUGUUUGUGGCAAGAGGAGGAACCUUUCUAGAAAGGGAAUUUCUUGCAGAAGGGAGUCAUGGCAAAGAAAUAGAGCUUGAUGAAACUCAAGAAGAAACCAAUGAAACAACAGCAGCUCAAGAACAUGAGAUGGAAUUUGAGCAACCUUUCUUUGAUGUCUUAAAAUCAACACAAAGGUUACAAUCUCCAACAAUUGUGGCUCCAGAACCAGCUAUAGUUCAAGAACAAGUUAAUGAACCUGAACCAGCUGUAGUUCAAGAACAGGUUAAUGAACCAAUCUUAGAACAGAUUCAGCAACCUCUGAAUCCAAUACAUGAGCCUCUAAGAAGGUCUAGUCGAGCACAUCGUGCGCCGGAUAGACUAAACUUGAUGGUUCAAGAUGACUUGUCUAAUGAGGUUCAUCAUAAUGAUGAUGACCCUAAGAACUAUGAAGAGGCUAUGCAAAGCUUGGACCGCAAUAAAUGGCAAGAAGCCAUGGAAUCCGAAAUAGAAUCAAUGAAGAUCAACAAAGUAUGGACUUUGGUUGAAGCUUCAAAGGAUAUAAAACCAAUUGGUUGUAAAUGGGUUUACAAGAAAAAGAUUGGAGCAGAUGGAAAAGUUGAGACUUACAAAGCUCGCCUUGUUGCUAAAGGAUAUCGUCAAAAAGAAGGAAUUGAUUAUGAUGAAACUUUUUCCCCAGUGGCAAUGCUCAAAUCAAUUCGGAUUCUACUUGCCAUAGCAGCAUACUAUGAUUAUGAAAUAUGGCAAAUGGAUGUGAAAACAGCUUUUCUUAAUGGUGAGUUGAAAGAGGAUGUAUACAUGACACAACCUGAAGGAUACACAUCAAUGUCUGAUCAUAAUAAAGUUUGCAAGUUGCGACGAUCCAUUUAUGGAUUAAAACAAGCUUCAAGAAGUUGGAACAUACAUUUUAACAAGACAAUCGAAAAGUUCGAUUUUGUUAAAUGUGAAGAAGAACCUUGUGUGUACAAAAGGUUUAGUGGGAGCACAAUCAUUUUCUUAGUGUUAUAUGUAGAUGACAUAUUGCUUAUAGGAAAUGAUAUACCAGCAAUGCAAGGGACAAAGGUUUGGCUAUCAGAACAGUUCUCCAUGAAAGAUUUGGGAGAAGCAGCCUAUAUUCUAGGAAUAAAGAUUUAUAGAGAUAGAUCUAAAAGGUUGCUUGGACUAUCCCAAUCCAUGUACAUUGAUACCAUCUUAAAGAGGUAUAAUAUGGAAAACUCCAAAAGGGGCUAUUUACCAAUAGGAACUGGAGUUACUCUUAGUAGGGAGGAUUGUCCUAAAACUCCUAAAGAGAGAGAACGCAUGAAUAGGGUACCAUAUGCUAGCGCAGUGGGAGCUAUUAUGUAUACCAUGACUUGUACACGUCCUGAUGUCGCUUAUGCACUAAGUGUAGCUAGUCGAUAUCAGGCAAACCCUGGUGAGGAACAUUGGAAAGUGGUCAAGACCAUUCUUAAAUACUUAAGAAGAACUAAAGACCAAUUCCUUAUCUAUGGAGAAUCUGAAUUAAAAUUAAAGGGUUAUACUGAUGCAAGUUUUGCAUCAGAUAAAGAUGAUAGCAAAUCUAUUUCAGGUUAUGUUUUCACCUUAAAUGGUGGUGCAGUGAGUUGGAAAAGCUCCAAACAAGCUACAGUAGCAGAUUCAACUACUGAAGCCGAAUAUAUAGCAGCAAGUGAGGCAGCUAAGGAAGCAGUUUGGAUGAAGAAGUUCAUAUCUGAACUUGGUGUGGUUCCUUCAAUUGAAGAACCAAUUCCACUGUUAUGUGACAAUAAUGGAGCAAUUGCUCAAGCAAAGGAACCAAGAUCACACCAAAAGUCUAAACAUGUCUUGCGAAUGUAUCACUUGAUUAGAGAAAUCAUUGAACGUGGUGACGUUAAGAUUGAAAAGAUAGAUGGAAAAGAGAAUGCGGCAGACCCAUUUACCAAAGCACUUGGCAUAACGCAGUUUGACAAGCACAAAUGGGAAGUGGGAAUGAAAUACAUGACUGAUUGGCUCUAGUGCAAGUGGAAGAUUGUUGGGGAUAAAUGUAUGCCCAAGAUCCAAUCUAUCAUGUAAUCAACUUUAGUUUUAAUAAGGUAUUAAUUCUUUAUUUCAUUAUCAUAUCUGUUUAAAAUAGUUUAUAUGAUAAGGUCCUUGAUUAAAAUUUGAAAAUUGUUAUCAUGAUAGAGAUUAUGAUAAUGAGAAGCAAUUCUUUUAAUAAUUUUAAUCUAAACUGUUCUUGAUCAUAGGAUUAUUGUCAACAGGACAUCAAUAAUCCAGAUAGAUCAAUAUAUAUGUGAUGGUCUUUAUUGGAUAAAGAUUGAUAUAUCUCAUUUGUUAAAUUACAUAUAUAGAUGAUGCACAUGUAGAUGUGAUCAUUGAACUGACUCAACUGAGAAUUUCUAAUGGUCAUCUUUACCUUAAAUUGUCAAUAGGAAUUUCUCAAGAAGAAAUAUAAUAGUUUUCUUUGACCUGAGAUUAUCAAAGUAAUUAACAAGUUAUUUAUUAUAUUUUAAUCCCGGACACCUAAUGCCUUAGGGCACUAGUUGAAUGGAUAUUGGAUAUAAUUAAAUACUUGUAGAAUUAAUGAUUAAUCAAGAAGGAAUCCAUCAACUCGUGGUAAUGAGUUUGAGCUCUAUGAUAAAAAUAAGACCUUGGCCAAGGGCAAUUGAAUGAAUGAAGAAAUGAGUUUCUUAAGUUAUUCACUAAAUAAAUAAUGUGCUGACUUAUUAGAGUUUGACAGUAAUACCAUACUCUAGAGUUAGCCCAGAACUGUAAAUGAUGGAAGGAAAUAUUACAUUAUUCUUCUACCGGUUCUUGAAAGUAAAAGAUAUUACUUCAUACUAUCUGGACGUUAAGGAGUGUUGCUAGACGCCUACCUUAAUUAGUAAAUUGAUUUGAUUAAUUUACUACCAGCUUAGUACUAAACCUACGAGGUCACACACAAACGAGUGUUUUAAUCUUUGCAAAGAACUAUUUAUUAUUAUUUGAUAAUUAAAUUAGAGAAUUUAAUUUUAAUCAAAUAAAUAAAUAUGUUCUAUGUGGAAUAUUAUUAUAUUCUUUGCUAGCACCAAGAAUAUAAUUAAUAUAUAGAUAAAAAAAUAAAAUAUUUUUCUUUGGACGUGGAAGUUAGUCCACGAGAAUGUUUGCUAAACAUUUGCAAACAUAUGGGUACAUGCAGCAACUUACAGGGGGGAUGUGGGUUUUGUUUUUAACUUACAAGACUUGGUCAAAGUGUUUUUCAAAUGCUAUUGAAAAUAGCAAAAGAAAAACAAAUGGACCAAUAGAAUCUCUUAGUAGCCCAAAAAAGAAGGAGGACACGAUAGAGAUAGAUUAAGUGAUAAAAUCAAAAAUCAAAUUAGUUGAGUUAUCUUAUCACUUAAAACAGAAGUUGUAUCGGAUAUGCUAUAUAGCAUAUAUACACAAUCUGAAUAAGGAUCGAUCUAUCUUUAUCCUCCUUGUUUUUACGCCAAAGAAAUACAAAGUGUUGUUCUAUUUUUUUUAAGUUCCACGUAUCAAAGGGUUGAUAGCAAAGAUUAAUUUCGGUGUGGAUACACGUAGAGUCUUCAUACAAUUGGAGAAAAUUUUAUGCUUGAAGAACUGAUAUCCAGGUUAUUAUUUUAAAUUUUUUGAUAGCUGCAGUAUAUAUUUUGAAUGCAAAAUAGAUCAAUUUUCCACUGUAUGUGUUAUAAAUUUAUUUUAUAACCUUUCACAUUGAGCACAGCUUUGUACAGUUCCAAGUAAUAGAAUUCUGCAGUCACAAAACCAAAAGAUGUAUACGUCAGCCUAGAUUUCCCUAAUAUGUAUAUUUCUUCAACGUUCACAAUGUCCUAAUACUAAAAUUAUUUUUAAAAAAUAAAUCAUUUAAGUUAUGUUUGGUUCUUAGAAAAUUUGACAAAAAAAUAGAGGGGAAAGAAAAGAAAGUAAAUUGAAAAAAUAGAAGGCAAGAAAAAGUGAAAUAAAAUACAUCUAAAAUCAAUAAAUUAAUUAUUUUUAAUUAAUUUAUUUUAAUUAUAUUUUAUUUUCUUAAAUAUUUUUUUUCGAUAUAACCAAAUACGGGAAAAUCAUUUUCCUUGAUAUCUUUUCUUUGCUAAUUAUUUUCUUGGACUUCUUUGUUUACAUCUAAUCAACAUCUUUAUAUAUUUCAAUAAUAGUUUGAACCUCCAAUAAACUACACGAAUUAAAAUUUAAUUUUCUUCCAUUUUUUAUUUUAACAGCAGGUUGUAAAAUACUUCUACUUGUAUACUAAUUAUGCCCAAAAGUUUCAGGAGGACCUCAAACGGAAAUGGGCAUGAACAUGGUUUUCAGCAUCUCACCGGAGCUGCUAGUCCUUCGCAAAGAUGAAGAUGAAACCACUGAAACAUAUUCAUUGGUAUGGUGUGCCGUGUCGAUGGUAGUAGUUCUUUUCAAUGAUGAAGUGGAAGAGACUGGGCCAUAUUCAUCAGUAUCCUGCGCCAUAUUGAUGCUGCUACAGUUAGGAUUGUUUGGGCUGUCAUCGAUUACCGAGAGUGGUAAUGAAGAGGAAGCCAUUACAGUGAACUCCUCAUCAUGCUCAGCAAUGUCCAUGUUACUGUUUGUAGGGCUGUUUGCGCUGUUGUCAUUUAUAAGACGUAGUGAAGAAGAAGAAGCCAUUACAACAAAUUCUUUAUCGUGCUGAUAGUCAUUGCCAUGUUUAGCGAAGUUAUUCUAAUGUGCAACAGAAAACCUAAACAAAAUCUGCAGUUGACAAAGGUCAAAAUUAACUUACCUCGCAGAUGGAUUUGUUAUCUAUGAUAGAAGAUUAUAUUUAACUAUAUCAAGGCAGAGAAGAUACUCUCAUCCAAAGAGAGACAACAGCAGCCCUUUUUCCCAGAGUCUUCAAAUGAUACAGGAAAUGGGCCAGGAACCAUUGAAGCAUAAGAGGUACAAUGAUAGAGUCUUCCAAGUCAACUUUAUUUAGUUGAGUAUUGGGUAAGGAGUAGAUAGCGUUGAAACGUUAUGACUGGUGGAUGAGAGUCAUUCAAAAUAAUAGGCAUACAUGAUUUAUUCAUAUAUAAAUUAAACAAAGAAAAUUAGGGGGUAAUUUUGAGCUGUUUGUUUUCGCAUGAUUUCUUCUGACUGUGUUGCUGGGCAUUACUAGGUCUUUUCUUUUUAAUUUUUCAUGUUUUAUUUUAAGACGAUAUCCAGAAGUAGUAGGUAUGGUAUAUGAAUUAUGGUCUGCGGGCAUGUUGAACACAGACUUGAAUUUCACUUAGAAUGAUAAACAUUCAUAGAGCCAAAUGUAAAUCCAGGCGAAUUUGAGAAAGGAUAUGGAGGUUCAUUAUCUCUGGUGACGCUUAAUAAAUAUAAAGUCAGCUCUUUAUGACCAUACCUAACAGCGCUGUGAAGAGGCGCAAAAUUGUCGCGUUGGCAGAUAUUGGGCAAGCUUGGGUUUUUGUUCACUAACAACUUGACUGCUUUUAUAUUGCCAGCCCUUGCAGCGUUGAAAAGGGCAGUGACGCCAUCAGAAUCCCGCAGAGCCAGUGCCUCACUUGGCAAAAACUCAACCAACUUCUCCACGAAACCCAUUCUGGCCUCUCCUAACUCAACUGCUAUGUGAAGCAUUCGGGAAUCAUCUGUUCUGAUCGGGGCGGAGAAUGAUCGUGGAUCAUCCUUCAAUAAUUUUGAAGCACUUUCCCAGUCACCAUUGAGCACAGCUUUGUACAGUUCCAAGUAAUAGAAUUCUGCAGUCACAAAACCAAAAGAUGUAUACGUCAGCCUAGAUUUCCCUGAUAUGUAUAUUUCUUCAACGUUCACAACAUCCUAAUACUAAAAUUAUUUUUUAAAAAAUAAAUCAUUUAAGUUAUGUUUGGCUUUUAUAAAAUUUGACAAAAAUUACAAGGAAAAGAAAGUAAAUUGAAAAAAUUGAAGGUUAGAAAAAGUGAAAUAAAAUACAUCUAAAAUCAAUAAAUUAAUUAUUUUUAUAUGCUACUCAUUUCACUUAUUUUAAUUAUUUAAUAUAAAAAUUAAAUAAUUUAAAAUUUCAUAAAUUUAUAACUAAUUUUAAUUAUAUUUGAUUUUCUUAAAUAUUUUUUUUCGAUAUAACCAAAUACGGGAAAAUUAUUUUCCUUGAUAUCUUUUCUUGGACUUCUUUGUUUACCUCUAAUCAACAUCUUUAUAUCUUUCAAUAAUAGUUUGAACCUCCAUUUUUUAUUUUAACACUUCUACUUGUAUACUAAUUAUGCCCAAAAUACACGGAAAUGGACAUGAACAUGGCUUUCAGCAUCUUACCGGAGCUGCUACAGUUAUUGGUAAGGUGUGCCGUGUCGAUGGUAGUAGUUCUUUUCAAUGAUGAAGUGGAAGAGGAAGCAACAGUUAGGAUUGUUUGGGCUGUCAUCGAUUACAACAAAUUCCUUAUCGUUCUUAUAGUCAUUGCCAUGUUUAGCAAAGUUAUUCUAAUGUGUAACAGAAAACCUAAACAAAAUCUGCAGUUGACAAAGGUCAAAAUUAACUUACCUCGCAGAUGGAAGAUUAUAUUUAACUAUAUCGAGGCAGAGAAGAGAGUCUCAUCCAAAAAUAAAAACUUUGCUCUCAAAGUAUUCUAAGAUGAUCAACAAGCCCUAAGAAUCAUGUAGGAAAAAUUUUAAAAAUUUUCUCUAACUAUAAACCAAAAAUUCUAACACCCUAAAUUUCCAAGCAAAAUAAACGAAUUGUGUGUAACCAAAAUCAAUCUUGUUGUGCUACGCUCGGGUUUUCGGGGGUCAAGCUCCUCGUUGAGGUCGUAGGGGUCGGGGGGCAACACCCUCUAGAAUUUUUUUUUCAUUAUAUUUAUUAUUUUUUAUUUAUCUAUCCAACUGGAACAAUAGAAACCCUAAACAAUGUUAAUGAGAGUUGGGUAACACUACAUUUUAUAUGGAGCAACACUACACAACGAAACCAUAAAGAUCAAGGAAAAUCCAUGAAAAAUAAACAAGAAAUGAGUAUGAGUGUAAUGCGUACCUGGAAUGUGACAAACCCACAAUGAAACCCUAAAAUCGCCUUCAAUGGAAGUUAGGAUGAUGAACAAGGAAAGAGGAAACAAGGGAAAAAGGAGAUGAAAAUUGUAAUAUCUGAUAGAAAUAAAGGUAUAUAAAAUAUCGUUUUUUCACCAACAAAAAUUAUCAAAACUUUUCAACACUAUCUACUCUACAGAAUGUUUGUUAAAGUCUUCCUUGGAGCAAAAUGACCUCCACAAGCUCCCUCAUGGCACAUUCACAAUAUGUUUUGUUGUUCAUCCUCUGGAACACAUCUCCGAAUAAUUUGAUUUGGGCAAAACUUAUACAAAUAUGGAUCAUCCCAAGCAUAGUGUUUUGCUCACGAAAGAAAAUACUUUUUCAUCUCCAUGUUCCAUUAUGAGAGAAGCUCUCUAAUUGCCAAGUAGCUGAGUAUAUUUGCGAACCAAGGCAACUCUCCACUACACAAAGUGCAUCAUCAAGAAACUCAUCAUUCAUCUUUUCUUUCUCGAAAUGUGACUCUACUUUAACUCAGGAGAGAUGAUUAGUAACCAGAUUCUCUUCCCUUGCUUAUCCUUGAUUUGAAUGUUAAAUUCUUAAAGAAGAAGGAUCCUCUCUUUGACCUAGUACGACUCCCACUACAUAGUCAAUCGCAUUACACAUCAACUCAAAUGGAAGAGACCAAUUGGGAGGUCUCACAAUUGGUGUAGUAGUGAGGAGUGACUUUAGCCUCUCAAAAGCUUCUUGGCAUGCUUUAGUCCAUAUGAAUUCUGCAUCCUUAAGUAAUAAAGCACAAAGAGGUUGAGAGACUUUUUAGAAGUCGUGUAUGAACCUUCUAUAAAAAUAUGCAUGCCCCAAAAAUUGUCUCACCCCUUUAACAGUAUUGGGCGAAGGUAGCUUUGAGAUGAGCUCAAUUUUUGUUGAAUCUACCUGAAUGCCUUCUCUAGAGAUGAUAUGACCAAGUACUACCCCUGAGGUUGCCAUGAAGUGACAUUUAUCCCAAUUUAGGACCAAGUCCUUCUCAAUGCACCUUUUCAAAACUUUUUUCAAAUUUAAGAGACAAUCAUCAAAGGUCUUCCCAUAAACUGUUAGAUCAUCCAUGAAAGCUUCCAUGAUUCUCUCUACCAUGUCAUUGAAGAUAUUGAGCAUACACCUUUGAAAUGUGGUCGGUGCAUUACAAAGACCAAAAGGCAUGCACUUAUAAGCAUAGGUGUCAAAUGGGCAGGUGAAUGUGGUUUUCUCCUGAUCCUCCAAUGCAAUGGAAAUUUGAAAGUAGCCCGAAUAGCCAUCCAAGAAGCAAUAAUAGUCAUGACCAACUACCUUCUCCAAAACUUGAUCUAAGAAAGGUAAUGGGAAAUGAUAUUUCUUGGUGGCUGCAUUCAACUUUUUAAAAUCAAUGCAUACUUGCCAACCUGUAGUCAACCUUGUAGGAAUGAGCUCUCCUUCAUCAUUCUUCACCACAGUUAUCCCGCUUUUCUUAGGUACUACUUGAGUAGGGCUCACUAGACUACUGUCAGAGAUAGGAUAUAUAAUACCUGCAUCUAAAAGCUUCAAUACCUCAUUUCUGACUACAUCUUGCAUAAGGGGAUUUAGCCUUCUUUGUGGUUACCCUAUUGGUUUUGCGUUCUCUUCCAAAUAAAUAUGAUACGUGCAAAUCAAGGGAUUUGUCCCUUUCAAAUCUAAAAUAGACCAACCAAUCACUCUUUCAUUCUCUUUAAGCACUUUUAAAAAUUUGAUUUCUUGCUCUUCAGUUAAUGUAGUUGAAAUGACCAAAGGUUUUUCUUCAUUUUCCUCUAAAUAAACAUACUUUAAACCAUGUGGUAGGGGCUUUAACUCUGCUUUGCUGAUCUCAACCUCCAUUUUUUUUUUCUUCAUCAUUUUCAACAUUGUUCAAAGACUGAAUGGUAAAUUUUUCUUUCCACUUUGUAGCAACUUCAACACUCUUUCCUUAAUGAUUGUAGAGAAAAAUUCAUCUAUAUUUUCUUCCAUUUAAUUUCUUAUGUUUUCUUGCACCAAGACCUCUAUAAGGCAUGCUUCCUCAUCCUCCACAUCAUCAUGGUCCAUCAGUUGCUUGCAUAAAUUGAAGAAAUUCAUUUCCACUGUCAUGUUCGCAAAAAAUAACUGCAUCAAUCCAUUCUGAUAGUUAAUGAGAGCAUUGGUUGUAGCAAGGAAGGGUCUCCCAAGAAUAAUUGGAACAAAAUUCACGCAUUUUUUCAACGAUUCUAUAUCUAGCACCGCAAAGUCCAUUGGGCAGUAGAACUUUUCAACUUGCACUAAGACAUCUUCAACUACUCUUUUAGGUACUUUAAUUGAACGGUCUGCUAAAGAGAGUGUAAUGGUAGUAGCCUUAAGCUCUCCCAAUCCCAAUUUCUUAUAGAUUGAAUAUGGAAUCAAAUUUAUACUAGCUCCCAAAUCUAACAAAGCCCUUUCCACAAAUGAGUCUCCAAUCUGGAUUAAGAUGGUAGAACAACCUGGAUCUUUGUACUUCACCAUUGUCUUAUUCUCGAUGAUGUCAUUGACUUGCUCGGUGAGGAAUGCUUUCUUGCUUAAUUUAAUCAUUUUCUUCAUAGUGCAUAAGUCCUUAAGGAACUUUGCAUAAGCAAGCACUUGCUUGAUCAUAUCAAGGAGUGGAAUGAUGAACUUCACUUGCUUCAAAACUUUCAAAACCUCAAAAGUCUUAUCCCCCACUUUAUGUCUUUGCAUUGAUGAAGGGAAAGACAGAUGAUUGAAAAUACUCUUUUUAUCUUUGCUCACAAUGACUUUCUUAUAUUUUUCAUACUCUUUCUCAUUUCUAGCAUUUUUCUCCACGAUUGGUUCAUUUCUAAUAAGAAUAUCUUCACUUAUUGCUAACUUGGGCCUUUCAUAUUCUUUCCCAUUUCUGAGUGUGAUAACUGCAUUGCAAUCUUCCUUUUGCACUUCGGAAACUUCAUUUACUCAUCUCGAAUUUUUCUAUGGUUGAGUUGUGAACUUUCUUUUCUCUUGAGAUAAGCUUCUAGCAAGUUGGUUCAAAGUGGUUCGAAUAUUUGCUAGUUCUUAAGAUGUUUGAGCAUUUAUCCUAUUUUGAUCCUCAUUACGCUUGUUUUGCUUCUAUAUAAACUCUCUUAGCAUAUCUUCCAGGCUUGAGUUAAAUGAUGAGAUUUGAGGUUACUGUUGAAAAUUUUGAGAUGGCAUACCUUGUGGUUGAAAACCUUGCUACCCAUUAGUCUGAUUACCUUGAAAUCAGUUUCCUUGCUAUUGAAGUUGGCCAUUGUUACCUCAUCUCCAUGAUAGAUUUGGAUGAUUCCUCCAACCCGGAUUAUAAGUGUUAGAAUAUGGAGAAUUGCUAGAAUAUUGCUUGUAUGUCCUUAAGGCAUUGGCUUGCUCUGAAAACAUGUUUUGCACUGCAAGUAGAGUAGGACAAGAUUACACACCAUGUUCCAUAGACUUACAUAUCUAGAAUGGUUGAGUUAUUCCCUCAUUAACUAUUUGUACCUCUUGACCUCCCUUAGCUUCCAAAUCAUCCAACCUUCUCAUAAUGGUUACAAACUUUGCUUGGACAUCUAAACUCUCUGUAAGGUAUACACUCCACUAGCUCUUGCCCUAUUCAUUGUUCUAUCUCUAGGUGUUUCCUUGAUGAUUGGUUCUUCCCAACUUCUAGAUACCUCAGCAACAUAAUCAAGGAAUUGAAAUGCUUCAUCGAGGUUUUUAUUCAUGAAAUCUCAUCCACACAUAGUCUCGAGAAGUUGUUUUUCCUUCAUAGAAAUAUGAUACUAGCAUCCAAUUGUCAAAUCUGUGAUGGGGGCAUGUUGCAACCAUCUCCCUAAAUUUUUCCCAGGAUGCAAAAAAUUUCUCAUCUUUUAUAGCCUUGAAAUUCGAGAUCUCCUUUUUCAAUGCACUAGUCCUAUGUGUUGGAAAGAACUUUUUAAAAACACUAAUUGUCAAUCACCCCAAUUUUUUAUACUACAGGGUCUAAGACUAUUUAACCAAGUCUUAGCUUUAUCCUUCAAUGACAAGGGGAAUAGCUUCAUGCGGAAGGUCUUUAAAGAAGUGUUGGCUUCUCGAAAAAUUGAAGCGAUGUCCUCAAAUUCCUUGAUGUGAGAGUGUGGCUUUUCAUUUUUUGUCUCCCUAACAAUGGGUAGUUGAGAUACCACUUGAGGCCGAAUGGUAACAUGAUCGUGAUUUGGAGGUAGCAUAAAACACGAUGGUGUGCUCAACCUAGGAGGAUUUAGAAACUCUCUCAUGGUUUUUUGGUCCUGCAUAGGUGGUCAUGGCCUGUUGUUACUACUGUUGGAUUCUUCAGUGUCCUCCAUAUUUGGUUGAGAUUCCUUAGUUGUUCUUUGAAGUCUACUUGAAAGAUCUCUUUCCCAACCAAGCAUAAAAUAGAAGAAAAAUAUAUAUAGAGAAAAAAAAAAGAACUAAAACAAAGUGAUGCACUAUAUCCUAGUUAUGACGAUUGCUAAUCCCCACCAACGACGACAGUUUCUUGACUAAAAUUCUUUAUUGUACUAAAAUACUUAGCAUUUUUUACGUAGCAACUCCAGUUAAGAAAAACUAGAGAAAUAGUCACUACGACUUUUGUAGUACUUCGGGCAUCGUCCUCAAGGACUGGCAUAUGGAAAGAGUCAAUACUAGAAUAAAUGAAUUGCUUUCGUUUAAAUCCUAAAGUGAAAAAUAAUAUGAGAAUAAUGUGAAACUAAGUAAAAGAAAUUAAAUUAAUAAAAAAAUGGAUAUUGAUAUUAAAUUCGAUUGAUUCACGUUUAGGGCUUUCCACAAUCCAACCUAGGUUAUAGAAAUUAGAGAAAACAAGGGUCUUUAAAGUAAUAUGAUCUUAGGGUUUUGGGAUCCUUGGCCGUUCACAAUCAAAUUGAGUUUUAUAACUUGAAAUUGCAUUUGAAACCUAUUUUUUCCUUUUUUAAAACAAAUUCCUAAAGCCAUUAAAUGAAUGAGAUUGAUUACCAGUUUAAGAUUUGGCUUUUUAACCCUUCCUACUCCUUAUAGCUUUGUUUUGGGGCAAAUAAUGAUAGGGAAUAUGAGGAUAACUAAUGAUAAAAAAAUUACCAAGAAUCAUUAGUAUCGGGUAAUAACCUACCAUAUCAUUCCCUAAACUAACUCACAAGGAUAGGACAAAAAAAAUGAUAAAUUGUCACCCAACCAAUAAUUAAUCUAAUUGUUAUAAUAAUUUAUCCAUUGUCCUUUUAGGUUUCCUAGCCCUUAGGUUUUCAUGCUUUAAGCCCCAAGUUGGCUCUUAACCUCUCAUGGGGGUGAUGUCACAUUCACAAUCCAUAAUAUGGUAAAAAUCCAUAAUUUGAAUCAAAAGAACCUAAAACAACAUAUUUAAUAAAGAAGAGAAAGAAAACAAACCAAAGUUCUCAUCUUCUUCUACCUUCAAUGUCAAACUCUUCGAAAAAAAAAAUCCAAGAUCCCUAAAACCUAGAACUAAGAAAGUUUAUAUAAUAUCAUCAAUUACCUAACAUGUGCCACACUCUCAUUGGCCCCUUAUUACAAAAAUAAUUACCUAAAAAUGAUUUAAAAAAAUAAUAAAAUUGUGAUUUCUAGUCAUAUGAGGUCCAUUUAGGGCGGAUGGAAUGCCCUAGAUGCAAUUACUGAGGUAAAGGAGGUGAAACAUUAAAGUGGCAAUAGGUGAAUUUGAAAUUGGUGUCAUUUUGAUGUGGAUUUCGAAUUCAUAAGUUGAAUUUCGAAAUCAUUUCGAAAUGACCCUUAAACUUUGUGCAGUUGUUUUCAAAUGGCCAUAACUUCUUCAUUUCAGCUCUGAUUUUCACACUAUUUGAAGCAUUGGACUCAUAACAUCCCAAGAAACGAUAUAUUGUAUAUAUAAAAUGGAGUCCGAGAAGUGCUCCAAAUUUUUCCUCAAAGUUAAAGUAUAUAUUACCAUCAAAUUUUUGAGUUCUAAAUUUCCAUGUAGCUGAAUCUUGCUUCAUGCCUCAUUUCCUAUGUUUUCUUGCCUUCUUUCUUACUCCAUAAUGGUCAUUUCUCAUCUUCCAAACUCAUAAUAUCCUUGUCUUGCCUUUCCUCGUGGUCCAUGAGUUCUGACUCACUUAUUUUCUCAUUUAACCCUUUCUUGAUCUUUCAAAAUUUAAAGUGAUUCAACUUGUACCCUUUUCUUCCCUUGAACCUAAGAUAAGUCUCCAAAGUACAAAUUAAACUCAUGGCUAGGGCCUUAGCAUUGAUUUAGGUCAAGUUGGGUGAUUUGAAUGUUCUUUGGUGAAUAAAUCAUAUUGAAUAUGUACCAUUAGAGCACAUAUUUUGGCUCCAAUCAAGCUUACCCGCCAAACAUUGAGUGAUAAAAUGGAGUGGGUUGUCUAAAGAUUCAUUUGAGGCUCUAUAGUAUAGUCAUGAGAGCACACAAAUUAGAUAAUAUGUAGUUGGUUGCUCUCUUCCCCAUGUCACUUAGUUGAGCAGCAUAGAGGUGGUUGGCAUUAAUUAAGCCUUUGAGACUCUAUACUUAGGAGGAUGUGGCCUAUGAGUUUCUGACACAGUUUGCCUUUAGUGUCGAUAUUGAUUUUUUUUUUUUUACUAAACAAGAUGUCGAGAGUGUUACUUAACCAUCCCUAUGGCAAAAGCAAAAAUUGUUGCCUUUAGUGCUAAUAUUAAUGUUUCUAAGCGAGAGUUAGAGGCUACUAAGUAGAGGCCAAAUGAGUUUGUUUCUUCAUUUAUUAGUCAUUAGAGGGCUAAGGUGGUUGGUAUGAUAGAUUGACUUAAGGAGUAAGAUCAUAUUGACGUGCUUCUUUGGAACCUUCAACCGAGGUUUGCCAGACAUCUUAUAGGUAUUCCAUUUCAAGACUUCUGAAGUUUGGUUCAAGUCGUUUUCAGUGUUUAGGAGGGUAUUUCUAAAGGGUUAUAGACAAACACUAUUCCUUCCUUAGACAAUAAAGAAAAGAAGCCUAUAGGAUCAUUAGGGAGGCUUGGAGAGGUUAGCACUAUCAGUUAUCAUCAUCGAGGUCAACUUAUCAGUCAUACCAAAGGUCUCCUAUAAUCAAAGCCUACUUUCCUCAUCUAUUGUGUCAAUAUUAGUCCACUUAUAUUCAACAACCUUUCAUUGCUUGGACUAGUAUGCAACCAUGACUGUCGUAUCCCAGAGCCACUGGUUCUCAUUCAUUACUCAUAUUCCCACUCAUAUUUUUUAAAACAUGUGAUCUUUAUCAUAAAGGGGCAUAUUUGUAGACCCUUCAUUCUAUCUCCUUAAUACAUAAGUGUUCUUUCAAUACUCCCCAAUGGUUCCCUAAUGGCUCUUUACUGCUCAUAUAGCCAACAUUUUUUAGUCACCUUGGAGACUUUGGUUGAGGAAUUUAUUUGACCCCUCGUUAUGACCCUUAGCAGAAUCGAGUUAGAUUUAGGUUUUUCUUUUUUCUUUUUAGGAUAGCUCCUUUAAGUACAUCUCUAGGAUAGAAUACUUAGGCAUCAUUUUUCAAUCACCUUGGCCCAUUUAGGCACAUUUGACCCAUUUAGGAUCACCCUAACCCAUUUAGAUCCAUUUGGCCUAUUUAGUUCACCUUGACUGAUUUAGACACAUUUGACCCAUUUAGGUACAUCCAACUCAUUUAGGUCACCCUGGCUCAUUUAGACACAUAUAGGCCCAUUUAGGCACAUCCGACCCAUUUAGGAUCACCCUGGCCUAUUUAGACACAUCCAACCUAUUUAGGAUGCCCUUGUCCCAUUUAGACACAUUUGGCCCAUUUAGGAUUACCUAGGCCCAUUUAGGCACAUUCGACCCAUUUAAGUCAUCUUAGCCCAUUUAGACCACUUAGGCCCGUUUAGGCACAUUAGGCACAUAGGACCUAUUUAGGAUCACCCUAACCUACUUAGUCACACCUUGACCCAUUUAGGUCACUUAGCCCAUGAUUACUACUCAAAAAGUGCUAUUUGAUAGCCUAUAAUAAAUCCUUUUAAACACUUUUGAGUAGUAGUUUAGGCCUUUUAACUCAAUUGGCAUGUUAAGGACCCUUGAAAGGGAUUUUAAUCACUUUGUGUAAGUUUUGGUGUUUUUGUUAGUAAUUUAAUCACCAAAGCAAGUCAAGACUAAGGAGAGCUAUGAGGAAUCUUGGGCAAAGCUUAGAAGUCAUUUUCCAAGAGUAAAUCCGGAUUGCAAGGAGAAAAAGUAAAGAGAAUCUGCCAUGAAGCCUAUUCUUGAUGACAGUCGUAGCAGCCACUUUUGGAGCAUUUUAUGAAGCUCAAAUGAUGCAUGCUAUAUACCAUUUCAAAGCUCAGGAAGUCAACAAUCCAAUUCUUCAAACGGUGUGCAAUUUCGAGUUGAAACGAAGAAGUUGCAGCCGUUACAAGCCAAUCACUCCGAGCUGAAGGAAGCAUUUUGCAAAGUGCUGCGAAAUCACCCAUUUGUUGCAAAGUGAUUUCGCAGCCUUUUUGAACAGUGUGAUGUUUCUCCUUCUGACGAUGCCCGACAUAUACCGUGAGAGGGAAGCUAGGAACCUCAAGGUGGGAGCCAACUUCGCAGCCCUGCGAGUUUAACUUGUUGAUGCGAAAAUAUUUCGCAGCCCUCUUGAGUGUCUGCGAAAUCUCGCAGACACCAUUUUUCUCUUGCGAAAUGGUUCCUGAAGCCUCCUGAUAUUUGCUACCGACAUUGGGAGAUAUUUUCCAUUAGAUUUUUGUUGUCUAAAUCCCAAAGUACUCCUUGUAAACCACCAAUUACAUGAUUCCUUAGCUUUUAAGUUAGUAAAAAGACUAAAUAUCUAUGUAAUAAUUAGUUUUAUAUUAUGUUCAUAUAUAUACCUCUCGGGAGCCUGUUCUCAGGGAGGAGUUCCUUCUAUAAAAGUUUGGGUAAGCAAGUAAAGUUUAUUUCUUUCUAUUGCUUUACCUUCUCACUUUGUAUUUUCAUUUUCUUACUAAGUUAUGAAUUCUCUGAGGAGUUUUUCCCAGAGAAUGAGUAACUAAACCUCUAAUUCCUUGGAGCUAAGGUUGCCAGGGAAGGUUCCAAGUGCAAGAAUGCAAGGCUUUGUGGUUUUAGCUAUUAAUGAAGAGGAAGUGAAAUCCUUUAAUGAUUUCUAUGUUUUUAGUUAACUUAAAACACCUUAGAGUCACCUGGGCCAACACUUGGUAAGGCAUGUGAUUUCCAACCAAGGAAAUGCACUAGUUUACCCCUUACGAGCCUCUGGGAGGUGACUUUAGGGUAGGAUUUUCUAGAAUAGCCAACACUUGGUAAGCUUUUGGACUCCUAAGAGACAUCCAUUAGUUAUCUCUUGCGAGCUUUUGACGGGUAAUCCAAGGUUAAAGAUCACCUUGAAUGGUUGAGGCUUAGUGAGAGGCUUAAACCAUUGCAAGUUGCAUCAGUGAGAGAAUUAAAGUGAAAUCUAAUUGAAGGAGUCUCUGUACAACACCGGUUAGAGAAUUGACUAUAUGUUGAAUCUCUAACGCGAGGAAAUGAACCAUCUGACCAGAGCCGUGUCUUUUGCAUGAGGAACCACCCCAGUGAACCUAACUCUCCAGGGAAUGCUUUUCUUCCUAAAUUAUUCCAAACUUCUGUUGUGUUAGUUAGUUUAAGUCUAAACCUUUACCAAUCAAAGCUUGUGUUUUACUUGUUAAGCUAACCAUGAAAUGAAACAAAACCAAUUCACUUGGAAUUGGUAUCAUUGAUAGCUUGCUAAUCCUUCCCAGUGAACGAUCCUAGAGCCGCUAUACUAUAGUAGCUUUUUCUUUGCUACCCUAUUAUAUGGUGUUAUAGGUUAUAAAUUUUGUUGAUUACUCCCUCAAUCAAGGAGCACCAGCUGGACACGAAUCAGCUGAGACACCAAUUAGGCACGAAUCAAAUGGCGCCGUUGCCGGGGAUCGAACCCCGAAUCAGAUGGUGCCAUUGCCACUUCCGCUGCUAGGGACGAAUCAAAUGGUGCCGUUGCCGGGGAAUGAGUGUCAAGUUUAUAUUGAUACCAUUUUUGAGCACUUGUGAUUUUCAUCACAAGUUGGUAAAGUUUCUUUCACUUUACUAAUUCUCAUUCUUUCUUUAUUUAUUCAUAAUCUAAGUUUAUCUUUUAAAAUUUAGCCUAGUUUAAUUUUGUUGUUGUAGCCCUGUUUUUCUUGUUGUCCUCUGUUUUCAUUUUUUGUUGCAGAUUGAUACUAGUUGUGUAUGCCAAAGUGGAUACGAGACAUUGGAGGCAGGCUUGUUAAGUGUGAUACACCUCAGAGAAGAGAAUUCGAAGUGAUCUUGAAUAUCAUGGAAGCUACACCUGAAGAUCAACAUAGUCACCAAGGUCGUCAAGAUAAUCUUAAUGAAUUCAGAUCAAUGAGGGAUCGUAUGCAUCCACCUCGUAUGAGUGCACCAUCAUGUAUAGUGCCCCCUACAGAGCAGCUAGUGAUCAGACCGUAUCUUGUUCCACUUCUACCAACUUUCCAUGGAAUGGAAAGUGAGAAUCCGUAUGCACACAUCAAGGAAUUUGAAGAUGUUUGUAAUACAUUCCAAGAGGGAGGAGCUUUAAUUGAUUUGAUGAGGCUUAAGUUAUUUCCUUUUACUUUAAAGGAUAAGGCCAAAAUUUGGCUUAAUUCUUUAAGGCCAAGGAGUAUCCGCUCUUGGAUUGAUUUACAAGCUGAAUUCCUUAAGAAAUUUUUUCCCACUCAUAGAACAAAUGACUUGAAAAGGCAAAUUUCAAACUUCUCAGCUAAAGAGAAUGAGAAAUUCUAUGAGUGUUGGGAAAGAUACAUGGAAGCUAUAAAUGCUUGUCCUCACCAUGGCUUUGAUACUUGGCUAUUGGUGAGCUAUUUUUAUGAUGGUAUGUCCUCCUCAAUGAAGCAACUCCUCGAGACAAUGUGUGGAGGAGAUUUCAUGAGCAAAAAUCCAGAGGAAGCUAUGGAUUUCUUGAGCUAUGUAGCUGAUGUUUCAAGGGGAUGGGAUGAACCAACCAAAGGAGAAGUGGGAAAGAUGAAGUCUCAGUUGAAUGCUUACAAUGCAAAGGCUGGGAUGUAUACCUUGAAAGAAGAUGAUGAUGUGAAAGCAAAGUUGGCAGCUAUGACAAGAAGAUUGGAGGAGCUGGAGCUGAAAAGAAUACAUGAAGUGCAAGCUGUUGCUGAAGCACCAGUGCAAGUGAAGUUGUGUCCCAAUUGUCAAUCAUAUGAACAUUUGGUGGAGGAAUGCCCUGCAAUUUCAGCUGAAAGGGAAAUGUAUAGAGAUCAAGCAAAUGUUGUUAGACAAUUCAGGCCUAAUAACAAUGCGCCUUAUGGAAAUACCUACAACUCAAGUUGGAGGAAUCAUCCAAAUUUCUCAUGGAAGGCCAGAGCAACUCAGUACCAACAGCCGGAUCCACCAUCUCAACAAUCUUCAAGUAUUGAACAAGCAAUAGCCAAUCUCACUAAGGUAGUGGGAGAUUUUAUUGGAAAGCAAGAAGCCACCAAUGCUCGAGUCGAUCAAAGAAUUGAUAGAGUGGAGAGUAUGUUGAAUAAAAGGAUGGAUGGAAUGCAAAAUGAUAUGAACCAAAAGUUUGAUAACAUCCAGUAUUCAAUUUCAAGGCUCACAAAUUUGAAUACACUGCAAGAAAAGGGAAGAUUUCCUUCUCAACCUCACCAAAACCCCAAAGGUGUCCAUGAAGUGGAAAGCCAAGAGGGAGAAUCAUCACAAAUGAAAGAAGUUAAAGCCUUGAUCACUCUAAGGAGUGGUAAAAAAAUUGAGCAGCCAACACCCAAGCCACAUGUUGAGAAAGAAGAAGAGAUAAAGAAAGGGAAGGAAAUGGAAGAUAAAGAGAGUGAGAUCAAUGAAGAAAAGAAGGACUCUGAUUCAACAAGGAAAGUAAUUCCAGAGAAGGAGCUUCUGAAGGAAGAAAUGCUGAAGAAAUCAACUUCUCCACCUUUUCCUCAAGCAUUACAUGGGAAAAAGGGGAUUAGAAAUGCAGCUGAAAUCCUUGAAGUAUUGAGACAAGUGAAAGUCAAUAUUCCACUGCUGGAUAUGAUUAAACAAGUUCCAACGUAUGCAAAAUUCCUAAAGGACUUGUGUACUAUCAAGAAAGGGUUAACUGUAAACAAGAAAGCCUUCUUGACUGAGCAAGUAAGUGCAAUCUUACAGUGUAAGUCUCCUUUGAAGUACAAAGACCCUGGAAGUCCUACCAUUUCAGUCAUGAUUGGAGGAAAGGUAGUGGAAAAAGCCUUGCUAGAUUUGGGAGCAAGUGUGAAUUUGCUUCCAUAUUCCGUCUACAAGCAAUUGGGACUUGGAGAGUUGAAGCCAACAACAAUCACUCUAUCUCUGGCAGAUAGAUCAGUGAAAAUUCCAAGAGGGGUAAUUGAGGAUGUAUUGGUUCAAGUAGAUAAUUUCUACUAUCCAGUAGAUUUUAUUGUUCUUGAUACAGAUCCUACUAUAAAGGAAGCUAAUUUAGUUCCUAUCAUCCUUGGAAGGCCAUUUCUUGCAACUUCAAAUGCAAUCAUCAACUGCAGGAAUGGGCUUAUGCAACUCGCUUUUGGUAACAUGACACUGGAUCUCAAUAUUUUCUAUAUGUCUAAAAAGCAAAUCACUCCGAAAGAAGAAGAAGGACCAGAAGAGUUAUGUAUUAUUGACACUCUGGUGGAGGAGCACUGUAAUCAAAAUAUGCAAGACAAGUUGAAUAAAAGUCUUGUGAAUUUUGAGGAAGGUUUGUCUGAAUCUCCUAUUGGGCUUGCUACUCUACAAAGUUGGAGAAAGAUAGAAGAAAUUCUACCUUUGUUCAAUAAAGAAGAGGAGGCAGCUGUUGAAAAAGAAAUUCCAAAACUCAAUCUGAAGCCUUUACCUGAGGAGCUGAAAUAUAUAUAUCUUGAGGAAAAUAAUCAAUGUCCUGUUGUGAUAUCUUCAUCUCUGACCAGUCAUCAAGAGAAAUGUUUAAUGGAAGUUCUCAAGAAGUGUAAGAAGGCAAUAGGAUGGCAAAUAUCUGACUUGAAAGGCAUUAGUCCUUUAGUUUGUACUCAUCAUAUAUAUAUGGAGGAGGAAGCAAAGCCAAUUCGUCAAUUUCAAAGAAGGUUGAAUCCUCAUCUACAAGAGGUGGUGCGAGCUGAGGUGCUGAAGCUACUUCAAGCAGGAAUCAUUUACCCUAUAUCUGAUAGCCCUUGGGUGAGUCCUACUCAAGUGGUACCAAAGAAGUCAGGGAUCACAGUGGUUCAAAAUGAAAAAGGGGAAGAAGUUACUACACGCCUCACUUCAGGUUGGAGGGUGUGUAUUGAUUAUAGAAAGCUGAAUGUUGUAACCAGGAAAGAUCAUUUUCCAUUGCCAUUUAUUGAUCAAGUGCUGGAGAGAGUCUCUGGACAUCCAUUUUAUUUUUUUUUUGGAUGGGUAUUCAGGGUAUUUUCAUAUUGAAAUUGAUUUGGCAGAUCAGGAAAAGACCACUUUUACAUGUCCAUUUGGAACAUAUGCUUAUAGGAGAAUGCCUUUUGGUUUAUGCAAUGCACCUGCUACAUUUCAAAGAUGUAUGUUGAGUAUUUUCAGUGAUAUGGUGGAGCGAAUUAUGGAGGUUUUCAUGGAUGACAUCACCGUAUAUGGAGGUACAUUUGAGGAAUGCUUGGUUAAUUUGGUAGCAGUUCUUCACAGAUGCAUUGAAAAAGAUCUGGUGCUCAACUGGGAGAAAUGCCAUUUUAUGGUACAUCAAGGAAUUGUCCUUGGCCAUAUCAUCUCUGAAAAAGGCAUUGAAGUUGAUAAAGCAAAGGUGGAGCUUAUUGUCAAAUUACCAUCCCCAACAACUGUAAAAGGAGUAAGGCAGUUCCUUGGCCAUGCAGGGUUCUAUAGGAGGUUUAUAAAAAGUUUUUCAAGUCUUUCAAAACCUCUUUGUGAGCUGUUAGCUAAGGAUGCUAAGUUUAUAUGGGAUGAAAGGUGUCAAAAUAGCUUUGAUCAACUGAAGAAAUUUUUAACAACAACUCCAAUACUAAGAGCCCCUAACUGGCAAUUACCUUUUGAACUGAUGUGUGAUGCCAGUGACUUUGCUAUAGGAGCUGUGCUUGGCCAAAGAGAAUAUGGGAAGCCCUAUGUGAUUUACUAUGCAAGUAAAACACUGAAUGAAGCUCAAAGGAACUACACAACUACAGAGAAAGAAUUGUUAGCUGUGGUAUUUGCUUUGGACAAAUUUCGUGCUUAUUUAGUGGGGUCUUUCAUCAUUGUCUUUACUGACCAUUCAGCCUUGAAGUAUUUAUUGACAAAUCAAGAUGCAAAAGCAAGGUUGAUUAGAUGGAUUCUUUUGUUACAAGAAUUCGAUCUUCAAAUCAAAGAUAAGAAAGGAGUGGAGAAUGUGGUAGCUGACCACCUUUCAAGGUUAGUUAUAGCACAUAAUUCCCAUCCCUUGCCUUUUAAUGAUGAUUUUCCUGAAGAAUCACUCAUGUUCCUAGUGAAAACUCCUUGGUAUGCUCAUAUUGCUAAUUAUUUAGUAACUGGUGAAAUUCCAAGUGAGUGGAAUGCACAGGACAGGAAGCACUUCUUUGCCAAAAUUCAUUCUUAUUAUUGGGAAGAGCCCUUUCUCUUUAAGUAUUGUGCAGAUCAGAUUAUUAGGAAAUGUGUCCCUGAAGAUGAGCAGCAAGGGAUUCUAUCUCAUUGUCAUGAGAAUGCAUGUGGAGGCCACUUUGCCUCUCAGAAAACAACCAUGAAGGUAUUGCAAUCAGGGUUUACUUGGCCAUCUCUUUUUAAAGAUGCCCACAACAUGUGUAGGAAUUGUGAUAGAUGCCAAAGACUUGGAAAGCUAACAAAAAGAAUCAAAUGCCUAUGAGCCCCAUUCUAAUAGUUGAGCUAUUUCAUGUAUGGGGCAUUGACUUUAUGGGACCUUUCUCAAUGUCUUUUGGUAAUUCUUACAUCUUGGUGGGGGUAGAUUAUGUUUCUAAAUGGGUUGAGGCAAUCCCCUGUAAACAAAAUGAUCACAGGGUGGUUCUCAAGUUUCUUAAAGAGAACAUUUUCUCAAGAUUUGGGGUGCCCAAAGCCAUAAUCAGUGAUGGAGGUGCUCAUUUUUGCAACAAACCUUUUAAAGCUCUGUUAUCCAAGUAUGGAGUGAAGCAUAAGGUGGCUACACCUUAUCAUCCUCAGACUUCCGGGCAAGUUGAGCUAGCUAACAGGGAAAUAAAGAACAUCUUGAUGAAAGUGGUGAAUUCCAAUAGAAAGGAUUGGUCUAUUAGGCUUCAUGAUUCAUUGUGGGCAUAUAGAACAGCUUAUAAGACUAUUCUUGGGAUGUCUCCCUAUCGUCUUGUCUAUGGUAAAGCAUGCCAUCUCCCUGUGGAAGUUGAAUACAAAGCUUGGUGGGCAAUAAAGAAGUUGAAUAUGGACUUGAUCAAGGCAGGAGAAAAGAGAUAUCUAGACCUUAAUGAGAUGGAGGAAUUAAGAAAUAAUGCUUAUAUCAAUUCCAAAGUUGCAAAACAGAGGAUGAAGAAGUGGCAUGACCAACUCAUCUCCAACAAGGAAUUUCAGGAAGGGCAAAGAGUUUUACUGUAUGACACAAGACUCCAUAUCUUUCUUGGGAAGCUCAAGUCAAGGUGGAUAGGGCCGUUCAUUAUUCACCGAGUAUGUUCCAAUGGAGUGGUGGAAUUAUUGAAUUCCAAUGGCAAGGACAGCUUUAGAGUCAAUGGAUAUCGUCUCAAGCCAUUCAUGGAGCCAUUCAAACCAGAAAAGGAGGAGAUCAACCUCCUUGAACCUCAAAAAGCAUAAGCGAAAAAGGGUUUGCUGGACGUGGUUUACCACAGUCCAAAUUUUUUUGUAAAUUUUGUAAAUUUUCAAGUUGUUUCCAUACUUUUGAUCUUAGUUUUUGAUCUUAAAUCAUGUUUUUAUGUGUAUUUUAAUCUUUUUGAAUGAUCCCAGGUGGAAGAAAUUUCAAGGAGAUUGAAAGAAAAAAAAUCGGGAAGAAAUCGGAGCAAAAAUAGAGUAAAAACAGAGGAAAAACAGAGCUCUGCGAAAUUUCGCAGAGUGAAGGAAACUUCUGCGAAAUGAGCACUAUGCUGCAAAACCAUUCCGCAACACUGUAGAAGUCUCUGCGAGGGUAUUUCGCAACUGCGAAGGCGUUCUUGGCACACGAGUGCCACUUCGCAGCACAGGAACUCUCAUUUCGCAGCUACGAAACGCACUGCAAAGUUACUGCGAAAAUGGCAUUUUGCUACGAAAUUUGCGUUUUGUUGCAAAACUUAAACUGACCCUUAGGCUUCCGUUUUUCCUAUUUAUACCGGUCAUUUGAGCUGCGAAAAGGGUUUCAAAAAUCAGAGCGCCAUUCUCGCAAGCUGUUCGUCUUCUUCAGUGAGCCACGCCGACCAAGCCUCCGGUCAUCUUCUCCGAUCAGCAAUGUCGGCCAAAGUUCGGUAUCCCGAAAUGGCGCGAACACAAGGGGCUAAGUCUUCGUCUCCUUCGAAUCGCAAGAGGAGUCUGCGAAAGGAGCCAGUUUCAGAUCCUGCUCCUCAACCUUUGCAGCCGAAAACAAUCCCUCCUCCAAUGAAGCCAGCGCUGCCAAAGCCUCCGGUGAAGCCCGCACCGCCAAAACCUCUGGCAAAACGAUACCUUACCAGGUCAGGGGGUCGGCCACUGUAGAAGAAGCCCAGGGUUGAGAGCUCAGAACCCAUCGAUUUGACUGAGCAAUCUCCAGAGCCUUCACCAAUUCCAACUCCAGUGCCGUCUCCAGUUCCCUCGCCGAUUCCAAUGCCAGUUCUGUCUCCGGUGUCAUCUCCGGCGCCGAAAGAAAAAUCUCAGGAGCCUCAAGCGCCAAUUCCUGAGCCCCAAAUUCCAUCCGAAACAGCUCUGGAAGAAGUAAUUAGGCGGCCAAUGCUUCAUCAGCCACCAAUUGAGGGAAACUUGGAUUGUAGAACUCGGCCAUUCCAUUCCGAGCUAUGCUUCGACUUACCGGCAUUCAGAGUGAGGCCAGAGCUUGCCCAAUCAUUCCAGCUAUUGAGGAGGUAUCACAUGGAGCACUUGCUGACUCCAAGAGAUUUUUUCUAUCCCCGGAUAGCCACGGAUUUCUAUCAAUCCAUGACAACCAAAGAGGUUAGGAAUCCAACCUUGAUUCAUUUCACUAUCGAUGGGAGACAUGGCAUAUUGGGAGCAUGACAUAUUGCUGAAGCCCUGCAAAUUCCCUUUGAGCCAACCCAAUUCGAUAAUUUUAGAGCUUGGGCAAAUCCUACUGAGCUGGAGAUGGUGCGCACCCUUUCCAGAGGAGCUGCAAAUCGAUCACAUCUGCUGAGGGGGGAGCUUCCUCCAGUUAUGUUUUUGAUUGAUGCAUUUUUACGUCAUAAUAUCUAUCCAUUGCAGCAUUGGACCCAAAGAAGGGGAGUCCUCCUAGAAGCUCUUUACAAGAUGUCAGAAGGAUUUUUCUUUGGGCCUCAUCAUCUGAUCCUAGCAGCCCUUCUCUAUUUCGAAGAGAAGGUUCACAGAAAGAAGCUUCAGAGAGCUGAUUGCAUUCCCCUCCUCUUUCCAAGGCUGCUAUGCCAAAUUUUGGAGCAUCUGGGAUGCCCUUCUAAGCCUCAGCUGGAGAGAAAGCGAAUUUUCCGUGAACCAUUCACUCUUGAUAAAUGGAACAAUAUGACGGCCUACAAAGUUGAUCAGCCUGAGCAGCCUCAGCCAGCUGCAAGAAGAGCAUCCCCAAGACAUAUACCUGAAGGUAUAACAGUUGCUGCUCCUGCCAUUCCUAGAGCUCCACCAGCUGCACCAGCUUCAUCUCAGCCAUCCACAUCAGCUGAGCCGAGGAUGGCCAUUCCUAUAUCUGAAUAUAGAGAGUUGUGUCGUGCAUUGGAGACUCUCACAGCUUCUCAUAGCAGUCUUGCUCAGGAGAUGGCAACCAUUAGAGCAUGCCAAGAGCAAAUGUUGGCCACUCAGGCUCAACAAGCUGCCAUCUUAAGGCAGCUCCAGCUUCAUUUCAAUCUGCCACAAGCUGUAGAGCCCUCCACUGAUACACCACCAGAGCCACACUCUCAUCCUUCAGAGUCUCAUCCUCCAGAGCCCCAAGCCCCAGUUGAUGCACCUACUGAAGAGGCAGAUCCUUCUGCCUAGUCCCAGCACCACCCCACUCAUCAGACUAUAUUAUAUAUCUAAUAUUUUUAUGUAUUUCGUUUUUUUAGUUGAAAAGAAGUCCCAGUAUUUUGGUACUAUAUUUGGGAUUCCUUGUGUUACUUAUCUUUUGCAUUGUAAUCAAAUGAAUUUAAAGUAAUACAAGUUGAAUAUUUCUUGUUAACAGUUAGCAUUAAGUUGUCUUUAUUUCCUUUUCUCACAUAUUCUAUUCUUUUUUAAACAUGUGGUUUUCCCCAAUCAAUAUUCGAAUUUGAUAUCAACAAGGAGGUACCACUUCCUCCCUUUAAUUACAGUCACUCAUAUCACAUUGAGGACAAUGCUUAAUUCGGUUGGGGGGAAUGAGGAAGGAAGUAUGCUAAAUCUUUUUGGUAAUGCAAUUAUUUUGGUAAAUUAGUUGUAAUUUUUACUUUUUACUCUUGUUACUCUAAUCUCCAUGAAUUUUGAGGAAAAAUUUUCAAAUUAAACCAAGAGAAAUUGAACUGUUGUUUUUCACUUGACUUAGAGUAUGGAUUAUGCUUACUAAAGUGGUUCAAUUGUUUAAACUUCUAUUGAAAUUGAAUUUAGUUCUUCCACUUUAAGCUAUCCACACACUGUGCACAUUAGAUUCCGAUUAUAAGAUGAAAAUCUAUUUCCCUCUUGACUUAAGAUAAUUUUGGGACUUGGUAUAUUUGACCUCAUUUGAUAAAAUUGAAACACCCUGCAAAAGGCUAAUGAGCCUUUGAAAUAAAGAAAGUUGUUUGCUUGCCUUGAAACCUGAGCAAGGUCUGAGGGGUAUAUGGUGAAAGCCUUUAAAGCCUGGUGCCCUAAGCCUUAAUUGGUUGGGAGUCAUCGACCUCAAUGCUCGUUACAAGGGUGAAUAGGUAGAGUUAACAUAUGGUAAAUGCUUGGGUAUUAGAAAUUCAUUCUUAAAAGUCUAGGGAAAAAUCCGAGGAGUUAGUGGUUGAAAGAUCCUUAAAGCUUGGUGCCCUAAAUCUUAAAUGGUUGGGAGUCAUCGAUGGACCCCCAUAACAUGGACAAGUCAGAAAAAGUACCACAUAAAGCUACCUUAAAAAAAAAAAUAAAAAAAUAAAAAAAAAUGAUGAAAGUGUGUUCUUUUCUUAUUGAUUUUGGUCAGUUUGCUAAGUGUUGAAAAGAGAUAGGUUGGGGGGAGAGAUUAGUUUAGCAUAUUAUUCUCGGAAGCUAAGGAACCAAUACACAUAGAUUUUUGUGGAAGAUUAAAGUUUGGUUCUUAGAAAGUGGAAAUGACUUUAAAACUUCAGUUUGCAUAAUGCACUCCCUUGAUUGACAGUGUUUAGCAUAGUUUGUUAUAACUCUUGUUGAAAUUUGGGUUUGUAUUUCUUUAAUGUUUCAUGUGAGAAUUAGAUCAUCAUGCCACUUGAGAAUUGAUUUUGAUCAGCAUGAUGUGGUAAAUUUUAAUAUAGGUUGCUUUUUAUUUUCAUUGUUCUCUCCUAUUUUGCUAAGGGACUAGCAAUAUGUCGGUUGGGGGGAGUGAUUACUACUCAAAAAGUGCUAUUUGAUAGCCUAUAAUAAAUCCUUUUAAACACUUUUGAGUAGUAGUUUAGGCCUUUUAACUCAAUUGGCAUGUUAAGGACCCUUGAAAGGGAUUUUAAUCACUUUGUGUAAGUUUUGGUGUUUUUGUUAGUAAUUUAAUCACCAAAGCAAGUCAAGACUGAGGAGAGAUAUGAGGAAUCUUGGGCAAAGCUUAGAAGUCAUUUUCCAAGAGUAAAUCCGGAUUGCAAGGAGAAAAAGUAAAGAGAAUCUGCCAUGAAGCCUAUUCUUGAUGACAGUCGUAGCAGCCACUUUUGGAGCAUUUUAUGAAGCUCAAAUGAUGCAUGCUAUAUACCAUUUCAAAGCUCAGGAAGUCAACAAUCCAAUGCUUCAAACGGUGUGCAAUUCGGAGUUGAAACGAAGAAGUUGCAGCCGUUACAAGCCAAUCACUUCGAGCUGAAGGAAGCAUUUUGCAAAGUGCUGCGAAAUCACCCUUUUGUUGCGAAGUGAUUUCGCAGCCUUUUUGAACAGUCUGAUGUUUCUCCUUCUGACGAUGCCCGACAUAUACCGCGAGAGGGAAGCUAGGAACCUCAAGGUGGGAGCCAACUUCGCAGCCCUGCGAGUUUAACUUGUUGAUGCGAAAAUAUUUCGCAGCCCUCUUGAGUGUCUGCGAAAUCUCGCAGACACCAUUUUUCUCCUGCGAAAUGGUUCCUGAAGCCUCCCGAUAUUUGCUACCGACAUUGGGAGAUAUUUUCCAUUAGAUUUUUGUUGUCUAAAUCCCAAAGUACUCCUUGUAAACCACCAAUUACAUGAUUCCUUAGCUUUUAAGUUAGUAAAAAGACUAAAUAUCUAUGUAAUAAUUAGUUUUAUAUUAUGUUCAUAUAUAUACCUCUCGGGAGCCUGUUCUCAGGGAGGAGUUCCUUCUGUAAAAGUUUGGGUAAGCAAGUAAAGUUUAUUUCUUUCUAUUGCUUUACCUUCUCACUUUGUAUUUUCAUUUUCUUACUAAGUUAUGAAUUCUCUGAGGAGUUUUUCCCAGAGAAUGAGUAACUAAACCUCUAAUUCCUUGGAGCUAAGGUUGCCAGGGAAGGUUCCAAGUGCAAGAAUGCAAGGCUUUGUGGUUUUAGCUAUUAAUGAAGAGGAAGUGAAAUCCUUUAAUGAUUUCUAUGUUUUUAGUUAACUUAAAACACCUUAGAGUCACCUGGGCCAACACUUGGUAAGGCAUGUGAUUUCCAACCAAGGAAAUGCACUAGUUUACCCCUUACGAGCCUCUGGGAGGUGACUUUAGGGUAGGAUUUUCUAGAAUAGCCAACACUUGGUAAGCUUUUAGACUCCUAGGAGACAUCCAUUAGUUAUCUCUUGCGAGCUUUUGACGGGUAAUCCAAGGUUAAAGAUCACCUUGAAUGGUUGAGGCUUAGUGAGAGGCUUAAACCAUUGCAAGUUGCAUCAGUGAGAGAAUUAAAGUGAAAUCUAAUUGAAGGAGUCUCUGUACAACACCGGUUAGAGAAUUGACUAUAUGUUGAAUCUCUAACGCGAGGAAAUGAACCAUCUGACCAGAGCCGUGUCUUUUGCAUGAGGAACCACCCCAGUGAACCUAACUCUCCAAGGAAUGCUUUUCUUCCUAAAUUAUUCCAAACUUCUGUUGUGUUAGUUAGUUUAAGUCUAAACCUUUACCAAUCAAAGCUUGUGUUUUACUUCUUAAGCUAACCAUGAAAUGAAACAAAACCAAUUCACUUGGAAUUGGUAUCAUUGAUAGCUUGCUAAUCCUUCCCAGUGAACGAUCCUAGAGCCGCUAUACUAUAGUAGCUUUUUCUUUGCUACCCUAUUAUAUGGUGUUAUAGGUUAUAAAUUUUUUUGAUUACUCCCUCAAUCAAGGAGCACCAGUUGGACACAAAUCAGCUGAGACACCAAUUGGGCACGAAUCAGCCCAUCUAGGCACAUUUGGCUCAUUUAGGAUCAUAGGCUAAUUUAGGCACAUUCGACCCAUUUAGGUUGCCUUGACCCAUUUAGAAACACCCAAGCCUAUUUAGGUCACUUAGGCCUACUUAGGCACACCUUGCCCUAUUUAGGUCACUUAGGCCCAUUUAGGCACAUUCGACCCAUUUUGGAUCACCUUGACCCAUUUAGGCAUAUUUGGCCCAUUUAGGAUCAUCGUGGCCCAUUUAAACACACCCUGACCCAUUUAGGUCAUUUAGGCCCAUUUAGGAGCAUUCGACCUAUUUAAACAUAUUUGGCCCAUUUAGGAUCAUCGUGGCCCAUUUAAACACACCCUGGCCCAUUUAGCUCAUUAAGGCCCAUUUAAGAACACAUUAACCCAUUUAGGUCACUUAGGCCCAUUUAGGUACAUUUCAUCCCCUAGCCCAUUUAGAAACACCCAAGCCCAUUUAGGUGAUUUAGGCCAAUUUAGGCACAUUUGGUCCAUUUAGACACUCUGGGCUCAUUUAGGUUCACGUAGGCCCAUUUAGGCACAUCCGACCCAUUUAAGAUCACCCUAACCCAUUUAGACACAUUCGACCCAUUUAGGAUCGUCUAGGCCCAUUGUAGCACAUUUGGCCCAUUUAUGAUCACCAUGGCACAUUAGGCCCAUUUAGGGUCACUUAGGCCCAUCUAGGCACACGCUAAGCCCAUUUAGGUCACCCGUUGUCUCACUUCUUAUUGCAUGGUUUGCGUGAUUGCAUUGUUGAACUUCCUUGCAGGGCUUGCAUGACACUUUGUUUUUUUUUUUUUUGUUAUUAUUAAUUACUUAUUUAUUUUUAUUUAUUAUCUUGCUAUUUAUUUAUUUAUUAUUUAUCUAUUAUUAUUUCAUUAUUUUCUAAAUUAUUUUUAAUUACUAUUCAUUUGUUCAAUCUAAUUUUUUAGUAUUAUUUUUUUUUGUGUUUUUGUAGGGAAAUUUACCAAAGAGAGCCAACGGAGAUGGAAAUUAAGAAUCACCAAAAUAAAAAAGGAAGAUAAAGGCAAAAGAGAGUAAAACUUACCAAAAGGAGAGGGGCUUGUGAGUUGCAUUAUGAAAGUAUGGAGAACACAUUUUGGGAGGUUUAUCAAAGAGAGAGUCAAUGGAGGUGUAAAGCAAGAAUUACCAAAAUAAAAAAGGAAGACAAAGCGAGAGAGAGAGUAAAACUUACCAAGAGAAGAGGGGAUUGAGGGUUGCAUUAUGAAAAUAUGGAGAACAUGUUUUGGUAACUGAGAAAUUCAGCAUAUGGAGGUUUUGGAGUAAGGAGAUGAAGGAUUUGGUCAAGGUGGAAUUUUAAGAAAAAAGGAUAUUCAAUGUGGUAGGAAGGAAUGUUUAGCAUAUUAAGGAAGAAUGUGGGGAUUGGUAGGGGGGAAGAAGAACAACUGCAAUUUUUCUUUUUUCUUUUUUGGUAGAGAGAACACUUUGGCAAAUUUUUGGGAGGUUCAACGUGCAUGUACAAUAAGAUCUCUUGAAAGAGAACCUAUAGAAGAGGGCACAAAUUAUUUUUGGAGACAAUUAGUUGCAUCUUAAAAGGGAAUUGAAGGAAAAUAUUGAUGAUGAUAUUGAUUUUAUUAGUUUCCAAAAUAUUGAUAUUAGUUUCAUGAAUAUGGAUGUUUUAGUUUAGAUAGAUAUUGAUGUUUUAGUUUUGAAAAUAUUGAUGUUUGCUUAGAUGUUUUGAUUCAGAUAAAUUUUGACAUUUUAGUUUUGAUAAAUAUUGAAUUCUUGGAUGUGUUUGCAUGUUGGUUAUAUUUUUAAAUAAAAAUUCUCAGAACGUUAGUCAUCCGAGAAAAUAAAAAUAAUAUAAGAAAAAAGCAAAGUUGUUGCCUUUUUUUUUUUUUUUUUGGCCUGUAUUAAUUUUAUUUUUAAAUUUCAUUGGAUGAUUAGUUGGGGUAUAAUUCACAUGUUAUUUUUAUUGGAUGAUUAGUUUGGUUAUAAUUCACAUGGUGGUAUUAAUUUAAAAAUUCAUUGGAUGAUUAUUUUGAGCAUAAUUUUUGUAAAAUUUAUUGGAUGAUUGGUUUGUAUAAUUUUAAUGUUAGUAGAUUUUAAAAAUUUAUGGAAUGAUUGUUAGGUUAAAUUCCCAUGUUGAAUGUGUUUUAAAAAUUCGUUAAAAAAAUUAAAUACAAAUUCUUUUUUUAUUUAUUAAUUAAAUAAAAUUAAAUGAUUGGCUAUAAAUUAAAUAUUUACAAAUGAUUCCUCAGAAUGGGAAACGAAAGGCUAUAAAUGAUUGGCAGCUUAGAAACCUCAACAAGCCCAUCUCUAAAACCUUUCUAAAAUAAGAAAGUCAUCCAAGAAGAUAAAAAUAAUAUAAGAAAAAGGCAAAGUUGCUGCCUUUUUUUUUUUUUUUGGGCUGUAUUUAUUUAUUAAUUUAUUUUUGUCAAUCUCCUACAGAAGGUGGCAGAGAAAGGUAGAGAGGAGUUAUUAGAGUUACAGACGAAUAAUCAGUUUCAAUGCUAUUGUCUUCUUGUUGUAAGGGUAAAAUAAGAGGCAAACAAAUUAAUGAAUUCAUUAUCUUAGCUUUCUAUUGAAAUGCCUUCCAAGAAAUGUUUUGAAAGGUUUUGAGAGCUUUGAGUUUAGUCUAGAAUAAUGGUAGUAUAUUUCAGUGAAUAUGCAUUCUAAAAAAAUAUAUACCUUUAGCAUAUACCAAGAUAUCCAGUAACAACCAAUCAAAACAAAAUCACUCUUCUUGGAAAACAUGGAUGUUCGAGUACCCAGCUCUUUUCUUUAAUUGUGCUUUCUUCUUUUUGUGCCAACAUCUGCUCUCUCUCCAGCAUGCCAGUGUGCGUCCCAGCCAGCUCUUUUGUGCUUUAAAUGAAUUGAAUACUUGAUCUUAUUCUGCCAUUGUUUUGGCUCAAACCUAAGAAGUAUAUUUACCCUAACUUCUUUUCAUGUCUUCAACUUACUCAAAGGCUCACAAGUCCCAUUGGAAGUAAGCAGUUAAGGAUUUUUGAACUAAAAUUAUCAAACAUAGUCUAAUAGGUUAUACUCUUUUCAACAGUUUAAAUUGUUUUUGUUGAUAGAUUAUUUGAUUUUUCUCCUAGCUGGCCCAGUUGUUUAUUUCAAAGUGCAGUUUAGAACAACUUUCAACAUUUGAAUAAGGAAAAGAAAAUAUAUAGAUGAAUUGACUGAUUCAAAGGGCAUAUUACAGUCAGUCUGGUCACCUACAUUAUUAAUGAAAUUAUUGACGCAGAAUAACAGGGCGGAUGACUUCAAAUGGAUACACUGAGGUCUAUCUGUGCGUGUUAGGCAUUCAUGAACCUGUUUUCUUCGGUCAAAGAGCAGCCAUUACAAGGAAAAAACAUGGCGAAAAUUAAGUGAAGUAUGACUUCUGGAAGAUUUAUCACCUUCGUAAAUGAAGUGAGAGUUUUGACCGAAUUGAAGUAAAAAAAUUAAAUGCAACGGCCGGACCGGCUCCAACUAUUAAGAUUAUAAGUGCCACACAGAAAGAACAGAAAGAACGGUCCUAGUAAAUGAAGUAUAAAGACAUGUAAACAUAAAAUUGUCCAGGUAAAUGAAGACAUGCAAUGAAGAAGAAAUCUGUUGCAGACUACACAAAUCACAACCACAUAAAUCAACCACCCACCCAUUUUUCAAACUUCCAGCUCUCAUGCACUGGCACAGUUCGGUCCUUUUAAAGAUUAAAGUAGGCAUCUAAAAUUUUAUUGGUUUCAAGAAAUUUGGUGCACCAGGUUCCAAUGAAGAGAAGCUUUUUGUUCUAAAUAUUUAAUAGUAGAUUCCAUUCUUAGCUUACCAAUAUAUAUAAAUUACUCAGGACCUUAAGAAGUUGAUAUUACAAUUUAAACAAUGUUAUAUCAUGUGUAUUAGGAGAGAACCAAUCUCACCCACAAAUCAAGAACACUCAAUUGUCAAUUCUUAAGUUUAUCACUAAUAUAUGUAUACUUAUAUAGUUUAUGUAUCUUUUGGAAAGUCAUGUGUAUAUUUAAAAGAUUAUAGUGUACACCAAUAAUAAUAUACUUUCACCAUUCAUCUAUGCACCUCUUUCUAGUAUCAGAGCAAUUCUACCUCCCAUGAGUUCUUUUUUUCUCCUUCAUCCUAUGUUUCACCAUGGCUGAAGCAAGCUCAACAAGGCUAUCCCACCUUCCCUUACCUACCAAUACCACCGUGAACCUUAACAAUCUCAUUGCCAUCAACACAAUUAGCUAGCCAACUUCCACUCAAGCUCACCCUCACUAACUAUUACUCAUGGAAAACAUAGUUUGGUGCACUGCUCUUUAGAUAUGACUGUAGACCCUCAAUUUUGUCCCUUUAACACAUGUCUUUAAGUUCGUUUUCAGUGCUCCACAAUAGUUCCUUGGUGGCCCAGUACUAUUCAUUACUUACCUUUCUUGAGCCACCUCGAAGACUCUGGUUGAGGGAUUAUCUGACCCCUUAUUAUGACCCUUGGCAGUUUUGAUUUAGACUUAGGUUUUUCCUUCCUUUUUAGGAUAGCAUUUAGGUGCACUUUUAGGAUAGCACACUUAGGCAUUGUCCUAAACAUCCUAGUCUCACUUAGACACUUUUUUUUUUAGACUCACUCAGGUUCGCUAGGUCCACCUAAGCAUCCCAGCCCAUUUGCAUUUUUAAUGCUUGCAUGUACUUGAUCUCUUAUUUAUUUAUUAUUAUUUGGUUAGUUAUUUGUUUUUAUUUAUUUAUUUUAUAGAAUAUUGCAUGAGAUUGAUGAUUAAUUGUGUAAAUUGAUGUCUUAAUUAUUUUUGUGUACCUAUGAUAGACAUAAUGUUUUUAAUUGCAUAAUUUUAAAUUAGUUUUAAUUUUCAAUUUCAUGACCUUUACUAAUUUUAAUUCUUAUUUUUAUUUUGGCAUGAGAUUCGAAUGCACACAUUGGAGAAGAUCCUUGAUGUACACGGCUGCAUAUAUGUGGGAAGAUUCUAUGCAACAUGGAAAGGAGAUUUAAAAUGUUAAAGAAAGGAAAGCAGAUCACUUAUGAAGGAUGGAAAGAAGAUUUUUCUUUUAUUUAUUUUUUUUUUUCUAAAAAAGGGGCUGCCAUUUAUUGGGAAGGAGGAUCACCAAAAUUUUAAAGAAAGGAAAGUAGCUGCCCAUAGAAUAAUAUAUGGAAACUUCCAUACAAAAGGGGGGAUUCUUGGAUGGUCAGAGGGGGAAAGGAGCACGUAUUGGAGGAUGGGAGAAUUCUGAAGGGAGGAGAGAGGAACGUGUAUUGGGAACGCAGGGAGAUACAUAGAAAGCAAGGAGGUUAGGCUAUGAUUUUGAGAGGGCGGGCUGCUGUUUUCAAAGGGAUCAGCCCGUGGAUUUUGAGAGUGAGAGAUUAGUCCGCGGAUUUUUAGAGUGGAGGAUCAGUCCGUUUCAGAGUAGAGGACUGGCUGCUAUUUUUUUAAGAGAUCAGUCUAUGGAUUUUCAGGAUGGUGGACCAAUUCGUUUUAGAGGAGAGGACGGUCUGCUUUUUUUUUAAAAAAGAUCAGUUCGUGGAUUUUGAGAGUGGGAGAUCACUCCGUGAAUUUUUAGAGUGGGGGAUCAGUCCGUUUCAGAGGAGAGGGCAGGCUGCUAUUUUUUUUUAAGAGAUCAGUCCAUGUAUUUUCAGGGUGGAGGAUCAGUCUGUUUCAAAGGAAAGGGCGGGCUGCUAUUUUUUUAAGAGAUCAGUCCAUGGAAUUUAAGAGUGGACGAUUAGUCCAUUUCAGAUGAGAAGGUGGGCUGUUAUUUUUUUUAGAGAUCAGUUCGUGGAUUUUCGAAGUGGAAUUUGGAGGAUCCUCACGCAGCCAUAGAAGGAGUGGGCUGCCACAGAAAUAAAGGGAGAAGAACAGGAAAAAGGAGAGAGAUCAAUCCAUGUUUCAAAGAGAUUAGAGGCUGCUGUUUGGGCAAAGAGCAGUCCGUGUUUUGAAAUGAUUUUGGGGGCUGCUAUUUGGAGGGAUCAAUCCGUGUUUUGAAAGGAAGGGGGCAGCAGCGGCACGAAGGAGAAUUCGGGUGAAAGGAGAAGGAUGGAUUUUCUGGAAUGUGAGAGGGUGCAGCCGCAACACUUUGUGCGAUACCCGAGCAUCUCCGACAACAUCUUAUGGCUGUUGGAGAUUCGCACCAGCUUGUUAAUCCCGCCACCUAAACACCACAGCCGCACCGGAUUUUCAAAGGGAAUUCAUAUCCACGCAGCACUUUGAGGAUUUGCAGCACAUAGGUAUCCACCACACCAUGCAUCCUUGGAAUUUUUUUUUAAUUAAAAAGUCCUACUAGUGGAAAGUAGUCUUCACAUUUUGAAAAGGUAUUUAAAGAAUUUGCUGUGCAAGGGUAUCCACCACACUAUGCAUCAUUGGAAUUGUUUUUUUGUUGUUUUUAUUAAAAAAAAUCCUACUAGUGGAAAAUGACCUUCACGUGUUAAAAAAAAGUAAACUAAUUCAUCCCAUUUCAAUUUUGCUCCAUGAAACAUUCAAUUCAAUUCAUAGUUGUUUAGAAUUUUGGUUAUUUAGUUUAAUUUAUUCCAAUGUCAAUAUAUUCAUGCUAUCAAGUUGUUAAGUUUAGCUUUAAAUUAUUCCUAUUUGGCCUAUGCAUUUUCAAGGUUUAUUUUAUUAGAAAUUCAUGGUUAAUUUAGAUGUUAUUUAUUUAUUUAUUUUUAAUUUUUCUUAUCUAAAUAAAUUAAUUAUUACUGAUUCAUUAUUCUAGUUUGAAGAUUAUGAUUUUUGUUUAAUAUAGUUACAAUUUAUUAUUCUUAGUUUGACAAAUUAAUUUUUUAGUAUUGGUUUGGGCAAUUUUUGUUAAUAAUGGAAAAGUUAAGAUUUUUUAGAGUUUAGGUAAUUUGUUAUGAUAGGUAAAAAUUUAGAAUUUUGAUUAGCAUUAUUUUGGUUCUCAAUUAGGAAAUUCAUAAUUUCUUUUAGUUUAGUUUUAAUCUAUCUUUUAGUUUAGAUGUUAUUAAAAUUCAGUUCAUUAGUUCAAUUGAUUCCAUGUCACAUCUUUUCGUAUCUAAAGGUUGUUAAAUUUAAUUCAUGAUUCAUUCUUUUAGUUUAUUAAUUUUAGAAUUUAAGUUGGUUAAUUUAUUUCAUUCCGCAUUGAUAUAUUCAUGUUUUAAAAUAAAUAAAGAAAAAAAAUUAUUUUAGUUUUGAUUGAUCCUACUUUAGUUGAUAUUCUUUAGAGUUUUAAUUAAUUCGAUUGGUUUCAUAUUGUUUAGUUUAUGUUAAAAUUUUUCAAUUCCAUUUUGCUAUUAAUUCUAUGCUUUCAAAUUGUAGGCUAUUAGUUUAAUCUAUCCCCAUGUUGCCAUUUUGCGUUUAAAAAUAGUUCAUUUUCGUUUUUGAUUAAUUUUAUUUAUUUUAUGUGUUUGUCUUUUUUUUUAUUACUUUCUUAUUUUUUAUUAUUAUUUUUUUUAUUUUUUUAUUUUUUAUUACUCAUUUGUUUAGUUAGUCGAUUAAAUUUAUGACUCCAAAUUGUCAAUAUUAGUUGAUAUGUAUCGUUUGUACUAUUUUAAAGGUCACAUAAUAUUUAGUGCUUGAUUAAGUUUAUCUUAAGAUUAAAUGUUGUUAAAGUUUCAAUGCUUGUAAGAUCUAAGGUUUCAGUUUAUCACUUUGGUCAUCCUUUGUCAAAUUCAAUUUUUAGAGGCUAUCGGAAAAUAGUGAAGAUUAGCCUCCAUUCUCACCUUCAAUUUUCUUGGUUGUCAAAAAUUCUACUUUGUGAUUUUGUUCUCUUUUGUUUUGCUUGGUAUUUUGAUUCAUACACUUUAUUGCUUUCAAAUUAAUUUCUUUUUAUUUUUAAAAUACAACACUAUUCUCAAAAUCUCAUUUUCCUUAAAAAUUCAUUUAGAGUUCUUAGAAUCAAAAUCUCAUUUUUUUAAAAAUAAUGUGCAACCAUGUUUUGAUCGGUUCACAUCUUUCAAAUAAAAUUACAGUUUUGAAUAAAACACGAAUCAAAGCUUGUGGUCCCAAAUAAAUGGGAUAAUUCUAGGCUAAAUUCGUGUAUAUCAAUUGGGGAAUUGGUGAAACCCCUACAUAAGAAAAUCUUUUCAAAAAUUAUUUUCGUUGCCACUUUUGUCACUUGUUGAAAUUAUGUCUAUCUUUUUAUUAGAAAUUGUAUACAAGAUGAGUGUGAUAAUUAUCGUUUUCAUAUACUUUGAUAAUUUCUGCUAUGCUAAUUAGAUAACGAGCAUGCUAGGCUUUCUAUAUUUUAUUAUUUAUCAUCUAACCCCUUACAACUUGAGGAAGCAUGUUACAAAUUAUCUAUGCUAUCCAGGUAUGUCUUCUAUCACCUACUUUCUGAAUUUUGUGAACAUGCUUGUCAUUGUGAAAUAAUACUUAUGUCUAAUAAUGCUCGAAUAUUCUGAUAUACAUGUUUCAUUGCUUGAUUAUUUCUGAUAAAAUACAUGUUGGAUGAUAUAUUGUUUAAAUUAACCAUCGAUGUUUUAUGAUAGCGCUUGAGAAGCCGUCCAGGUAUGCACCCUAACUCUCUUUUAUGGAAAUCUGAUCCUAUUUGGCAUGUUAUUUUUCGAAAUCACCUUAGUCUGUUUAGGUAUCCCCAAUUAAUCAAUUAAUUACCAUUUUACCCCCAACUUUGUUAGUAGAGACCUUUUUAGGGCUUAGAGGGGUGCUACCUCCUAGAGGUACCUUCCCAAUAAGUAACCUGAUCCCCAGACCUAGACUCGGGUUUCUCAAAGACACGCUUUUCCAAAAAUUAUGGAGUCAUUUUUUUUAGGGUUUUAUUUCUUGUUUUAUUUUCCCUUUAAAAAAAAAAUAAAAUAAGUGGCGACUCCAACUGUUUUUCAAAAAAUCAAUUUUUCACAAAAAUAAUAAAAAGCGAGUCUCGCCAAUCGAGUGGGGACGCACGUGAAAAAUGCGGGUCCACAAUGACCUACUUGGCUACAUUGACGGAACAAAGCCAGGACAAACAAAUCUCAAUCCUAACUAUACUUUUUGGACAAGUAGGACAAACUUCUUCUUCUAGGAAUCAUCGGCUCUCUUAUUGGAUUUUAAGGGAAUGGAAACAAAGACUAUCCCAAAAGACACAAACAAAUAACAGAAUGAAUAAAAAGAAAAAAUUAUCGGCUGAGGUGUGACAAACACUAUCCUUGAAAUAGAUCCACCCUCCUCGAAGACAAACUCGGUGCACUAGGGUACCAAUGGUCUACUUCCAGGAUUCAACAGCUAGAUCUCGCCUUGGGUGCACUCUGAAAUCGAGAUGUAUACAACUUGAAUUUUUUAAUAAAUUCCUCCAAUUAGAUGUAUGAAAAUACUCCCUGAAAAACUCUUCAAAAAAAUUCUCUAAAAAAUUUUGUAUCCAAAGUAUAGAGAGGGGUGACCUGCUUUUUUAGGCCACUAACACAAUCUCAAUGGGAAUCUACUUAUAAUUAGAAGAUGACACAAAGUGGAAGGUGAUUCUACUUAUAAAAGGAAUGAGAUUCCACUAGCACAAUUCCAAUAGGACUCUUCCCAAAAAUAUAACACUAAUAGAAUAAAAUAAAAUAUAAAAAAAUAAAAAAAUAAUUCUCAAUAGGACACUUCCCAAAAAUUUAAGACUCAUAGAAUAAAAUAAAAUAAAAUAAAGUUAAUUUCCAAAAAUAAAAAUAGAAAUUAUUUACACUCAUCCUAUAUCUCUCAGCCACAAAGUCAUACUUGUGGUUCAUUGAUGCAAAACUUCCACUAAAGCUUGGCAUCAUUUUUCAAAGCUCUAUGUCAAUCCCUCAUUCUCCAGAACCAUGGGAUUGGUAGAGCAACUCAUUCUUCUCAACCAUGGCUCUUAACCAAUAGUUAACUACCUUGCAACAGUCCAUGAUAUUAUUGAUGAAUUGGACCUUCUUAGAGAAGCCAUUCCAAACCAAUAACUCAUCACUUACGUAUGCAAACAUGUCACCCCUGAAUUCAAUGAAUUGUUGUUGUUAUAUGCACACAAGAUACUAUGAUCACAUUUGAUGAGCUGAAUGAAAAAUUAGUGGAAUAUGAUGCCUUCCUCAUGUAGGAAGAGCUUUGUUCCACUAGCACUCUUGGUACCACUAAAGUCAACAAUACACAAUUUUCAUCUUCCCAUAGUGACAAAAACGCUAGCCAAAAAUAUUUCCCUAGUAGGAAAGGAUACCAAGGCUAACAUCCUCCUCAUUUUGGGAAUCAACACCCCAACAAGAACGCCACUUUGAUUUGCCAAUUCUGUGAGAAGAAAGGUCAUACUACUUGCUAGUGUUACAUGGCUAAGAAAUUGUUCCUUUCAUCCACACUUACUACUAGUCCAAUUAUCCCCACAAACAACUUCUUAACCAAUUGGCUCGCAGAUAUCAGUGCCUCACAUCAAGUUACAUCUAAUCUUAACAACUUGUCUCUCUGCUAACCAAUGAAUCUAGUCAUUAAUAGUUUUCACAUUUCCUAUACUUGGAGGGUUGUUCCAAGAUUAAAUAAAGUUUUUUCCCAUGCUAAUCUUAAUAUAGUGAUUCAUGCCCAGUCGGGUGUUUAUCAAAACAUUUAUAAAACCUACAACACCUUAUACUAAGGUAGCAAAGACAAAGCUACUAUAGUAUAGUGGCUCUAGGAUUGUCCACAGGGAUGGGUUUUCUUUGUACACUUAACAUUAAUGAAAGGAGAAAUGGUGAUUUCCUUUUUGGAAGUUAGCUUUUAAAUGAAAAUAAGAUUGAUUGGAAGGGUUGAUUUUAAGUUAAGCAAACAUAAACAACUGAAAUUACUAUAAAGAGAAAGUCUCUUGGAGCUAUAGGUUACUAGGAUCAGGUUCCUGUUGCAAAGUGGGAAAUUACGGAUCUUCUCCUCGCAUUGGGGAUAAUAACAUAAAGGAUGGUUAUCUCCCGAACCGGAUUUGUAUUUAGCAAAUAAGUUUUGAUCCAAAGGAUUCUUGAAAAAUGGUAGUUGCUUCCCAUUAAUGGCUUCAAACACUAAAGACCCUCACCUUGAACCACCUUCCAAUGGCUCGUACUUGAUAACUAAUGGACAUCCAUGGAUCUAGCAAUAAGCAUCCAUAGAAUCCUAAAAGCUUACCAAGUAUUGGCCAUUCAAGGUGAUUCUAAGGGAUCAAAGCUAAAACUUGAAAUACAAACCAUUAACGAUACACAACUACCUUCAUUUUUAGCAAGGAAAACUCCCACCUUUACAUAUGGGUCCUUUACCUAGCUUCCAUCACUCCAAGAAACGUGAAACUUAGCCACUCAUCCUCUGAGAAAUCAUCCUCUGAGGGUGUUUGGCUAGAGAGAAAGUGAAGAGAAAAUGAGAAGGAAAGGUAGAGAAAAACUCGUCUUUACAAAAUAUCUAAAACAUAAUAUCUCCCAUCCUUUGAGAGGUUUUCCAACCCCUAUUUAUAGAUCCUAAACAAACCCUAAUGUCAUUUAUCUAUUACAAAAAGAGAAAAGGAAAAAAUUACAAUUCUGGAGAUUUUUCCCGAAGGUCGGUGUGCAUAAAGUGAUUUUUGCACACCCUACAAAAAUUUGGCACACCUUGCGAAAAUUUGGCACACCUUGCGAAUUUGAUGAUUUUGCCUUGCAAAAUGCUCUGUUUCCCUCCAUCUUACUACUGAUAGCUUUGCCAACCCCUUUCCAAGUUUGCCAAGGGGUUUUGAAGUGCUCCAAGGCUCGGAUUCUUCAUGUGAUUGAUCUUCAACUUACCUUGCCAUAGCUUGCACAAAACUCUCCCUCAAUCUUGGCCUGUUUUGGUGAUAAAAAAGCUACCAAAAACACUAAAACUUACCAGAAAUUGGUUAGUAACAUUCGCUAGGUCCUUACAUGCCAAUUGGGAUAAAAAGGUCUAACUACUACUCAAAAGUGCUUAGUACAAUUAAGUUUAAGCUUAUAAAAAUGCACUUUUUGAGUAGUAAUCACUCCCCCCAACUGACACAUUGCUAGUCCCUUAGCAAUGAAGGAGAGAAAAAAAAAUGCAUCUCUCAUGGAAAAUCAAAGAUAUAAAACCCAACCUUCAACAAGAGUUAUUAAAUCACUUACCUAAUCACAAAAUACAAAGAGUGGGCAUUAUGCAAAUUUAAGCAUCAAAAGAAUUUCCACUCCCAAAGAUCCAACUCUUAAUCUUCCACAAGAAUCUAAGUGUUAAGGUGAUUAGUUUCCAAUUAUAGUAUGCUAAACUAUACUCUCACUCCCCCUAACUUAGUUCUUUCUCAAACUUGGCAAACUGACCAACAUCCAAUAGGUUAAGAACGCACCUCUUUUAUUUUACAAUUCUUUUAUUUGCUCAACUUCACCCAUUCACCCUUGUAAUGAGCAUUAAGGUCUAUGACUCCCAACCAAUUAAGGUUUAGGGCACCAGGCUUUAAAGACUUUCGCCAUAUACCCCUAGGACCUUGCUCGGGUUUCAAGGCAAGCACAACAUUUUUUUAUUUUUUUUCUGAAGGCUCAUUGGCCUUCUAUAAGGUGUCCCAACACUAUUAAAAUGAGGUCAAAGGUACCAAGUCAAAAUUUUCCUAAGUUCAAGGGGUGAGAUAAUUUUUCAUCUUAUAAUUGGAACCUAAUGUACACAGUGUGUGGUAAGAUUAAAGUGGAAGAAACAAGGUUGAAUUCAAUAGGAGCUUCAAUAAUUCAUCAACCUCAAUAAACACAAUACAAACUUUAAGACUUAAGCAAAAAGGCAAGAACUCAACUUCUCUCAUUUCAUUUUGAGAAUUUUUCCUUGACAACCAUGGAGAGUAGAGUAAUUUUAAAAAAAAAAUUAAACAAGAGGUAACUAAGAACAAAAUAUCCUAGCAAUAUUUACAAUACUUACUUCCUCAACUCUCCCCCCAAUCAAGAUGAACAUUGUCCUCAAUGUUUCAAUUGCAAGUGAAAAUAAACGGAGGAGGUGAUACCUUUUGAGGCAAAUUUUUCAUAGUCAUGCAAACGUUUCGCAAAAGGGAGCGAAAAUGACUAGAGAAGUGAGAAAUGAAGUUGGGAUGUAUGCUAUAAAAAAAAAAAUGUACUUUUUUUUUUUGUAGAGAAAAAUGAGGGGUGUAGAUUGUUCGCAAAGUGGAAUUUUCAUAAAAUAGAAUUUUCGCAAAAUGGAAUUUUCGUAAAGUGGGAUUUUCGUAAAGUGGGAUUUUCGUAAAAUGGAAUUUUCGCAAAAUGGAAUUUUCGCAAAGUGGAAUUUUUGCAAAAUGGGGUUUUCGCAAAGUGGGGUUUUCAAAACUUGAUUCGCAAGGUGAACUUUGAGUUUGCAAACCCUAUGGAAAUUCACAUUUGAAGACCGAGAGUUGUAGUUUUCAAAAAUGAUCACAAAGGGUUUUCGCAGAGGAUUCGCAUACCCUGUGUUUUUUCACAUAGGGUGCGAAGUUAAAGACCGAGAGCUUGAAUUUUUCAAAAAUCAUCAGGAGGAUUUCGCAGAGGGUGUGAAAUUUUCGCAUGCUCUGCGAAAUGGCAGUAGCUCACAUAAUGUAAAGAGCACUUUUCGCACAACAUGCGAAAAUUUCGCAGGGAGGUAUGCGAAAUGCUCUGCUUCAAUUUUUUCCUCAGUUUUUCCUCUGCCGACGAAUCCUUAAGUGCCCUCCCCUACAAGUGAUUGAUUACUACUCAAAAAGGGCUAUUUGAUAGCUUGUAAUUAACUCUUUUAAACACUUUUGAGUAGUAAUUAUUGCCCUUUAACCCAAUUAACAUAUUAAGGACCUUUGCAAUCACUUCUAAUCACUUUGUGUAAGUUUUGGUGUUUUUGUUAGUAAUUUGAUCACCAAAGCAAUCCAAGAAGGAGGAGAAGUAAAGAGAGAAUCUACCUUGAAGCAUUCUUGAUGACAGUCAUUUCAGCCACUUUUGGAGUACUUCCUAAAGUCCAAUUUAUGCAUGCUUUAUGUCGUUUCGAAGAUCGGGAAGUCAACAAUCCAAUGCUUCAAACGGUUUGCAAAUCAGAGUUGAAAUGAAGAAGUUAGAGCCAAUGGAAGCAGAUCACUCCAAGCUGAAGGCCAAUUUCGCAGGGCUGCGAAAUCAGCCUUCGGCUGCGAAAUGAUUUCGCAGCCAUCUUGUUCGUCUACGAAAUUUCGCAGCCAUUUUGUGCGCCUGCGAAAUUCUCCUGAGUGCUUCCAGUUAUUUGCGACCAUCGUUUUUUGUUAUUUUGCCUCAGAUAUUUGUUGUCUAAAUUCCAAUUCUCUCCUUGUAAUCCACCAAUUAGAUGAUUCCUUAGUUGUUGAGCAAGGAUGCAGGGGUAAACAACCUGAUAUGUAUUGUUUUGUAUUUUUCACUUUAAAACAUCGGGGAACUUUCCCCAGGAGAACGGAUGUAAAUUUUACACUUAGCUAAAUACGAAGUAUCUUUUGCUUUCUUUUUCUCUCUACUAUUCCCUAUUUUCUCAGUAGCCAAACAUCCUUGGAGGAUGAAAUCCCCAAGGAUGAGAGGCUAAAACUUUUUAGUUUCUUGAAGUAAUGGAUGCCAUGUGAAGCUCCCGUGUCAGGAUGGAGAUUUCCAAGCCAUGAAUGUAAGUAGUUGAGCAUCAUAAAUGUUUUCAUUCAAAGUAAAGCUUUUAAUCCCUCUGACUUGCUUUGAAUGGCCAAUACUUGAUAACCUUUUGGUCUCAGUGGAUUCUUAUUGUUAGAUCCACUGACGUUCAUUAGUUAUCUCCUACGAGCCAUUGUAUUGCAAGUCGAGGAGAUGACCUAUAUCAUUAAAAGAGCAUUUAUGAGGUUCAGCUACCCUUUUUGUAAGUUUUGAAGGACUAAAACUCAGUUGUUAAACACAUACCGGUUCGGGAAGUAAGCAUCACCUUAGUUGCUUCCCCAACUCGAGGUGAAAAGUUCCAAAAUCUCCAUUUUUACACAUUGAGUUAAGCAUGGCUAUCCAAAGCUUUGAGAAACUUCUUUUUCCAUCUUUUAACCUAUUUGCAUGUUAGUUUAGUUUAAAACACUUUCAUCUUUUUAUGUUUUCAUCUUAACCUAAUUUUUAUUAAGAAAAGUUCACUCCAUCCUCCGAACUUCAUCAGUUAAAGUAAAAACCCUUCCCAGUGUUCGAUCCUAGAGCCACUAUGCUAUAGUAGCUUUGCUACUUUAGUGUAAGGACGUUAGGUAUAAAUUUUGUUGAUACCCUUACAUGCCAAGCUACCAAGAGUCGGGUUAUCAGUGAUCAUCAAAAACCUAAAUUAAAUCAAACUAAAAUGGAAUUCAAGCAAGAAAAUGAAAUAAAAACAAAUACAAAUACAAGAAAAAACAUGAAAUCAAAAACAAAAAACAAAAAUGGAUGAACUUAAUAAUUUUCAGAAAGAUUAAGUCCAUCCAGGAUCUAAUUUUUCAAGCCUGAGAGGGAUCAAGGAGGAUGAAUUCCUCCUUGUCUCGGGAAAAAUGCUCCAGAAAGGGCUUGAGACGAUGAAAGUUCGAUUGGUGUUGGCGUUGAGUAGCUCCACUACUCUAUUCGAAUACACUUGGUGGAUUGUGAAAGGACCUAACCACCUUGAUUUCAACUUGCCCGGAAAGAUAUGGAGCUUAGAGUCAUAAAGCAAGACUUUUUGUCCCUUUGAAAAGUUCUUUUGGGUCACCAACUGAUCAUGUCAUCUCUUCAACCUCUCUUUUGCAAUUUUGAAUUGAGGUAAGCAUCAUUUCGCAGUUCCUCCAACUCAUUGAGGUCUAAGAAUCUCUUCAACCCAACUUUGCUCAAAUCCAUGUUGAGUUUCUUGAUUGCCCACCAAGCCUUGUAUUCUAAUUCCACAGGGAGAUGGCAUGCUUUGCCAUAGACUAAGCGAUAAGGGGACAUCCCAAGAAUGGUCUUGUAAGCUGUUCUAUAAGCCCAUAGUGAAUCAAGGAGUUUGAUAGACCAAUAUGUUUUGUUCACAUUCACUACCUUUAUCAAUAUGUUCUUGAUCUCCCAGUUUUCCAACUCAACUUGCCCGCUAGUUUGAGGAUGGUAAGGCGUAGCUACCUUAUACUUCACCCCGUACUUGGCUAGAAGAGUUUCAAAAGGCUUGUUACAAAAAAUGAGUACCCUCAUCACUGAUUAUGGCUUUAGGCACUCCAAAUCUUGAGAAAAUGUUUUCCUUCAAGAACUUGAUAACCACCCUAUGGUCAUUGUGUUUGCAUGGAAUUGCUUCAACCCACUUAGAAACAUAAUUGAAUCUCACCAAGAUGUAGGAGUAGCCAAAUGACAUAGGAAAAGGUUCCAUGAAGUCAAUGCCCCAAACAUCAAAAAGAUCAACUAUCAGAAUAGGGUUCAAAGGCAUCAUAUUCCUUUGGGUCAACUUCCCAAGCCUUUAACAUCGAUCACAACCCUUGCACAUGGCAUGGGCAUCCUUGAAAAGUGAGGGCCAACAGAAACCCGAUUGCAAGACCCUCAUAGCUGUCUUUUGAGAAGCAAAGUGACCUCCACAAGCAUUCUCAUGGCAAUGAGAGAGAAUCCCCUGUUGCUCUUGUUCAGGAACACACUUUCUUAUUAUUUGAUCCAAAAAAUACUUGAAUAGAAAUGAUUCUUCCCAAUAGUAGGCAUGGAUCUUUACAAAGAAAUGUUUUCUAUCUUGUGUUUUCCACUCACUUGGAACUUCUCCAGUAACUAGGUAGUUUGCAAUAUGAGCAUACCACGGAGUUACUUCCACCAACAUGAGAGAUUCCUCUGGGAAGUCAUCAUUGAUGGGCAAACCAUGGGAAUUAUGUGCAAUUGCAAGCCUUGAAAGGUGGUCAGCUACCACAUUUUCUACUCCCUUCUUGUCUUUGAUUUGAAGAUUGAUCUCUUGAAGCAAGAGGGUUGAUUCCGUGCCCAACUGGUGUACCUUGAUUUCCGUCCUCUGAUGGGAGUAAUCAACAAAAUUUAUAACCUACUGCACCAUGUACUAGGAUAGCCUCGGCUAGCAUAGCAUAGUAGCUCUAAGAUUGUUCACUGGGAAGGGUUUUCAAUUAUAAAUGAUACUAAUUCAAAGUGAAUUGGUGCCUUUUCAUUUCAAGGUUAGCUUUAAAAGAAAACAUAAACUUGGGUUGGAAAAGGUUUGGUUUUAAGCUAACUAAAAAGAAAGUAAUGGGAAUUACUUAUAAAGAAAAGCGUUUCUUGGAGUUUUAGGAUCACCGGGGUCAGGCUCCUUAUACAAAAAAAAAGUUUUGGUCACUUUGAUUCUUUUCCUCGAAUUGGAGAAUUAACAUAUAGUUCAUUCUCCAACCGGUGUUGUACAGAUGCAGCCCAUUUAUGGAUUUCAGCAUUAAACCCCUCUCACUGAUGCAUCUCGCAAUGUCUUAUGCCUCCCACCUAGCAUUUGCCAUUCAAGGUGAUCAUUAACCUUGGACUUCCCUUCUCAAGCUCGCAAGAGGUAACUAAUGGAUGUCUCCUUAGAGUCCAAAAGCUUACCAAGUGUUGGCAAUUCUAGAAAAUCCUACCUUCAAGUCACCUCCCAAAGGCUUGCAAGAGAUAAACUAGUGAAUCUCCAUGGACGGAGAUCACUUGCCUUACCAAGUGUUGGCCCAGGUGAAUUGAAGGCAUUUUAAGUUAACUAAAAAGAUAAAAACCAUUAACGGGUUACAUUUCCUCUUCAUUUACAACUGAAACCACAAAACUCUAAAUUCAUGCAUUUGGAAACUUACCCAGCUACCUUAGUCCAAGAGACACAAAGUCUAGCCACUCAUUCUUUGAGGAAACAUCCUCAGAGCUUGUUUGGCUAGUAAGAAAAAUACAAUCAAAAUGAGAAGGUAAGGCAGAGCAAAGCUCUGUAUUUUACUUCCUUGAAAAACUAUACAAAAAGUUGGUUUUUCUCUGAGAACAGGCUCCCGAGAUAUCACUGAUAUGAAAAUUACAAUAAUAAUAUAUACAUGGCUAUUCACCCUUUUUGUCUUUCUUAGCAACUAAGGAAUCCUAUAAUUGGUGGGUUACAAGGAGAAAAUGGGGAUUUGGACAUCAAAUAUCUGAAGCAAAAUAUCCAAAAGUGUCGAUCACAAAUAUCUGGAAGCACUCAAGAGAAUUUCGCAGACGUACAAGAUGGCUGAGAAAUUUCGCAGCCAAAGGCUGAUUUCGUAGAGGCUUUCCUUAGGCUGCGAAAUUGGCCUUCAGCUUGGUGUGAUCGGCUUCCAAUGGUUCUAACUUCUUCAUUUCAACUCUGAUUCAUGUACCAUUUAAAGCUUUGGAUUGCUGACUUCCCGAGCUUCGAAACGACAUAUGGUGUAUAUCAAAUGGACUCUAGAAAGUGCUUCAAAAGUGUCAAAUAGUUGAUGUCCUCUUGCAUUAUUCAUGUUACUUUCAUCCUUGCAUUCUUGAUUUGUUUUUGGCAAAGGAUUACAAAGCUUCAAAGCUUGAAUUCUUCAUGUUAAUGAGCUUCCAAUUGCUUUGCCAUGGAUUCCAUAGAACUCUCCUUAGUCUUGGAUUGCUUUGGUGAUCAAAAUACUAUCAAAAACACCAAAACUUAAACUUUUUGAUUAGAAAUGAUUGCAAAGGUACUUAAUAUGUUAAUUGAGUUAAAAGGUAAUAACUACUACUCAAAAGUGUUUAAAAGAGUUAAUUACAAGCUAUCAAUUAGUACUUUUUGAGUAGUAAUCACUCCCCCCAACUGACAUAUUGCUAGUCCCUUAGCAAAAAAUGAGAGAAAAAGAAAAUUAAAAAGUAAAAAAAAUACUAUAAUUUACAACGUCAUGCUGAUCACUUCAAAAAAUUUUAAGUGGCAUGAUGAUCAAGCUCUCUCAUGGAACAUUAAAGAAAUGAAACUCAAAUUUCAGCAAGAGUUAUCACGUAUGUUUUCUAAUCAUAAUUCCAACAAGAGAAGGCAUUAUGCAAAUUGAAGCUUUAAAAUCAUUUCCAUUUCCAAAUGACCAACCCUUACUCUUCCACUAAAAUCUAAGUGUUACUUGAUAGUUUCCGAAUAUAGUAUGCUAAACUAAUCUCUCUCCCCAAUCUAGUUCUUUUUCAACACUUAGCAAACUGACCAAAUUCAAUAGGCUAAGAACACACCCUUUUAUUUAUUUAUUUAUUUUUAUUUUUUUUUUCAGCGUAGGAGUACAAGGCUUGAAGGUAUUCUUUUUCUAAAUUGUCCAUGUAGCGGGGGUCCAUCGAUGACUCCCAACCAAUUAAGGUUUAGGGCAUCAAGCUUUAAGGAUCUUUCAACCACUAACUCCUCGAAUUUUACCUCGAACUUUUGAGAGUGAAUUUUUAAUACCCAAGCACCUACAGUAUGUUAAACUCCACCUAUUCACCCUUGUAACGAGCAUUGAGGUCGGUGACUCCCAACCAAUUAAGGCUUAGGGCACCAGGUUUUAAAGAUUUUCACCAUAUACCCCUCAGACCUUGCUCGGGUUUCAAGGCAAGCAAACAUUUUCUUUUAAAGGCUCAUUGGCCUUUCAUAAGGUGUCUCAACACUAUUAAAUAAGGUAAAAAAUACCAAGUCUAAAUUUUCCUAAGUCAAGAGGGAAAUAGUUUUUCAUCUUAUAGUCGAAAUCUAUUGUGCACAGUGUGUGAAUAGCUUAAAGUGGAAGAACUAAGGUUGAAUUCAAUAGAAGUUCAACAAUUCAUCAACUUUAAUAAGCAUAAUACAAACUCUAAGUCAAGUAAACAAAAAUUCGAUUUCUCUUAUGUUAAUUUGAGAAUUUUUCUUUAAUAACCAUGGAGAAUAGAAUAAAAACUUUAAAAAUUUAAAAUUAAGCAAAAAGCAACUAAAUUAUCAAAAUAACUUAGCAUUAAUCACAAAACUUCCUUCCUCAACUCUCCCCUCAACCAAGCUGAACAUUGUCCUCAAUGUGAGAAAAGCGAUUGAACAGUAGGGAGGAAGUGGUGCCUCCUUAGUGGUAUGAAGUUCGGGUAGAAUAGGAGAACCCACAUGUUUCAUAAAACAACAAAAGAUAUCAGUAGAGGAAUUAAAAUAAUGCUAAAAAUGCUAACAAAUUGAUAGACUUGUAUUACUUGAAGAAAGUACAAGAUGGCUAACAAGUAAUACAACCAAUCCCAAUAUAUAAUAUCAAAAGCAUGGGAGUACAAUUUCUAUUUUAGUAAAAAAAAAAAAUACAUAAAGAAAAUACAUAAAGUAAAGUAUGUAAAUGAUCAGAUAGGGGGAGGGUGAUGAUGGCUCAGGUGGAUGUCUCUACAUCUCCUGCAGUCGGCGGCUCAGUAUAGGGCUCUGUGGGCUCUGAAAUGAUAGGAUUGGGGUACUCAGAAGCUGAUGGAAUACCCAGAUAGUGCUGAAUCUGCCUCAUAAUGGCAGUAUGCUGAGUCUGGGUGGCCAAAAUCUGCUCCUGAUGGGCACGAAAAGCUACCAUCUCCUAAGUAAGGAUGUUUUGAGAUGUGGUCAAUGUCUACAAAGUGUGACAAAGACCUCUAUACUCGGACAUGGAUAUAGCAAUCCUAGGCUCAGAUGACGAAGUGGGCUCUGAUGUAGAUGGUAUAACAGGAGGAGUCUGUGGUGUGGCAAGAGGAGCAGAGGGUGCAACCUUAGGUAUAGGCUCCUCAGGUUGUGGAAUGUCUGGAUGUUCUGCUCCAGCUGGGGAUCCAGGCUCUGCACUAUAUGCUGUCAUAUUUGACCAUUUAUCAAGAGUGAAUAUCUCUCGGCAAAUGCGUUUAUGCUCAUGGUGAGGCUCAGAUGGAUAGCCCAAAUGCUUGAAAAUCUGGCAAAGCAAUCUCGGGAAAAGAAGUGGAAUAGCAUGUGCUUGGAGCAGCUUCUUCUUGUGAACCUUCUCUUCAAAGUAGAGAAGAACAGCCAUAAUCAGAUGAUGAGGGCCAAAGAAGAAUCCCUCAGAUAUCCUAAACAGGGUCUCCAGCAAAACUCCUCUCCUCUGCACCCAAUGCUGAAGUGGAUAAAUGUUAUGGCGCAGGAGUGCAUCGAUGAAGAACAUGCUGGGAGGGAGCUCCUUCCUCAACAGAUACUGAUGUGAGGAUGCUCCUCUGGAUAGGAUAUGAACUAUGUCACUCUGAGCCGGAUGAGUCCAUACUUGAAAAUCCUCUGGAUGGGCUGGCUCGUAUGGAAUAUGCAGUGCCUGUGCUAUAUGUCGAGCUCUUAGAAUACCAUGAUGUCCGUCAAUGGUGAAGUGAAUGACAGUAGGAUCUCUGACCUGGUGUGUGGUCAUGGACUGAUAGAAGUCCAUGACUACACGGGCAUAGAAAAAAUCCCUAGGAGUCAGCAAAUGCUCCAUAUGAUACCUGUGUAGCAGAUGAAAGGAGUCCCGGAGCUCAGGCUAAAGUUUGAAAGUGGCUGUGUCAAAACACAGCUCAGAGUGAAAUGGUCGAGCCCUGCAAUCUAGAUUACCCUCAAUGGGCGGCUGAGCGUUCAUGGGACGCCUGAUAAUCACCUCAGGAGUCAUGCCUGAGGGAAUCUGAGAUUCUAUAGGUGGCGACUGAGACUGAUGAGGCUCCAACAGAGGCUCCGGAGACGGCUCCGUUAAGUCAAUUGGCUCUGAAUCCUCUACCCUGGAUUUUUUCAUUGGUGGACGGCCACCUGACCUUGUCUGAUAUCGUCUGACCGGUGGACUUAUCGGCAAGGGUUCAACCGGAGGUGGAGCGACUACUUGACGCGGAGGCUGGGAUGUGGAUCCUUGAACAGGGGUCUCUUUUGCGGCUUUCUUGCGGCCGGACGGGGAUGAGGACUUUGCUCCUCUGGUUCUUGCCAUGGCGAAUUGAAGAAAAUGGUUGGAGACACUUGCGGCUUGGGCUCAGACGAGAGAGAGCAAAUGAACGGUUGCUCUGGCUUUCUUUCUCUUUAGUAUCUUUUUGCAGCUCAAAUGACCGGUUUUUACAAAAUAUGGAAUUUAUAAGGUUCAAAAAAUGGAUACCAAGGGUCGUUUUAAUUUUUCGCAGAGGAGGGUCGAUUUCGCAAUGGAGGGGCUUUUUCGUAGCGAAGGGCCGAUUUCGUAGCCCAUUUCGCAACUGCGAAAUGAGGCUACUGUGCUACGAAAUGGCACUCGUGUGCCAAAGGGGUGUUUCGCAGCUGCGAAAAUUUUCGCAGAGGAGGGCAUGGGGCUGCGAAAUGAAUUUCGCAGCCGAUGGGCGAUUUCACAGCGGACCUUUUGGGGCUGCAAAAUCAUUUCGCAGGGGCCCCCUUUUGGCUGCGAAAUUUCGUAAACCACUACUUUUCCCUUUCUUUUAAAUUCCUUUUUGCUCCCAACGACCUUCCUUCGAUUUCUUUGCAAUUCCUCCUACAUGAGAUCAUUCAAAAAGAUUUAAUUACAUACAAAUACACAACUUAAGAUCAAAAAUUAAAAUUAAAAUAAUUAAUAAAGCUUUUAAAUUAACAAAAUUAAACAAAAAUAUGGACUUUGGUGAAACCAAGUCCAUCUAACCCUUGUCUGAUUAGGCUUUAUGUGGCUUAAGGAGGUUGAUUUCCUCAUUUUCUUUCUUGAAUGGCUCAAUGAAUGGCUUGAGACGAUGACCAUUGACCUUGAAAGUGUCAAUGCUGUUGGAAUUCAAUAAUUCCACCACUCCAUUCAAGCGCACUUGGUGAAUAAUGAAAGGGCCUAUUCACCUUGACUUGAGCUUCCCUGGAAAGAUGUGGAGCCUUGAAUCAUAGAGUAAGACUCUUUGUCCUUUAUGGAAUUCUUUAUUGGAGAUUAAUUGAUCAUGCCACCUCUUCAUCCUCUGUUUUGCAACUUUGGAAUUGAUGUAAGCAUCAUUUCUUAAUUCCUCCAUCUCAUUAAGGUCUAAGCACCUAUUUGCCCCGGUUCUGAUCAAGUCCAUGUUUAACUUCUUGAUUGCCCACCAAGCUUUAUAUUCAACUUCCACAGGGAGAUGGCAUGCUUUGCCAUAGACUAGGCGAUAAGGAGACAUACCAAGAAUAGUCUUGUAAGCUGUUCUAUAUGCCCAUAGUGAAUCAUGAAGCUUAAUAGACCAAUCUCUUCUACUUGUGAUCACCACCUUCAUCAAUAUAUUUUUGAUUUCCCUGUUUGCUAGCUCCACUUGAUCGGAUGUCUGAGGGUGAUAAGGUGUAGCUACCUUAUGCUUCACUCCAUACUUGGCUAAUAAGGCUUCAAAAGGUCUAUUGCAAAAAUGAGUACCUCCAUCACUGAUUAUGGCCUUGGGCACCCCAAAUCUUGAAAAAAUGUUCUCUUUGAGAAACUUGAGAACCACCUUGUGAUCAUUAUGUUUACAGGGGAUUGCCUCAACCCAUUUAGAAACAUAGUCCACCCCCACCAAGAUAUAAGAGUUACCAAAAAACAUUGGGAAAUGGCCCAUGAAAUCAAUGCCCCAAACAUCAAAGAGAUCAACUAUUAGAAUGGGGUUCAUAGGCAUUUGAUUCCUUCUUGUUAGCUUUCCAAGCCUUUGGCAUCUAUCACAGCUCCUACACAUGAUGUGGGCAUAUUUGAAAAGUGAUGGCCAAGUAAACCCUGAUUGCAACACCUUCAUGGUUGUUUUCUGAGAGGCAAAGUGGGCUCCACAUGCACUUUCAUAACAAUGGCUGAGGAUUCCUUGUUGCUCUUCUUCAGGAACACACUUCCGUAUUAUUUGAUCUACACAAUACUUGAAAAGGAAAGGCUCCUCCCAAUAAUAAGCAUGAAUCUUUGCAAAGAAGUGCUUCUUGUCUUGUGCUUUCCACUCACUUGGAACAUCACCAGUAACUAGAUAGUUAGCAAUAUGAGUAUACCAAGGAGUUUUUACUAGCAACAUGAGUGAUUCCUCAGGAAAAUCAUCAUUAAUAGGUAAGACAUGGGAAUUGUGUGCUAUAGCCAACCUUGAAAGGUGGUCAGCUACCACAUUUUCCACUCCUUUCUUGUCUCUGAUCUGGAGAUCGAACUCUUGUAGUAAGAGAAUCCAUCUAAUCAACCUUGCUUUAGCAUCUUGUUUUGUCAAUAAAUACUUCAAGGCUGAAUGGUCAAUGAAAACAAUGAUGAAAGACCCUACUAGAUAAGCACGAAACUUGUCUAAGGCAAACACCAUGACUAAAAAUUCUUUCUCUGUAGUUGUGUAGUUUCUUUGAGCUUCGUUCAAGGUUUUGCUUGCAUAGUAGAUCACAUAGGGCUUCCCAUCUUCUCUUUGGCCAAGCACAGCUCCUAUAGCAAAGUCACUGGCAUCACACAUUAUUUCAAAGGGUAGUUGCCAGUUAGGAGCCCUCACUAUUGGAGUUGUUGUUAAGAAUUGCUUCAGUUGAUCAAAGCUCUUUUGACAUCUUUCAUCCCAUAUAAAUUUAGCAUCCUUAGUCAAAAUUUCACAAAGAGGUUUUGAAAGAUUAGAGAAAUCUUUUAUAAAUCUCCUAUAGAACCCUGCAUGGCCAAGGAAUUGCCUCACUCCUUUUACAGUUGUUGGGGACAACAAUUUGAAAAUAAGUUCCACCUUUGCUUUAUCAACUUCAAUGCCUUUCUUGGAGAUGAUAUGGCCAAGGACAAUUCCCUGACGUACCAUAAAAUGGCAUUUCUCCCAGUUGAGCACCAAGUCCUUCUCAAUGCAUCUGUUAAGAACCGCUUCCAAAUUGACUAAGCAUUCUUCAAAUGUACCUCCAUAUACGGUGAUGUCAUCCAUGAAAACCUCCAUAAUUUGCUCCACCAUAUCACUGAAGAUACUCAAUAUACAUCUCUGGAAUGUUGUGGGUGCAUUGCAUAAACCAAAAGACAUUCUUCUGUAAGCAUAUGUUCCAAAUGGACAUGUGAAAGUGGUCUUCUCCUGAUCUUCAACAUCAAUUUCAAUUUGAAAAUAUCCGGAGUACACAUCUAAGAAACAAUAGAAAGGAUGGCUAGAGACUCUCUCCAAAACUUGAUCAAUAAAUGGCAAUGGAAAAUGAUCUUUCCUUGUCACAACAUUCAAUUUUCUAUAAUCAAUACACACCCUCCAACCUGAAGUGAGGCGUGUAGUAAUUUCUUCUCCUCUUUCAUUUUGAACCAUAGUAAUCCCUGACUUCUUUGGUACCACUUGAGUAGGACUCACCCAAGGGCUGUCAGAUAUGGGGUAGAUAAUACCUGCUUGAAGUAGCUUUAACACUUCCACUCGCACCACCUCUUGCAAAUGAGGAUUCAAUCUUCUUUAAGGUUGACGAAUUGGUUUGGAUUCUUCCUCCAUAUAUAUAUGAUGUGUACAAACCAAAGGACUAAUGCCUUUCAAGUCAGAUAUUUGCCAUCCUAUUGCUUUCUUGCACCUCUUGAGAACUUCAAGUAGACACUUUUCCUGAUGAUUAGUAAGAGAUGAAGAUAUAACAACAGGGCAUUGUUUAUUCUCUUCUAGGUAUGUAUAUUUCAACUUCAUGGGCAGAGGCUUCAAAUUAAGCUUUGGGGUUUCUUUUUUAUCAGCUUCUUGUGCCUCCUCUUUAUUGAACAAAGGUAGAAUCUCUUAUCUCCUUCUCCAACCUUGUAGAGUAGCUAGCACAUCAGAGGGUUUAGGCAACCCUUCUUCAAGAUCCCCAAGACUUUCAUUUAAUUUGUCUUGCAUAUUCUGAUUACAGUGCUCCUCCAUUAGAGUGUCAAUAAUGCAUACCUCCUCGAGACCUUCUUCUUUUUCUGGAGUGAUUUGCUUUUUAGACAUAUAAAAGAUAUUGAGCUCAAGUGUCAUGUUGCCAAAAGUGAGUUGCAUGAGUCCAUUCCUACAGUUAAUGAUUGCAUUUGACAUAGCAAGGAAUGACCUUCCAAGGAUGAUAGGAACUGAAUUUGCUUCCUUAACAGUAGGAUCUACUAGAUAGUAGAAAUUGUCAACUUGAACUAAGACAUCUUCAAUUACCCCCCUUGGAAUUUUCACUGAUCUAUCUGCUAGAGAUAGAGUGAUUGAUGUUGGCUUCAAUUCACCAAGUCCCAAUUGCUUGUAGACAGAGUAUGGAAGCAAAUUCACACUUGCUCCCAAGUCUAACAAAGCUUUCUCCACUACCUUUCCUCCAAUCAUGACGGGAAUGGUAGGACAACCCGGAUCUUUGUACUUCAAAGGAGACUUGCAUUGUAUAAUAGCACUUACUUGCUUAGUCAAGAAGGUUUUCUUGUUCACAUUCAACCCUCUUUUGAUAGUACACAAAUCCUUUAGGAAUUUUGCAUAUGUUGGAACUUGUUUAAUCAUAUCUAGCAAUGGAAUAUUGACUUUCACUUGUCUCAAUACUUCAAGAAUUUCUGAUGCAUUUCUAAUCCCCUUUUUCCCAUGUAAAGCUUGAGGAAAAGGUGGAGAGGUGUGCUUCUUCAGCAUUUCUUCCUUAAGAAGUAUCUUCUCCGGAUUUGUAUUCACUGUUGAAUCAUGGUCCUCUUUCUUUUCACUGAUAUCUUUCUUCUUUCCUUUGAUCUCCUCCCUCUUCUUUGUCUCUUCUUCUUCUACCUCUUCAUUGUCUCUUCUUCUUCUACCUCUUCAUGUGGCUUGGGUGUUGGCAUCUCAACCUUUUUACCACUCCUUAGAGUGAUCAAAGCUUUAACAUCUCUCACCUGUGAGGAUUCUCCCUCAUGAGUUUCCACUUCAUGGAUACCCUUGGGGUUUUGGUGAGGUUGAGAAGGAAAUCUACCCUUCUCUUGCAUUGUGUUCAAGUUAGUGAGCCUUGAGAUUGAGUAUUGGAGAUUAUCUAUCUUUUGAGAUAAGUCAUUUUGCAUCCCAUCCAUCAUUUUAUUCAAAGUAUUCUUUACACUGUCAAUUCUUUGACUGAGUUGAGCAUUGAUGGCUUUUUGAUCUCUAACAAAAUCUCCCACAACCUUGCUGAGAUUUACAAUUGCUUGUUCAAGACUUGAAGAUUGUUGAGAUGGUUGAGCCGAUUGUUGGUACUGAGGUGCUCUUGACUUCCAUGAGAAAUUUGGAUGAUUCCUCCAACUUGAGUUGUAAGUAUUUCCAUACGGAGCAUUGUUAUUGGGCUUAAAUUGUCCAACAACGUUUGCUUGAUCUCCAAACAUUUCCCUUGCAACUAGAAUUGUAGGGCAUUCCUCCACCAAGUGUUCAUAAGAUUGACAAUAGGACAUGGCUUUACUUGCACUGGUGAUUCAGCAUCAGCUUGCACUUCACACAUCUUUUUUAGUUCUGGCUCCUCCAAUCUUCUUGUCAUAGCCGCAACCUUUGCUUUCAUAUCAUCAUCUUCAUUCAAGGUAUACAUCCCAGCCUUAGCAUUAAAAGCACUCGGUUGAGACUUCAUCUUUCCCACUUCUCCUUUGUUUGGUUCAUCCCAUCCCCUUGAAACUUCAGCCACAUAAUUCAAGAAAUCCAUCACUUCCUCCAGAUUUUUGCUCAUGAAAUCUCCUCCACACAUUGUCUCGAGGAGUUGCUUCAUUGAGGAAGACAUCCCAUCAUAGAAAUAGCUCACCAAUAGCCAUGUAUCAAAACCAUGAUGAGGGCAAGCAUUGAUGGCUUCCAUGUAUCUUUCCCAACACUCAUAGAAUUUCUCAUUCUUUUUAGUUGAGAAGUUUGAAAUUUGCCUUUUCAAGCCAUUUGUUCUGUGAGUAGGAAAAAAUUUCUUAAGGAAUUCAGCUUGUAAAUCAGUCCAAGUAUGGAUACUAUUUGGCCUUAAAGAAUUAAGCUAAAUUUUGGCUUUAUCCUUUAAAGUAAAAGGAAAUAGCUUAAGCCUCAUUAAGUUAAUUGAAGCUCCUCCCUCUUGGAAUGUAUUACAAACAUCUUCAAAUUCCUUGAUAUGUGCAUAGGGAUUCUCACUUUCCAUCCCAUGGAAAGUUGGUAGAAAUGGAACAAUAUGCGGUCUGAUCACUAGCUGCUCUGUAGGGGGCAUUAUACAUGAUGGUGCACUCAUAUGAGGUGGAUGCAUGCGGUCCCUCAUUGAUCUGAAAGCAUUGGGAUUGUCCUGGUGACCAUGGUGACUAUGCUGAUCUUCAGGUGUAGCUUCCAUGAUAUUCAAGCUCAAUUCCAAUUCCUUGUUAUGAGGUGUAUCACGUUUAACAAGCCUUCCUCCACUGUCUCGUAUCCAAUUUGGCAUACACAACUAGUAUCAACUGUAACUAUAAAAAAAACAAAAGAAAACAAGACUACAAAAAGACUAAAAUAAAGUAAAUCUGAAUUAAAAGAUGUAUUCAAAUAUGAACAAGUAAAGAAAUAAUAAAAAAAAAUAGUAAGAUGAAAGAAAAGUUACCAAACUUGUGAUGAAAAUCACAAGUACUCUAAAAUAGUAUCACUGUGAAAUUGGCACCUUCCCCGGCAACGACGCCAUUUGAUUUCGUGCCCAGCUGGUAUACCUUGAUUUUGGUCCUCUGAUGGGAGUAAUCAACAAAAUUUAUAACCUAUUACACCAUGUACUAGGAUAGCCUCGGCUAGCAUAUCAUAGUAGCUCUAGGAUCGUUCACUAGGAAGGGUUUUCAAUUAUAAAUGAUACCAAUUCAAAGUGAAUUGGUGCCUUUUCAUUUCAAGGUUAGCUUUAAAAGAAAACAUAAACUUGGGUUGGAAAAGGUUUGGUUUUAAGCUAAUUAAAAAGAAAGUAAUGGGAAUUACUUAUAAAGAAAAGCGUUUCUUGGAGUUUUAGGAUCACCAGGGUUAGGCUCCUUAUACAAAAACAGAGUUUUGGUCACUUUGAUUCUUUUCCUCGCAUUGGAGAAUUAACAUAUAGUUCAUUCUCCAACCGGUGUUGUACAGAUGCAGCCCAUUUAUGGAUUUUAGCAUUAAAUCCCUCUCACUGAUGCAUCUCGCAAUGGCUCAUGCCUCUCACCUAGCAUUUUCCAUUCAAGGUGAUCAUUAACCUUGGACUUCCCUUCUCAAGCUCACAAGAGGUAACUAAUGGAUGUCUCCUUAGAGUCUAAAAGCUUACCAAGUGUUGGCAAUUCUAGAAAAUCCUACCUUCAAGUCACCUCCCAAAGGCUCGCAAGAGAUAAACUAGUGAAUCUCCAUGGACGGAGAUCACUUGCCUUACCAAGUGUUGGCCCAUGUGAAUUGAAGGCGUUUUAAGUUAACUAAAAAGAUAAAAACCAUUAACGGGUUACACUUCCUCUUCAUUUACAGCUGAAACCACAAAACUCUAAAUUCGUGCAUUUGGAAACUUACCCGGCUACCUUAGCUCCAAGAGACACAAAGUCUAGCCACUCAUUCUCUGAGGAAACAUCCUCAGAGCUUGUUUGGCUAGUAAGAAAAAUACAAUCAAAAUGAGAAGGUAAGGCAGAGCAAAGCUCUGCAUUUUACUUCCUUGAAAAACUAUACAAAAAGUUGGUUUUUCUCUGAGAACAGGCUCUCAAGAUAUCAUUGAUAUGAAAAUUACAAGAAUAAUAUAUACAUGGUUAUUCACCCUUUUUGUCUUUCUUAGCAACUAAGGAAUCCUAUAAUUGGUGAGUUACAAGGAGAAAAUGGGGAUUUAGAUAUCAAAUAUCUGAAGCAAAAUAUCCAAAAGUGUUCGCAAAUAUCUGGAAGCACUCAGGAGAAUUUCACAGACGUACAAGAUGGCUGUGAAAUUUCGCAGCCAAAGGCUGAUUUCGCAGAGGCUUUCCUUAGGCUGCGAAAUUGGCCUUCAGCUUGGUGUGAUCAGCUUCCAAUGGCUCUAACUUCUUCAUUUCAACUCCGAUUCAUGUACUGUUUGAAGCGUUGGAUUGCUAACUUCCAGAGCUUCGAAACGACAUAUGGUAUGCAUCAAAUAGGCUCUGGAAAGUGCUUCAAAAGUGUCAAACAGUUGAUGUCCUCUUGCAUUCUUCAUGUUACUUUCAUCCUUGCAUUCUUGAUUUGUUUUUGGCAAAGGACUACAAAGCUUCAAAGCUUGAAUUCUUCAUGUUAAUGAGCUUCCAAUUGCUUUGCCAUGGAUUCCAUGGAACUCUCCUUAGUCUUGGAUUGCUUUGGUGAUCAAAAUACUAUCAAAAGCACCAAAACUUACACAAUUUGAUUAGAAAUGAUUGCAAAGGUACUUAAUAUGUUAAUUGAGUUAAAAGGUAAUAACUACUACUCAAAAGUGUUUAAAAGAGUUAAUUACAAGCUAUCAAUUAGUACUUUUUGAGUAGUAAUCAAGGGUCCACCUAAUCAGUCUUGCCUUGGCAUCUUGCUUGGUCAACAAAUACUUCAAAGCAGAGUGAUUGGUUAAUACCACUAUGAAAGACCCCACCAUGUAAGCACGAAAUUUGUCCAAGGCAAAAACUACCGCUAACAAUUCCUUCUCGGUGGUUGUGUAGUUUCUUUGCACCUCAUUGAGUGUCUUACUGGCAUAAUAGAUCAUAUAGGGUUUUCUAUCUUCUCUUUGGCCCAACACAGCUCCAAUAGCAAAAUCACUAGCAUCGCACAUUACCUCAAAAGGUAAUUGCUAGUUAGGAGCUUGCACAAUGGGUGUUGUUGUUAGAAAUGACUUUAAUUGCUAAAAAAUUCUUUGAAAUCUUUCAUCCCAUAUGAAUUUGGCAUCCUUGACCAAUAGUUCACAAAGAGGACUUGCAAGCUUUGAAAAGUCCUUGAUAAACCUCCUAUAGAACCCGACAUGUCCAAGGAAUUGCCUUACUCCCUUGACAUUGGUGAGGGAUGGCAACUUGACAAUGAGUUCAACUUUUGCUUUAUCAACUUCAAUUCCCUCCUUAUAGAUGAUAUGCUCGAGAACAAUCCCUUGUUGUACCAUGAAAUGGCACUUCUCCCAGUUAAGCACCGAGUCUUUUUCAAUGCACCGAUUUAGAACAACUUCUAAGUUUACCAAGCAAUCCUCAAAUGCACUUCCAUAAACGGUGAUAUCGUCCAUAAAGACUUCCAAAAUUCGCUCCACCAUAUCACUAAAGAUGCUUAGCAUGCAUCUUUGGAAAGUUGUGGGUGCAUUGCAUAAACCAAAAGGCAUUCUCCUAUAUACAAAUGUACUAAAGGGGCAUGUGAAAGUGGUCUUCUGUUGAUCUUCCAAAUCAAUCUCUAUUUGAAAGUAGCCAGAGUGGCCAUCCAAAAAACAGUAGAAAGGAUGCCCAGAAACCCUUUCAAGCACUUGGUCAAUAAAAGGCAACGGGAAAUGGUCCUUCCUUGUCACCGCAUUCAAUUUCCUGUAAUUGAUACACACCCUCCAACCAAUAGUAAGGCGUGUGGAGACAUCUUCUCCCAUAUCAUUCCGCACCACCGUGAUCCCAGACUUCUUUGGGACAACCUGGGUUGGACUCACCCAUAAGCUAUCUGAUAUGGGAUAAAUAAUACCGGCUUGAAGUAGCUUCAAAACUUCAUCUCGCACCACCUCUUGCAUGUGAGGGUUCAACCUUCUCUACAGUUGGCGAAUUGGCUUUGCUUCCUCCUCCAUAUAGAUAUGAUGGGUGCACACCAAAGGGUUGAUCCCUUUCAAGUCUGAAAUUUUCCACCCAAUGGCCUUCUUACAUCUUCUAAGGACUUCAAUUAGACAAUCCUCUUGAUGAAUGGUGAGAGCUGAAGAGAUCACCAUAGGGCACUGCUUGUCUUCCUCCAAGUACGCGUAUUUCAACCCAGUAGGAAGAAGCUUAAGAGUAAGCUUUGAGGGCUCCUCCUUACCAACUUUGUGCGACUCCUCAUCAUUGAAUAAAGGUAGAAUCUUUUCCCUCUUCCUCUAAUGAGACAUGGUAGUUAGCAAAUCUGAGGGUUCAGGUAACCCUUCAUCAAGAUCCCUAAGACUCUCAAUCAAAUGUUCCUCCAUGCUCUGUUCACAAUGCUCCUUAACCAAAGUGUCAAUCAUGCACACUUCCUCUGACCUUUCCUCUUCUACCGGAUGGAGAUGCUUCUUGCACAAAUGGAAGAUGUUUAGCUCCAAGGUCAUGUUGCCAAACGUGAGUUGCAUAAUUCCAUUCCUACAAUUGAUGAUUGCAUUAGAUGUAGUGAGGAAUGGUCUUCCAAGUAUGAUUGGCACAUAGUUUUUCCUCGUGACAACUGGAUCAGUAUCAAGAACAACAAAAUCUACUGGAUAGUAGAAUUUGUCAACUUGUACUAAGACAUCCUCAAUUAUCCCCCUUGGGAUCUUCACUGAUCUAUUAGCUAGGGAGAGAGUAAUGGAUGUAGGCUUCAACCCCCCAAGUCCCAACUACUUGUAAACCGAAUAGGGUAGCAAAUUCACACUUGCUCCCAAGUCUAGAAGAGCUUUCUCCACACAUGUCCCUCUAAUAUUUACUGAAAUGGUGGGGCAUCCUGGAUCUUUAUACUUCACUGGAGAUUUGUACUGGAUGAUAACACUUACUUGUUCAGUUAAGAAGGUUUUCUUGGUCACAUUUAACCCUCUCUUUACAAUGCACAAGUCCUUCAAGAAUUCGGCAUAAGUUGGAACUUGCUUGAUCAUGUCAAGUAAAGGAAUGUUGACCUUCAGUUACCUCAACACUUCAAAAUUUUAUGAUGUAUUCUUGGUUCCCUUCUUACCAUACAAAGCUUGAGGGAAAGGUGGAGGCAUGUGCUUCUUCAUCAUAUCUUCCUUGAUGACUAUCCUUGGUUCUUCAUCCACACUUGAAUCAUGGUCACCUUCAUCUGACUUCUUCUCACCCAUGUUUUUCUCUGAUUCACUUCCUUCACCAUGCUUCAGCUUGGGUGGGGGUUGAACAACCUCCUUACCACUCCUAAGAGUGAUAACUACUUUGACUUCCCUCACCUUUGAAGAUUCUCCCUCUUAAGCUUCUACUUCAUGAAUACCCUUUGGAUUUUGACGAGGUUGAGAAGGAAACUUUCCUUUCUCUUACACAGUAUUGAGGUUGGUGAGCCUUGAGAUGGAAUAUUGAACAUUAUCUAUCUUCUGAGAUAGAUCAUUUUGCAUCACAUCCAUCCUCUUAUUCAAUGUACUCUCCAUUCUAUCAAUUUUCUGAUUCAAUUGAGAGUUGAUUGACUUUUGCUCCCCCACAAAGUCUCCCACAACCUUGCUAAGAUUCACAAUGGCUUGUUCAAGGUUUGAAGCUUGUUGAGGUGCUUGAGCUGGUGGUGUAUACUGAGGUGGCCUUGGCUUCCAUGAGAAAUUUGAAUGGUUCCUCCAAUUAGAAUUGUAGAUGCUUCCAUAAGGAGCAUAGUUGUUAGGCUUGAAUUGGACAACCACAUUUGCUUGAUCACCAAACAUUUCUCUCACUGUUGGAAUGGUUGGGCACUUCUCCACCAAGUGCUCAUAAGACUGACAUAUGGAACAAGGUGUAGCUUGCACUCGUGUCUCGGAAAUGACCUGUACUUCUUGUACUUUCUUCAGUUCUAGCUCUUCCAAUCUCCUUCCCAUAGUUGCAAAUUUUGUUUUCAUGUCCAUGUCUUCACUCAACACAUACAUUCCACCCUUAGCAUUGGAAUGAGACUUCAUCCUCCCCACAUCUCUAGUAUUCGGUUCAUCCCAUCCUCUUGAAACUUCAGAAACAUAGCUCAAGAGUCCAUAGCUUCCUCCGGAUUCUUACUCAUGAAGUCUCCUCCACACAUGGUCUCUAGGAGUUGCUUCAUACAGGAAGACAUACCAUCAUAGAAAUAACUCACUAAGAGCCAUGUAUCAAAGCCAUGGUGAGGAAAAGCGUUGAUAGUUUCCAUGUACCUCUCCCAACACUCAUAGAAUUUCUCAUUCUCCUUAGCUAAGAAGUUUGAAAUUUGCCUUUUCAAGCCAUUGGUCCUAUGAGUAGGGAAGAACUUCUUGAGAAACUCAGCUUGUAAAUCAGUCCACCUUCUGAUACUCCUCGACCUUAAAGAAUUAAGCUAAACCUUGGCCUUAUCCUUUAAGGUGAAAGGGAAUAGCUUGAGUCUCAUCAAGUCAAUUGCAGUUCCUCCUUCUUGGAAUGUAUUGCACACGUCUUCAAACUCCUUGAUGUGAGAAUAGGGGUUCUCACUUUCCAUCCCAUGGAAAGUAGGUAGAAGUGGCACUAUAUGAGGUCGGAUCACUAGCUGCUCAAUGGGAGGCACUAUGAAUGAAGGUGCACUCAUCCGAGGUGGAUGCAUGCGGUCCCUCAUGGAUUUUGAGAUUCUCCUCUUGCUCAUGUUGGCUAUGUUGAUCUUCAGGUGGACAAUCCAUGAUGUUCAAGUAGACUUCAAACUCGGUUUCUUGAGGAGCUUCAAUUUUCACAAGUCUUUCCUCAAUAUCUCUUAUCCAAUGGGGCAUACACAACUCAUGAUUUCUGAAAUAAAAACAAAGAAAACCAAAGGACUACAUUUCUAGGAAAAGAUUUAAGGUUAGAUAAAAACUAAAUGAAAGAUAAAAUAAAAUAAAAACAAAGAAAACGAGUUAGUGAAAGAAAAAUCACUAACUUGUGAUGAAGAUCACAAGUACUCAUAAAAGGUAACAUUUAUGUACUUAGGUACCAUCCCCGACAGCGGUGCCAUUUAAUUCAUGCCCAGCCGGGUGUUUAUCAAAACAUUUAUAAAACCUACAACACCUUAUACUAGGGUAGCAAAGACAAAGCUACUAUAGUAUAGUGGCUCUAGGAUCGUCCACAGGAAUGGGUUUUCUUUGUACACUUAACAUUAAUGAAAGGAGAAACAGUGAUUUCCUUUUUGGAAGUUAGCUUUUAAAUGAAAAUAAGAUUGAUUGGAAGGGUUGAUUUUAAGUUAAGCAAACAUAAACAACUGAAAUUACUAUAAAGAGAAAGUCUCUUGGAGCUAUAGGUUACUAGGAUCAGGUUCCUGUUGCAAAGUGGGAAAUUACAAAUCUUCUCCUCGCAUUGGGGAUAAUAACAUAAAGGAUGGUUAUCUCCCGAACCGGAUUUGUAUUUAGCAAAUAAGUUUUGAUCGAAAGGAUUCUUGAAAAAUGGUAGUUGCUUCCCAUUAAUGGCUUCAAACACUAAAGACCCUCACCUUGAACCACCUUCUAAUGGCUCAUACUUGAUAACUAAUAGACAUCCAUGGAUUUAGCAAUAAGCAUCCAUAGAAUCCUAAAAGCUUACCAAGUAUUGGCCAUUCAAGGUGAUUCUAAGGGAUUAAAGCUGAAACUUGAAAUACAAACCAUUAAUGAUACACAACUACCUUCAUUUUUAGCAAGGAAAACUCCAACCUUUUCAUCUAGGUCCUUUACCUAGCUUCCAUAACUCCAAAAAAUGUGAAAAUUAGCCACUCAUCCUUUGAGAAAUCAUCCUCAGAGGGUGUUUGGCUAGAGAGAAAGUGAAGAGAAAAUGAGAAGAAAAGGCAGAGAAAAACUCGUCUUUACAAAAUCUCUCAUCCUUUGAGAGGUUUUCCAACCCCUAUUUAUAGUUCCUAAACAAACCCUAAUGUCAUUUAUCUAUUACAAAAGGAGUAAAAAGGAAAAAAUUACAAUUCUGGAGAUUUUUCCCAAAGGUCGAUGCGCAUAAAGUGAUUUUUGCACACCCUGCAAAAAUUUGGCACACCUUGCCAAAUUUUGGCACACCUUGCGAAUUUUGGCACACCUUGCAAAUUUGAUGAUUUUGCCUUGCGAAAUGCUCUAUUUCUCUCCAUCUUACUACUAAUAGCUUUGCCAGCCCCUUUCCAAGUUUGGCAAGGGGUUUUGAAGUGCUCCAAGGCUCGGAUUCUUCAUGUGAUUGAUCUUCAACUUGCCUUGCCAUAGCUUGCACAAAACUCUCCCUCAAUCUUGGCCGGUUUCGGUGAUAAAAAAGCUACCAAAAACACUAAAACUUACCAAAAAUUGGUUAGUAACAUUCUCUAGGUCCUUACAUGCCAAUUGGGAUAAAAAGGUCUAACUACUACUCAAAAGUGCUUAGUACAAUUAAGUUUAAGCUUAUAAAAAUGCACUUUUUGAGUAGUAAUCAUAUAGUCUUUUCCUAUUCUUUGAGGGUUGUUCCAAGAUUAAAUAUGCUCAGUUUCAUAAUUGAAAGGACUUUUUCAUAUUGCUAAGAAAAAAACUUGUGAGAUUGAUUUUUCUAUCAAAAUUCUUAUCUCUAAAGUGGAUUCAUUUGAGUGGUGAGCUUAAUUCUAAGUUCUUAUCUUUAAGGUGAUGAAUUUCUUAUCCUUAAAGUGGUGAACUUGUGUUAUUAACUUAUCAUUUUAUUUCCUUAAAACGUUAUCAUUUUGUGUCGAAAAAAGUAGUUACAGGCUCCCUUCAAGUUUCUCAUGUAUCAACCCGUAAUCAACUUGUGGAUAUACUCAACAAACCAUUGCCCAAGUCCUGCUUUACAUUCUUUCAGUCCAAGAUUGGCAUUUUUUUUAUGGAAGCCCCAUCUUGCAAGGGCAUAUUAGGAGAGAACCAAUCUCACCCACAAAUUAAGAGCACUCAAUGGUGAAGUAUUAAGUUUAGGAGUAACAGAUGUAUACCUUGUAUAGCUGUUGUAUCUUUUGGAAAGUCUAAUACAAAAGAUUAAUCUUCAAACUCUAAUAAGAGAAUUUGAAAUUUUGAGUGUGAAAAAAGAAAUCGAAAUAAAUCUCUAAUUAUUUUUCUAGAGUAUUAGCUGUUGUGAGUUUACAAUAAAAAUACGUCAAAAGUUUGAAUGAUAGCCAUGUGGUAAAAAAAUAUGUUCAAUCUUUAGAUUCCAAAUAAGUUUAACUAUAUUGUUGUUGUCAUUGAAGAAUAUAAACAUUUAGAUUCUAUGACCAUUGAUCAACUCAUGAGAUCACUACAAGCUCAUAAAGAGAUUAAAAAUAAAUAACUAAGAAAAAUUACAACUUUUUUAAACAGAUUAAACUUAUACUAAAGAAGAAUGAUGAAAACAUUAGUGAAAGAAGUCAAAACAAUCAUGAAUAUGUCAAAGACAUGGUCAUAGCCAUGGCUAAGACAAUAGAGGAAGAGGUAGGUUUAAUUUAUCAAACAAUUAAAUAACAAGUCAAAAUUCACAUUCCUUAGGAGGACAUGAAAGAUGACACAACUUAAGGCACAAUAAAAGAAGAGGAUAUGAUAAAUUUCAAAUUGAAUGUUAUAAUUAUAAAAAAUAUGGUCAUGAUGCUUAUGAAUAUAGAAAUGCUACAAACAAUAUGAAAAGACACAUCAAAGGAGUUGCCACCUAGGACCAAACUUCCUACUGAUCAAGUCUCAUAUCGAAUAUCACUUUUGAAGUUACUAGAGCUAAGGAGGUAAUUGAAGAAACUAUUGGAUGCACGCAUGAUCCAAUCUUUAAGGGUUUGUUACGAUGCUCCUAUCUUAUUCCAAAUAGAUGUGUGUUAACUAUUGGGCCUUGAACAAAGUAACGAUCAAGAAUAAGUAUCCAAUCUCCUUAGUGGAAGAAUUAAUUAAUAAACUGGCCAAGGCAAAGUUUUUCUCCAAAUUGGACUAGUGGUUAAGAUACUAGCAAGUAAGGAUUGUAGAGGGGGACAAAAAAAAAAAAAAAAGACUACAUGUGUAACCCACUAUGGGCCAUAUGAGUUCCUCAUGAUGCCAUUUAGACUAACUAACGCCUCAAUAACAUUCUACAACCUAAUGAAUGAUUUUCCAUACAAGUUCUUAGAUGCCUUUGUUGUUGUUUACUUUAAUGCAUUGUUGUCUAUAGCAAGACCUUAGAAGAGCAUGUGAAUCACUUGAGAUUACUAUUUCAAAGACUAAGAGCACACGAACUCUACUUGAAGAUGGAGAAGUGUGAGUUCACACAAAGUCAUAUUACCUAUCUAAGACAUAAGAUAGAUGAAGGGUUUAUCAAGAUGGAUGUUCAAACCAUUAAAGAUUGGCAUGCUCUAAGCAAGGUGACACUACCUGACUAUUAUUGAAUGUACAUAAGGGGCUACUUCAAGAUAGUGGCUCCCUUUGCUAACCUUUUAAAGAAGGAUAUUUGGGAUUGGAGUUUUGAAUGCUAGAAAGCUUUUGAGAAGUUGAAAGUAGUGAUUUGAGUUAAGUUGGUGUUGCAAUUACUAGAUUUGGAUCUCCUAUUUGAGACUCAAACAGAUGCAUUAGCUAGGGCCUUAGGGGGGAUCUUGGUGAAGGAAGGGCACCCACUAGCCUUUGAGAGUUGAAAACUUAAUGAGUUAGAACAAAGAUACUCUACUCACGAGAAAGAGAUGACAAUGAUUAUUCAUUGCUUAUAAUAGUGGAAGCAUUAUCUGUUGGGGAGUAUAUUUACUAUAUAUGGUCACAGGCAACAUAGUUAAUACAUUUUUCAAGAUGCAAAUGGAGUUGAGCCAUAAGCAAGCUAGGUGGCAAGAAUUCUUAGCCAACUUCAAGUCUGAAUGGUUGUAUUGACCAAGAAGACAUACUGUAGUUAUAAAUGCCUUAAACCAAAAGGAAUUGACAGAGUAUGUGAUCGCUCUAUCACAUGUAAUCUCAUAUUUUAAUGAAAAUAUCAAACAAGCUACUAAGAUUGAUUCUACUUAUGAGAAGAUGAAACAACAAGUCAAAGAGGGGGCUACUAAAAAAUAUUGGGUAGAAGAUGACCUCUUAGUGGCUAAAAGAGGUAGGCUAUAUGUACCAAGAAGUUGCUUACACAAGGAGUUGCUAAGAGAGACCUAUGAUGUUGAGUAGCAAAGAGAUGACAUCAAUAGUAUUGUCCAACUACUGUUACUAGCUAAAAAUAGGAGAGAACAUCUAGGCUUAUGUUCAAUAUUGUUUGAUAUGUCAAUUGGGUAAGACAAGCAAGAAGAAAGCUAUAAGGUUACUACAACCUCUCCCUAUCCAAAAGAGACCUAUUUGUGGACUUCAUCGGUGGCUUUCCAAAAGUGAACGAAUUCAAGUAUAUCUUCAUGAUAGUAGAUAGACUCUCUAAGUAUGUUGCUUUCAUACUUACACCACAUGCAUGUCCCGUAGAAGAGGUUGUUAGGCUAUUCCUCAACCAUGUGGUCAAGUACUUCAAGUUGCCUAAAGACAUAGUCAGUGAUUUCGAUGCUCAAUUCAUUGGUGAUUCGUGCCAAGAUGGUGUACCUUGAUUUUGGUCCUCUGAUGGGAGUAAUCAACAAAAUUUAUAACCUAUUACACCAUGUACUAGGAUAGCCUUAGCUAGCAUAGCAUAGUAGCUCUAAGAUCGUUCACUGGGAUGGGUUUUCACUUCACAAUCGAUAUUAAUUCAAAGUUGAAUUGGUGUUUCUUCAUUUCAAGGUUAACUUUAAAAGAAAACAUAAAGAUGUUUGAAAAGGUUGGUUUUAAGCUAACAAAAAAUAGUAACUAAUUUUAAUUACAAAGAAAAGUGUUUCUUGGGGUUUCAGAUCACUAGGCUCAGGUUCCUUAUACAAAAAGGGAGUUCAGGUCACUUGAAUCUUUUCCUCACGUUGGGGAUUUAACAUAUAGUUAUUUCCCAAACCAGUAUGGUAUAGAUGCUUCUCCUUAAUGGGUUCAAACACUAAUUCCCUAUCACUGAAUCAUCUUGCAAUGGUUCAUACCUCUCACCUAGUAUUGGCCAUUCAAGGUGAUCUUUAACCUUGGAUUACCCGUCAAAAGCUUGCAAGAGAUAAGUAAUGGAUGUCUCCUUGGAGUCCAAAAGCUUACCAAGUGUUGGCUAUUCUAGAAAAUCCUACCUUUAAACCACCUCCCAAAGGCUCGCAAGAGAUAAACUAGUGUAUCUCAAUGGACGGAGACCACUUGCCUUACCAAGUGUUGGCCCAAGUGAUUUAAAGGCGUUUUAAGUUAACUAAAAACAUAGAAACCAUUAACGGGUCACACUUUCUCUUCAUUAAAAAUUGAAACAACAAAAACUUCCAAUUUUUGCAUUCGGAAACUUACCCGACUUUCUUCACUCCAAGAGACAAAAAGCCUAGGCACUCAUAUUAUGAGGAAACAUCCUCAGAGUUUGAUUUGCUAUAAAUAAAAAUGACGAGAAAACAAAAAUAUGAAGGAAAAACAGAGCAAGUGCUCUGUAAAAUAUAUUUCUUACUAUCGUCGAUUACAUAUCUGAUAUAUGAUAUAUGAUUUACAUUGGUUCAAAGAUAUAUAUAUAUAUAUAUAUAGAAGAUAUUUUCUAAGAAAUAUCCCAAUAAUAUCUUUGACUGAUUACAAAGAGAAAAUAGAAAUUUACAAAAUAUCUUGAAAAAAAUCUAACUUAGUCGGUGGCAAAUAUCUGAGUUUACACAAGUGGAUUUCGCAGCUGCGAAAUGGCCUUUGGGUUGCAAAAUUUUCGCACAACUUGAUGUAGUUGUCUUCAAACGGCCAUAACUUCUUCGUUUCAACUCCGAUUCGCACACCGUUUGAAGCGUUGGACUUCUAACUUCCCAAUAUUCGAAAAGAAAAGAAAUGGAAUCCAGGAAGUACUCGAAAUAUGUCCAACAGUUGUUGUCCUCUUGAAUUUCCUCAUGUUAGAUUUCUCUCAUUUUCCUCCUUGCAUUUUUUAUUGGCUUUGGCAAAGGACUACAAAGCUCCAAAGCUUGAAUUCUCCAUGUAAAUGAGCUUCCAUUUUCUUUGCCAUGGAUUAUAUAGAACCCUCCCUUAUCUUAGAUUGCUUUGGUGAUCAAAAAGCUAUUUGAUUAGAAGUGAUUGCAAGGGUCCUUAACAUGCCAAUUGAGUUAAAAGGUAAUAACUACUACUCAGAAGUUGGAGCUUUCUACAUUAACAAGAAUGGAUUUGGGAACAUCUAAAUAAUAUGUAUAACACUUUUCUCUAGAUCUAUGAAAUGUUUUUGUUUUUUAAAUACCAAAGUUUUCAACUAUGCUUAGAUCUAGAAAGCAUAAGAUAAUGUUACAUGCACCCUAAUAAUCCAAGGCCUAGGAAUAUAGCGAUCUAAGGUUUCCUAACAAAAUAACCCAAUAAGUAAGAAUGAUUUAUAGGAACUAAAAUUUCUUUCAAAAAGAAAAGAAGAUUAUUGGAGUAAAAUAGGUAUACAAGAGAGGAAAAAAUGCAAAAGAAGUAAAAAAAAUACAAAGCAACAUUGGCGCAAAGGAUUACAAGUAAGAAUAAUGCACCAACAAGACAAGGGUAUUUGCUCUCAUUGCUCUUUUAGUAACUAUAAGAUUAAUAAUCUCUUUGGUAGUUUAAAUUAGUUGAAAAUUUUCAAAUGAAUGUGAAAUCCAAUUUUUUGAAUUGACAUUUGGAAGAAGAAGUGUAUGUAGAAUAAACCAUAGUCGGUAUACAUAUAUGGGCAUGAGAAUAAAGUUCCAAAAUUGAAAAUAACCUUGUAUGUAAUAAAACAAACACUAAGAGCAUGGAAUAAUUGAAUUGACCAAUAUUUUCACGAUAAUAAUUUUGCUUGAUACCUUAAUGAACAUGCUCUCUACAUAAAAUUGAAAGAAAAAAGUGAUAUAUUACUUAUUUGUUUGGAUGUGAAUUGUUUGAUCUUUAUUGGAACUAAUCCAAUCAUGUUUAGUGAGUUCAAAAAAGUAAUAGGACAAAAGUUUGAGAUGAUUGGAUUAGUCUCUCUUGGCAUAGACUUGAAGCAGAUUGAAAAGAGUACUUUUUAUUUCUCAAGAAGACCAUGCAAAAUAAUUUUUUAGAAAGUUUAACUUGAAUAUGUGUAAUAUGGUAAACACAAUAAUAUAAUGCAAAGCUAAAUUAUCAAAGACAUGUAGAAGGAGAAAAAGUGGAUUCAACAUAACAUAAAAUCUUAGUUGGAACCAUACACUAUUUGACUCAUACAAGUUCAAACAUUCUCUUUGGAGUUGGAUUUAUCCAUCAUUAUAUGGAAGCACUAAUGAUUAUUUACACUAAGACCUCCUAGUGAAAUUUUCAUUUUUCACUACAUCAAUGACACAUUUGAUUAUGACUAAUAUUAUUCACCUUUAACAAUUUUAGACUUGUUGGAGAUAAUGAUAGUAAUUAAGGUGGAGACUUGGAUGAUACAAAGAGAACCAAUAGCUUUAUAUUCCUCAUGGGAGAGAUACCAUGUUCACUUGGACUUCAAAGAAGCAACCUAUUGUGAAACUUUCAACCUAUGAAGUGGAAUUUCUGAAAAUGUUUACAAAAUCUCAUAAUCAAAUUGUGAAAAUGUUUACAAAGAGUCUCAAGUUUAAUGAUUUUAGAAUGCAUGAGUGAAAAUGUUGACAAAGUUUAAAAUUUUUAGAAAACUAAGGAUGUUAUUUUUACUAACCAAGUUGAAGGGAGGAUGUUAGUUAAACUGGAUUUAGGAAGUUUCUAAAAAUUAGAAUUUGAGUUAGAUUCUAAAAUGCUUGAUUUAGUUUGUAUAUUUGUUAUUACAAGAUUUUAUAUUUUACCAUUAUGAGUAUCUAUUUUUUUUUAGGUGUUAAUACCUAUAAAUAAGAUGUUAUGUAAUAGUUGAACAAGAGUGGUGGAAGACAAUAAAUUUUUUCUUAAUCAUCUCAAUUAUUUAAAUAUCUCCCUUUACACAUGUAAUUACUUGUGUAUUUUUUUUCAACCAUAUUACUGCAACAUAUGUGAAUCUGUUGGUUGGUCUAUGAAAAUUUAUAUCAGUUGUUCAACCUUUUAAAUUUAUAUGUAACGGUAUUUAGAUCACAGGAUCUUUCCCUAAGCCCGCAUUUUUCUAAAUAUAUAAUUAAAAUUGUUGUGUUUGCAAUUUUAACGAAAUCUAGCGUUGGAUACUUAACUACAUCCCACAAAACGACAAAAAAAAUGGUGGCGAUUUCAUGGAGGCUAACCAUUCACUUGCCUUUAGCCAAGUCGUGUUUCAACAGUAAAGUAAUUAUCUCAAUCAAAACACAAAAUUUAGUUUUCUAAACAAUUAUUGUUCUUGGAAAACAUGCAAGGAACUUAAGCAACUUAAGUGCCAACAUCUGCUCUCUCUCUCUCCAGCAUGCAAUCGUAAGUGGUAGGCACCUCUUUUAUGCUUUAAAUUAAUUGAAUACUUGAUCUUAUUCCGUCAUUCUUUUGGGUCUAACCCAAAAAUACAUUUACCAUGCCUUCUUUUCAUGUCCUCAACUUACUCAAAAGCUCAUAAGUCCCAUUGGAUAUGAUGUACUAAGUUUCAGAUUUUUGAAGUAAAAUUAUCAACAUUGUCUAGCAUAUAUAGUAAUAGGUUAUACUCUUUUCAACAAUUUAAAUUGUUUUUGUUAAUAGAUUAUAUGGAUGUUUUAACACUCAAAGAAAUUGAAAUGAAGCCAAAUAUGCAAAAAAAAAAAAAAAAAAAUGGUUGUGACCAAUAGUUAUAUUUAUUCUCUUUAAUUUCUAUUAAUACUCAAAUUUUUAGGGAUAGAGCAUCAACAAUCCUUGUGAUGAGUUAAUAAUGUUGAGAAAAGUCAAUGACUACACAAUGUAGAUUAAAACCAAAUAUGUCAUCAAAGAAGACAUCAAUAAUAACCCCACACAAUGAUAUGUUGUAUAAUUCAUUACUUGUAUCAAACACAAAUUUCCUUCAAUGUGUGUAUAUGAAUAAAAGAGACUUCUUAGUUUAUAUUUGACAUACAUGCUAUAUAGGCCAUGCUAAUAGCAAUUGAUAACAAGAAUCUCAACACUGAAGUCCAUGUAGAAUCAGGUGUGCACCAUAUUGGGGUUACAUAGUUAGGAUAUUGAAAGAAGCAUGAGUAUAGGAUGGUGAAAGUUCAAAUGAGAAGUGUUAUAAGAUCAUUGCCAAAGCUAUUUUUGCCUCCAUCAUUGCAAAAUUUUGUCCAAUGCAUACCCGAGGACCCCAACCAAAUGGGAAAAAUGAAACUUGGUUUUUUGUUACCUUUAAAACUCCUUCUACAAACCUCUUUGGAUUAAACUCCUUUGCAUCAUCCCCCCAAAUUUCAUGAUCAUGGUGAACUAGGAUGGUGGGCAACACGACCUGCAAUCCAGUUGGAAAACACAUGUCUCCCACUUGAGUGUCCUUAUAAACAACUCUAGGAAGCAUUGCUAUUGGUGGGUAUAACCUAAGAACCUCAUGAAAAAUCAUGGUGACCUGUGGUAGAGAAACUUUAGAAGUUGUUGCAAGAGAAUUCUUACUAAAAUACAUUCUAAAUCAUUAUGAAGGACACUGAAGAAGAAAGCAAUUUCUUAAAAUAGUGAUGCAGAAGAGAAAAUGUUCUAAAUCAUGCAUGACAAAAUAUCAAGUAUGCAAAGGACAUUGCAUAUCCCAUGGAUAUAAUAACUUAAGAACCUCAUGAAAAAUCAUCAUAAUCUAGCAGAGAAAUUUGAAAUCAUGGCAUGAGAACCCGUUCCUAAGCUACUAAGUGAAAGCAAAUGUUUAGUAUAAGAUAUAAAAACUUAAGAGAAAUGUGUUUUCAAUUUUACUUCAAUUAUGGGGAAAAAAACCAGAGUACUAUACGAUUUUAGUGAGAAUCACUAAACUGAAGAUUGGACUAAGUACUCACAAUUUUUAGGUGAUUUAAUCCAUCAGCUUCCCAUUUUUUAUUCCCAAAAACCUGUAAAACCUCUUCUCUUGCACGAGCUUGCUAGUUUGGAUGCUCGCUUAGCAGGACCAUUGUCCAUACAAGCAAAACUGAGGUUGUCUUUUGGCCAGCAAGAUAGAAUAGUUUACACUCUUCAAUGACAUCCUUGACACUGAUUCUAAUCUUCUUGUUAUUUUGAUGUUCUUGAAUUUCUCUAAAAUUGGAUUCCAUUAGCAUACCUAAUAAGUCACUAUUAGUAGUUUCGCCAACCUUCAUUGCCUUCUCUCUUUUGUUAACGAUACCCCUCAACAAUGCAUAUACUUCUUUGCUUAUUUGCUUCAUCUUCCUGUUCGUCUUUGUGGGUAAAAACCUGUGCGCAUGUUAGUAAUUCUAGUAAAUAAAACAUCACAUGAAACACACAGACAUUAAUUCUUAUUUUCAUCCAUGCCUUCUACUUCUCCAUUAAUUUUUUGAAGCUUGUAUAAGGCUUCAAAGGUAGAAACUAUCAAGACAAUAACUAAUAGUUUCAUCUACACAUGUGUUGCAGUGGUAUCUCAUCAUCUUGAUACAAUAUCCUGUGAACAUAAGAUUGAGGAUACUAAACAUCAAUUAGUGAAACAUACUACUUUCUAAGUGUUAUACAAAAGAAGUAAUUGACUAAAAGGGGAUGAAAUGAUCUCAAAGUUGUAAAUCUAACAUCUCUUAUGCUUGACCUUGAAAAGUAAUCCAUUUUGAACAUAAAUUCCCUUCGAACAUAAAUUCCCUUCAACCUUGUUAACCAAACACACACUUGAGCAUUGUGAAACUUUCAACCUAUGAAGCGAAAUUUGUGUUGGCAUCAUUUGUAGGUCAUGAAAUUUGUUCAAGAAACUUAAUUUACCACACAAGAGACUGAUAAAGAUCUAUAUGGAUAUAAAAUCAACAAUUACCUUAUGAGAAAAAUCUAGUUCUCCAUGAUGGUGUUGAGUUUUGAAUUUUGCCUUAGUAUCUGCUGGAAUUUGAAUUUUGAAGUUAAAUUUUACAGCUGGAGUCUUGCACAAAAUCUGCAACAUCCAAAUAUUUUCUUGUUUUUAUUUGGUCAAGAUUUGGUUUCUAUUUUAUAGGAAGUAGUUGUUCAUCAUCUAGUAGCUUGAUUUUAUGCUAUUCUAAUGUUAUUUCAGUUACAAGCUCAUGUAUAAAUUCAGCACUCUUCAUCAAUAAAAUGUGUGUUCCAACAGUCUAAAAAUAUAUAUUCUGCAUAAGUGUUUUAAUUUAAGAUCAACAGAUGGAAGCCAACAAUGCAUUCCCUUACAAUUCAAAGUAUAUUCAAUUGAGCACCUUUCCUAUGAUUCAAAGGUUGCAUGCCCCCUCAACAAUUGAACCCAACAAGAGCACUCAAGUUGUGCAUGUCUGUAACAUCUUAAUUGCACUUUUCCCUACCACUAUAGUAGCAUAUCCCUUGGGUCACUCACCAUGCACUGUCACUCCCCAAAACCCACUCCAAGGGCAUGACGAUCUUUUCACGCCUCAACCCCAAGGGGUCAAAGUGGAAAUGACACAAACAUUCAUGUUGUAAUUGAAAAUUUACCAAUUACCAAAUUCCUAUUCAAGGUAGUAGGAUAAAAUUCUAAAAUCUCCAAGUAUCAACUUUAAAAAAAACUAAUACAUCAACCAAUGUGUUAUUGUCCAAAUAACUUCAAACUCAAAAUAAUUCAAACUAGAAUUAAGUUUUAACAUUUAAACAAUGUCCAAAAUAAAGAGAGUUUAAACAAAUAUCCUAAUAAAUCAAAAUUUCCUUCCUAACGGUCACUCCUCGCCCGAAUUGAGGUUGAUUGAAAGAUUAUCAACAAAGGGGGGUGAGCUCAAAGCCCAAUAAGGAACAUUAAUACAAUUUCAUGGAUCAAACAUUUUCAAUUAUGCUUGCAAAUAGAAGAUAUAACAUAUACUUAUUUUCACAAAAACUUUUGAGUUCAAAAUGCUAAUACAUUCAAACUUUUCAACAAAACUUUCUCAUAUCCAUUUCAAAACAAUUUCUCAUCAAACCAAAUCGAAUACAUUCAAAAUAUCUUUACUCCGGUUAUCAUAUGUCAAAUGGUACCCAAUUAGGAGGGACUUCACAAUUGAGUAACUAGUUUCAAAUUUGUUCCAUUUAAGGUGAACAAACCCAAAUGUCAACAAUCAUAACCCAUUGACUAAGGCCAUAAAGUCAACUAUUAUAACCGGUUGACUCGAGCCAUAAGGUCAAUUAUUAUAACCCGUUGACUAAGAUCAUAUAAUAUCAACUAUUAUAACCCGUUGACUAGGUAGGCCCGAAAAUGUCAACUAUUAUAACCCGUUGACUAGGGCCAUAUAAUCUAGAGUCAAAUACUUUAUUUCAUUAAUUCAAACUUAUAAAACAAAACAUCGUAUCUCCUCAAUUUUUCAUUUUUCAUAAACAAAGAAAAUACUCAAAUAUACUUUCCAUACAAAACAUAUAUUUGAUCCAUGCUUAAAUAUAAAAAUAAUAUUUUUACACAUUUCAAAAUACAAUAUAAAAAGAAAAUUAUUUUCUUUUACAAAAAUCUUGAAGUAUUUAACUUUGAAGGAAUUCCUCCUCACUCAACAUAAUAUCAUACACAAUAUUGAUUAUUGAUUAUUUAUCUAAAUGUAUAAAUUUGACAAUCCUAAAAAUAUUUUAUUUAGUAUUAGGGAUCCUAAUUAAUUUCUUAUGUUAAUAUUAUUUGCCAUCCAAUAUUAUUUUCAACUUCCUAAACAAUAAUUUAUUUCUCUUUUCUAACUUAUCUAAAUUAAAUAUUUUAAGAAUAUUUAUUUGCAUUAAACUAUUAUUACUAUUAUUUAAAUCUCCUAUUGAAACUUAACAAAUACCCCAUGCUAUUCUAUUUUUGUUCCCAACAACUCCACACCAACCUCAUUCAUUAUUAUUAUUAUUAUUAAUUUCAAUACCCAUCAACACCUUAAUCUAUUUCUCUUCCAAGCCAUCAACAUCCUUUUCUUUCUCAUUGUUUACCAAAAUACUAUUUACUUCCUUUCCUAGGUCAACGUGUUGGCCAUUUCUUUGUUUUUUUUUUUCUUUCAACAUGCCAAAUCCUUCCUACUUACACACAUCUUUCAUCAAAUUUUUUUUCUCCUCUCUAAAGUCAAAACUUUUAACCUCCAUACUCACAAAUUUUAUAUAAUUUUCACAUCCAAAACUAUAUAUAUAUAUAUAUAUAUAUAUAUAUAUAUAUAUAUAUAUAUAUUUGUCUAGAUCUAUUCGUUUGAGUAAUCAAAAUUUGUCGAUCUCCAUUAAUAAAUCAAACCAUGUUCAUAAAUUUUUAACAUUUUUUUAUCUAGAAAUUAAUUAAACGAACUCUAAUCAAAAUCGAGAUAUUCCAAAUAAUAUCUAAAGUGUUCAAAACUAAUUAAUGAAUAUAAAAUAUUAAUUUAAAGAUUAAAAAUCUUACUUGAAAAAUUGAUCUUCAAACCCUGAACCUCCAAAUCUUCAAUUGUAUGCUCUCUAAUCUUUAUGAUCUCUGUGUAAAAGGGUUUUCUGAAUAGAGAGGAUGGGAAAAAUCUAAUUUUUACCUAAGGGUUUUAAAUACCAAAAGACUUUUUUACCCUUAUUAAAUUACUUAAUUAAUUAUUAAUUUCUAAAUUAUGAUUUUACCCCUAAAUUGGGUUUGGGGCAUUACAUGCACACUAUUCCCACUCUUGCAAAGGUUGAGCUCUUGAGAAAACUUAUUACAAUUAUUUGGAUAGGAUUUUUUAGGUAGUUUCCUAUUUCUUUCUAUAUAUUUGCCUUAUUUUUGUAGGUUUCCUACAAUUAUAUAUAUAUAGGAUAUUUUCUCUUCUUUUCUCUAUGAACGAAUAUAUGACUAGGUAAAAUUAAGCUAUAGGUUUCUUAAUGGUAUCAAAGCCAACUUCUUAUUACUAGGAAUAAUGGUUAAAAUAGCAAUGAUAGGUGCUUCCAAUUAUGAUAACAACUUGAAGGAGGCAGAAAGAAAACCUAUCCCUCGUUAGAAUUUUGUGACCAAUGGUCAUGGCACUCUUCUUAGCUAAUUACCUCUCACAAAUUAACUUAAUGGAGAAAAUUAUCUUUAAUGGUCUCAAUUUGUCAAACCUUUCAUUUGUGGGCAUGGACAAAUUGAAUAUUUUAUUAGAGCAACAUCAAUACCACAAGGAACAAUUCUCAUCGAGACAUGGGAAGUAGAGAAGGCCAUGAUUAUGUCAUGGCCGAUCAACUCAAUGGAACUCAAGAUUAGGAAGACAAACAUGUUCAUGCCCAUAACUAGAGAGAUUUAAGAGGUUACAAAGGAAAACUAUUACAACUUGAUAACUUGCCUAGGUCCACAAGAUAGUCAUACAAAUAAAAUACCAACCAAGGUAAUAUGAAUGUAAUUCGGUACUAUAAUACACUCAAACCCCUUUGGUAAGAACUUAAUUUGUUCUAUGAUUAUGAAUAACAUUGUGCACAAGAUAGUGAAAUGUUCUAAAAGAUGAUUGAGAAAGAUCGAGAAUUUGCAUUCCUAGUGGGGUUUAAAUAAUAAAUUAGAUGAGGUUUAAAGUAGAAUUCUUAGUUGUGAAUAAUUCUAGCAAAAUCUGAUACCUCUUUACUUAACACUACCCUAGCUAUAAAAAACAGUAAGCUUCACAUUUCGACCAAUGAUCCAAAAUUCAAAAGGAUCCACAGAAGGCCCUAGUGUGACCAUCAUCUCCUCUAAAUGCUUCUAGAAUUCAAAAUAUCCAUUGACAAGUGAUUAACCAUCAUCUUUUCCAAAUGCAUCCUUAGAUGUCAUAUACCCAACGGUGUUCAAAUUCGUAAGAUAUGACUAAGUCUAGAUAUUAAGAAGAAGGUAUAUCAUCCUCUACCAUUAGAAAGAAGAAGAUAUAUUAUCCUCUACUAGUGAAAGCACAUAUGCCAUCAUCUCAACAAAUCAAGCAUGCGUGAAAAUCUGUCUUCUUAGUCUUUUAAUUGCGGUCAAGAAAAUAUUAAGGAAGUACUUAAUUUGAAGCAUCUCUUCAUCAUCUAUAGUGGUUGUAGUUGCCAAUCCAAUAAUUGUACUCCUUUGAAAGUGGUACAAAUUAUUCUUCCUUAUUCCUUGCAUCACCACAAGUUUACUUGGCAUAACUUUCAAAAUCCCAUCUUUUAUAGUGACAAUAUUGAACCCUAUGGGUUCUAAUUCUCCCAUUGAGAUGAGACACUUAUUCAUACUAGGAACAUACCAAACAUCAUUCAAAAUUUUAGUUAAUUCAUCAUGAGUCUUCAAAUGGAUGGUAUCUAUUAUAGUUAUCUCACAAGCAUUAUCAUUCCCCAUGUAAACAACUCUAUCUUAUAGUUCUUCAAAGCAAUAAAACCACUCCUUUUACAGGAAUGCAUGUGAAGGUGGACCCAAUAUCCAAAAUCCAUUCAUCUAAGUUAUAAAACAAGUAUAAGCAAACCAAAGCAAAGUUUAACCCAUCUUCUCCAAACUUAGCCACACAAGCAUCAAAUACUAUCUCUUCUUUAUUCUUCUUCUGUAGCUUAGGACAAUCAUUAUUCUGACACUACCAAAAUUAAGCAUGGUUGAUCCAUUUAUAUUUACUUUUGCGAUAGAUUUAAGCUGACGCAAAUUUCUAACACACCUAUUCCACUGCAAAUUGAAUUAUCCGUCGCUUAUAUGUAACUAUUUACCAAUGGUAAUUGCAAUAACAAAUACCUGUUAGCAAAAAUAUUAUUGCAAGGGAUUUAAACUAUUGCAAAUGUUCAACUAAUAUACUUUGUCACAAAAGCAAUUUACCUGUUUUUUUUUUUUUUUAUUUUAAAAAAAGUGAAAUUUCAUAAAUAAUUUUUUUAAUGAAAAUUACUACUCACUAAAAUAGUUUUAUUAUAGUGGAUAAUAAUACCACACAUAAUUUGUUCCAAAAAUAAUUGUUGUCUUAUGAAUAUAAAAUCUUUUCACCAUAGUUGUAUGAUAAAUACGAUCUAGCUAGUGACAAAACAAUUUUAUGAUUAUUUUUUUAGGUUCAUACAAUAUUUACAUUUUUUUUAAUCAUAAUAGUUUUAACAUUUUAAUAUUUUUUAACUACUUUUUAUUGUCCAUUUUAGAAAGAAAUAAAUUAAAAAUUAUUGAUAUAUAUAUAUAUAUAUAUAUAUGUUUGUAUGUAUGUGUGUAUGUAUGUAUGUAUGCAUGUAUGUAUAUAUGUAUGAUAUAAUUUAUGAUAUCGAAUAAUAAUAUUUAAAAUUUUAAAAUACAUUUUAUAGAGAUUUAUCUAAUUUGAAUGUAUUCAAUAACAUAAAAAAAAAAUGAUAGUACAUGUAUAAGUAUUUUUAUUUUAAAAUGUUGAUAAUUUUAUUUAUAAAUUUAAAUUUAUUCUAUAUUUAAUUAUUAUACAAAAUACACAAGAAUCAUAAUUAAUUAAUUUAUAAUAAUUUAUAUAUAUAUAUAUUAAUUCAUGCAUGUAUAAUUUAUAUAUGAUAUGUAUUUAUAUAUAGAUAAUAUUUAUAACAUAAAUGCAUAAGGAUACAAUAUUUACAUUUAUGAAUCUUAUAUGCAUUCUUUAUAUUGCACAUAACAAAGUUGAUUUGGUGGCACAGUUGCUUCCUUUCAAACUUGAGGUCAAGAGUUCAGUCUCGAGAAACAGCAUCCAAGCCAAUAUCCAAAACUAGCAAGGAGAGGAGUGUUCAAGAUGCUCCAUGUGAAUGUAAUGAAAUCGAAAUUUCAUGACAACCUAAAAUCUUUUAUUAUUUACAUUUCUCAACCAACUUAAUCCAUCGGUAAUAGUGAUGGUAAAAAUCUAUUGGAUAGUUUUUCACUAAAUAUUUUUUAUUGGCAGUGGAAAAUUCCCAUCGAUAGACUUUUUGCCUACACUCCUUUCCUUGACUACCAUGCAACGGGAUUAUCGGUUGGUAAAUGUUUAUUUAGACCAUGUAUAUCAGUUGAGAAAAGUCAAAUUUCUUGUAGUGUGAUGACCCUUGUCAUGAAAAAGGACACAUUCAUCUUUUGCAAGUAUACAUUUAAAUUAAGAACUGUCUCAUUUUCUAGGUUUUCAACUUUGAGAUUAGGCAUUAACUGUUAAAGCUUCCAAUGAUAUAUCUCUAUGAUUGUUUUGGUCCUUCUUCCUUUAUUCAGAGCUUAGCAAAGUGGAACGCACAACAUCAAAAGUAAUCUUAUCCUUACCAUAAAGUAAAGUGAUGGUAAGAUUUUCUUACACAUCAAGAAGCAAAUUCAAUAACAAUAAGGCCUUAUUCUCAUCUUCAAUGAUCUAAUCUAAAUUCAAAAAAUUUGCUUUGAUUCUAUCAAAUUCAUGCAUAUGAUCAUUCAUAGACAUAUCUAGUUGAUACUAGAAGCAAAUAAGUUUUUUCUUCAAAUAUAGUUGAUUUUCUAGACCUUUUUUCAUUUACUUGUCCUCCAAUGUCUUCCAUAAAUGUUUUUGUGGAUAUCUCUUUCAUAAUGGAAUAAUUUUAAGCAUUAACAAGAAAUAAGUGGAUGGAACUAUAAAAUUGACAAUUGAUCCCUUACUCAUUCUUUGUCAUUCAUGUUUUCAGGUUUUUCUUCCAAAACAAUAUCCAAUUCUUAUUGACAUAUCUAAUUAAUGCCUCUUACUACCACAUUCCAAAAGUACUAGUCCUAUCAAAUUUCACAUUAGUAACCAGAGUUUUAACUAACGAAGUUUUUACCUUUUCUUUUAACUAGUGAAAUAACAAAUAACCUUGAACUAUCUUUGAAACCAACCUUGGAUAGAACUAAGGCUCCUAUACCAUUUUUUUUUUGUGCUUUAACCUAAUCCCACAAGACUUCCAAAAGUACCAAAUAAAAUACAAACUAAACUAGUCCAUAAUAUAAAGAUAAAUAGCAAGAGAAAUAAAAAUAAAAGAGGGUACACAAUAUUUAUGAGGUUUAGUAAGGAUGUCUUACCUAUAUCAUCGGACAAUGAUGAUCAAUCCACUAAUCUUCAAAUCAAAAUUACAAAAUCAAGUUGGGAAAGCUUAUCUCACAAAGUGGAUGCAACUACAAAGAUUGACUGAAGCUACUCUAACAACUUUGCUAAAGUCAUUCUCACACUACUAUAAUGAAAGGACUUAGACUCAUUUAUAGAACCUAAAUAAGUCCCCAAGCCUUGACAAAACUAAUUCAUAAUUCCUAUGGGACAAGGACUCCUAACAUAUAACAAAUUAUGAAAUCAUAAUCCUUAUAGGACAAGGAUCCCUAAAAUAUAUUAAACUCUUAAUUGAGCUAAAAGCCAAUACCUAAUAUAGAACCCACACCAUAUUUGCCAUAACUCUACUAAGUAGCUGGUUGUUAAGCAGAAUUAUCACUUUCAAAAGUUAAAUAAGCAUUUCUUUUUCCUUCCCUUUUCAUUUUUCUUAUCAUCCAAACAACAACAAUAAAAAAUUUAGUGUAACUUUUUGCUUUGAUACUUGUUCUCUCAACUUGCUUGCUUGUGAAUGACCUCCAUAAUCAAAUUAAAUGGAGAAAUAAUGUGGAGUUCCAAGAUAUAGGUAGAAAAGAGUGGACAAAACCCUAGAUCUACAAAAUAGCUAGCAAUUUUGUCUCUAGAUCUCUCAUUGUUGUGGUAAUGGCCAUUGAAGAUGUCAUCACUGAGAAGAUCACAAAGUGAAGAAGGCAUGAUUGAGGGUUGGUAGAGUAGAGAGUUAAGGUAGAAAAUAGCAAAGAUAGGAUUUUGACGUUUUUAGAAUUUGUACAUAAAAAAUAAAUACAAUCCAAAAAUCACUUUGAGAACAUGAUUUUACCUAACCAUGCCAAACACAUUUUUUGUUAUGUGGAAGUGAUAGAAGCGAGAUCAUGCUAGGGUUUUAGAGCCAAAGAGGAUCGGUUGGCAAUGGUGGUGUAGACCCUCCAUUUUGUCCCCCUAGCACACGCCCUAUUAGGUGAUCUUUUAGUAUGCUAUAGUAGUUCCUGGGUAGCCCACGUUACUCGUACAACUAACCUUUUUGAGUCACCUCGAAGACUCUGGUCAAGGGAUUUAUCCGACCCCUUAUUGUGGCCUAGGAUUUUCCUUUCUUUUUUGGACAACUCAUUUAGAUACACUUUUAGGAUAACAUAUCUAGGCACACUCGACCCAUUUAGAUGCACUUGGCCCACUUAGGCUCACUUAGGCCCACCUAAGCUCACUUGGGCCCAUUUUGGCGCGCCUUGAUCCACUUAGGUUUACCUAGUCUUGCUUAGGCCACCUUUUAGAUAUGGUUGCAUGGCUUGUAUGACUAGCAUGUGCUUGAUUUUAUUUUUUUUAUUAGUUUUAUUCAUUUACUUCUUCAUUAUUUAGAAAAUUGCAUGAGAAUUGAGAUUUUAGUUUUUCCUAAUUGCUUGAAUUGAUAUUUCAUAUAUAUUUAUAUAUUUAAUUUAUUCAUUUACUUAUUUUUGUAGGAAAUUGCUUGAGCUUCAUGAUUUUAAUUCUUUUAAUGCGAUUGAUAUUUUAGUUUUAAUUACAUAAUUUUAAUUUUUGAUUUUCAAUUACAAGAUUUUUUUUUUAUCCUACUUUUUAAGUUUUUCAAAUUUUACUAUUUUAUUAUUAAUAUAUGGUUACUAACUUCUAUUUUCUUUUGUUUUAUAGAGAGGAUGUCACUUUGAAAGGUGAACUUACCAUUUUGAAAAGGAAAAGAACCCUAUGAGCUUCACUUUUAAAGAACAUGAUUCCAUACAUUGUUUGAGGAUUAAUUAAGUGGGCAGGUUGCAUAAUUCUCUGUAGGCACAUAGACCUAGACAUUCUUUUUAUUCUUAUUAUUUCCUUGAUUUUCUACUCUUCCAUAUAUUCUCUGCAGGCUGCCAUGUAAAAAUGGAAACAUGUUGCAUAUAAGAGCAAGGUCAACACACAGCCAAAGGAAAGGGUGGCAUACCUACCAUACAGUAGGCAUUCAGAAUCACAAUUGGUGGAAUUUUUAGAAGGAUGAUCAACUUGCCGUUCUGAAUAUGGCAGAACGCUAAAGUGAAAUAAGGAAUGAGAUAUUCGGUUAAGGAAAAUUGAAGGAUUUUGGAAGGCUGGUCAAAGGGACAUUCAGGAUGUUUUUGGAAGGAAGACUCUUCAAGCAAGAUCCAGCAGCACACAAUAAUCAAGAGUGGGGUUUUAUCUUUGGGAAAAGCACACAGCACACGCUGGAUGGGGGAUUUUUCUCCAGCAGACACAAUUGAAGAUUUUCUUGAAGGUAGUAUAGACACACUACCAUUGGGGAUUUUUCUGGUGACACACAUCAUAGAGGCUUUUCCAACAGGCAUGCACCAUAAGUUUGCAAAAUCGACCAUGCUGCCAGAUUUUUAGAGCAGCAACUGCACUGCCAGAUUUUUAGAGCACGCACAUGGGGUUAAAAAAAAAAUAAAAAAUUUCCCCACACAGACUAACCACCAAGAAUUCAUCUUCAUUGGGACACACUUUCCACAGAAAAAUAAAUAGAACCAGUUGCCAUCCACUUUGGAGAGGAAAGCGGCCUACACCUUUGGACUUCGAAACAGCCCCCAUGCAUUAUUGAAAAAGGUAAGUUAAAGCUUUUUUAUUUAAUUUUUUGAUGCGUGAAUAUUAAUUUCGUAAUGGUUUUAGAAUUUUAGUUUUUUUUUAUUUAAUUAAUUCCAUGUCGAUAUUUUCAUCUAUGUGCUUUAGAUUUUUUUAUUUUAAUUAAUUCCAUGUUGAUAUGUUGGUGUUUUCAUAUUUUUAAGUUUAGUUUUUUUCAAUUCGUCCCAUUUAGUUCAAAAGUUUUUAGGUUUUGUUUUGUUUUUUUUUUUUUUUAAUUUAUUAGGUUAUUUGUUUUAUAAGAAAACAUGUGUGAACUUUAAGAUUUCAAUUAGGUAUGUGAAAUGUGGCAGAUUAUUAGAUAUGUUAGCGGCUUGAAUUUAAAAAUAAAAGAGUUAAUAAGUGAAUGUGAAUUGUUGUGAGAUGUUAACUUAGUGGUUUGACUAAAGAAAGAAAAAUCAAUGAAUUGAAAUAACACAUGUUGCCAUGGAUUGAUUGGUGUUGGUGGCCUAGUAAAAUAUAAAAACCAAUGAACUGAAAUAGUGCAUGCCAACCUUGGAUUUAUUUGUGUUAGUGGUAUUUGUUGAGUGAAUAAAAAAUAAAAAUUUGUUUAGGAAUGUUUGGUUAAUUAAUUUAGUGAAUCUCAUGUUUGUGUUUGUGUGUUUCCGAAUUCUUUAAUUUUGAUUUUAAUCCAUUAAUAUUCAAUUUUGUAGUUGAUUAUAAUUUUAGUUAGCUAAUUGAGUUAAUAAAAUGUUAUUAUUUUCCUGUUUUAAGUUUAGUAAUUUUAAUUUUGAUCUAUUAAUAUUUAGUUUGAGUGUAUUAGAGUUUUAGUCAAUUAAUUUAGUUAGUCACAUGUUAUUAUUUUCAUGUUUUAAGUAUGGUAAUUUUGGUUUUGAUCUAUUAAUAUUUAGUGUGAGCUUUUUGUAAUUUUAGCUAAUCAAUCUAGUUAAUUACAUAUUAUUGUUUUCAUAUUUUCAAGUUUGUUAAACUUUGGUUUUUGAUUCAUCAUAUUUUGUUUGAGUGUUAAUUUACUUUAAUUGAUCCUAUGUUAUUAUCUCCAGAUGUUAAGUUUGUUGGUUUUAAUCCUUGAUUGGUUUUUAUCUUAGUUCAUGCACUUCUUGAAUUCUAGAUGUUAGUCUUGGUUAAUAUUUUUGUUAGUUUGUUUAAUUUGGAAGUCAUUAAUUUGUUGCCUUAGUGAUUGAUAGUCAAAUCCUUUUUUUGAAGGCCAUUGGAAACCCAUGAAGUGUGGACCAGUAUUUUUCACGUUUGUCCCCACUCAAACAACGAGACUUGCUUUUAUUUGUGAAAAAUUAAUUUUUGGAAAAGUCGAAGUCGCCAAUUAUUUUAUUUUUAUUUUAAAGUGAAAAUAAAACAAGAAAGAAAACCCUAAAAGGUGACUUCAUAAUUUUUGGAAAAAGUGUCUUUGAAAAACCCGAGUCUAUGUCUGGGGAUCAGGUUACCUAUUGGGAAAGUACCUCUAAAAGGUAGCACCCCUCUAAGCCCUAUAAAGGUCUCUACUAACUACUUUGAGGGAAAUAUGACAAUUAACUGGUUAAUCAUGGAUACUUAAGUAGGCUAGGUGAUUUUGAAAAAUAGCAUGCUUAAUAGGAAAAACAAUCACAAUCAUAAGAAGAUUUAGGUUGUGUACCUGGACUGCUUCUUAAGCGCUAUCACAAGACAUCAAAGUUAGUUCAAAUAGUAUAUCAUCCAACACAUGCGUUUUAUUAGAAAUAAUCGAACAAUGAAACAUGUAUAUCAAAACACUAAAGCACUAUCAAACAUAGGCAUAAUUCACAAUGACAAGCAUAUUCACAGAAUCUAGAAAGUGGGUGAUAGGGGGGACAUACUUGGAUAGCAUAGAUAACUCAUUAUACGCUUCCUCAUGACAUAAGGGGUUCAAUAAUAAAUAAUAAAAUAAGAAAUCCUAGCAUGCUUAAUAUCUAAUUAGCAUAACCAAAAUUAUCAUAGUAUACAAAAGCAUCAAUUAUCACUUACAUCUUGAAUAUAAUUCCUAAAAAAUAAAUAGACAUGAUUACAACAAAUAGCAAGAGUGGUAGCAAAAAUAAGUUUUGAAAAGAUUUUCUUAUGUAGGGGUUUCACCAAUUCCCCAAUCGAUAUACACGAAUUUAGCCUAAAAUUAUCCCAUUCAUUUGGGACCACAAGCUUUGAUUUGUGUUUUGUUCAAAACAUAAAUUUUUAUUGAAAACCGAGAAGGAUGCAGACCGAUCAAGAUAUGGUUGCAUAUUUUAUUUUUAUUUUUUAAAAAGAGAUUUUGAUUCGAUAGACUCAAAAUGAAUUUUCUUUUUGAAUAGAUUUUUUAAAAGGGAUUUUUUGAGAAAAAGUGUUUUGUUUUAAAAUAAAAGAAAUUAAUUUUUAAAAUAACAAAACAUAGAAAACAAAAUACCAACCCAAACAAAAGGAAAUGAAAUCACAAAAUAAAGAUUUAGACAAUCAUGCCAAUUAAAAUGGUGAGAGUAAGGCCAACCUUCAUGAGUUUCUAGUAGCCUUCAAAAAAAGAAUUUGACUAAUAAUCACUAAGGCAACGAACUAAUGACUUCCUAAUCAAACAAACCAAUAAAAAUAUUAUCCAAAACUAACAUCUAGAUUUCAAGAAACACAUAAUAAAAAAAGAACAAUCUAGGAUUAAAGUCAACAAACUUAGCAUAUGGAGAUAAUACUAUAGGGUCAAUUAGGGUGAAUUAACAUUCUAACAAAAUAUGAUAAAUCAAAGACCAAAGUUUAGCAAUCUUGAAAAUAUGAAAACAAUAACAUGCAAUUAACUAGAUUGACUAUCCAAAAUUGCUCAAAACUCGAACUAAAUAUUAAUAGAUCAAAACCAAAAUAUGGCAUACUUAAAAUAUGAAAAAUAAUAACAUGUGAUUGACUAAAUUAAUUAACCGAAACUCUAAAAAUACUAAAACUAAAUAUUGAUGGAUCAAAAUUAAAAUUGUCAUAUUUAAGACAUGAAAAUAAUAACACGUGAUUAAAAUCAAAAUUAACGAAAUCAGAAAAAGCACAAACACAUUCAAACUAAAAAAAAAAAAAUUAAUACUAGAUUAAAUUAGAACUAAAAACAUCAACAUCAUCUAAUAAGAUUGGUUAAACUAUCAAAUAGAAAUUGCAAAUACAUUUAAACUAGAACAAAUAAAUAAAUCAGCAAAUUACAACUAAACUAAAAUUAGAAUUAAAAAUAUGGAAUUCACUUAAGAGGAUUAAUCAAAUAAUUAAAUUAAAAUCAUAAAUGCAUUCAAAUUAUAAAAUAUUAAAAUUAAACUAAAUUGAAAUUAAGCUCUAUCUAAUAAGACUAUUUAAACUAAUGAAUUAAAAUCAACAAAUACAUUUAAGCUAAAAACAUAUUAAAACCAAACCAACUAGGAUUAAAAACACAAACUUUAUUUAACACGAUUAUUUAAACUAAUGAAUUAAGAUCAGUAAAUGCAUUUAAACUAAAAACAAAUUAAGAUCAAACUAACAAGAAUAAAAAAACGCAAACUUUAUUUGACACAAUUAUUUGAACUAAAGAAUUAAUAUCAACAGAUGCAUUUAAACUAAAAACAAAUUAAAAUCAAACAAAUUGGAAUUAAAAACAUAAACUUUAUUCAACAUGAUUAUUUAAACUAAAUAAUUAAGAUCAACAAAUGCAUUUAAACUAAAAACAAUAUAAAAUAAAACUAAUUGGAAUUAAAAACACAAACUUUAUUUGACAUGAUUAUUUAAACUAAAGGAUUAAGAUCAACAAAUGCAUUUAAACUAAAAACAAUAUAAAAUCAAACUAAUUGGAAUUAAAAACACAAACUUUAUUUAAAGAAUUAAGAUCAACAAAUGCAUUUAAACUAAAAAAAAAUUAAAAUAAAACUAAUUGGAAUUAAAAACACAAACUUUUGUUUGACAUGUUUAUUUAAACUAAAGGAUUAAGAUCAACAAAUGCAUUUAAACUAAAAACAAUAUAAAAUCAAACUAAUUGGAAUUAAAAACACAAACUUUAUUUAACAUGAUUAUUUAAACUAAAGAAUUAAGAUCAACAAAUGCAUUUAAACUAAAAAAAAAUUAAAAUCAAACUAAUUGGAAUUAAAAACACAAACUUUAUUUAACAUGAUUAUUUAAACUAAAGAAUUAAGAUCAACAAAUGCAUUUAAACUAAAAACAAAUUAAAAUCAAACUAAUUGGAAUUAAAAACACAAACUUUAUUUAAAUUAUCAUAUAAAUUAAGAUAAACUAGGAUGGAACUUAUGAACUGCAAUCACAAAAAGAAGACAUCUAAUUUAAGAAAAAUAAAAAAAAUUAUACGAAUUGAUAUUCAAAAGAAUUUAUCACAAAAAAAUUGAUUAAACUAACGAACUAAAAUCUAAACUAAAAAAUGCUCUAUCGAAAACGAAAACUAACCUGUGUUGUGUUUGAAAAAAUACUCUCUUGAUGAUUAAAGUGGCAGCCCGAUCUCCUUCUAAAGUCCUUUGCUCUCCUCCAAAAUUCCGUGUGUUCUCUCUAAAAAAGUUCCCUCGCAUGUUCUCUCUAUCUCAAAAAUUCUCUUGUGCGUGUCCUCUCUUUUAAAAAAAUAUCCACAUGUUCUCUCUACCAAAAAAUUCCUCACUCUGGAAUUCCUUCGUGUGUCCUCUCUAAAAAAAUUGCUCUUGUGUGUCGAUCUCCAAAAAAAUCUCCCCUCUCUUCCAUUCCUUCUAUCUUAUUUAUAUAACAGCCCACCCUAUGGAAUAUUUUAUUUCCUUUUUGGAGAUGUACUUCUAACCUUAAAGGAGACCCAACUUUCUAAACUUCUAAUGGCACUUUCUAUUUCAACUGACUUAAUAAAAGAAACAUGCCAACCCAAUGAAUGUUGUCUGAUGGGCCCUUGGUCAUAUUCCCCUUCUCUCUUCCAACCAACAACACCUGUAACUUGUAAAGUUGCAUUGGGGACUAGUUUAUCUGAAAGCUUGGAUGAGAAUGGAGACCGAACUCCUUCUUAGGUAAUGUAGAGCUUCAAAAUUUCUAGAGAAAGAUUUUAUGGAUAACCAAAGUCCAUGAUUUCAUCCAAUAGCUCAUAAAUCAGAACAAAGUUGUUACGAAUAGCAUCUUCAUCGAAAGCCCCACCGAAAUAAGAUUUGAACAAUGCAACAGGCUCAGCAAUAAACUUGAAUGCACAAGUUACAUUGGCAUUGCUACUGACCACAAUCAUAAUGUACACAUUGUUGAUUCUCAUAUAAAAGGAGUAACCUCCAAUCUACCGCAUAGGACAUGUGCUAAGUUCUUUUGUUUGCAUUAUAUGCAUUCGAAAGGCAUUCACCAUGUUUCCCCUAACAUCGUCAUGAUAUAGGUAAUUGAUGAGGACAUCGCCCCGGAGAUUCAAGAAAUAGAUAGCCGAAAUAGCCAUUGACAUCUCCGAUCUAGUGGAUCCGAUGCCAAACAGAUCAAAGAAUGGGGUUCAGAUAUGCGGUGGUUGAGGCCUUGUUUCAACGACGUCGUUUUGAUUGGGUUAGAUCUCAAGCUUUGGAGAUGAUGAACUCAAAUCUCCCAAAUGAGAGUUGCAGUCAAUGCUAUUGAUCUUGUGUUCUAAAUGCAGUGUGGGCAAUAACCCUGACGGAUCUAUAAUAGCAUCUAGGGUUCUGACGCGGGAGAGGUGGAGAAAGGGACGACGACUGUGGUAGGGAUUCACGAUGGGGGGAGAGGAAAGAGUGGUAAGAAUGUUCUUACUGGAGAUAUCGAGGCAAGAGAGAAGAGCUCGAGGGGAAGGAUCGCGGUCAAUGAAGGAGGUGAGGAUAUGGGUACCGUCCUCGACUACAGCGCGGAAGGAGAAGAAGAGAUUAGGUACAGAGGUCAAGUAGUAAAAGUGGAGGCAGAGGAUUGGUCAUGGCGUGAGAUGGAGCUAUGAGGCGAGUCUUCCAUUUCUAUUUUCUCUGCGAGUGUAUAUGGGUCCCCCACCUUAUAGGCUGCUUCUCUUCAACAGUGACUCCCCUCUCCUUGAUCGCUUCAAGUGACAUGCAAAAUUAAAAAAAUAAAAUUGGAAUAAGAAAAUCCUAUGAUUGGAAAUAUAAUAUAAUAAAAUAAAAAAUCAAAUCAUAUGCCAUAAAAAAUCUAAGAUGUCAAUUCAUGGAAUUAAAGAAUGUAUAAAUAAGUGAGUAAAUAAACAAAUAAAUUGACAAGGGUAUAAAAAUAAAUAUUAGACGUAUGCCAUUAGAAAAAAUCAAGAAAUUAAAUUAAUGUAACGGAUCAUAACAAUUUAAAUAUCAAACUCAAACCCUAAAAAAAAUAUAUAUAUAUUCAUUUAAUGCAAUAUAUAGUUAAGCCAAUACUCAUUUUGUCUCGAAAAAAUAAAAUCAAGAACAUGCCUAAAUGAACUAUGCCAAAAGAAGUGUCUAAGUGACCUAUUCUGAAAAAGUGCUUAGGUGGCCUCGGGUGAAUGUGUGAAAGUUGAAAAGUGUCUAGGUGAAUCUAAAUGGGUCAAAGGGAACCUAAAUAGGCCUAAGGUGGUGCCUAAUGGGCCAAGUGUAUCUAAAUAGGCUUAGGGUAAGACUAGGUGGGCCUAACUAAGUCUAACCUAAAGUGCACCUAAGUGAAACUUAAUCUAAACUUGAAAGACAACCAAGAUAGUAAUGUGGAACUGGAUAAACCCCUCAACCAAAGUCUCAAAAGUGGCCCUGAGAAGGUAAGCUACAUGAGUAGGAAUGGCCCAUCAUGUGCUAAAGGGACAAAAUGGAGGGUCUACAAAUAUGCCCCUCUUCGGUAGAGAUCACGAGUGUAGAGAAUGUGAGUUGAAAUAUGAAUAAUGAGUGGAACGAAGUGAACUAUAUUGAAGAACUAAAGAAGGACCAGAGAUUUUGUCUUAGCACAUGACGAGAGUAAGAUUAGAACACGGGGCUGCAACGACAAUGAUGGAACAACUAUAUGUGGGAGGAAUGACAGUAAAGAGGUAAAGGUAUGUGAUGAGUAGCACAAAGAUAGAAAGGGAUAAAAAGAAUGACUAAAGGUCAUGGAUGAGAUAAAUGACUCUGGGUUGUGAGCUUAGGGCUCUAAAUGGAAAAAAAUGACUUUGGGUUGUGAGCUCAAGUCUCUAAAUGGAAAACAAAUGACUUUGGGUUGUGAGCUUAGGGCUCUAAAUGAAAAUAAUGAAUAUGGGUCAUAAAUAAGAAGAACGACUCUAGGUCAUGAGCUCAGGGCUCUAAAUGGAUAGCUGAUCAGGAUGCUUUUCGGCUCAUGGUGUCGGGUCGAGGCCACUCGCAAGUGGCUAGAAUGGUGAAAACAAAACAUCUCAAGGAUGUGAAGGAUGCAAAUGACUUUAGGUCAUAAGCUCAGGGCUCGGGAUGCUAUGAAUGACUCUAGAUCAUGAUACAAUGGGAAACUUAGGGUUACAAUGAAUAGCUUAGGGCUAUGGAUGGAAUGAAUGACUCUAGGUCAUGAUGCAAUUUGUAACUCAAGGUUACAAUGGAUAGCUCAAGGUUAUAAAAACAGCUCAGGGCUGUGAGCUCCAGGCUCUAUGAAUGAUUAGCUUGAAAGAGAGAGCGAUAUGCAAACUCCAGGUCAAACCACUCAUGGGUGAGCAAAUGAUGAAGGCUCAGCUCAAGGCUGGAAAGACUCCGGGUCUUAAAGAAAUGAUAGCUCAAGGCUAUCAGGUUUAGGGCCUAUAAGGAAUAGAUAGCUCAGGGCUAUGAGACUCAAGGUCUAGAAGGAAUGGAUAGCUCAAGGCUACGAGGCUCAGGGCCCAGAAGGAGCAGAUAAAGAAGACCAACUCAAAAGUGGGUAGGAAGUAAAUGAGAUCAAAUUUGUAUACCUAAAAUGCUAAGGUUCGGACUAUUGAACUUAAGAAGGGAAAUAUGCCCUAAUAUCUAGGGUGCUCGCACUGCUAAAACAACCAGUAAAUCAAUCAUCUAUCGAAAUCAAUUGGUUAGAAAUCAAUGCAUCAUGACAAACCUCUGAAAAAUUUAGAUUGAAAGAACUCUCUGUGUUUGAAAAGCUGCUCUGUCGAUGAAUCUCAAAGUGUGUAUAUCAUGGCUCAUCUAAAAGCAAAUCUCAAAGUGCUAUUGCUCAUCUAGAUAACCCAAUCUGCAAGACAACAAUGGUGAAAGCAAUCUAUCUCAAGAACAUCUGGCUAACAAAUCUACCCAUGCUCCUUAAGUGAAACCUGAUGUGAUCCAUUUCUAUCUCAACGAAUCCAUGUAAGGAGGUCUUGAUACAGUCAAUCGUCGGAAGCUCCAGACUAGUCUCAAUUUAAAAUCAAGUUUGUCAUUGUCUCAAUCUCAAGGAUACUCAAAGAAAAUGGGGAAAUAUGCCCAGUAUGAGAUCCGACGUCAAAGUUGUACGGUAAAUAACCAACACCUAUCAUCCAUCCUCGUACUAUUGCCUAAACAAAAUCUCACCAAGGAGAGGGGAAUAUGUUCCAAUAUGAUAUCUGAUGUCAAAGUUGUGAGAUAAACAACCAACAAUGAUCAUCCAUCUAUGUAUCGCUGUCUAAACAUAAUCUCACCAAGGAAAGGGGAGUAUGCUCCGGUAUGGAUAUUUGAUGUACGAUAAAGAAUCCGUCAAAAUCAAUCAAACAUCUUUAUAACCAUAAAUGGGAAUAGCCAUGCCGUCUAACAACAACUAGGAACCUCAGAGAAAAAGGGAAAUAUGCCCCAUUGUGGAUGUCUAAUGCAUGACAAAAUGAUGAAUCCGAUAUCAUCAAUGAACUGUCUCCAAACUCAAAAAUCCAUCAAAUAUCAAUAUGCCAAUCAAGAGAGAUAAUAAAUGCUUCCAAAAGUAUCCUGCAUAAGAGAAAGCAUAAUAACGACUAUACUUCAACCAAUCUAUAAAAACCUGUCAAAGUGAAGACUAUCAAAGAUAACGUCUGAUCUUAUGGCCUCAAGGUGGUCUUAAGACCAGGGACGUAACGUAGGCCAGGGUGAUAGGGUGAAAGAAAUGAAGGGAAACUUGGCUCAAAUACCCAAUGAUCAAACCCAUACCCUCAUGUACAAGAUGUAAUGCAUAGAAAAACCUCAUGAGCCAUGGACUUAAAGGUAACCAAAGGAAAUGUCGAUAUUGAAACAAGAGAGAGGAUAAGUGGUCAAACUGUUAAUGAAACAUGUGGAUGAUGUGUAGAAGGUAUCGGACUAGAAAUGUGUGUCAAUAUGUAGGGAAUGGAUAAAAGGUGGAACGAAGAUCUAGAAAGAGGUGAUGAGAUAUAAAAUAAGGCAAUAAGAAAGUGGAAGGAAUGAUGAUCAACCCAUAUCUGUACAAUAAAGAAAAGUCAUAUCACCAACGAUUGAAUGGUGAUUAAGACAAUGAUUCGGAGACCCUAGUAAGAAGUUCAAUCAUCUCUCAUACCUAAUACAUAUCAACCAUGACCCAAGAAGCAUAGGAUCUCAUAGAAAUCUCACAUGAACUCUUGACACUCCAAAUGCAUAACAAAAGUGGCUCAAAGAGUGAAAACUCAUAUAAAAAUCUCACAAGAAUCCAAAAUGACAAAUAUACCCAAUAAACAUACCUUAAAAGGAGACAUAAGUGUCCAAUGGAGCAAAAUACCAUAUACGAACAUAUCAUUGGGUUUUUUUUUUUUUUUGAAUGCGCAUGUUGUUAUCAUCAAUAAAUCGAACUCCAAUGGGAAAUAUAUAAGGAAUGAACAAACUCUCUCAAGUCACUAAUGAAUACAUGAACCUCAUCCCAUGAGACAACCUCUCAAACUGAAAUCUCCGAAUCAAUGCCAAAUGAUGGGAUGAAUGGAGUGAUAUGAUUGCCCUCUUUGCACCAAGAAGUGAAAAAUCAUCAACACAAAGAAGAUGAGAGAUAAGAUGAAGCAAAUAACGAUAAAAACAAGAAAGAGAAUGAAAAUGUGAUAAUAGUAAAAUAGAACAAACAAUGUGAUAAGGAGAUGGUAACAAGAAUGAGAAGAUAGGCCUAUAAGUCUAAAGUUCAUGAGACUUUCAUAGCAAAGCAUGAAUAUACAUCAAAGGGCCCUAACCUGAGUAUAGAAAUGUUAAUCAAGUCUAUAAGAAAUAAAUAAGGCUAUAACAUACCGUGUGAGGCUCAAUGGGCUAGCAAUGGUAUAAUAUAUUAAUAAAGGUGAUAAAGUGUAAGGCUAACCAAAAUGAUGGCCACCCAUCCUACGACCAUAAUCUCAAACGUAAUACUUCUUCAGCUGAUCCACAUUGGUAGGCUUUGAAAAUUGGUUUCCAUCUAAAUUGGUUAACCAUGCUGCCCCUUUUGGAGUCAACUCUCGAAUAACAUAAGGCCCAUUCCAACUAGGUCUGAACUUCCCUCUAGGGUCUCCAACUAAACCUCUGAGAAUCCUUAAAACCAAAUCCCCAUUUUUGUAAUGGUCUAAGCUUAACCCAUUUCCUGAAGGCACGAGCCAUCUUCCUCUAAUAGGCUUGAACAUGAUCUGCUGCUCUCAAUCUCCUCUCAUCUAAAAGGUUAAGUUGAUCAAAUCGAGCCCGAGCCCACUCUGUCUCAUAAAUCUGUUGCUCAAGGACUACUCUCAAUGAACCCAUCUCUGUCUCAACUAGCAAAAUAGCCUCCAUACCAUACACUAGAAAGUAAGGUGUAGCUCCCGUAGAAAUGCGAAAAGAGGUACAGUAUGCCCACAGUGCAAAAUGGAGUUUCUCUAACCAAUCUCGAGAAGUCUCAACCAUCUUCCUCAAAAUCCUCUUAAUGUUCUUAUUUGUUGUCUGUACUGUCCCAUUGGUCUGUGGCCUAUAUGCAUAAGAUCUAUGAUGUCGAAUGCCAUACUUCCACAACAAAGUAUCUACCUCAGCUCGAAAGUGCACCCCUCUAUCUGAAAUCAACUCAUGAAGAAUCCCAUAGCGGCAAAUGAUGUGUGACCUGAUGAAACGGGCAACUCUAGUAGAUGUUAACCUCGCAUAUGAUGCAGCCUCCACCCACUUGGUGAAAUAAUCUAUGGAGACUAGGAUGAACUCAUGACCAUUGGAAUAUUUUGGUGAAAUCUUCCCAAUAAUAUCAAUACCCAUACUGAAAAUGGUUAUGGCGAGGUCAAAGCAUGUAACUUUGAUGGCGGUGCAUGAAUGAGAUCACCAUGAAUUUGACACUCUGGGCAUUUAUGAAAAAACUGAGAACAAUUUGUCUCCAUAAUCAACCAAAAACACCCUGUCCUCGUAAUCUUACGGGCCAACAUGUGUCCUCCCAUAUGCAGACCACAAACUCUUGCAUGAACCUCUCUCAUCACUUUGUCUACAAAGGCUUAAUCUAAACACAACAGAAGCAUACCAUCAGCUGAUCGCCUAUAUAAGUGAUUACUACCCAAAAAGUGCUAUUUUACACCUUUAAUGCAUUAUGUUUUAAGCACUUUUGUGUAGUAGUUCUCCAUCUUUAGUCCAAUUGGCAUGUUAAGGACCUAGCAAUGUCUUCUAAUCAUAUUUGUGGCUAGUUUUAAUGUUUUGACAGCUUUUUGGAUCAUUAAGACAAGUCAAGCAAAGGAGAGAAGCAAAGAGAAGCAAAGAGAAGCAAAGUGAAAAAAAUCAAGAUGUAGCAGCUGCAGUCUUCUUUCACACUUUUGGAGCACUUUCCGAAGUCCAGUUUUUACAUACUAUAUACCAUUUCAAAGCUAUGGAAGUCAAGAAUCCAACGCUUCAAACCGUGUACGAUUUGGAGCUGAAAUGAGGAAGAUAUGGCCUUCGGAAGCCAACUGCUCCAGGUUAUGCGAAAAUUUCGCAUUCCACAAGAGGUUAUGCGAAAUUCGCAUAACAUUCGCAUAUGGUUCGCAUAACCCAUGCGUGUUGCGAAUUUUGCUCUGCCCUUUGCCGACUCCACUUUAGAUAUUUUCCUUUGUAUUUUGUGAUGUAAUUUCCUUUAUUAUCCUUGUAACUAACCAAUCAUAAGCUUUGGCUUUUGUAAAGACUUUAUAAGGGGUGGAAAUCACCUCUUGGAACAUAUGGAAUACGUAUUACGUUUUUACACUGUGAAUUUUACAGAGCUCUCUCGUUCUCUUUUCUCUUUACUAUUUUCGUUUUCUUGGAAGCCAAACAACCUCUAAGGAUGUUUGCCCGGAGGAUGAGAGGCUAAACUUUCGGUUUCUUGGAGUAAAGGAAGCUAGGUGAAAAGUCCAGAUGAAAAGGUGGAAAGCUUCCAUGCAUUAAAUUCAGGUAGUUGGAAUUCAUAAAUGGCUUCUAAAUCCAAAGUUUUGCUUUAAACCCCUUAGAAUCACUUUGAAUGACCAAUACAUGGUAAGCUUCAGGUCUUUAUGGAUGCUUAUUGCUAGAUUCAUAUUAGUCCAUUAGUUAUCAUGUACGAGUCAUUGGAAAGUGAUUCAAGGUGAAGACCCAUAGUGUCUUAAGCCAUUAAUGGACCUUGACUAUCAUUUCUAUUGAUCUUUUAUGGAUUAAAUCUUCAUUGUCAAACCUACACCGGUUUGGGAAAUAACUAUAGGUUAAAUCCCCAAUGCGAGGAGAAAAAUCCGGAAUUUUCCACUUUCUAUUCUGAACUUGAUCCUAGCAACCCUUAGCUCCGGGAGACUUUCUUUCUUCCAUUUUUAAUUAGUUUAUGUUAGUUUAGUUUCAAACACUUUCAAAACAAAUUUUAUUUUCUUUUAAACUUUAAGUUUUUUAUCAUGGAAAUCAUUAAAUCCAAUUUCUAAUUUUGAGUAUAUCACUGGUAGAAUGGAAACCCAUCCCAGAGUUCGACCCUAGAGCCACUAUACUAUAGUAGCUUUGCUACGUUAGUAUGAGGUCAUAGGUUUUAUAAAUGUUUUUGAUUAAAUGACCCAUUUGGAGUUACAUGCGAAUCAAAAUGGCGCCGUUGCCGGGGAUGGUGCCACAAUACAGUGAUGCAACCUUUUAGAGGCUACUUGUGAUUCCCAUCACAAGUUUGGUGAAUUCCUUUUUCACUAACUUCAUUUCCUUUCAUUUUAUUUUUGUCAGGUUUAUUUUCAUUUUCAUUUUCUUUCUAACCUUAAUUUUUUUUUUCUAGGUUUCUUUUGUUUUUGUUAUUUUUGUUUUAUUUCAGGUAAGUAGUAACUUGUGCAUGCCCUAUUGGAUUCGGGACCAAGAGGGAAGAUUAGUAAGGAUUGAGAAUCCUCAAGACACAGAGUUGGAUAUUUGUGUUAAUAUCAUGGACCCUCCACCAGAGGAUCAGAAUUCUCAACAAGGUCAAGGGGGUAAUCCCAAUGCAUAUUUAUCCAUGAGGGAUAGAAUGCACCCACCAAGGAUGAGUGCACCCUCAUGCAUCAUACCUCCUCUUGAGCAGUUGGUUAUAAGGCCCCAUAUUGUGCCCCUUCUACCAAAUUUCCAUGGAAUGGAGAGUGAGAAUCCAUAUGCCCACAUCAAGGAGUUUGAGGAGGUUUGCAAUACCUUUAGAGAGGGAGGAGCUUCAAUAGACUUGAUGAGACUCAAGCUAUUCCCUUUUACUCUGAAGGACAAGGCAAAAAUAUGGCUUAAUUCUUUAAGGCCAAGGAGCAUAAGGAAUUGGGUUGAUCUUCAGGCCGAAUUUUUGAAGAAAUUUUUCCCCACCCAUAGGACCAAUGGGUUGAAGAGACAAAUCUCAAAUUUUUCUGCUAAAGAAAAUGAGAAGUUCCAUGAAUGUUGGGAAAGGUAUAUGGAGGCCAUCAAUGCUUGUCCUCAUCAUGGCUUUGAUACAUGGCUCUUGGUGAGCUAUUUUUAUGAUGGAAUGUCCUCCUCCAUGAAGCAAAUUCUUGAAACCAUGUGUGGGGGAGAUUUUAUGAGCAAGAAUCCGGAAGAAGCCAUGGACUUUUUAAGUUAUGUGUCUGAAGUGUCAAGAGGAUGGGAUGAGCCCAACUCAAGAGAAAAAGGGAAGUUUCCCUCUCAACCAACCCAAAAUCCAAAAGGUGGAAUGUACGUAUUAAGUGAAGACAUGGACAUGAAAGCUAAAGUGGCAACAAUAGCAAGGAAGUUGGAAGAACUUGAGUUGAAAAAGAUACAUGAAGUCCAAGCCAUUUCCGAGACCCAAGCCCAUGUCAUGCCAUGCACCAUUUGCCAAUCAUGUGAUCAUGUGGUAGAUGAGUGCCCAACCAUGCCAGCUGUGAGGGAGAUGUUAGGUGAUCAAGCCAAUGUUGUGGGGCAAUUUAGGCCUAACAACAGUGCACCUUAUGGAAACACCUAUAAUUCAAGUUGGAGAAACCAUCCAAAUUUUUCAUGGAAACCAAGACCACCUCCAUACCAACCACAAGGCCAAACCCAAGCACCUCAACAAACCUCUUCAGUGGAGCAAGCCAUUGUGAACCUAAGUAAAGUCAUGGGUGACUUUGUGGGUGAACAAAAGGCAAUCAACUCCCAAUUGCAUCAAAAGAUUGAAAAUGUUGAGAGUUCUCAAAUUAAGAGAAUGGAGGGGAUGCAAAAUGAUCUAUCUCAGAAGAUAGAUAAUAUUCAAUACUCCAUCUCUAGGCUUACCAACCUCAACACUGUGAAUGAAAAGGGAAAGUUUCCCUCUCAACCAAGCCAAAAUCCCAAGGGUGUUCAUGAAGUUGAAACCCAAGAGGGGGAGUCUUCAAAGUUGAGGGAGGUUAAAGCUUUGAUCACUUUAAGGAGUGGAAAAGAGGUUGAUCAACCCCUGCCUAAGGUGAAGCAAGAUGAAGAACUCAUGUCAAAGAAAACCUUGGUCAAAGAGAGCAAUAACCAAGAAGAGAAGAGUGGGAAGAAAAAUGCAUCCAAAUCAAGCAUUGAAGAAGAGCCAAGGAUAGUGAUUAAAGAGGAUAUGAUGAAGAAACAUAUGCCUCCCCCUUUUCCUCAAGCUUUACAUGGAAAGAAGGAAAUCAAGAAUUCAUCAGAAAUUCUUGAAGUCUUGAGACAAGUGAAGGUGAAUAUACCCUUACUUGAUAUGAUCAAGCAAGUCCCCACAUAUGCAAAGUUUCAAAAGGACUUGUGCACGGUCAAGAGAGGGUUACAUGUGACAAAGAAUGCAUUCCUCACUGAGCAAGUAAGUGCUAUCAUUCAGAGUAAGUCUCCAGUUAAGUAUAAAGAUCCGGGAUGUCCCACCAUUUCAGUCAACAUUGGAGGGACACAAGUGGAGAAAGCUUUACUAGACUUGGGGGCAAGUGUGAAUUUGCUCCCAUACUCUGUGUACAAGCAACUGGGACUUGGAGGAUUGAAGCCCACAGCCAUCACUCUCUCCUUAGCUGAUAGGUCAGUAAAAAUCCCAAGGGGGGUGAUAGAGGAUGUUCUAGUUCAAGUGGACAAAUUCUACUAUCUUGUGGAUUUUGUUGUGCUUGAUACUGAUCCCACAGUGAAGGAAGCAAACUAUGUACCAAUUAUCCUUGGGAGACCUUUCCUAGCUACCUCCAAUGCCAUCAUCAAUUGUAGAAAUGGGGUGAUGCAGCUCACAUUUGGGAAUAUGACCUUGGAAUUAAACAUAUUCCACCUAUGCAAGAGGCAUCUUCACCCAGAAGAAGAGGAAGGAUUAGAGGAGGUGUGCUUGAUCAACACCUUGGUUGAAGAGCAUUGUGACAAGAAUUUACAAGAGAGCUUGAAUGAAAGCCUUGAAAUGUUUGAAGAAGGGUUACCUACACCCUCUGAUGUUCUACCUAUCAUGUCUCCUUGGAGGAGACAGCAAGAGAUCUUACCACUGUUCAACCAAGAAGACUCACAAGAAGCAACUGUGGAUGACCCUCCAAAGCUUGUUUUGAAGCCGCUCCCUGUUAAUUUGAAAUAUGCAUAUUUGGAGGAAAAUGAGAAAUGUCCAGUGGUGGUUUCUUCAACUCUUACUAGUGAUCAAGAGGAUAAUCUUUUGGGAGUCCUCAGGAAAUGCAAGAAAGCCAUUGGAUGGCAAAUUUCUGAUCUGAAAGGGAUUAGCCCUUUGGUGUGCACCCACCAUAUUUAUAUGGAGGAUGAUGCAAAACUAGUGAGGCAGCCCCAGAGGAGGUUGAAUCCUCACAUGCAAGAGGUGGCGAGGGGUGAAGUUCUGAAGCUACUCCAAGCUGGGAUCAUAUAUCCCAUUUCAGACAGUUUGUGGGUGAGCCCCACCCAAGUAGUCCCAAAGAAAUCUGGAAUCACUAUGGUCCAGAAUGAGAAAGGGGAGGAAGUCUCUACACGCCCUACCUCAGGAUGGAGGGUGUGUAUAGACUACAGGAGGUUGAAUUCAGUGACUAGGAAGGACCAUUUCCCAUUGCCUUUCAUGGACCAAGUCCUUGAGAGAGUCUCAGGACAUCCUUUCUACUUUUUUCUGGAUGGGUACUCGGGGUACUUCCAAAUAGAGAUUGAUUUGGAAGAUCAAGAAAAGACAACCUUCACUUGCCCCUUUGGUACUUUUGUGUAUAGGAGAAUGCCCUUUGGUCUAUGCAAUGCUCCUGCAACUUUCCAAAGAUGUAUGCUGAGCAUCUUCAGUGAUAUGGUGGAGCGCAUCAUGGAAGUCUUCAUGGAUGACAUCACUGUUUAUGGAAGUUCUUAUGAGGAGUGUUUGUUGCAUUUAGAAGCUGUUCUCCAAAGAUGUAUUGAGAAAGACCUAGUGCUAAAUUGGGAGAAGUGCCAUUUUAUGGUACAACAAGGAAUUGUCUUAGGACAUAUCAUCUCCAAGAAGGGCAUUGAGGUAGAUAAGGCUAAGGUGGAGCUUAUUGUUAAGUUGCCACCUCCCACAAAUGUUAAGGGAAUUAGGCAAUUCCUUGGACAUGCCGGGUUCUAUAGGAGGUUCAUUAAGGAUUUCUCAAAAAUCUCAAAGCCUCUUUGUGAACUCUUGGUAAAAGAUGCCAAGUUUGUGUGGGAUGAGAAGUGUCAGAAGAGUUUUGAGGAACUGAAGCAAUUCCUCACAACUGCACCAAUAGUGAGAGCCCCAAAUUGGAAGUUACCUUUUGAGGUAAUGUGUGAUGCAAGUGACCUUGCUAUGGGGGCUGUCUUAGGGCAAAGAGAAGAUGGAAAGCCCUAUGUAAUUUAUUAUGCUAGCAAAACUUUGAACGAGGCUUAAAGGAACUACACAACUACUGAGAAGGAGUUGUUGGCAGUAGUUUUUGCCUUGGAUAAGUUUCGUGCUUAUUUGGUAGGGUCCUCUAUAGUGGUGUUCACUGACCAUUCCGCUUUGAAGUACUUGCUAACCAAGCAAGAUGCCAAGGCAAGAUUGAUAAGAUGGAUCCUUUUGCUCCAAGAAUUCAAUCUCCAAAUCCGGGAUAAAAAGGGGAUAGAAAAUGUGGUAGCUGACCACUUGUCAAGACUUGUGAUAUCACGUGACUCACAUGGUCUGCCUAUCAAUGAUGACUUCCCUGAGGAGUCUCUCAUGUCAAUAGAGGUAGCUCCAUGGUAUUCUCACAUUGCAAAUUUCUUGGUUACUGGAGAAGUACCAAGUGAGUGGAGUACCCAAGACAAGAGGCAUUUCUUUGCUAAGAUCCAUGCCUAUUAUUGGGAGGAGCCUUUUCUCUUCAAAUAUUGUGCGGAUCAAAUCAUAAGGAAAUGUGUUCCUGAACAAGAGCAAUCAGGAAUUCUUUCCCAUUGCCAUGAUAAUGCAUGUGGAGGUCAUUUUGCCUCAUAGAAAACAGUAAUGAAAGUGAUCCAAUCAGGUUUUUGGUGGCCCUCUCUUUUCAAGGAUGCCCACUCUAUGUGCAAGGGAUGUGAUCGGUGUCAAAGGCUUGGUAAGCUAACACGCCGAAAUAUGAUGCCCUUGAAUCCCAUCUUGAUAGUGGAUGUCUUUGAUGUUUAGGGGAUAGACUUCAUGAGACCAUUUCCAAUGUUGUUUGGACAUUCCUACAUUUUGGUGGGAGUGGAUUAUGUCUCUAAGUGGGUAGAAGCAAUCCCAUGUAGGAGCAAUGAUCAUAAGGUGGUUCUUAGAUUCCUCAAGGACAACAUCUUUGCAAGAUUUGGUGUGCCUAAGGCCAUUAUCAGUGAUGGAGGAACCCACUUUUGCAAUAAACCUUUUGAGACUCUUCUAGCCAAGUAUGGGGUUAAGCACAAGGUAGCUACACCUUAUCACCCUCAAACAAGUGGCCAAGUUGAGUUAGCCAACCGGGAAAUCAAGAAUAUAUUGAUGAAGGUGGUGANNNNNNNNNNNNNNNNNNNNNNNNNNNNNNNNNNNNNNNNNNNNNNNNNNNNNNNNNNNNNNNNNNNNNNNNNNNNNNNNNNNNNNNNNNNNNNNNNNNNCAUUGCCAUGAUAAUGCAUGUGGAGGUCAUUUUGCCUCCCAGAAAACAGCAAUGAAAGUGAUCCAAUCAGGUUUUUGGUGGCCCUCUCUUUUCAAGGAUGCCCACUUUAUGUGCAAGGGAUGUGAUCGGUGUCAAAGGCUUGGUAAGCUAACACGCCGAAAUAUGAUGCCCUUGAAUCCCAUCUUGAUAGUGGAUGUCUUUGAUGUUUGGGGGAUAGACUUCAUGGGACCAUUUCCAAUGUCGUUUGGACAUUCCUACAUUUUGGUGGGAGUGGAUUAUGUCUCUAAGUGGGUAGAAGCAAUCCCAUGUAGGAGCAAUGAUCAUAAGGUGGUUCUUAGAUUCCUCAAGGACAACAUCUUUGCAAGAUUUGGUGUGCCUAAGGCCAUUAUCAGUGAUGGAGGAACCCACUUUUGCAAUAAACCUUUUGAGACUCUUCUAGCCAAGUAUGGGGUUAAGCACAAGGUAGCUACACCUUAUCACCCUCAAACAAGUGGCCAAGUUGAGUUAGCCAACCGGGAAAUCAAGAAUAUAUUGAUGAAGGUGGUGAAUGUGAAUAGGAAGGAUUGGUCUAUUAAGCUCUUAGAUUCCCUAUGGGCUUAUAGGACCGCUUACAAGACCAUUCUUGGGAUGUCUCCUUAUCGCCUUGUUUAUGGCAAAGCGUGUCACCUUCCAGUGGAGAUUGAAUAUAAAGCAUGGUGGGCAAUCAAGAAGCUCAACAUGGAUUUGACAAGAGCCGGGUUGAAGAGAUGUUUGGAUUUGAAUGAAUUGGAGGAAAUGAGGAAUGAUGCUUACCUCAAUUCAAAAAUUGCAAAAGAGAGGUUGAAGAAAUGGCAUGAUCAAUUGGUAAAUCAAAAGAAUUUUGCCAAGGGACAAAGAGUCUUGCUUUAUGACUCUAAGCUUCAUCUUUUUCCGGGAAAAUUGAAAUCAAGAUGGACGGGUCCUUUCAUAAUUCAUGAUGUGAAAUCAAAUGGAGUAGUGGAACUACUCAACUUCAAUAGCACUCGAACUUUCAAAGUGAAUGAGCAUCGUCUUAAGCCUUAUAUAGAAUCAUUUUCCCGAGACAAGGAGGAAUUCAUCCUCCUUGAUCCACCUCCAACAUGAAAAUACUUGGUUUAUGGUUGAACUUAGUCUCUUCAAAGACUAAAGAGUUCAUCCUCUUUUUGUUUUCUUUUAAGUUGAUUUUAAUUUAAUCUAGUUUUUUUUUCUUGUGUUUUUCCAUGUUUUGAUUUUUUUUUUUUGACUUUAAUGCCGUUCUAAUGUGUUUUUAAUUGGUUUUUUGGGUUAACAUUUAGGUGGGAAAGCUUGAGGAAUGAAGUCAUGGUGAAAGUAAGGCAAAACAGGGGAGAAAAAAACAAGUUUCAGCCAUUUUCGAAACCCCCCCCCCAUAUGCGAAAUUUUCGCAUAACACACCCCUUAUGCGAAAAUGCUUUUGUGGCAAUUUAAAAAAAAACAUGCUCUCGGUCCCUUCCCAAAAUCCCUUAUGCGAAUUUCACAGGAAUGCGAACCAUAUGCCAACCAUAUGCGAAUUCGUUUUUGAGACAAAUUUGCAAAACCAUGCUCUCUGUCUGGGUUCUCACAGGAAUGCGAAAUUUUCGCAUAACAUAAGGGGUAAUGCGAAAUUUGCAUUUCCUCUUUAAAGACCGUGUUCUUCUCUUCCCAUGCUCAAUUUCUUCUUCAUUUCUCAUAGCACCUCUCUUCCAAUCACCAAAUCCCUUCAUUAAGUUUCUUUUCUUCAUCAUUCCUCAAUCUCAACACCACCAUGGCAGCCCAUCUCCAUAACUCCACCUCAUAGUCGCGGCAGUCACUAUUCAUCACCGUCCACCCCUUCAAUUUUCAGCUCUUUCCACCAUCAAAAACCUCCCAAUUCCUCACUCAACACUAUAAAUCCAACCCUCAACCAAUUUCAGCCUUGUAUUCACCAAUUCAAAACCUCAAGCUAAGCAUUCAAGCCACGUUUUCUUCAAAGAGAACCCAUGGCCGCCGGGUAGAGGAGCUCCAAUUUUCAAAAUUUCUUCGUGAAAAAGCUCCAAUUUCCAAGCCUAUUCACCAUGAAAAAUUCUUUUCUUACCUUAGCCAGCAUUUCCCACCCUCAAAAGCCAAAAAUUUCCACAAUUUGAAUGAGCUUCAAAACUUCAAGUGGGCGUGUGAAUAGUGCAUAUGCGAAAUUUUUGCAUUCCAUCAUGUGUUAUGCGAAAUUCGCAUAACCCCCCCCCCCCCCCCAAAGGGAAAAUUUUACAAAAACCCCACCCUGGGGCAAUUUUUCACUUUUUUCCUCUCUGCCCCCCCCCAACCCAAACCCGGGGGGCCCCAUUCAUUACUUUCUUAAGCCCAAAAACCCCAGGGGGAAUACCCCCGCCCCCCCAAGCAAUGGGAAAAACCGCCCUGGGGGGGGCCCNNNNNNNNNNNNNNNNNNNNNNNNNNNNNNNNNNNNNNNNNNNNNNNNNNNNNNNNNNNNNNNNNNNNNNNNNNNNNNNNNNNNNNNNNNNNNNNNNNNNCCCCCCCCCCCCCCCAUAUGCGAAAUUUUCGUAUAACCCCUACCUUGUGCCAAUUUUUCACUUUUUCCAUCUCUGCCCUCCCCAAUCCAAAGCCUAUGAGCCUCAUUUCAUUACUUCAUUAUGCCUAAGACCCGAGGAGGACAUACCUCAGCUCCCCAGAGCAGUGAGAGAGCCACCCCUAUGCGGGCCCCACUAGAUGCGCUGCCACAUUUAGCUGAUUCUGCCUCUCAGAGCAGAUACCAUACGAGAAGAGCAUCUGCCACACCUAUGGCCCCUACUCAGAUUCCACUUUGGGGUCCUCCUACAAAGAAAGCCAAGACUUCAAAGCCAGGAGAGUCCUCUAGAGCACCUCGGGAUUCACAGUCUCAACCGCCCAUCACUAUCCCUGGUUUAGAGUACCGUGCCUUGCUCGGUUCUUUUCAGACUCUGACCACUACUCAGACGGCCAUUAUGGAGCGCAUGGACUACUUCCAGAUUCAGCAGGAGCAGCAGACUCUCAUUCUCCGUGAGAUUCAGCAGCACCUCGGUCUUGUGCCAUCAGCUCCACCUGUAGCGGUGCCUUCCUCAGUUCCAGCAGAGGACCCCUCCUAUCCACCAGAGGAGCCUACUACUUGAUCAUACGAUCACUCCUCUCCCUUUUUUUUUUUUUUUUUAUCUAUAUUCUAUGUUUUUUGGAUGUCUUAUGUAUUUUGGACCACCUUUAUAUUGGGAUUGGAUAUAUUCCAUGUUUGUCUUGUAUAUUGUACUCUCUCAGUUUAUAUAGACAUCUUCCUUUUUGUGUAUUUUAGCUAUUCCUUUUUAUUUCCUCUAAUCAUCACUCUUAUGAUUUUUCUUUUCUUAUGCAACAUGUGGUUUCUCCUCUCUAUUCAGAGUACCUUACUAUAAGGAGGUAUCACUUCCUCCCUUUUAUUACCAUUUGCUUUUAGAACAUUGGGGACAAUGUUCAUCCUAGUUGGGGGGAGAGUUGAGGAAGUAAAUUGUUGAAUUUUUUUGGUUAAGUUAUUUUGCUAACAAAUUUUUUGCAAACUCUCCUUGUUUUCUUAAAGAUAAAUUCUCAAAAAUAAAUAGGAGAAAUUAAAUUCUUAUCUUAUUGCCAUAGUCUUAGAGUUUGUAUUAUGCUUAUUAAAGUUGAUAAAUUGUUGAAGCUCCUUUUGAUUUCAAUCUUAAGUCUUCCACUCUAAUCUUUUCACACACUGAACACAUUAGAUUCCAGUUAUAAGAUGGAAAACUUUUUCACCCCCUAAACUUAGGAAAUUUUUGACUUGGUACCAUUGACUUCAUUCUAUUAGUGUUGGGACACCUUAUAAAAGGCCAAUGUGUCUUAUGAAAAAAAUUUUGCUUCACUUGCUUUGAAACCCGAGCAAGGUCCGAGGGGUAUAUGGUGAAAAUCUUUAAAACCUGGUGCCCUAAGCCUUCAAUGGUUGGGAGCCACCGACCUCACUGCUCGUUACAUGGGUGGAUGGGUGGAGUAUAUUAAAAAUAAAAAUAAAAAAAAGAAAAAAAGAAAAAGAAGAGGUGCGUUCUUAGCCUUCUAUAUAUGAGUUAGUGUUGCUAAAGUUAGAGAAAAACCUUAGUUGGGAGGAGAAUAUAGUUUGACACACUAUAACUGGAAACUAAGCAUCUUAACACUUAGAUUUUUGUGGAAGAUUAAGAGUUGGUCCUUUGGGAGUGGAAAUUAUUUUGAUACUCAAAUUUGCAUAAUGCCCGCUUUUUGAAUGUUGUGAUAGGUAAGUUAUUUGAUGACUCUUGUUGAUGAUUGAGUUUUAUAUCCUUGACUAUUCACAAGAGAGUUUGAUCCAAUCAUGCCACUUGGUUAUUUUUUGGAGUGAUCAGCAUGAUUUUGUAAAAUAUUAUAUUAUCUAUUCUUCUUUAUUUUUCUUUCCUUCAUUGCUCAGGGACUAGCAAUGUGUCAGUUGGGGGGAGUGAUUACUACCCAAAAAGUGCUAUUUUACACCUUUAAUGCAUUAUGUUUUAAGCACUUUUGUGUAGUAGUUCUCCAUCUUUAGUCCAAUUGGCAUGUUAAGGACCUAGCAAUGUCUUCUAAUCAUAUUUGUGGCUAGUUUUAAUGUUUUGACAGCUUUUUGGAUCAUUAAGACAAGUCAAGCAAAGGAGAGAAGCAAAGAGAAGCAAAGUGAAAAAAAUCAAGAUGUAGCAGCUGCAGUCUUAUUUCACACUUUUGGAGCACUUUCCGAAGUCCAUUUUUUACAUGCUGUAUACCAUUUCAAAGCUCUGGAAGUCAAGAAUCCAACGCUUCAAACCGUGUACGAUUUGGAGCUGAAAUGAGGAAGAUAUGGCCUUCGGAAGCCAACUGCUCCAGGUUAUGCGAAAAUUUCGCAUUCCACAAGAGGUUAUGCGAAAUUCGCAUAACAUUCGCAUAUGGUUCGCAUAACCCAUGCGUGUUGCGAAUUUUGCUCUGCCCUUUGCCGACUCCACUUUAGAUAUUUUCCUUUGUAUUUUGUGAUGUAAUUUCCUUUAUUAUCCUUGUAACUAACCAAUCAUAAGCUUUGGCUUUUGUAAAGACUUUAUAAGGGGUGGAAAUCACCUCUUGGAACAUAUGGAAUACGUAUUACAUUUUUACACUGUGAAUUUUACAGAGCUCUCUCGUUCUCUUUUCUCUUUACUAUUUUCGUUUUCUUGGAAGCCAAAAAACCUCUAAGGAUGUUUGCCCGGAGGAUGAGAGGCUAAACUUUCGGUUUCUUGGAGUAAAGGAAGCUAGGUGAAAAGUCCAGAUGAAAAGGUGGAAAGCUUCCAUGCAUUAAAUUCAGGUAGUUGGAAUUCAUAAAUGGCUUCUAAAUCCAAAGUUUUGCUUUAAACCCCUUAGAAUCACUUUGAAUGACCAAUACAUGGUAAGCUUCAGGUCUUUAUGGAUGCUUAUUGCUAGAUUCAUAUUAGUCCAUUAGUUAUCAUGUACGAGUCAUUGGAAAGUGAUUCAAGGUGAAGACCCAUAGUGUCUUAAGCCAUUAAUGGACCUUGACUAUCAUUUCUAUUGAUCUUUUAUGGAUUAAAUCUUCAUUGUCAAACCUACACUGGUUCGGGAAAUAACUAUAGGUUAAAUCCCCAAUGCGAGGAGAAAAAUCCGGAAUUUUCCACUUUCUAUUCUGAACUUGAUCCUAGCAACCCUUAGCUCCGGGAGACUUUCUUUCUUCCAUUUUUAAUUAGUUUAUGUUAGUUUAGUUUCAAACACUUUCAAAACAAAUUUUAUUUUCUUUUAAACUUUAAGUUUUUGAUCAAGGAAAUCAUUAAAUCCAAUUUCUAAUUUUGAGUAUAUCACUGGUAGAAUGAAAACCCAUCCCAGAGUUCGACCCUAGAGCCACUAUACUAUAGUAGCUUUGCUACGUUAGUAUGAGGUCAUAGGUUUUAUAAAUGUUUUUGAUUAAAUGACCCGAUUGGAGUUACACGCGAAUCAAUAAGGUAUCUCCACAAAUCAUAAAUCUAGUGGCUAACUGUCUCAAUGCUCUUCGAUCCUUAGCUAUGGCUACCUCAAGAUAUGUGCCAGAUCUAAGAAACUGAUAAAUGUCAUGAUAUCAAGGUAGAUCAUCCUGGACCUCUGUCUCUCCAAUCAAACAACAGUAGGUGGGUGCAGACCUCAACUCAAUUAGCAAUGGAUGUACUACUACAUCAAUCGGAAUGUCCAUAGAAGAAGCUAGGGUAGCUAAGGCGUUAGCAAACUGGUUUUGCAAUCUAGGAAAAUGAACAUAUCUCAAGUCAUCAAAUCUCGCAACUAGUAACUCCAAGUAAGCGUGAUACGACCUAAGCUUCACAUCUCUAGCCUUCCAAUCUCCUUAAAUCUGUCUGAGUACCAAAUUAGAGUCACCAAAUACCUCAAUUUGUCUAAUGCCAAGCUCCAAUACAGUCUCUCAACCAAGGAUACAAGCCUCAUACUCAAUUAUAUUAUUCAUGAUAAGUGUCAAUCAAGGAAUGCCAAACAAAUAGACCUCGAAAUGUGAUCAUCCUGAGGGGAUACCAACAAAACACCUAUCCCAUACCCUGAUUGAUUAGCUGCACCAUCAAAGUACAUGCACCAUCCUGAUAAGCUAGUCAUAACAAUAAACUCCUCAUCUAAAAAAUCAUCAUCAACUGGUCUAUCCUUAGAUGUCAGUAGUGAGGCUAAGUGAUUGGCGACAAUACUUCCCUUAAUAGACUUUUGAGAAACAUAUUGAAUAUCAAACUCUGUCAAAAGUACGAGCCAUCUCAUCAGUCUACUAGUCAAUACAGGUCUAUCAAAUAGAAAUCUCAAUAGAUCUAGGCGGGAUAUCAAAUGCACUGAAAUCUUUGUCAUGUAAUGCCUCAAUUUCUUGGUAGCCUAAGGUAGUGCUAAGUAAAGGUGCUCAAUCAUAACAUAUCUCAUCUUAUACUCUAACAUCCUCUUACUUGGAUAGUAAAUAGCUCGCUCCCUCCCUAAGUCAUCAAGCUGAGCUAAAAUACAUCCUAAGGUCAUGUCUGAAACUGACAAAUACAAAAGAAGUGAAGGUCCCAACAUAGGAGGCAUUAGAAUAGGAGGAGAAAUCAAGUACUCCUUGAUCUUCUCAAAUGCAAGUUGGUAAUCAUCAUUCCAAAUUGUUGGUGAUUCAUGCCCAAUUGGUGUCUCAGCUGAUUUGUGUCCAGCUGCUGCUCCUUGAUUGAGGGAGUAAUCAACAAAAUUUGUAACCUAUAACACCAUAUACUAGGGUAGCAAAGAAAAAGCUACUAUAGUAUAGUGGCUUUAGGAUCGUCCACUGGGAAAGAUUAACAAGCUCUCAAUGAUACCAAUUCCAAGUGAAUUGGUUUUGUUUCAUUUCAUGGUUAGCUUAAGAAGUAAAACACAAACUUUGAUUGGUAAAGGUUUAGACUUAAACUAACUAACAUAACAGAAGUUUGGAAUAAUUUAGGAAGAAAAGCAUUCCCUGGAGAGUUAGGUUCACUGGGGUGGUUCCUCAUGCAAAAGACAUAGCUCCGGUCAGAUGGUUCAUUUCCUCGCGUUAGAGAUUCAACAUAUAGUCAAUUCUCUAACCGGUAUUGUACAGAGACUCCUUCAAUUAGAUUUCACUUUAAUUCUCUCACUGAUGCAACUUGCAAUGAUUUAAGCCUCUCACUAAGCCUUAACCAUUCAAGGUGAUCUUUAACCUUGGAUUACCCGUCAAAAGCUCGCAAGAGAUAACUAAUGGAUGUCUCCUAGGAGUCCAAAAGCUUACCAAGUGUUGGCUAUUCUAGAAAAUCCUACCUUGAAGUCACCUCCCAGAGGCUCACAAGGGGUAAACUAGUGCAUUUCCAUGGUUGGAAAUCACUUGCCUUACCAAGUGUUGGCCGAGGUGACUCUAAGGUGUUUUAAGUUAACUAAAAACAUAGAAAUCACUAAAGGAUUUCACUUCCUCUUCAUUACUAGCUAAAACCACAGAGCUUUGCAUUCUUGCACUUGGAACCUUCCCCGGCAACCUUAGCUCCAAGGAACUAGAGGUUUAGUUACUCAUUCUCUGGGGAAAACUCCUCAGAGAGUUCAUAACUUAGUAAGAAAAUGAAAAUACAAAGUGAGAAGGUAAGGCAGUAGAAAGAAAAUAAACUUUACUUGCUUACCCAAACUUUUACAGAAGGAACUCCUCCCUGAGAACAGGCUCCCGAGAGGUAUAUAUAUGAACAUAAUAUAAAACUAAUUAUUACAUAGAUAUUUAGUCUUUUUACUAACUUAAAAGCUAAGGAAUCAUGUAAUUGGUGGUUUACAAGGAGUAUUUUGGGAUUUAGACAACAAAAAUAUGAUGGAAAAUAUCUCCCAAUGUCGGUAGCAAAUAUCGGGAGGCUUCAAGAAUCAUUUCGCAGGAGAAAAAUGGUGUCUGCGAGAUUUCGCAGACACUCAAGAGGGCUGCGAAAUAAUUUCGCAACACCAAGCUAUAUUCACAGGGCUGCGAAAUUGGCUUCCACCUUGAGGUUCCCAGCUUCCUUCUCGCGGCAUAAAUCGGGCAUCGUCAGAAGGAGAAACAUUACACUGUUCAAAAAGGCUGCGAAAUCACUUCGCAACAAAAGGGUGAUUUCGCAACACUUUGCAAAAUGCUUCCUUCAGCUAGGAGUGAUUGGCUUGUAAUGGCUGCAACUUCUUCGUUUCAACUCCGAAUUGCACACCGUUUAAAGAAUUGGAUUGUUGACUUCUUGAGCUUUGAAAUGGUAUAUAGCAUGCAUCAUCUGGACUUCAGAAAGUGCUCUAAAAGUGGUUGUUACGACUCUCAUCAAGAAUAUGCUUUAUGGCAGAUUCUCUUUGCUUUUUUCUCCUUGCAAUCCGGAUUUACUCUUGGCAAAUGAUUUCUAAGCUUUGCCCAAGAUUCCUUAUAGCUCUCCUCAGUCUUGACUUGCUUUGGUGAUCAAAAUACUAACAAAAACACCAAAACUUACACAAAGUGAUCAAAAUUGUUUUCAAGGGUCCUUAACAUGCCAAUUGAGUUAAAAGGCCAAAACUACUACUCAAAAGUGUUUAAAAGGAUUAAUUAUAAGCUAUCAAAUAGCACUUUUUGAGUAGUAAUCAGUUGGCUGAUUCUUUCUCAAAAGACGAAAAAUGGGCUCACAUAUGUCUAUCAAUCUGGCUAUGAAUCAACUGAUAUACUGUAAUUUGCCUAGAAAACCCCUGAUAUCUUUCUUAGUCUUUGAUACAAGCAUGUCAAGUAUGGCUUUGAUCUUAUCUGGGUCGACCUCUAUGCCCCUCUCACGAACCAUAUGCCCCAAUAAUUUCCUAGAAGUCACUCCAAAGGUGCACUUCUUUGGAUUCAGCCUCAAUCUGAAUUUUUGGAUUCUCUCAAAGAAUCUCUCUAGAGCUUCUAGGUGAUUUGCUCUGCCUCAGGAUUUCAAAAUCAUAUCAUCCACAUAAACUUCAACAUCCUUAUGCAUCAUGUCAUGAAACAAAGUAGUAGCAGCCCUCUGAUAAGUGGCUCCUACGUUUUUCAACCCAAAUAGCAUAACCCUGUAACAGUAGGUACCCCACUCAAUAAUAAAGGUUGUCUUCUCCAUAUCCUCUAGAGCCAUCAAAAUCUGAUUAUACCCUGAAAACCCAUCCAUGAAGUCAACAUUGAAUGGCCUGAGGUGCUAUCAACCAAUAAAUCAAUAUGAGGGAGAGGAAAGUCAUUUUUAGGGCUAGCUUUAUUAAGGUCUCUAAAGUCAACACAUACUCUAACUUUGCCGUACUUUUUGGGAACAGGGAUGACAUUAGCCAACCACUCUGGGUACUCAACCACUGAUAUGAAUCCAACACUGAGUUGUUUCUGAAUCUCCUUUUUCACCUAUAGACUCCAACGUGGAUGCAACCGUCUUAAUUUCUGCUUAAUUGGUUUGGCAUGUGGUGUUGAACUAUAGAGGGAUCGAGGUUAGGCAUGUCCUCAUAAGACCAUGCAAAGACAUCUAAGUAUGACCAGAGUAAAUAAAUAAGUCUAUCCCUCUCAUCUGUAGAUAAGGGUGAACCAAUCUUCAGCUCUCUAGGCUAAUCCUUUGUGCCAAAAUCAACAGUCUUAACAUCCCCUGUAACUGGUGAAACUCUCUCAUCCAUGGGGUUUGAGUCAUGAUAAAAAAAAGCCUUUAUCUAAAUAGAGCUGUGCAAUCUCAUAAUUUAUAUCCAAUAUCUGUGGAGUGGGUGAAUAGGGUACAAAUAUAGAGAUACUAUCAUAAGAGAUAAGAAAAUACUAAAAAAUACUCAAAUCCAUAAAUGAAGCAAUAGAAACAUCGUCAGAGCAGGAGACAAAUCCUGAUAAAACAUCAAAGAAAAGAUGUGGAUCCACAAGGUUGGACGCUCCCUUAACUGGGCUAACAGUGCCCUCAAACAAACUACCAUCAUCCUCUAGAACCUCUAGAGCAGGAAUAGUCUAGGUCUCCUCAAUAACCUCAAUAGUAGACACCCCAAACAUAUCAAAUGGUGAAACUGGUUGAAGCUGAACAAUGUUGCUGAUCUGAAUCAUGGUUAUCAUGUCCAUCUCAUCUCGGUACUCAUCAUGGAGAACAACUCCAUUAAUCAUCUCAGUGGUAUCGACGACCACUCCCUCAUCAAUGACCUCCUUUGGGAAGCAUAGAAACAACAAACUAGCUCGAUCUAGAGACGGAGGAGCAAUUUCCAUAGAAAUAGAAGUGUCAGGAGCCCCAUCACUCAAUUGUGACCAGUGAAAUAGAUGUUGAAGCUCGAUCUCUCUAUCUAUAUGAAUCACACUAUCAAUCUCCUCUAGACGGGGUUGAAUCUCUGAUCCUUUGACAAAGUAGUUGGUCAAACUUAUCCUAUAAGAUCGAAUAGGAUAAUCAAAUGGUGUGUGAGACAAACGGGCCCUCACUCUCUCCUUGCAUAGUCAUGCCAUGUAUCGGUAAUCAACCUCACUAGGAAUGAACCCAAGUUCAAAUGUCGUAUCAUGGUCAAUGGCAGUUAUAAACUCACUGGGUCCCUACUGAUGUCAUUCUAACCCCAUGCCAGGUAGAAAAGUCAUACCCCUCAUCAUAUCAAGAAUCAUUGUGUGUUGAUCAAAUGACAUGGCUACAAAAUCUCUACAAAAAUCCUCAAUCUCAAGAGUUCGUAUCUCAUCAAAAGUAAACCCAGUUAGAAAUAGGUCAUCCUCACUGUGAUUGGUCUGAAGUACUGGCUCAGAAGAGGCUAACAUAUCUCAGAUAGACUAUACUGUGAUGACUUGCCCAUCAUGAAUGAACUUCACCUUCUGAUGAAGGGAAUAAGGAAUAACUCAUGCUUUAUGAAUCCAUGGUCGGCCUAGUAGCAUGUUAAAAGAUGUAGGAAUCCUCAAAACCUGGAACAAAGUAGAGAAUGUGGCUAAACCAAUCCAUAAAUCAAUCACUAAGGUACCCAUAACCUCUCUCUUGGUGCUAUCAUACUCUCUGACUGUCCAAGUAGAGGGACCAAAAUCCGAAGGCGUGAAACCAAGGGCUAUAGUAGUGGUUAAAGGGCAGACGUUCAGGGUUGAGCCAUAGUCUAAUAGGACAGAUGGAACUCUAUGGCAUGAACAACCAACUAUGAUAUAUAGAAGGCGUACAUGGUCUGAACCAUCAGGGGACAAAUCAUCAUCUGAAAACACAAUGCAAGUGGCCUUGCUGGUCGUCAUUAUAUGAAUCAAUCCCUCUAGAGUGGUUGGGUUCUCUACUCUGAUCUGACUCAAGGCUCGAAUCAAAGCAUCUCUAUGAGUACUAGAUGAUGCUAAUAAGCUCCAAAUAGAAAUACGAGCCUGAGUACUAUAUAACUAUCUCAAAACCUUAUCAUCAUCUCUCUUAACCUCCUUAUGAGAGGCUACACCCUCAAAUGGUUUGACUGCUAGUGGUGGUGGUGGAACUAUCCUCCCACUAAGAGUCACAAUCUGUAUCUCUUUUUCCUCUAAAUCAUCAUCCUCUAGCCACAAAGUGAAUGGGACAGUGAUAUCCUAGUAUCUGAUAACCAAAGGUGUAGAAUGAACCAACUAGAAUGGCGCCCCAUCUGGGAUCAAAUUGAAUGGUGCAAGAACCCGCAGACCUAAUAAAACCCCAUCAACCUCACUACUGUCAUGCAGAACAAUUGGCUUGGGUAAUCCAUCAUCCUAACUCAACAUAUGUAUACUGUCAUCCUCUAUAAAGUCUAUGUGAUGGAUAUCUCUUGGAGGUGGAGGCACUGCAUGUGUAGAAUGGGCGGGAAGAGGGUUAGUGGUCACACUUGGCUGCCCCAAGUUAACCAAACCCUGGUCUAACAAGUCCUGUAUAGCAUGUCUCAAAGCAAUGCAAUGGUCUGUAUCAUGCCCUAUACCCUGAUGGUAGGAACAAUGUAAAUCCAUCCUGAAACGAGGUGGUAUGGGCUGGGGUAAAGGCCUAGGAGCUAACUGAGUCAAUAAACCAUCCUCUAUGAACUUGUGGAAAGCUCGGCUCAAAGACAUACCUAGCUGGGAGAACUUUCAUGUCGACCUUUGUACAUAAGUAGUGGUCUGUGGGGCUUGGGGUUGAGGGUAUGACAUAGGAGGUCUCUCUGUGAAAUGUGCAGAAAAAAUAGGUUGUGAGACUGGAUGUAGAUAAUUAGGAAUGAUGGGUCUAGAAGGAGCAGGUGGUUUAUACUGCACAUGAUGUGAGGGUGGGUAAUAGAAUCCAAAAGUCUACCCAACUGUCUGAUAAAGUAUAGGAGGUCUCAUCCUUGAUGAAUUGAUAGCACUUACAUCUCUUGGUCUUUGUCCUCCUGAAGUCUUCUUCCCCUUAAAGUCAGUAGGAGAAGACUCGGGCCACAAUCCUCUGGCAAUGCCCUCCUCUAUACCAUACAAAGCCGGUACCAAAGAUCCAAAAUCCUUAUAGGGAAAUCCCAUCAAGUGUUUAGCAAAUCUAGGCUGCAAACUCCUCAAAAUCAUACUAAUCUGAUCCUUCUCUGAAAGACGAUCAAUAAUUUGUGAAAUCUUCUCCCUCUAACGGGAGAUAAAUGAAGUGACUAACUCCUUUGGCCUCUGUCUCAAUGCCUCUAGCUCUCUCCUCGAAACAUCAAUGAUAGUGUUAAAUGAAAAAUGUCUCAAAAACUCCUGGGCCAGAUUAUCCCAAGUCCUACGGCGUAAUACACCCAAUGAAGCGAACCAACAUUAUGUCGCACCACUCUAGAAGAUAGGGAAAAGCAUAACCAUUUGGGUCUCAUCUAGUCUGUGGGUCCUCAUAACCGUACUAUAGAGCCUCAAAUGGAUACGAGGAUAACCUAUGCCCAUGUAUCUCUCAAUCUCAAGCAUCCUAAACUUGGUCGGUAAACUGGCCAAUAGUGCUCCAUCAAAAUCCUCCUAAGUAAUAACUAAUUUUGAAGCCCUCAUUUGUCUCAACCUCUGCUCGAGUCUAUCCAUACGUGUAUGUGGGUCCUUUGAGGUCGGGAUAGGCAAUGUGAUAGGAGGUGGGGCUACCUCGGUCUGACUAUGCAGAGUGAAAAGUAUAACCUAUGGUGUUGAUUGACUGGGUGGAGGAGAUAGUGGAACUGUGGUAUCGAACCGGGCACUCUCCUAAACUGGGACCUGUUGGGCCUACUGCCCAUCUAUCAUUUGGCCAAGAUUAGCUAUAGCUUCCUGGAUCAAAGCCAUAACUGCAUCAAAAUGGUCAAUGGUAACUAUCUAUGAGUCCAUAUCUCUCUAAUCUGAUCUCUGAUCUAACUGGUCUGAUACUCUAUUCAAUCUAUCUCCAACCCUAAUCCAUGAAGGUGAAUCCAGAUCGGUCACAGUAAAUCCUCCUACAAAUAUGGAAACACUAGAUAAGGUGCAGUAUGAAUGUGACUCUAUAGGAAUCAACUGACAAGUGCAUAAAAGUAUAGCCCAAAUAUACUCAAUCUGAUACCCAUCUUUGAUCACACCAAAAGGAGACUAUGGAAGGGAUAACCGAACCUAAUCAUGACCAAGACAACUCUAAAGGUCCACAGAUGCACCUACGUGUAGGAAUGAAAUCUUAAUUGGGUCUAGGUUAACUUACAGGGUGGAGAUGGCUCUACAGGAUAAAAUGGGUGGGUUAAAGGAUCCCUAGCAGAAGUUAUCAUACCCUCCAAUGGUACGCAACCCUUUGCACGCCUCCAAGGAAACUAGGUACUUCCAUGCAAGGUGGUCAUCACCUCCACACAUGCACUUCCUCACUUUCCCAGGGGGUUUCUUAAAGGUGAAGGCUCUCUCAUCUCUCAACACUUAGGGACAAUGUAAAGUGCACAAUGAAGGAUGUGGGUGCAUCCGAAAAACCUAAGAUCUAAAGUGAGAUAAGGAACAAAGAUAAACAAUCAUACAAUCAUGCAAGAGAAAGGGUUAUCAUGCAACAAACAGUCAUGCGAAGCAAAUAAAUAUCAAACAAUCAAAGUUUUAUCUAUCAUAUGUGAGAGUGAAUCAUGCUGAAGUGAGCAAGCAAUCAAGUGAUCAUCCUAGGCAAUCAAACAUGUUAAGAUAGCAAACCCAACAAGCAAGCAAAUCUAAUCACCUUGUCCAAAAAGGGGGUACCCUCUAAUCGACCAAUUAAACGCCACAUUUUCCUCAAAUAGUGUACAAGCUUGAUCCUAAAACUCCCCAAUGGAGUCACCAAUUUAUGGACCUGCAUUUUUCAUGUGUGUCCCCACUUGAACGGCGAGACUCACUUUUAUUUGUGAAAAAUUAAUUUUUGGAAAAGUCGGGGUUGCCACUUAUUUUAUUUUUAUUAUAAAGGGAAAAUAAAACAAGAAAGAAAACCCUAAAAAGUAACUCCAUAAUUUUUGGAAAAAUCGUGUCUUUGAAAAACCCGAAUCUAGGUUCGGGGAUCAGGUUACCUAUUGGGAAGGUACUUCUAAAAGGUAGCACCCUUCUAAGCCCUAUAAAGGUCUCUACUAACUAAGUUGAGGGAAAUAUGGCAAUUAACUGGUUAAUCAUGGAUACCUAAGUAGGCUAGGUGAUUUUGAAAAAUAACAUGCUUAACAAGAAAAUCGAUCACAAUCAUGAAGAAUAUUUAGGGUGCGUACAUGGACUGCUUCUUAAGCACUAUCACAAGACAUCAAAGUUAGUUCAAAUAGUAUGUCAUCUAGCAUGUGUUUUAUUAGAAAUAAUCGAACAAUGAAACAUGUAUAUCAAAACACUCAAUCACUAUAAAAAAUAGGCAUAAUUCACAAUGACAAACAUACUCAUAGAAUAUAGAAAGUGGGUGAUAGGGGACGUACCUGGAUAGCAUAGAUAACUCAUUAUAUGCUUCCUUUGGACAUGGGGGUUAGGUAAUAAAUAAUAAAAUAAGAAAUCCUAGCAUGCUUAAUAUCUAAUUAGCAUAGCAAAAAUGAUUACAAUAUACGAAAUCAUCAAUUAUCACUUAUAUCUUGUAUAUAAUUCCUAAAAAAUAAAUAGACAAGAUUACAACAAAUAGCAAAGGUGGUAGAAAAAAUAAGUUUUGAAAAGAUUUUCUUAUGUAGGGGUUUCACCAAUUCCUCAAUCGAUAUACACAAAUUUAUCCUAAAAUUAUCCAUUCAUUUGGGACCACAAGCUUUGAUUUGUGUUUUGUUCAAAACCAAAAUUUUUAUUGAAAAUCAAGAAGGAUGCAAACAAAUCAAGAUAUGAUUGCAUAUUAUUAAUUUUUUUUUUUUUUUAAAAAAAAAAAGAGAUUUUGAUUCUAAAGCUCUAAAUGAAUUUUCUUUUUGAAUAGAUUUUUUAAAGGGAUCUUUUGAGAAAAAGUGUUUUGUUUUAAAAUAAAAGAAAUUAUUUUUUAAAAUAACAUAACAUAGAAAACAAAAAUACCAACCAAAACAAAAGAAAACGGAGAUCACAAAAUAAAGAUUUAGACAAUCAUGCCAAUUAAAAUGGUGAGAGUAAGGCCAACCUUCAUGGGUUUCCAACGGCCUUAAAAAAAAUAAAAAAUUGACUAACAAUCACUAAGGCAAAAAACGAACGGCUUCCUAAUCAAACAAACUAACAAAAAUAUUAUCCAAAACUAACAUCUAGAUUUCAAGAAACACAUAAUAAAAAAAAGAACAAUCAAAGAUUAAAGCCAACAAAUUUAGCAUAUGGAGAUAAUACUACAGGGUCAAUUAAGGUAAAUUAACAUUCUAACAAAAUAUGAUAAAUCAAAGACCAAAGUUUAGUAAUCUUAAAAAUAUGAAAAAAAAUAACAUGCAAUUAACUAGAUUGACUAUCCAAAAUUCCUAAAAACUCGAACUAAAUAUUAAUAGAUCAAAACCAAAAUAUGCUAUACUCAAAAUAUGAAAAAUAAUAUGUGAUUGACUAAAUUAAUUAACCGAAACUCUAAAAACACUAAAACCAAAUAUUGAUGGAUCAAAAUUAAAAUUGCCAUAUUUAAGACAUGAAAAUAAUAACACAUGAUUAACUAAGUUAAUUAACUAAAAUUAUAAUCAACUACAAAAUUGGAUAUAAAUGGAUUAAAAUCAAAAUUAACGAAAUCGGAAAAAACACAAACACAUUCAAACUGAAAAAAAAAAAAUUAAUACUGGAUUAAAUUAGAACUAAAAACAUCAACAUCAUCUAAUAAGAUUGGUUAAAAUAUCAAAUUGAAAUUUCAAAUACAUUUAAACUAGAACAAAUAAAUAAAUCAGCAAAUUAGAACUAAACUAAAAUUGGAAUUAAAAAUAUGAAAUUCAUCUAAGAGGAGUAAUCAAAUAAUUAAAUUAACACCAUAAAUGCAUUCAAAUUAUAAAAUAUUAAAAUUAAACUAAAUUGAAAUUAAGAUAUAUCUAAUAAGAUUAUUUAAACUGAUGAAUUAAAAUCAACAAAUACAUUUAAGCUAAAAACAAAUUAAAACCAAACCAACUAGGAUUAAAAACACAAACUUUAUUUGACAAAAUUAUUUAAACUAAUGAAUUAAGAUCAAUAAAUGCAUUUAAACUAAAAACAAAUUAAGACCAAACUAACAAGAAAAAAAAAACACAAACAUUAUUUGACACGAAUAUUUUAACUAAAGAAUUAAGAUCAACAGAUGUAUUUACACUAAAAACAAAUCAAAAUCAAACUAAUUGGAAUUAAAAACACAAACUUUAUUUAACAUGAUUAUGUAAACUAAAGAAUUAAGAUCAACAAAUGCAUUUAAACUAAAAACAAAUUAAAUAAAACUAAUUGGAAUUAAAAACACAAACUUUAUUUGACAUGAUUAUUUAAACUAAAGGAUUAAGAUCAACAAAUGCAUUUAAACUAAAAACAAAUUAAAAUCAAACUAAUUGGAAUUAAAAACACAAACUUUAUUUAAACUAUCAUACAAAUUAAGAUAAACUAACAUGGAACUAAUAAACUGCAAUCACUAAAAGAAGACAUCUAAUUUAAGAAAAAAAAAAUUAUACAAACUGAUAUUCAAAAGAAUUUAUCACAAAAAAUUGAUUAAACUAACAAACUAAAGUCUAAAAAAAAAAAUGCUCUAUCGAAAACGAAAACUACCCUGUGUUGUGUCUGAACUUGAUGAUUAAAGUGGCAACCCGAUCUCCGUUCGAAGUCCCUUGCUCUCUUCCAAAAUUCCGCGUGUUCUCUCUAAAAAAGAUCCCCCGCGUGUUCUCUCAGUCUCAAAAAUUCUCUUGUGCAUGUCAUUUCUUUUAAAAAAAUAUCUACGUGCUCUCUUUGCCAAAAAAAAUCCUCCCUCCCGAAUUCCUACACAUAUCCUCUCUAAAAAAAUUACUCUUGCUUGUCGAUCUCCAAAAAAAUCUCCCAUCUCUUAUGUUCCUUCUAUCUUAUUUAUAUGGUAGCCCACCCUAUGGAAUAUUUUAUUUCAUUUUUUGAGAUGUAAUUCUAAUCUUAAAGGAGACCCAACUUUCUAAACUUCUAAUGGCACUUUCUAUUUCAACUGACUUAAUAAAAGAAACAUGCCAACCCUAUGAAUGUUGUCUGGUGGGCCCUUGGUCAUAUUCCCCUUCUCUCUUCCAACCAACAACACCUAUAACUAGUAAAGUUGCACUGGGGACUGAUUUAUCUGAAAGCUUGGAUGAGAAUGGAGAUCAAACUCCUUCUUGGGUAAUGUAGAGCUUCAAAAUUUAUGGAGAAAGAUUUUGUGGAUAACCAAAGUCCAUGAUUUCAUCCAAUAGCUCAUAAAUUAGAACAAAGUUGUUACGAAUAGCAUCUUCCUUGAAAGCCCCACCAAAAUAAGAUUUGAAUAGCGCAACAGCCUCAACAACAAACUUGAAUGCACAAGUUACAUUAGCAUUGCUACUGACCACAAUCACAAUGUACACAUUGUUGAUUUUCAUAUAAAAGAAGGAAAAACCUCCACUUUGCUGCAUAGGACAUGUGCCAUGUUCUUUUGUUUGCAUUUUAUGCAUUCAAAAGGCAUCUAACAUGUUUUCCCCGACAUCGUCGCGAUAUAGGCGAUUGAUGAGGACAUCGCUCGGGAGAUUCAAGAAGUAGAUAGCAGAAGUAGCCACCGAAAUCUCUGAUCCAAUGGAUUCGAUGCCAAACAAAUCAAGGAAUGGGGUUUCGAUCUACGGUGUUUGAGGCCUUGUUUCAACGAUGUCAUUUUUAUUGGGUUGGAUCUCAAGCUCUAGAAAUGAUGAACCUAACUCUCCUAAACAAGAGUUGAAAAUAGCGCAAUUGAUCUUGUGUUCUAAAUGCAGUGUGGGCGAUAACUCUGGCAGAUCUGUAACAGCAUCUAGGGUUCCGAUGUGGGUGAGGUGGAGAAAGGGGCAACGAUGGUGGUGGGGAUUCACGAUGGGGGGAGAGGAGAGUGGCAAGAAUGUUCUUACCUGCGUUAUCGAAGCAGGAGAGGAGAGCCCUGGGGGAAGGAUUGCGAUCGAUGAAGGAGGUGAGAAUAUGGGUUCUGUUCUCGACAACGGUGCAGAAGGAGAAGAUGAGCAAAUGUGAGGAUAUCAAGCAGCGAAGGUGGAGGUAGAGGAGUGGUCAUGGCAUGAGAUGGAGUUGUGAUGUGAGUCUUCUAUUUCUGUCUUCUUUGUGAGUGUAUAUGGGUCCCCACCUUGCGGGCUGCUCCUCUUCAGUUGUGACCCCCCUCUCUUUGAUCGAUCCAAGUGAUAUGCAAAACUAAAAAAAAAAUUGGAAUAAGAAAACCUUAUGAUUGGAAAUAUAAUAAAAUAAAAUCGAAAAUCAAAUCAUCUGCCACAAAAAAAUCUAAGAUGUCAAUUCAUGGAAUUAAAGAAUAUAUAAAUAAGUGGGUAAAUAAACAAAUAAAUUGAUAAGGGUAUACAAAUAAAUAUUAUACAUAUGCAAUUAGAAAAAAUAAAGAAAUUAAAUUAAUGCGAUGGAUCAUAACAAUUUAAAUGUCACACUCAAACCAUCAAAAAUAAGAAAAUAUUCAUUUCAUGCAAUAUAUAGUUAAGCCAAUACUCAUUUUGUCUCGCAAAAAUAAAAUCAAGAACAUGCCUAAAUGAACUAUGCCAAAAGAAGUGUCCAAGUGACCUAUUCUAAAAAAGUGCUUUGGUGAGCUCAGGUGAAUGUGUGCAAGCUGAAAGGUGUUUAGGUGAAUCUAAAUGGGUAAAGGAGAACCUAAGUGGGCCUAAGGUGGUGCCUAAUGGGCCAAGUGUAUCUAAAUGGGCCUAGUGUGAGACUAGGUGAGCCUAACAAAGACUAACCUAAAGUGCACCUAAGUGAAACUUAAUCUAAACUUGAAGGACAACCAAGGUCAUAAUAUGGAACCAGAUAAACCCCUUAACCAAAGUCUCCAAAGUGGCUCAGAAAAGGUAAGCUCCAAGAGUAGGAAUGGGCUAUCAAAGAAACACUGUGGAACACUGGAAGUGAACUUAAAGACAUGUUCUAAAAGGACAAAAUGGAGGGUCUACAACAUGAAGGUUGGCCAUACUCUCACCACUUUAGUCGGCUUGGUUGUCAAAAAUUUUAUUUUGUGAUUUUGUUUUCCUUUGGGUUACCUAUGUUUGAUCCUUGAGUAUUGUCGUUUGUAAAUUAUUUCUUUCAUUUUAAAAAGAAACAUUUUCUCAAAUUGUUCCUCAUUAAAAUGCAUUUCAAAAAUUCAUUUAGAGUCCUUAGAAUCAAAAUCUCAUUUUCUUAAAUAACUUGCAACCAUGUCUUAAUAGAUUUGCAUCUUUCUCAAUUUUCAAUAAAAAUUCUGGCUUUGAGUAGAAUACGAAUCCAAGUUUGUGGUCCUAAAUAAAUGGGAUAAUUCUAGGCUAGAUUUGUGUAUAUCAAUUGGAGAAUUGGUAGAACCCUUACGUAACAAAAAAUUUCAAAACUCUUCCUUGCUACUAGUUUUCACUCAACCACUGACUCUUUAGCUUUCAAAUUUGUUUCAACAACUUUAGAAUAUAUAUAUUUUUUUUUAAAUAUCCAAAUCUUGUAUGAUUUUUCUCACUUCUUGAACUUGAAUUUGAAAUUUCGUUUGAGUUAGAAAGCAAUUUUGGAAUAGAAGAUAUAAAUGAGUUUUUAGGAGGGCUCUGUUUUCACCUAGUUCUGGACACUUGAAAUAUUUUUCUAAAAAUAAAAUAACAUAUGACUUUUUUAAUUUGAUUCAAUAUUUUUUCUUAAUUCAAGAAUUCUUGAAAUUGAUUUAGAGAUAUAAAAUAUUUUAAAAAAUAUGCAUUUUUAAGGCAGAUAUGAUUUUUCAAAGUCAUACCUAAUGCACAUGAUGGAAUCUAGACAUCUAAUUAGUUGGAGUGUUUCAAAAAUAUUUUUGAGUACUAUUCGACCCUAGAUUUAUUUUUCAUGUGCUAUAGACCUUUGACCAAUGUGUGUGAUUUUUUGUAUGAUUUUAUGUGAUCUUUUAUUAUUUUUAAAAAAUUGAUUUAUGCAUGCCACUUUUUCUUUACCUAACCUACACUUUGUGGAACUUUUGGGGUGUCUUUGCUGCAAUCUGUCAUUUGAAUGAGUGUUUGGUUUUUGGUAUGUUGUUCUAGAAUUGUAGGUGUUGUUUUCUAAAAAUUUUUGUAAUUAAAUUCAACUCCAAAAUAUUUUUUUUGAAAUUUCUUUUUGAUGCUUCAUUUUAUAAUUGCAUGCUAAUGAUCUUGUACAUUACUCUAGCAUUUUUGGAGGAAUUUUAUAAAUCGUGCAUGUUAUCUAGGUACACUUUCUAUCACUUACUUUUCAGAAUUCUAUGACCAUGCAUGUUGUUGUUAGCCUUAUUUAUUUUUGAUUCCAUCCUUGGGUGCCUAGAUGUUUGUUCGAUUUGCUCAAAUAAAAUACAUUUCGUGUGCUAACUUUAAUGUCUUAUGAUAGUGCUUGAGAGGCAGUCCAGGUACACAUCCUAACCUUCCUUUGCGAUUGUGAUUUGAUUUCUUUUUUGGCAUGCUAGUUUUGAAAUAACCUUAGCCUACCUAGGUACCUCCAAUCAAUUGAUUAAUUGUCACUUUUCCCUCGACUUAGUCAUUAAAGACCUCUUUAGGGCUUAAAGGGGUGCUACCUGAUUCGUGCCCAGUUAGGUAUUUUAAUAAAAAAUAUUUAUAAAUCCUAUGACCUCAUACUAGUGUAGUAAAACUACUAUAGUAUAGCAGCUCUAGGGUCGAACUCUGGGAUGGGUUUUCACUCUACCAGUGAUAGACUCAAGAUUAGAAAUUGAAUCUAAUGAUUUCCUUUGUCAAAAACUUAAAGUUUAAAAGAAAAUAAAAUUUGUUUUAAAAGUGGUGUUUGAAACUAAACUAACAUAGAAAUAGGAAAAAAUGGAAGAAAGAGAGUCUCCCGGAGCUAAAGGUUGCUAUGAUCAAGUUCAGAAUGCAAAGUGGGAAAUUCCGGAUUUUUCUCCUCGUAUUGGGGACAACAACAUAAAGGAUGGUUGUUUCCUGAACCGGUAUAGGUUUAACAAUGAAGAUUUAAUCCAUAAAAAGUCAAUAGAAAUGGUAAUCAAGUUCCAUUAAUGGCUUUAGACACUAUGGGUCUUCACCUUGACCCACUUUCCAAUAGCUUGUACAUGAUAACUAAUGGUCUUAUGUGGAUCUAGCAAUAAGUAUCCAUAGAGACCUAAAAGCUUAUCAUGUAUUGGCCAUUCAAAGUGAUUCUAAGGGAUUUAAAGCAAAACUUUAGAUUUAAAAGCCAUUUAUGAAAUCCAACUACCUGUAUUUAAUGCACGAGAGUUUUCCACUUUUGCAUCUGAACUUUUCACCUAGCUUCCUUCACUCCAAGAAACCAAAGGUUUAGCCUCUCAUCCUCUGGGAAAACAUCCUCAAAGGUUGUUUGGCUUCCAAGAAAAAGAAAAAUAGAAGAGAGAAAAGGAAAGCAAAGAGAACUCUGUAUUUCUCCCUGAGAGGAAAAUUUUACUAAGUGUAAAAAAUACAAUAAUUUGAGAGAUGAUUUCCACCCCUCUUAAAGUCUUUACAAAGCAAAGCCUGUGAAAAUUACAAGGAUAAGAAAGGAAUUUACAUCUAAAAAUACAGAAGAAAAGAUCUCAUGUGGAGUCGGCAGAACAGAGGAGAUUUCGCACCAAAGUCGCAUGAACAAUACAAGGUGCAAAAUUCGCACUUGCAUGGGCUGGUGCGAAAUUCGCACUUGCAUGGCAUUUUCGCAUGAACAGUACAAAGUGCGAAAUUUGCCAUUUUUAGCUCCUUAUACGAAUGGCAAUAUACCACUAUAGGUACUUGAUUUGUCAGAAAUUCCAAGCCGGUUUCGAAUAUGGGAUUCUUGAAAUGUGAUUUUGCACGAUGAACAAAAUAGAGCCUCCCAAAGUGACAGUGCACGGCUACAAAAACUGCUUCUUUCCUCUGUUUUUCCUCUUUGCUUCUCUCCUUUACUUGGCUUGUCUUAAUGAUCCAAAAAACUGUCAAAACACUAAAACUAGCCACAAAUAUGAUUAGAAGUCAUUGCUAGGUCCUUAACAUGCCAAUUGGAAUAAAAAUGGAGAACUACUACACAAAAGUGCUUAAAACAUAAUGAAUUAAAGGCGCAAAAUAGCACUUUUUAGGUAGUAAUCACUACCUCUUAGAGGUACCUUCUUAAUAGGUAACCUGAUCCCUAGACCAAGACUUGGGUUUUUCAAGACUUGCUUUUCCAAAACAGUGGAGUCACUUCUUUAGGGUUUUCUUUCUUGUUUUAUUUUCCCUUUUAAAAUAAAAUAAAACAACUGGGGACUCCAACUUUUCCAAAACUAAUUUUUCACCAAUAAAAAAAGUCUUACCAUUGAGUAGGAACACACGUGAAAAAUGAAGGUCCAUAGGUGGGUCUUAAGGGAAUAGAUGGAGAAGUUGGGAAUUGAGGUUAGAUUUGAGGUUAAGGUUAAGGUUAGAGCUAGGGUUUCAUCUAUGGAUGGUAAUGAAGAUACAUAUAUAGACAUCCCUUGCAAAAUCUACCAAUAUGAUUAGUUUCUACUAUAUAAUCAACUGAAAUUUGAAUCAAUUCUCCUUCUCAAACUAUGAUAAUAUGAUUUUAGAUGGUUUUUUAUAAUGAUUUCUUUUCCUUUCAAUGAAACUAUAGAUCAAUUCUAUGUUACAACCCGAAUAAAGGAUCCUUAGGAUCCCUUAAUCUUUAGUUUCUAUUGCUAUUUAGUUUCUAUUUAGAUUAGGGAAUAAAGGAUCCCUAAGAUCCUUUAGUCUUUAAUUUCUAUUUAGUUUCCUAUAUAAAAUAAGAAGAGUGUAAUGGGGAAAGAAAUGGAAAAAUAAUCUCAAUAAAAAAAAUUUGUUCUCUCAAUUUUGCAUCUUCUCCUUUAGUCAUAAGAAUUGGUAUUAGAACACGGUCUAGGCACCAAUCAUGGCGGAAAGGACUAGAGUGUAAGAACAACAUAGACUUAAAGAUACUAUUAAAUAGUUGAAAGAAUCGUUGGAUAAACAAGCGACUACCUUAUUAGAACUAUCAAAGAUGGUUGCAAUCAUAAAAUUGAAAUUCAAACACAUAAAUUCAAGAAUAGAGAAGUCAAGUAAUGGAUAUAGUGUUUCAAUCAAUAGAAACAUGAUAGACUAUCACUAAUCUAUCAUAAACUCCAUUCAAACCAGAUUUUCCAAACUCUAUUUUCCAAAUUUUAAAGGUGAGAAUUGGGAAUUAGGAAAAGGUUGGAUUGGCUUCCUUACAUUUAAAACGAAGGGCCUUAGAAAGGUUUCAAGGGUAUGAGGCUAGUAACAAGGAAAUCAAUUGGACACAAUUUUAUAUAGAUGUUGUUUCUAGGUUUAGCCCUAGUGUUUAUGAUAGCCUUAUGGGGCAAAUAACCAAAUUGAAAUAGGUUUCUAAGUUAGGGCAUACCAAAAUUAGUUUAAAGUAUUGAUGACCAAAACUAGCUAGUGGGUUAUCAAAGAAAUUUUUUUUCUAGUGUUUCAUUAGUAGCUUGAAAGAGGUAAUUAAAAAUCAAGUAACUAUGUUUCAACCAAUCACACUAGUCCAAACCAUCAAGUUAGUCUUGUUGCAGAAAUGAAUAAUGGAGGUAAUUCUCAAGGAAUUCAAGGACUCUAACGAAAAUGGGGAGAGUACAGUGAGCUUUACAAGAAUCAUAAUGAAUCAUAAUAACAAAUUACCACCCCUUCAGAAGAUUUUAGACGUAGAAGUGCAAGAGAGAUGAAAAAAAAAAAGUUUUGUUAUUAUUAUGAUGAGAAGUAUGAGUCUAGUUAUAAAUAUAAAAUGAGACAAAAUUUUCUAUUAAAUGGUCAAAAAAGUGAAGGGAAAGCAACAUGUGAAGCUAAAAAUGAUAUAAAGAUGAUGAUCUUGUGGUUUUAAUCAAUGCAAUAUUUCGUUCAACAUCUCAUCAAACCAUGAGAAUCUGUGGCAACAUAAAAAAGAAGAUUGUCACCAUACUAAUUGAUUUAGGAAGCACCCAUAACUUCCUUGAUCUCAUAGUGGCCAAAAGAACAAGAAACUCAAUACAAACUACCAACCCCAUGAAGAUGGUGGUAAAAGAUGGAACUAAAAUUACUAGUGAUGCAAUUUGUAGGCAAUGUUAGGAUAGAACCCUUAAAAACAUGACAUAAUGUAAUAGAUUUGGAAUUCAUUGUUUAUUUAAUGAUGCCCCAGUUUCACUUUUAUCUAUCCUUAUUCCAUGUAUUAUACUUUAUAAGCAUUUUUGUAAACAUCAUUUGCAUUAUACAUGACUUAGAUGCAUUAAAAGUUGUACAGAAGAUCUAAGUCAUGAGUUCCUUGCAAAUAUAUGACUUAUUCACAACCAAUUCAUGGGUCUAGGCAACCCAUUAAAGGUUUUAGUGCACAACUUCCUAAUUGGAGGAAUGAUUGGUCUUGGCUAUUGGGAUGGGUUUCCUAUCAUGAGUGCACUAGUAUGUAUGAAUGCACAUUGGAUAGGACCUAUGGUGAGUUAUGACUUAAGGCUAUCAAGUAGUCAUGAUUUCACCAAGUUACUUCAUUAUGUUGUUUCUUAACCUUGAGAGAAUAUUAAGCUUGUAUUGAAAUUAGCAGUGGCUUUGACCUACGAGUGAGAUAGUAAGAUGAUCAUAUAUUCCUUAUGGAUUGGACCAUUGUUGAUGGAUGUCGGUAGCAAUAAGUAUUCUCAAUAGAAACACCAUGAUAUCUCUUAGCAUUAAGAUAGUGUGUCCCCUUGGGUGAUCCUAAGAACGUAUGUUCAUGGAAACUAUGGCCAUAGUAGUUCCUUAGAUGGAACUUGGCAUAGGCUCUUUCAAAGCUAAGAUAUGUCAAUUUAACACACAAUAGGAGGAUUUGUAAUUCAAGGAUGGUAGAGGUAGUCUUAAAAGACUGAUAGCUUUCACCUUGUUAAACUACAGACACUAAUUCAUAGGAACAUUGAACACAAUGGAUAGUAGGUCGUGGACUCGAGCACUUGGUGUCUCAUUGUUAUUUACAUAGGAUAUUGGAGUUCAAUUUAUUCUUUGUGUGGAAUAUUGAAUCCACUUUAGAAUUGGAUUAUGAGGGAACUGGUAUUCUUAUGGGCCCUAGUGGUCCCUACUUUGAGUUCAUAUACCUUGUUGACACGGAUUAUGAGGUUUGGAUUGGCUUUAGGUUCACUUUUGUACAUAAGGAUAUUUUGGUAAUUAUGCAAGGUUGCACAAAAGUAAGUGAAUAAGUUCUUUGGAUUGCGCUAAUUGAUUAAUUAGUAGGCCUUGUUAGGUUAACUAAUUAAUUAGGACCCAUUUUGGAUUAGAUUAAGUGACCCAAGCCCUUAGUGGACUCAAGUCACUUAAGCCAAGUAGGAAACCCUAUAAAUACUCCUUUAGGGGUUAAGGUUCCCAUUGGUUUUUUCUAGAGAUCCAUCUUCCAUCUCUAGAGAGAGAGAGAGAGAGAUUCAUAGCCUCUACUUUUCCUUCUGUCCCCACUGGAAGUGUGUCAAGAUCAAGUUUUGAGUCAUUGGGUGGAAAACUUUGGGUUUACAAGACUUCUAUGAUUUUGUUCUUCAUCUUCACCUCAUUGAUUUGAUUCGGGAACAUCCAAAUCUAAGGUAUGGCUUUCGUUAACACUUUAUGAAUCCCUUUAAAGUUUUAAAAUGCUAUUUUUUCGUUGUGCAUAGGAUUUAGAAAAAAGACUAGGAUAGUUAUUCAUGUUCCUAACCUGAUCCGAGCUUAGGAAAUGAAGAGAUUCGAGUUUUUCCUAUAAGGCAAUUGACAUGGAACAUGCAAGGGAAGAAAUUUUAGAUAGAUUUGAGGCUUAUACCUUUGAGUGGGUGUAAUAUGGUAUUGGGAAUUCAAUGGCUAGCUGAAUUGGGACUCAUAUUGUGGGAUUUCAAGAAUUUAAAAAUGGAAUUUAUUAUUGAUGGAAGGAAAUUCGUGUUGAAAGGUACAACUAUAGGUUCCAAGAAGCUAGUUUCAACAAAUCAAAUUUAAAAGGAUUUAAGGCAUAUGUCUCAAGUAUCUACAAUUCAAAUUUUCACUAUACAAGGGAAUGAGGAAAAUAAAGUUGAAAAGGAAUAACAUGGCAACUGUCUAACUCAUUUCCAAAAGAUAUAACAUGGAAAGUUUCUUACAAGAUUCAACAAAAGUUUUCAUAGAUUCAACCUUGAGGACAAGGCUUCUUUUGAUGUGGAAAGGAAUGUUACAACCCCAAAUAAAGGAUCCCUAAGAUCCUUUAAUCUUUAGUUUCUAUUUCUAUUUAAUUGGAGAAUAAAGUAUCCCUAAGAUCCAUCAAUCUUUAGUUUUUAUUUCUAUUUAGUUUCCUAUAUAAAAUAAGGAAAGUGUAAUGGAGAAAAACAUGAAAAAAUAAUCUCAAUAAGAAAAAUUUGUUCUCUCAAUUUUGCAUCUUUUCCUCAUAUCAUAAAAUUCUACAUGUGGAUUUUCUCCUUUUGAAGCUCUAUAUGAUACAAAAUUAAUUCUCUUUUACUCAAAUUCCAAGUAUGUAUUUAUAGAAAUGGGUAUGCUUUGACUCUCAAUGAACACAUUUUCUCAAUUUUUCUUCCUACCUAAGUGGAAAUAACAUAAGGCCAUUAAACUUGCUUUGAGAUUAAUUGUGGUUUUGACAAGCAUUUCAUCUAUAAUUCAUUUAUGCAGAACUAGGUAUAGUACAAGACCUCCUAAACAAAGUUUCUAACAGUAAUGAAUUGAAAAGAAGCUGGGUAAAACAAGUUUCUACUCACCAUCCCAAACAUUCCUUUAGAUGUAUUGUAUGGUAGAGGAUUAUUCUUUUAUUAUUAUUAUUAUUAUUAUUGUUAUUAUUAUUAUUAUUAUUAUUAUUAUUAUUAUUAUUAUUAUUAUUAUUCUUGUUUUCUUUUCCCUUUUAAUGGUUUAUAGUAGAUUCAAAUGCCAUUAUAGAAGUAGAAUUUCCUAAUUUAAUUUGUUGGACAAAUUUUCUUUGGUUUUACUAUAUUUUGUGUUUUGAAUACAUACAAAUCGAAAUAUAAUAAGAAAACAAUUAUAAUGUGUUUUUAAGGGGAAUUUUUUUAUCUUCUAUUAGCAAAAAAAAUAAAAAUCAACAAUUAUAAUAAUAUAGACAUUUGCAAUUUUUUUAAAAUGUCUCUGUUAGGACAUUGAGUUUUAUUUGUAUGUUGGUAAUUUUGUUCCAAUUUAUUUUUUGCCUUAGAAAUCUUUUUAGAUAGUGACUUAAUUUCCAUUGAAGAUCAAGGAUUGCUACUUGUCCAAUUGGAAAGUCAUAGGCACGUUUAAAAGGUUUGACUUGUGGCAAAUUGGGGUUCUAAAGGGUAUAAAUAAGAGCAUUAUUCUUUUUCUGGGACUGCUCGAGCGCUUAACUAGCACUCGAAUGCCCAAGGUGCUCAAGCAAUGGUUAAGUGUGCUUGGCCUCAAGCUCUCGAGUGUUCAUGCCGAUUCUACCAAAGAUUAGCAUAAUAUUUACAAAGAUUUCAUGCAAAUCCUAUAUGGAAACCUUGAGAUACCAACUCUCUUCAGCCUCUAAGCUUGUAUAUACCCCAUUAUGCCCAUUCUAAGGUUAGGAGAUUGAUUUAUUGUUGCUACUAAGAGAGAGCCUCCUGGAAAGAAAGCAUAAUGAGCCACACAAUUCCUAAUCUCUCAUUUGAAGGAUUCAUUCAAUAAUCUAGGGUUGAAAACUUGCAUCCCUUCAAUAAGGCUAAAGAGUAUUCAGUGAAGCAAUUAGAGAUUGUUGUAUCAUAUACGUGGAUGAAGUUGUAGGUAUUGGAGGGUAAGCCUUUAGGAUAAAACAACCAGGUAAAUUUGUGUAACUUGAUCUUGUAUAGUGGAUUUUGAUUAGUAGUCUUAAGCCUUGUGGUUUUUUUAUCUCCACCGUAGUGUAGGGAUUUUUCAUGUAAAAAUCAUUGUGUCCAUUGCUAUAUCUUGUGAUUAUCAUGAUUGUUUAGAUUCUAUUUAUCUCUAAUAUUAUCUCAUAGGGUAAAAAUUGAGUAUAACAUAUAAUCUUUAUUUUAGAAUUCUUUUAAUUACACCCAUUCACCUCUCUCUUCUCUUUGGGUGUUACCCUACUAGACUUGGCUUUUUUAGUCUCAAAAUCUAUAUUAGCAUUUUUUUUUUACUUGAGUUAUAAAUGGAAAAAGUUAUAAACUCGAGAUAACUUGUUAAAAAAGUAAGAAAUAAUAAAAGGACUUGUGUUAGAGCAUAAAUAACUAAUCCAUUCUAGGCUUAAUAUAGCUCCAAUGUCAAAUAUGAAUACUUAAUUAUUUAUUAUAUUUUGAAAAUAAAGUAAGUAUUUUUUAUAUAAAAAAUAAAACAACUUUUCUAGAACAACACAAGGCACUAAUGGAUAUAGUUGGUAACAAGUUGGAGAAACAAAAUAAUGUGGAGAAAUAAAACAACAUGUAGAAAUAAAACAACUUGGAGAGAAAGAAAAUGACUAACUGAAAAGGAAAUAGAGAAAUUAUAGAAUGUAAGAUAAUUACACUUAUUUUCAUAAAAAUAAUAUAUUCUAAUACAUUAAAUAAGAAUUAUUUUCCCAAAAAUGUACUCCCCAUGAAAAUGACUUUUGUGGGUUUUCUUUUAUUUAUAUUUUGUAAAUAGUGCAUAUUUACAUAAUUCCCUCAUAAAUAUAAUAUAAUAAUCUAUACCUGAUAAUUAAGGAAAUUGAAAAUAUUUACAUACUAAGCAAGGAUAAUGGAAAUUAAAGAGUAUGUCCAAAGAGAACAAAAAUAUUAAAGAUAAAUUAAAACUCUAAAAUACAAGCCUUAAUCUACACAUAUAGGCCAACAUCUUAGGACGUAUUUGAUUAAAUAAUAAUAAUAAUGAUUAAAAAAUAGAAAAAAUUAUGGGUCCCAUUUUUUAAGUGUUUUCAAUAACAUAAUUAUAAACCCCUUAAAAUUUAAAAUCAUUUAUUCAAACCACUUUAUUCAUUUAGCAACAAGGACUUAAUUAAUCACUAAGAUCAAACACAAUGAUUUAUAAUUUUUAUAAUUUUUUCUUCCAUUACUAUCAUUUUCUUUUUUAAUAAAAUGAAGAUUUCUAUUGAUAAUUUUUUUAUAAUAAAAUGUAACUUCUUUUAAAUUAAAACAUUUAUUAUUAAAAAAUUUAUUUUAAUUCAUCUAUGAGAUUAUUUUAACGAUUUUUUUUUUAGAAUUUUAAUAAUUUUUUUGUUUCAUAGUUAAAGAUAAAAAAAUUAUUAUUAAAUCAUUUUAUUCAUUAUAAAAUUUAUCUUUCUUUUCUAAAUCAGAAUUUUUGUCAUGUCCAUUCAUAUAAUAAAAUUAAAAUUAUAAAUAAAAAAACCUAAUUUAAUUGAUAGCACCAUGGAAUCUUUCCAUGCACACUCAUGCAGCCAUCAGUUCCCACAACAGCCACGUGUCUUCCAACGAGUAUAUUCCCUUUCUUUGGCUCUCCAUGUGUUUGUGUUCUAUUUUUAUUUUUUUAUUUUAUCUUAAUUAGUAGUUCACAUAACAAGCAUGACAAGGAUGAGUAGAUAUGUCACUUCUAACACUAAACCCACUUAAACCAAAGUGAAGUAUGAAUGCAGUAUGCAAGUCUAAAUAAUGGUGAAAUAAUAAAAACAACGGAGAAUGCAUGUAAGAUGUGUAUAUAACUAUAAAUAAGGAUUAAAAAUGAAGGGAAAAAUCAUUGAGAAGGGUGAACCAUGGGUGAUAAGCCACUUAGUUCAUCAUUUGGAUAAAUAUUAAAAGUUAAAGAGUAUAAAAUGUCUACGUAUGUCAUCAUUUUUUUAAGUUAAAUAUAUUCUUAUUGUUGUAAAUUAAGUAAUGAAUGUCACCACAUUUAUUAUAUUAAAUUUUCAUUAAAAGCCUAUAAAAAUGUUUCCUAUCCUCUGUAAAUUUCAUCCUAAGCAAAGAAAGAAACUUUCUUUCUCUCUUAUUUUAUUUUUAUUUUUUAUUCUUCAUAUAUUUCAUUAUUUCAACUCUCUUAAUUCUCUUUUAUGAUUCCUUCCUUUCCAUUAUAUAUUAUUAUCAAAAUAAUAUAUAGUUGUUCUCUACUUUUAUUUGUGUUGCAUUUAUCCUUCUUUUACAACACGUUAUUAGCACGAAUUGCUCUGAAAGUAAUUCUCGUAUCUUAAACUUGAAGUUAUUUAUAUAGAAUAAAAUUUUUCAUAUUUAUAUUGCGAUUGUUAAAUUCAUUUAAUUUGUGUUAUAUAUUAUUAAAAGUUAUAAGCAAAUUAUUUGAUUUUGAUUGUAAUCAAAAGUCAUACCAAUGCUAUUAAUUUAUAACUAAUUCUAUUAAUAUUGUUUUGUCAUAUAUCUAAAGUUAUUUAAUAAUGUCAAAUCUCACAAAACUUGAAUUUGUGGCACUUGACAUUCCGAGAAAGAACUAUCCAUCUUGGAUCCUUGAUGCUAAAAUACAUCUCGAUGCAAUGAAUCUUGGAGCUACAAUUAAAGAAAGAAAUCAAGCAUCCUUGUAGGACUACUCAAAAACGUUGAUUUUCCUUCGCCAUCAUCUCUAUAAAGGUUUUAAAAAUGAGUAUCUUAUAGUAAAUGACAUUUUUACUCUAUGGAGUAAUUUGAAGGAAAGAUAUGACCACCAAAAAGUUGUGAUUCUCCCAAAAGCUCGAUAUGAUUGGAUGCACUUGAGGUUGUAGGAUUUUAAAACUAUUAGUGAAUAUAACAUAACUCUACACUUUUCAAAAUCAACUCUCAAUUAAAGUUGUGUGGAGAAAAAAUCACAAAAAAAGAAAAAACUUUACUAUAUUUCAUGCCUCGAAUGUGAUCUUACAGCAGUAAUACCAAGAGCAUAGAUUUAAAAAAUACUCUGAAUUAAUAUCAUGUCAUCUUGUUACUGAACAAAAUAAUGAGCUUUUGAUGAGAAAUCACUAGUCUCAUCCAAUUGGAUCUUAACCAUUCCUUGAAGUGAAUGCAAUAUCAUCCUAAACUCGUGGACAUGGACGAGGACAAGGAAAUGGUCGUGGUCGUGGAAGGAAUCCCCAAUAUAAUGGUUAUUAUAGUAAUAAUUCCUCAAAUCCUCAUAAAAGGAAAGCUUCAUUGCACCUCCAGAAGUGAAAUAAUAUUGAGGCAAAAUAAGAAAAUGGGAAAUGUUUGCAAGAUAAACCUCUAAAGAACCAUGAGAAUAAUUGUUAUAAAUGUGGUCUGAAUGGUCAUUGAUUGCAUACCUAUUGUAUACUCAAAAAUAUGAUCGACCUUUACCAAGCAUCAAUAAAAGCAAAAGGAAAAGAGAUAGAGAUGAACUUUACCUAUGGUGAUGGAUUGGACCUAACCUACUAAGACAUUGAUUUCUUUGGAGGUCUUAGUGAAAAAACACACUAUUUAAUAAAUGAUGAGAAUGCUAACAUUGAUUGGUGUUACAUUAUAUAUCAAAUAAUAUAUUAUUAUGUCUUAUAUUUAUAUCUGGUUAUUACAUUUUCUUUUAUAUUGUUAUUUAUAAUAUUAUGCCUUGUUUUUUUAAUAUUAGUUGCAUUUAAAAUCCAUGUGUUAUUUGGUCUUAAGAUGACUAAGGAUGAUGUAUGUCUCGUAGAUUGUGAAACCACAUACACAAUUCUUCGAGAUAAAAGAUAUUUCCUUGAAUUAACAUUGAUAAAAGCUAAUGUAUGUACCAUAAUUAGUAUUACAAACUUAGUUAAAGAAUCUGGAAUAGGAAACAUAAUGCUACCAAAUGGAACUAGAUUUCAUAUAAAUGAUGCUUUAUAUUCUAGAAAAUCCAUAAGAAAUUUGCUCAGUUUUAAAUAUAUUCGCAGAAAUGUACAUCAUAUUGAAACUAUGAAUGAAGAUAAUGUAAUUAUCUUUACAUUACUUCCAUUAUAUCUGGCCAGAAGCUUAUAAUUGAAAAACUCUCGGCUUUCUCCUCUAGGUUGUAUCAUACAACUAUAAAGCCUAUUGAAUCAUAUUUUUUCAUGAACCAGAAGUUCAACAACCCAAAAGUUUUUGUCUUUUGGCAUGAGAGACUAGGUCACCUAGGGUUUUCAAUGAUGCAUCAAAUAAUCAAACACUCACGUGGGCAUCCACUAAAGAACCUAAAGAGUCUUUUGCAUAAUGAAUACUCAUGUGCUGCUUGCUCACAAGGUAAAUUGAUAGUUAAACCAUCUUUUACUAAAGUCAUAUUUGAGUCACUAGUCUUUUUAGAAAGAAUACAUAGGAACAUAAGUGGGCCUAUCCAUCCACCAUGUAGACCAAUUCGUUAUUUUAUGAUCUUAAUAUAUGCUUCUCCUAGGUGGUCACAUGUUUGUCUCCUUUUUACAUGUAAUGUUGCCUUUGCUGGACUCCUAUCACAAAUGAUCAAAUUAUGAGCACAAUUCCAAUGUUAUCCUAAUAAGAUAAUAUGUCUUGAUAAUGUUGGCGAAUUUACUUCUCAAACAUUCAUUGACUACUGUCUAUUGGUAGGGAUAAAUAUUGACUAUCUUAUUGCUCAUACUCAUACCCAAAAUGGUUUAGCAAAAUCCUUCAUCACACGUCUCCAAUUAAUAACUCGACCAUUACUAAAGAAAACCAAAUUAUCUACUUCUGCCUAGGGACAUGCUAUUAUGCUUGUUGCAGCUUUAGAUCGUAUUCGACCUACAACUUACCAUUCCCUUCACAACUCGUACUUGAAAACAACCAAAUAUCUCACUUAUGAAUCUUUGGUUGUGCAGUAUAUGUACCAAUUGCACCUACACAUUGCAUUAAAAUGGGUCUCAAAUGAAGACUUGGGAUUUAUUUAGGUUUUAAUUCUCCAUCUAUCAUAAGAUAUUGUAAGAAAAAUUAGGCUAAUCCAACCUAAGGUAAUCACCCUAGAGAGGGUGGGGGGGGGGGGGGGUGAAUAGAGUGAUGAUCUCUUUUUGCAAAUUUAAAUUAUAUAAAUAUAAGAGAUAAUUAUAUGCAAAUAUAUAAUAAAACAAUAUAAAGACAAUUGCAUAUAAAGUAUAAGAGUAGGAAAGAGAGAAUGCAAACACUGGAUUUUUAUAGUGGUUCAGUGUAACCCAACUUACAUCCACUCUCCUCUAGCUUCAGUCCCAAGCUUGAGGUUCCACUAUUUCAAGGCUUCCAAAUCAAGCCUUCAAGCAAUAUAAUUGGAUUAUAGUUCCAAUACACGCUCUUGGAUUUUUGGCUCCAAACACCCUUUACAAUCCUUAAGAGAUACCCCACUCUUGAACAACCCCUCAUGUGAUACCCUACACUUGAGAAUUCCUAAAUGAUAUCACACAUUUAAAAUUUUCUUCUCAAAGAUUUACAAAUGAAGAUAAGAUUGAAAGGUGCACUAAUGAUAUGCAAGUUUUAGAACAAUGGUGCACUAAAAAAGACUCUCUCAAGGCUCAAAUAUAUUAAAGAAGGGUUUAAGCUCUUGAAACAAUGAAGAUUGAAACCUUUCUAUAGAGGAAAACGAUCAAACUAACCAUUGAAGGUUUGACCAGUCGAGCUAGGGGUCAACCAGUUGACUAGCCAUUAGCAUUUAAUGCUUAGUAGGUAACCGUUGGAUCUUGACCAGACCUCGAUUAGUUGAACAAGCGUUCUGGAAGAGAGAAAAGGUUUUUGCACCCGUCGACCGGUUGAGCUAAACAAGUCAACUAGUUCCUCAUCUGGUUCAACAGGUUGAGUCGUUUUUGGCUCAACAAUCAUCAUUUUCAACUUAAAACAUUUUAAACAAGUUUGAAAAACAUUUGACAUAAGGUUUUAGUUGAAAACAUGAAAUUAUUAAAUUUUAAAGGAUUUAAUACAAAAUUAAUUUUGGAUGAUUUUGGUGCAUAAAUUAAUAAUGUAAUGCAUAAAAGACCUAGUGCAUCAACAACCUUACAAAGAAAUCUUAGAAAGUUUAGGUCUUGAAAAACACUUCUUUUUUAAGUCUUUUUCUUCUUAUUGAUUACUCUUUGUCUUGAUUUUGUCUUUUUGAUUGACACUUUGGAAAUAUUCUUGCCUAAUCACACUUGAAAUAUAAUCAUUAGUGUCAAACCUUGUUUUAUUAUCAUCAAAAUCGAGAUUAACCAAACCUUGGUUUCACAAAUAUCUUGAACCUUUGACAGUCGAUGUUUUUAUAGUCUGCUUUGCAGAUUGUCAUUUUAAUGAGAGUGUUUUCCUGUCAUUAGGGAGAGAAAAUUCAAUUCCUAAAGAAUGGUGAGAAAUUACUUGGAAUGCAUCUACUAUGUUCCAUUUUGAUCCUUGUACAAAUCAAUAUGAACUAGAAGUUAAAAGGAUCAUUUAUUUGCAAAAUCUUGCAAACCAAUUACCAAAUUGUGGACCCCGCAUUUCGGCUGGCUCGAAUGCGUUUCCCACUCGAUGGCGAAACUCGAUUUUUAUUUGAAAAAUUGAUUUUUUAUUGAUUAAGAAAAAUGACUUGGAGUCGCCACUUAUUUUUGUUUUAUUUUUAAAGGGUAAACAAAAUAAGAAAGAAAACCCUAAGUGUGACUCCUGAUUUUUGGAAAAGGUGGUUUGUGAAAACCGGAUCGGGUUCGGGGGUCAGGUUACUUAUCGGGAAGGUACGGUAAAGACCGUAGCACCCCUCUAAGUCCCUAAAGUCGGGUCUCUACUAAUAGAAUGAAGCUAACAUGGCGAUGAUGAGGAAAUCAAUAAAUACUCAAAUCAAUCAUGCACAUAUGAGUAUCAAAACAUGCGUAUAGCAAGACCAGAAUAAGGACAGAUGCGUACCUGGGCAACGAUCUUCAAUGCGCUAUCAAGAAGUGAGAUUAGUGCACAAUUAAAGGAUGAUCACAUGCAUAUCAUAGAGCAGAAUAAAUCAUGUAUGGCACCCAAAUCAACCAAACAAUCCAUCAAUCAUAAAAUCUCAUAUGUUGGGCCCCCACCAAAACCCGUUUAUUUUUGCAUGAAUUAAUUCCGUAAAUUCCAUUGUUCGGAAUUACGGAAUUUAAAUUCAUGUUUAUUUUAAAACAUUUUAAAAACAAAGAAAAUGCAAAAGUGGCUUGCCGGAAAGAAAAUGGCAACCAAAUUUUAUUGAAAAUGAGAUUUUUGGUAUCUUAAAAAAAAAACGAAAGGUGAAAAAGUAGAGGAGCCGGGAUUAUUUGAAAAGAUGAAUUGAAGAUAAUAUUUACAAAACGGGACAUGGGGCAAUUGUUUUAAAAUCAAAGAUGAUGAAGAAUAAAAGAAAGGAGGACACGUGCCUAAGGCUGCAUGCAAAAAUACUUGAGUGGGGGAGUUGGUGAGGAAUGGUCGCGCAUGGAUGAAAUCCUGAUCAUAACUGUGCUUACUCGAUCAACUUGUGGAUUGGGAUCAUCAAAUUCUGAAAACCCUGCGUAAAACUCAAACCAUUGAAUGUACCACCAUCAAUCACAGCGCUGCUGACCUUCUUAAACAGCCCGUAUGGUGCCUCUAUCUCACUCACACUAAAUACUGCUUCCCUUGCCAGAGCUUCAGGAUCAUGAAGACCUCUUGCUUGAUUCUGCAGAGAAAACCUGAAGAGGAAGAGUGAAGAUGCCAGGGUACCUGAAAAUCCUCAUUAUCAAGAACAUGAGUGACAGCCUUUGCAGGCCUUUCUUGACCUUCUUGCAUUUCCAGCACAUGAGCAGCUGCAUCCCCACAACUCCCAGAUUUACCAUGUUUCCUAGCAUAGCAUGAAUCAUCAGAAUCACUGUCACCAGCACCUUCUUUGACCAUUAUCAAAUCAACCCACAGUUUCUCUUGUUUUUAGCUCUUCACUUCCGUCGUUCAGUGUAAAGCCAUUGAAAUGUUGAAGGCGCCGAGAUGGGGAAUAAGCUUGCAUGCGGGCUUAGCAACAGCCUGAUUUCCUCUUCAGUAAAUGAAACUAACAGCAGUAACCUUUAAGGGAUUGGCAAUGAGCAUCAAAUCCCAGCACAAGAACAUCCACCAGUUAUUUCUUCAAAUUUCCAUGAUCGAGGUGAACAAUGAUAGGAGUAUCAAUCCUGUACUGACAUAGCAGAGAAGAAUGAAAUCCAUUGCCAGUGAUAGUCCUCAACAAACUUUACCACAAUGCGAGAGGUGUAGCAGCCAAGGACUGGGGCAUAACCAUUUCCGAUUUUGGCCAUAGUGAUUCUUAGUUAUCAUGUCUGGAUGGCCUGGUGGAACCCUAGUAGAGACUCCAUUCCAACCACGUUUUCAGAUUCAGAAAACUCUGAUUGGAAAGAAACCUUAAGCCACACCUUGAAUUGAUAUCCAAACUUCAAUUUUUCACAAGAGAAUUUUGAUUCGCAAAAUCGGUCAAGUUCAUUUCCCUUCACUUCCCUGAAAAUCUGGAAGCUUCCUACAAAAGAUCCUCGUCUGAAGUCGAGAAGCUAGAAAGCUCAGAGAGGUUUUCCCCGUAAGACGCCAACCUCAUAUUGAGAACCUCAGUCUAUGAAUCAAGCUGCGUUUUCUCUCCUGCACCGUGCCGUGGAUGACUCCCCACUCUCUGAGGACACCAAAACUCAGGGAUGACACCCUCCGCACACCCACAUACCUCACCUAGCUUCCUGUAAAUCCCCUUCUCUAGCUCGCUUCCACUGCAUAAACCAUCUUUGCACCUGCUUGUGCUAACCAGAUCACAAGAAUGCCACUCCCAGUUCCUUUUCAAUCAAAAUCAAAUUCGAGUAACAAUUGAUCUCUCCAACCAGUUUUUCCUAUUUCAACAAUAUCUUCCGCAGCAUCAAGAAGAAUUUGGAGAUAUAUCAGCAGCCAUGGAUGAGAAUAUCUGUGAUUAAGACCAACUCGGUCAACAAAGGGAACCCACAAUUCUCUUCGCGUGAUUGCAUGGCUACACAGUCUCUGAGAAGCAUAGAUCUAAAUAGUGCACCAAACGCUUUCAUGCCUUACAAAGAGGCCACGUAGGAAUCGCCAAUACCCUGUGGCCUUGAUGCGGCUGCUAAAUGAGCUCACCACUCUGGCUGCUCGACAGGGAAAGCUGCUGGCCUGGGCACUCUUCACUUUCUGCCAGAUUGAAGGCUUACUUGAUGAAUGAGCUUCACGAAUGUACAAGGUGGAAAAGUGAGGGUGGCAACUAUAGGGUGUAAGAAAUGAGUAUGAAUGAGUCCUAUACCCGUGGGUAUAGUGAGAUAAAGCAUGAUGGAAUAGAAAUGGGCAGAGACAAUGUGGAUAUGGGACAUGGUGGAACGAGCAAAGUGGUUAGGCUAUUGAUGGUGAGCAGGGUACGGGUGAAGUGAUGUGUAUGGUGCAUGAGGGUAUAGUGAGUGGGCUAUGGAUGACAGAAUUGGUGAGAAAAAUGAGUGGAGAUAUGCUGAGUGUAAGGGAUAGGAAGGGUGAUGAGAAGUGGGUUAAUGGUGAUGUGAUAGAUAUGUGAAAUUGGAAAAUGAGAAAGGUGAUAGGUAAAAGAAAUGGGUAUGGAUAAUGGCCGGGUUUGCAUGGUUCCAUGCACAUGGGUAGAUGGACCUGGGAAGUCAACAAGGGCUUUAGAAGGAGCUUUGGACAACCAUGCAUGUGCAGAGGUAGGUAUCAAGGAGAAUUCAACCUCACUCUGAUCAUUUAGAACGGGCAAGUAUCUUAGCAGUAGCAUCCUUCAUAGUGGAUUUCUCUGCUCAUCUGGCAUGUACCAGAACGCAUCCAGCACCUUUAAAGAGUGAUCUAGCACCUUCAUUCUUCAGGAUCUGUGAGAAUGCAUCGAAAGAGCUCUUGUAUUUGACAGCUUCGCCUGAGAUCAUCAUCAUCCUUCUACGCGCUGUAUCUAUUGGGUAAUAAGCCAAUCCUGUACCUAUUGUGAUUCCUUAUCCCAGCAUGAAACUAGCCAAGAGACUAUCCCCUCAAGACAGGCCCUGGCGCAUAGUACAUCUCCACAUCUGUGUACAUCUGGGCAUAAUGCGUGUCACCCUGUUUGCGAGGCAGCUUAAAGCCUGGUUCAGGAUAUAUCAUUGUUUCGACAGGAAGCUUGUACAAUCGAUGUGGGCAGAGCCAAAUUGGGUAUACCUCCCUCUCAUGAGAUACCCAUUCUAGAGCAUCUACCUCGCCCAGAAUCUGCUCCACAAGGUAAAAUUUUCCAUAAGAAUCAUCAAAAGUAGGAUUGCUUCCUCCAGAUUAUUUCUCGGUACAUAUGAACCAUCCAUCUGAACAACUAAACUGGGUGGUGCAGCUGCAUGGAACAGUUUUGCUUGCAAUUGGGCAAUUCGUUCUUGCCUUUCUGGUGCUGGAAACCAUUCUGCUUCCUUUGGAUUCUCAUUUUCCACCUCACUAAAUAUAACCUCAGUUACACCCUGUUUGGACAUGCCAAAUUCGUCUUUCUAUGGUUCUGUUAGAAAAGCCUCUGCUUCAGGAGCUUUACCAAGUGAUCCUUUCCAAUGCGUGGAUACCUCUCCACUAAACUAUUGUAGCCUAGUGGGAACGGGAAGCCGUUGUCAUUUUCAUCCCUACUGCAUGCUCCACUCCUCUUGAAAUCUGACUCGUCUCGGUGCAGGGAGACACAGAGGCCAAAUCAACAUGAGUACAAAUAGAAGGAACCCCGACAAAGGUAAUGUGAUCAGGUUGAGUUCUUGAUUUGAAUAGCAGCCCAGAGAACUGAAGAGCCUCGUCAGCUUGGGCAUUCUGAACAUAACCAAUAAUUAGGGAAGUCCAUGGUACUAAAUCUAGUCUCAGCAUCUCAUUGAAAACAUGUCUUGUCUUCUUAAUAUUCCCACACAAUGUGUAUAUGUGAACAAGCGUACUAGCUGCAAAUGAUAACAGAUCAAACCCAAUCCUCGUCAUAUACCCAUGAACCUGCUUACCCAAUUCUUCCGCAACGAGUUUCUCCAAUCCAUAAGCAUCUUGAGACCCUCUUAACCCCCAUUGAUCAUGGAAAACUCAAGCAUGCCGAAGCUGAUCAUCAUAAUAACUGGAUGGUUGGACUACAUGAACCCCAUUCCUCCCAUAUUGGCAACAAGGUUAAACGCAUGGUCAAACCCAACAGUGACCUUCAAGCAGUUGCUCAUCACCUUGAAAUCAAUCAAGAUAGGAUUCAUGACAGAACACAUCUUCAGUCAUAGGCCCUCUCUUCUUCCAGUCAGAAGCAAUAAUGUAGUGGCCCUCCGUCUUCAGACUCCGAGCAAUAUGAAAGGCAAUAAAGCCAUCAGCACCAGUGAUUGAGAUCUGGAACUUUUCAGAUUGUUAGUGUGGUUCCUUCUCAAGCUCCUCAUAGGUGUACCCUUCGUAAGUGGCUCCAUCGGUACUUCCCAUUCUCCUCUGUUUUCUAAAAAACGACUGUGAAUACUUCCCCUCUCAAUAUCUUAAGCUUGUUGUCUUUCCACUUGUUCUACAAGAAACAUGGCAGUAUCUUGAAGAUUUCUGAUGCCAAGACCCCUCAAAGCAACCCCCGAUUUAGACAGCCAAACCCAAACAAGAUGCUCAACACUCCAAGAGAGAGAUAACAAGAACAGGGGAAAGAGAAUGAAGAAAAAUAAAUAAAUAAAUAAAAACAGAGCAUGCAUGAGGAAGAACGAUGCCUUGAAAUCCAAACUCCAUUUUCAUGAAUACUAAGAGACUUGCAAAACAAAGUGGUGGGAGAAUCUUAACACGCUAAUAAGUAGCGCAACCAUUGUAAAUACAUACAGAGAAAUAAAGAUGCUCAACAAGUAACAAUGAAAAGCAAGUUUAACAGCUUAGAUGACCAAAGCAAGCAUCCACUAUCAGUCGGAAACCUAGUAAUGCAGUAAUACUGGAGAAUUUAAAGUGAGGAAGGAUCAAACCUGAGCGGUUCCUCCCCUGCCCUGCUAACUUCCUCUCUCGGCUCCCCUCGAAAAACCUCCUCCUCCCUCUGUUUUCCUCCCAAAAUCUCUCUCUAACGGCUUGCUCUCAAACCACCCUCCUGCAGCCCCAGGUACCGUCCCCACUACCAUGCAGCUGGCAGCCCCAAAAGCACUCUCUCCUCUGCUCACCUCAACAACCUACAGCUUUUGCAGAUUCCUCCUUGCCAGGUGUCAAUCUCUGAUUGGCUUUCAAAAAAACUGUUCUGAUUCCAUGAUAGCUAAUCAGGGAUUGACACGUGGCCUCCUAGAAAUGCUCCAUCUGGCCAAAUAAGCUGCAACAAAUUCAAAAAGAAAGUGCUCCCAAAAUGGGGGUCUACAAAUAUGCCCCUCUUCGGUAGAGUUCACGAGUGUAAAGAACAUGAACACUGGAGUGAAAAGUAAGUGUGAAUAGUGAGUGCAAUGAAGUGAACUCUAUCGAAGAACCAAGGAGACCCCCAUAGGGACACUAGUGAGAUGUGAACUCACUCAGGCCAAAAGACAAACACAAAGGCUCUAAUCCUAAAAGAGAAAGAUGGGUGCCUCAAAAUGCCUCUAAAGCCACACUAAGGAUCCAAGCUCCCUCUAAAACGUCUCCAAAAGUGACCCGAAGAUCGAUGUCAAAGGUGAGUAACGGUCAAACCACCCUGGAGUACGAACAAGAAUGCGUAUAAAGGAGACUGCCCUAUGUGGACUACGAGAUGAAUAAGCGAUAAGCACAGGGUAACGAGGGGAGAGUGAGAAUAAGUGCAAAUCCAUGAAGGUGAGACGUGCAAUGCCAGAGAAUAUGAAUGCUAGGAGCUGUGACUUUGAAUGACGAGACUGACUCUAAACGCUAAACUAGAAAAAUAAUGGCUCUGGAAGCCAAACCAAAAAAAACUAACUCUAAACGCUAAACUAGAAAAUAAUAGCUCUGGAAGCCAAACCAAAAAGCUAACUCUAAACACUAAACUAGAAAAUAAGAAAAUAAAGCUCUGGAAGCCAACCAAAAAGCUAACUCUAAACACUAAACUAGAAAAUAAGAAAAUAAAGCUCUGGAAGCCAACCAAAAAGCGAACUCUAAACGCUAAAAUCGAAGGCGCAUAGGUGAAGACCUACGGUGGUGAUAAUAACUGAAACAAAGGCUCAUGGAUGAAAAUCCAUGAUGGUGAAUCUGAAAUGCCCAUAGAUGUCUGAUCUAUGGUGGUGAAAUCUGAAAUGCCCACAGAUAAAAAUCUAUGGUGGUGAUAAUCUCGAAAUGCCCAAGGAUGAAAAUCCAUGGUGGUGAUAUAAUCUCAAAAGCCCAAGGAUGAAAAUCCAUGGUGGUGAUAACUGAAUCAAAGGCUCAUGGAUGAAAAUCCAUGAUGGUGAAUCUGAAAUGCCCAUAGAUGAAAAUCUAUGGUGGUGAAAAUCUGAAACAAAGGCUCAUGGAUGAAAAUCCAUGAUGGUGAAUCUGAAAUGCCCAUAGAUGAAAAUCUAUGGUGGUGAAAAUCUGAAACAAAGGCUCAUGGAUGAAAAUCCAUGAUGGUGAAUCUGAAAUGCCCAUAGAUGUCUGAUCUAUGGUGGUGAAAACUGAAUGAAGGGGGAUGCCCUAGACAAACUAAUGGUAGGGGGAUGUCCUGAACAAGAUGACAAUAGGGGGAAUGCCCUAAACAAGAUGACAGUAGGGGGACGCCCUAGGUGAUAACUCAUAAAGAUCGACAAAUGCGUCUGACAAUCAUGAAAUCAGCACGAGACAUGGCAAACCCAAAGAGAGGGGAAUGCCCCAAGUCAAGCGCUAAAGGGGUAUGCCCCAGUGUGACGACUCACAAAGAUCAAGAAAUAGGUCGAGUAAUGAGAGAAGUCGGCAAAACGUCAAUGAACUCAAGGAUGGGGGUAUGCCCCAGUAUGACAACUCACAAAGGUCAAGAGAUAGAAUGAACAGCAAGAGAAUCUGCAAAAGAUCUGGUGAACUCAAGGAUGGGGGUAUGCCCCAGUGUAGGAUAGUAACUAACAUGAGACACGGAAUCUCACCAAACAAGACACUCUGGGAUAUGCUCAAUGAUGAUGCAAUGAAAAGGAUAUACAUAGCCUCAAUGAACAAACGCUAAAACAAGUCCAAACAUCACUGAAAUCAUGCUAACAAAGUAAAACUAAAAUAAUGGAUCAAACAAAUGCUGACCAAAACUCUAGGUCUGAAAUGGAAGCAAAUCAAAACACGACAUGUCAACUAUCAAUAUGAGUACAUCAUCACAAGUGCAUCAACAAUCUAACAGGCCCUACCAUCACGGAAGAUGUUGAACCUAAUGUCCAAAGGCAUGUGAAAGCUCGACCAGAAAGCCGAGACUAGCCCAUAUCUUCCCCUGAUCAAGAGAAAGGGAUAAGGUCAUGUAAGACGAUGAAAUAUGUGGGCUCAAAAGAUGUAAGGCUCUGAUAAGAUGGGUGCAGAUAUAAUAGUGUCCAAUGUAGGAUGUAUAGGUGUGUAACAAAGGAAAGUGGGUACCCAAAUCAAACUAGGUAUGCUAAGGAGACUGAGCCCAGGGUGCCAACAACUCUAUAAUCCAUCGAGAGCAGCGAUCAUAAACAAGAAAUGGAGUCUCAAUGUCAAAAUCAGCAAGGUGGCUAUGCCCCAGUAUGAAUGCAUCGUCUCAGAGUGGGUAAGCUCUCAAUGCAGAAUGAUCUCCGGAAAGUAAGUGUCUGGUAUAAACUGUCAUCUCACAAAAUCAUCGCCAAGACGAGUGGGGUAUGCCCUAGUGUAAGCAUCUCCAAAUCAAACAUCCAUGAGAAGAAUACAACCAAUCAUACCUCAUCUGAUCAAAAUGAACAUCUGCUCAUCAAAGCCAUCGUGGUAAUGUGAAGAGAAUAUCUGACCUCCCCCAAAGAAAAUAGCAUGUCCCAAUGUGAACAACCGCCAAUGAAAGGGUUAUGCCCCAGUAUAGGGCAAACCUUGAAAUGACUAAACUCCGCAGUAUGCUCUCAUAAGUGUCCGUGUCCUGAUCCAAUCAUCUCAAAAAUAUGUCAACAAUGAUGAGAAGGUUAUGCUCCUGUGAUCAUAUCAAAGAAAUCACCCGAUCAUAUCUCGUACUCCAAUGUGAAAUGAAUCUAAUCGCCUCCAAGGAACAUCUAUGCCUAAAAACCACCAUCGACCGAAAGGGGUAUGCCCCUGUGUAAAGUACACUAGAUGAAACGCGCCAAUCAUGUUUCAUGCUCCAAUGUGAAGAAAAAUGACAUCUGAUAUCCUCCAAGGAAUGGACAUGGCUCAAAAAUCUGUCAUCGACUGAGAAGAGUAUGCCUCGACAUAAUGGUCAUCCGAUAAUAAAACUCUCUGAGAUGGCUAUGCCCCAGUGUAAGGUCAUACCAUAACUCUCGGUCUGUCACAAUCAGAAUGCUCUCGAAUCAAUCUCAAGUAUCGCUCACAUAAGAGCUAUCAAACACAAUGUGUGAUGUCAUGGCCUCAGGGUGGUCUUAAGACUCAGGACGUAACGUAGGCUAGGGUGAUAGGGUGAUAGAAAUGAAGGGAAACUAGGCCCAAAUACCCAAUGAUCAAAACCCAUGCCCUCAUGUAUAAAAUGCAACAUGUAUAGAAAAUAUCGUGAGCCAUGGACCUGAAGAUGCCUACUGUGAACAUGGUAACAAUGAUGAUGCAAUGAAGAAAAAUCGAACUGAUGACGAGAUGUAUAAUGAUGGCGCGAAGAGGGUAUCAAACCCGAAAAUGAGGUCACUGUAAGAAUGGAAUAAGGGGUGGAAUGAAAAUGAUGAAACAGAAGUGAAAACGAGGAUGAUGAUGAAGCAUAGAAUACGAGAACAAGUGAUGAUCUGCUCAAAUCAAAUAUGAAAGGAAGUCACGUCAAUAACGAACAUAAUGAUGGAAUGGACAAUGACCCAGAGCUCCUAAGAGAAGGCCACUCAUCUCGCUCUCAAAACAUACAACAAAAUGAAUACGAAGAAUGAAAGGUCCCGAGGAGCUCACAUACGAACUCCCAUGAAUAGACAUAUCCAACAAAGCGACCCCUCGAACACUAAUAUACACAUACUGAAUGAUAGAGAAUAAUACACACAUGUGCCUCUUUUCUUUUUAUCUUUUUUUUUUUUUUUUUUUUUUCAAUCAUUUUUUUUUCAAUUUUUUUUUUUUUUUUACAUAUAUGCAAAUAUACAUGUUCUGAAUGCAAACCAAGAAAGACCCAAAGAUGGGAUCAAAAGUGAAUAAACAUGCCCUCAAAUAUCAAUAUAUCACAAACUCUCUCUAAUGAUGUGACCCUCUCAAGCCAAGGAUCCCUGGAUCAACGUCCGUAGGAUAGAUAAUGGAAAAUGACAUGACUACCCUCCAUGUAAUGAACUGAGGAUGAUCACCAUUCGGGGUGGGAGAAGAUGAAGCGAAACAAACGAUAGAUAUAAUAAAGAAGAGGAUGAAGAACCAACGAGAUGUCACGAAAUGCAAUGACGCAAUGAUAGGAAAAGAUAAUGAGAAAGAUGUGCCCCUAGGUCCAAGGCUCAUGAAACUCCUAAACAAUGCAUGCAUACACUGAAGGGCCCCUAUCCCGGUGUAGAAGGUGAGCAAGGCUAUAAGAAAUAAAAGGCUAUGAUGCUCAUGAGAGGCUCAAAGGGCUAGCAAUGGUCUAGAUGUCAAUAAAGGUAAUAGGGUGUGAGCUAACCGAAAUGAAGGCCACCCAUCUUACGACCACGGUCUCAAACAUCAUGCUAUCAAGCCCUCAAAUGAUCAAUACUAAAGAUCGAUGUCCAUCUGAUAUAACCACGUCAACCCUCUAGAAUCAUCCACCAACCGUACUCCAAAUGCAAAGUAAACUGUGAUCUCAUCAAGCAAUACUGCCCAUCACAAGCCAACUCUCAUCAUACAAUAUCAAUCUCUAUACUCACGAUAAGAUAAGUGACAGUCUCAUCAAGCAAUCGACCAAUCCUCAUAUCGUAAGCCACCCAAAUAUCAUAAGCCAACUCUCGCCAUGCCAGAUCAACCCUGGGCUCGAACUCCUCACACUCUACCUGGUCGAAUCAGAGAAGGGAUGUGUAAAGCUAGAAAAGCCGAGGAUGGAAAGGUCAUAUAACGGUCUCAAGGGUGAUGCUGUGCAAAGCUCGUAAUGGAUGGAUGUAGGUCAAAUCAAAGGCAAGGUGUGGGAAGUGAGCAAGGUACUGCUAUGAUCAUAAGAAGAUGUGUCACAGUCUCGAACUCCCUAGGUCAAAUCUCUGAUCCUAGGCUAAUAGGCUCAAUAUCCCCCAUGACAGGUCACUCCUCAAGACUACAACGUGCAAGUGAAGAAAUGCCUCAAGUAAAAAUCACAACACAUCAUAUCACAAGACACAAACACAUGUCCAUAAAGGAAAAGACAUCCAAUAGGAUAACCGAUGAGUACAUCAUGCAAAAGAAGGAUAACAAAGACAAUACUCAAGAAUCGAGUUAUAGUCUCUAAAAGUCAAAAUCAAAACAAGACUAAACAAACAAAAACAAAAACAGUGACUGGUCCUGCCAUCACAUCUCUGGCCAUAGAAGGAACAAAAUCUGAGCGCCACCUUACCAAGGUAAGUCAAUCGCCCAAAUCAAUAAGAUCAGGGAUUGCUGGUGAAGGGGUGUCUGCAUGCAUGGCCUGAGCUGAGGUAGGUAUAGAAAACAUAUCGGACUGAGGAUGCCCAAAUAUACCAGAAUCAACAAUGUCCUGUAUGGCAUGUCGUAGAGCAGUGCAACGAUCAGUGUGAUGUCCUGCUGACUGAUGGUAUAUACAAUAUAAAUCAAGUCGAAACUGUGGAGGCACAGGAUCUGGAAGUGCCCUAGGAGCCAGAGGAGCCAAAAGUCCCAUGGCUUGGAACGUCUCAAAAACUCUGCUCAGGGGUGCGCUCAAAUCUGAAAAGUGUCUCCGACAUCGUCGAUGGGGGUGAAAUCGCUCCCGAGGAACUGUAACGACCGGAGGGCCCCGAAGCUGGGAUGGAGGUCGUGCCAACAUAGCCAAUGAAAUGGAUGAGGAAUGCUGCUGGAGUACUAAAUGUGGGCGAGGUCGUGGAUGCGAGGCACCCAAAGUAACAGGUGUCGGUGAAGUCAAGUGUGGCAAUGAAGGUAUCGCUACUCCUGGAGCUCCUCUCGAUGACGAUGGAUGCUCUGACAAAAUAAGCUCAAUCCUCUCAACCCUCCGUGUCAAAUCCACCAUCAUCUCAUAAAGAGCAGUAAGAGUAAUGGGUGUGAUCUCGUCCGACAUGGUGAACCUCAACUGAAGAAGUCUAAUCUCAAUGUGCUCUGUAUCAUAACCAUCAUACCAUCAAUAUCUGCUCGGGGACCAGUCACGACACUAAAACUGUCCAAGACUCUAAAACAAACACAUGCAAAAGACAAAACAAAGCAACACAAGAUGCUAACACAAGAUAACAACACAUAAAAUACAUGAUACGAAACAAUGAUAAUAAUAAAAUAAAAAAGACAAAAACAAUACCCAAGAAAACAACAAUAUCACUAAGUGAAAUGAGAGUACAUCAUGCAAAAUAAUAGGACAACAAAGGUCUACUCUCGAAGCACAAGGUGCGAACUCAAAACACUAACUAUAAAACAAGACUCAAAUACAAAAUAAAAGAGAACAAAAACUCAAACGACCAACUAACAAUGUAGUCCCAAAACACACCAACAAGGUAUGCAAUAUCAAAGUGUCUGGUGAAUAUCAGUGCCCUAGGUGUCCAAAAUGUGAUGGUAUAAGCCCGAAGGAGGAGGAACUGCAUGUGUGGACUAAGCUGGAAAGGAAUCAGUAGACAUAUCUGGACCAAGAUCAGUGUCUGUAGUCGAUAUGGGAAAGCUAACUGCACCACUGUCAAUAAGAUCUUGUAUGGUGUGACGCAGAGAAGCACAAUAAUCAGUACGGUGGCCCGCCAUCUGGUGAAAUGCACAGAACUCAUGAGCAUGAAAACGCGGAGGCAAGGUACUCGGGAGUGGCCUAGGGGCCAAUGGUACUAAAACACCAGUAGAUCGGAGUCGCUCAAAAGCUCUAUCCAAAGGUAUCCCUAAAUCAGAAUAAGUCCUCUGAUGUCGCCGAUGGGGACGAGACUGCUCAUGCCGUGGGAUGCCAGUCUGUGGACGCUGAAACUGAAAUGAAGGUCGCACCAUGACAGCAUGAGGAUGCGUAGAAGGGUACAACUGAACUGGAUGAGGAUGACGAUGCUGUAAAGGUGGGAAAUCACUCCUGGGUAUCUGCAAUGAUCUCGCAUAGGAAUGAUAACCAGGUCGUCGAUGCUGAAAGUCCGUAGAACAUAUGUCUCCAUAGCCCUCAGAUGAUCCACCAACUCUCUUUCCCUCAGUAUCUGGGGAAGGAAUAAUAUAUGACCAUAAUCCUCUAGAUAUGCCAUCAUCUACAUCGAAUAAAGCCUGAACCAAUGAUCUGAAAUCCUGGAAUGGGACCCCUGUCAGAUGUCGAGCAAACCUAGGAUGCAAGCUCCUCAAAAACAUGCUCAUCUGAUCUCUCUCGGUAGGUCGCUCAAUCAUCUCCGCAGCCUUCUCCCUCCAACGAGAGAUAAAAGAAGAAAUAGGCUCAUCUGAUCCCUGUCUAAGAAACUCAAGCUCUCUACGUGUAACGCUCGUAUCACCACCGAAUGAAUACUGUCUCAGAAACUCCUGUGCUAAGUCCUCCCAAGUUCUCCGACGAGAUGACUCUAAUGAAGCAUACCAUCUCUGUGUCAUGCCGCUCAAUGACAAUGGGAACAAAGUGAGCAACUGUGCCUCAUCUAGACCAAGGGCCCUCAUAACCGUGCUAUAAAGUCUGAGAUGAAUACGAGGACAUCCGACACCCGUAUAUCUCUCUAUAUCAGGCAUCCUGAAACCAACUGGCAGAGUGGCCACUGGCACAUCGUCAGGGUCCUCCCAUGAGAUCAUCUCAUCAGGGUCUCUCAUCUGUCUAAUCCUCCGCUCAAGUCUGUCCAUACGAGAACGAGGAUCCUCAAUGAUGGUAACUGGUGUGACAAUGGGUGGAGUGACAGCAGCCUGAUCCUGUGAAGUAGUAUGCGAAGUCGGUGUAGUUGGCAUCUGAACAGGUAGAACAGGUGGUGUCACUAAAUCAGAUGGCGUGUCCUCGAGCACUACGUGCCUACUCUACUGAGUAUCCAUCCUCUAGCUCAAACUGGUCAAUGCCUCCUGAAUCGAAACCACAGAAGUGAUAAGCUAACCAAUCGAAACUGACUGUGAAUCUGUCUAUAGCAGCUCAACGAUACGAAUCAACAUCUCUCUCACUCAACCCAGGGCACUGAACUAAGACUGGGACCACAAAUAGACUCCUAUAGAAGAGCCAAUCAAAACGACUCAAACACGACUCAUGCAACGACACGGGAUGCAACGAACAAUGACCAAUGCAUGAUACAACACAAUCCACAACAUGACAGGACGCGACACACAAUCAUAUGGUGACAAUCAAAAUUUGGAUAGACGAUAGAAUCUCUAGAGUCACAUGAGUGUCCAAUGUGAGACAACUACAAAUAUGACUAAAGAAUUUCUAUCGAUAAUCCAGAAAAUGAUCGAGGUGUGAAGAAAAUAAAUGGGGUGUGAAGAACAACACUAUCACGAGAUCGAUACUCAAUCUAUAACAAAACAUCCCUUGAUUUUGACCUUCAACUCGGGCUCCAUAGGAGAAGAAAACGAUAAGGUGAUCCAGGCGAAUCUCUCGAAAAAUGUGUGAAUAUGAAAAUAUGCCUUUCACCUUUCUGUAAUGAAAAUAUGAGCAUCGAGUCGAAAAUCGAACCAAGGAUCAAACAAAGAAUGAGGUACUGAGCCCGUGAUAGGUGUACAGUGCAAAAAGAUGGUCAAUGAACAUAUCCCAAAGUAUCGAGAAGUGACGACAAAGUGAAGAGGUGUGCCGAGCCAAGAAAUGAUAACGAAGGCCCUAGGGAGAAAACAUGCCAAACUCAUCGAGUGAAAAACACAAACUAAGGCGACAAGACGAAAGGUGACCCAACCGUACUCAAACUCAUACCGAUCUCCGAGCACUCUCAACUGGAGACUAAAAAGAGGGAGUGUCAAAUCCGAAGUGUAACCACAGAGGCUCUGAAAGCCCUCAGAUGCACCCACGUGUAGGGAGGGAGUCCUAAUCGAAGGAUCUACGGCUCAACCUAUGAGGUCAAGGUGGCUCUAAAUGGAUAUGGGUGGACUUUAAAACAUCCCUAGCAGAAGCGAUCAUACCCUCCGGCGGUACGCAACCCUCUGCACGCCUCCGAAGAGACGGGGCGCUUCCAUGCAAGGUGGUCAUCACCUCCACACAUGCACUACCUCGCAUCCCAGGGGGUUUCCUAUGGUGAAACCUCUCAAACUCUCAACGCUCAAUGGUCGACUAGAGUGCACAAUGAAUGGUGUGGGUGCAUCCGAAAACCCUAGGAAGCUAAAACAGAAGAGGAAACACACUGGCUACACAAAUAUCCAUGAAACCUAGCUCCGGGCUAUACAGGUCUUCAAUGAUCGGACUCCAAUCGACAUCAAAGUGUCGCUCUCCUCCAGAAUGCUCCCGUGCAUCGAUAUAGCCCGUCGCUAGACCCUACUCCUAAUCUCUGGCUCGGUCAGAGAGCAAACACACAGAAGGUCUCACACUUGCAAUAGUGAGAACUGGGAUGAAAGGAAUGACCGAAACCAAGAGAGUUGGAGGUAAGGGGAUAUAUAUGCGGCCCACAGAGACAGGCGACAUGCAAUCAUGCAGAGGAAGGGCAGUCAUGCAUCAUAUAGUCAAUCAGAGUACAAGAUAUAUCAUUCAUGCACGCAUACAAGCUAUGAGAAUCAAGAUGAAUAGUGAUAAGAAUACCAUGCUCAAAAGACGAUCAAGAUAAUAUGCAAGCCAGAGAAUCGACAUGUCAAAUCAAACCAACAACGAAUCCAUACAUGCAAGGCGGUCAGAAUAAUCAUGGCAAAUAUCAAAAUCACUAUACUAAGCGAAAUAAGAUAAGCAAUCAAUACAAUCAGCAUGCCAAUACCUCAAACGAGCAUGACAAUCAAGCAUAGAGAAAAUAGCUGUCUCAGAAUCCUCUAUCAAUACGAAUCAAUCAUCGUAAUCAAUAUGUCAAAUAUCUCAAACAAAAUAUAUCAAUGAAGCACAAAGAAAAAUCACUGUGUCAAAAUCCCUAAUCAAGAUAAUCGACUAAUAUGAUCAAUCAUGUCAACGUCCCAAGUGAAAACUCGAGAACCCUCAAUGUGCAAUCAAGAAGUGAGUACCCACUGAUAGACUCAUCAAAUACCAUGUUUGCUUCAUCUUAAGUUCAAGCUUGACCCUCUAAUGAUCCCCAGUGGAGUCACCAUUUUGUGGACCCCGCAUUUCGGCUGGCUCGAAUGCGUUUCCCACUCGAUGGCGAAACUCGAUUUUUAUUUGAAAAAUUGAUUUUUUAUUGAUUAAGAAAAAUGACUUGGAGUCGCCACUUAUUUUUGUUUUAUUUUUAAAGGGUAAACAAAAUAAGAAAGAAAACCCUAAGUGUGACUCCUGAUUUUUGGAAAAGGUGGUUUGUGAAAACCGGAUCGGGUUCGGGGGUCAGGUUACUUAUUGGGAAGGUACGGUAAAGACCGUAGCACCCCUCUAAGUCCCUAAAGUCGNNNNNNNNNNNNNNNNNNNNNNNNNNNNNNNNNNNNNNNNNNNNNNNNNNNNNNNNNNNNNNNNNNNNNNNNNNNNNNNNNNNNNNNNNNNNNNNNNNNNCAUCCCAGGGGUUUCUAUGGUGAAACCUUCAAACUCUCAACGCUCAAUGGUCGACUAGAGUGCACAAUGAAUGGUGUGGGUGCAUCCGAAAACCCUAGGAAGCUAAACAGAAGAGGAAACACACUGGCUACACAAUAUCCAUGAAACCUAGCUCCGGGCUAUACAGGUCUUCAAUGAUCGGACUCCAAUCGACAUCAAAGUGUCGCUCUCCUCCAGAAUGCUCCCGUGCAUCGAUAUAGCCCGUCGCUAGACCCUACUCCUAAUCUCUGGCUCGGUCAGAGAGCAAACACACAGAAGGUCUCACACUUGCAAUAGUGAGAACUGGGAUGAAAGGAAUGACCGAAACCAAGAGAGUUGGAGGUAAGGGGAUAUAUAUGCGGCCCACAGAGACAGGCGACAUGCAAUCAUGCAGAGAAAGGGCAGUCAUGCAUCAUAUAGUCAAUCAGAGUACAAGAUAUAUCAUUCAUGCACGCAUACAAGCUAUGAGAAUCAAGAUGAAUAGUGAUAAGAAUACCAUGCUCAAAAGAUGAUCAAGAUAAUAUGCAAGCCAGAGAAUCGACAUGUCAAAUCAAACCAACAACGAAUCCAUACAUGCAAGGCGGUCAGAAUAAUCAUGGCAAAUAUCAAAAUCACUAUACUAAGCGAAAUAAGAUAAGCAAUCAAUACAAUCAGCAUGCCAAUACCUCAAACGAGCAUGGCAAUCAAGCAUCGAGAAAAUAGCUAUCUCAGAAUCCUCUAUCAAUACGAAUCAAUCAUCGUAAUCAACAUGUCAAAUAUCUCAAACAAAAUAUAUCAAUGAAGCACAAAGAAAAAUCACUGUGUCAAAAUCCCUAAUCAAGAUAAUCGACUAAUAUGAUCAAUCAUGUCAACGUCCCAAGUGAAAACUCGAGAACCCUCAAUGUGCAAUCAAGAAGUGAGUACCCACUGAUAGACUCAUCAAAUACCAUGUUUGCUUCAUCUUAAGUUCAAGCUUGACCCUCUAAUGAUCCCCAGUGGAGUCACCAUUUUGUGGACCCCGCAUUUCGGCUGGCUCGAAUGCGUUUCCCACUCGAUGGCGAAACUCGAUUUUUAUUUGAAAAAUUGAUUUUUUAUUGAUUAAGAAAAAUGACUUGGAGUCGCCACUUAUUUUUGUUUUAUUUUUAAAGGGUAAACAAAAUAAGAAAGAAAACCCUAAGUGUGACUCCUGAUUUUUGGAAAAGGUGGUCUGUGAAAACCGGAUCGGGUUCGGGGGUCAGGUUACUUAUCGGGAAGGUACGGUAAAGACCGUAGCACCCCUCUAAGUCCCUAAAGUCGGGUUUCUACUAAUAGAAUGAAGCUAACAUGGCGAUGAUGAGGAAAUCAAUAAAUACUCAAAUCAAUCAUGCACAUAUGAGUAUCAAAAGAUGCGUAUAGCAAGACCAGAAUAAGGACAGAUGCGUACCUGGGCAACGAUCUUCAAUGCACUAUCAAGAAGUGAGAUUAGUGCACAAUUAAAGGAUGAUCACAUGCAUAUCAUAGAGCAGAAUAAAUCAUGUAUGGCACCCAAAUCAACCAAACAAUCCAUCAAUCAUAAAAUCUCAUAUGUUGGGCCCGCACCAAAGCCUGUUUAUUUUUGCAUGAAUUAAUUCCGUAAAUUCCAUUGUUCGGAAUUACGGAAUUUAAAUUCAUGUUUAUUUUAAAACAUUUUCAAAACAAAGAAAAUGCAAAAGUGGCUUGCCGGAAAGAAAAUGGCAACCAAAUUUUAUUGAAAAUGAGAUUUUUGGUAUCUUAAAAAAAAAACGAAAGGUGAAAAAGUAGAGGAGCCGGGAUUAUUUGAAAAGAUGAAUUGAAGAAAAUAUUUACAAAACGGGACAUGGGGCAAUUGUUUUAAAAUCAAAGAUGAUGAAGAAUAAAAGAAAGGAGGACACGUGCCUAAGGCUGCAUGCAAAAAUACUUGAGUGGGGGAGUUGGUGAGGAAUGGUCGCGCAGGGAUGAAAUCCUGAUCAUAACUGUGCUUACUCGAUCAACUUGUGGAUUGGGAUCAUCAAAUUCUGAAAACCCUGCUUAAAACUCAAACCAUUGAAUGUACCACCAUCAAUCACAGCGCUGCUGACCUUCUUAAACAGCCCGUAUGGUGCCUCUAUCUCACUCACACUAAAUACUGCUUCCCUUGCCAGAGCUUCAGGAUCAUGAAGACCUCUUGCUUGAUUCUGCAGAGAAAACCUGAAGAGGAAGAGUGAAGAUGCCAGGGUACCUGAAAAUCCUCAUUAUCAAGAACAUGAGUGAUAGCCUUUGCAGGCCUUUCUUGACCUUCUUGCAUUUCCAGCACAUGAGCAGCUGCAUCCCCACAACUCCCAGAUUUACCAUGUUUCCUAGCAUAGCAUGAAUCAUCAGAAUCACUGUCACCAGCACCUUCUUUGACCAUUAUCAAAUCAACCCACAGUUUCUCUUGUUUUUAGCUCUUCACUUCCGUCGUUCAGUGUAAAGCCAUUGAAAUGUUGAAGGCGCCAAGAUGGGGAAUAAGCUUGCAUGCGGGCUUAGCAACAGCCUGAUUUCCUCUUCAGUAAAUGAAACUAACAGUAGUAACCUUUAAGGGAUUGGCAAUGAGCAUCAAAUCCCAGCACAAGAACAUCCACCAGUUAUUUCUUCAAAUUUCCAUGAUCGAGGUGAACAAUGAUAGGAGUAUCAAUCCUGUACUGACAUAGCAGAGAAGAAUGAAAUCCAUUGCCAGUGAUAGUCCUCAACAAACUUUACCACAAUGCGAGAGGUGUAGCAGCCAAGGACUGGGGCAUAACCAUUUCCGAUUUUGGCCAUAGUGAUUCUUAGUUAUCAUGUCUGGAUAGCCUGGUGGAACCCUAGUAGAGACUCCAUUCCAACCACGUUUUCAGAUUCAGAAAACUCUGAUUGGAAAGAAACCUUAAGCCACACCUUGAAUUGAUAUCGAAACUUCAAUUUUUCACAAGAGAAUUUUGAUUCGCAAAAUCGGUCAAGUUCAUUUCCCUUCACUUCCCUGAAAAUCUGGAAGCUUCCUACAAAAGAUCCUCAUCUGAAGUCGAGAAGCUAGAAAGCUCAGAGAGGUUUUCCCCGUAAGACGCCAACCUCAUAUUGAGAACCUCAGUCUAUGAAUCAAGCUGCGUUUUCUCUCCUGCACCGCGCCGUGGAUGACUCCCCACUCUCUGAGGACACCAAAACUCAGGGAUGACACCCUCCGCAAACCCACAUACCUCACCUAGCUUCCUAUAAAUCCCCUUCUCUAGCUCGCUUCCACUGCAUAAACCGUCUUUGCACCUGCUUGUGCUAACCAGAUCGCAAGAAUGCCACUCCCAAUUCCUUUUCAAUCAAAAUCAAAUUCGAGUAACAAUUGAUCUCUCCAACCAGUUUUUCCUAUUUCAACAAUAUCUUCCGCAGCAUCAAGAAGAAUUUGGAGAUAUAUCAGCAGCCAUGGAUGAGAAUAUCUGUGAUUAAGACCAACUCGGUCAACAAAGGGAACCCACAAUUCUCUUCGCGUGAUUGCAUGGCUACAUAGUCUCUAAGAAGCAUAGAUCUAAAUAGUGCACCAAACGCUUUCAUGCCUUACAAAGAGGCCACGUAGGAAUCGCCAAUACCCUGUGGCCUUGAUGCGGCUGCUAAAUGAGCUCACCACUCUGGCUGCUCGACAGGGAAAGCUGCUGGCCUGGGCACUCUUCACUUUCUGCCAGAUUGAAGGCUUACUUGAUGAAUGAGCUUCACGAAUGUACAAGGUGGAAAAGUGAGGGUGGCAACUAUAGGGUGUAAGAAAUGAGUAUGAAUGAGUCCUAUGCCCGUGGGUAUAGUGAGAUAAAGCAUGAUGGAUGAGAAAUGGGCAGAGACAAUGUGGAUAUGGGACAUGGUGGAACGAGCAAAGUGGUUAGGCUAUUGAUGGUGAGUAGGGUACGGGUGAAGUGAUGUGUAUGGUGCAUGAGGGUAUAGUGAGUGGGCUAUGGAUGACAGAAUUGGUGAGAAAAAUGAGUGGAGAUAUGCUGAGUGUAAGGGAUAGGAAGGGUGAUGAGAAGUGGGUUAGUGGUGAUGUGAUAGAUAUGUGAAAUUGGAAAAUGAGAAAGGUGAUAGGUAAAAGAAAUGGGUAUGGAUAAUGGCCGGGUUUGCAUGGUUCCAUGCACAUGGGUAGAUGGAUCUGGGAAGUCAACAAGGGCUUUAAAAGGAGCUUUGGACAACCAUGCAUGUGCAGAGGUAGGUAUCAAGGAGAAUUCAACCUCACUCUGAUCAUUUAGAACGGGCAAGUAUCUUAGCAGUAGCAUCCUUCAUAGUGGAUUUCUCUGCUCAUCUGGCAUGUACCAGAACGCAUCCAGCACCUUUAAAGAGUGAUCUAGCACCUUCAUUCUUCAGGAUCUGUGAGAAUGCAUCGAAAGAGCUCUUGUAUUUGACAGCUUCGCCUGAGAUCAUCAUCAUCCUUCUACGCGCUGUAUCUAUUGGGUAAUAAGCCAAUCCUGCACCUAUUGUGAUUCCUUAUCCCAGCAUGAAACUAGCCAAGAGACUAUCCCCUCAAGACAGGCCCUGGCGCAUAGUACAUCUCCACAUCUGUGUACAUCUGGGCAUAAUGCGUGUCACCCUGUUUGCGAGGCAGCUCAAAGCCUGGUUCAGGAUAUAUCAUUGUUUCGACAGGAAGCUUGUACAAUCGAUGUGGGCAGAGCCAAAUUGGGUAUACCUCCCUCUCAUGAUAUACCCAUUCUAGAGCAUCUACCUCGCCCAGAAUCUGCUCCACAAGGUAAAAUUUUCCAUAAGAAUCAUCAAAAGUAGGAUUGCUUCCUCCAGAUUAUUUCUCGGUACAUAUGAACCAUCCAUCUGAACAGCUAAACUGGGUGGUGCAGCUGCAUGGAACAGUUUUGCUUGCAAUUGGGCAAUUCGUUCUUGCCUUUCUGGUGCUGGAAACCAUUCUGCUUCCUUUGGAUUCUCAUUUUCCACCUCACUAAAUAUAACCUCAGUUGCACCCUGUUUGGACAUGCCAAAUUCGUCUUUCUAUGGUUCUGUUAGAAAAGCCUCUGCUUCAGGAGCUUUACCAAGUGAUCCUUUCCAAUGCGUGGAUACCUCUCCACUAAACUAUUGUAGCCUAGUGGGAACGGGAAGCCGUUGUCAUUUUCAUCCCUACUGCAUGCUCCACUCCUCUUGAAAUCUGACUCGUCUCGGUGCAGGGAGACACAGAGGCCAAAUCAACAUGAGUACAAAUAGAAGGAACCCCGACAAAGGUAAUGUGAUCAGGUUGAGUUCUUGAUUUGAAUAGCAGCCCAGAGAACUGAAGAGCCUCGUCAGCUUGGGCAUUCUGAACAUAACCAAUAAUUAGGGAAGUCCAUGGUACUAAAUCUAGUCUCAGCAUCUCAUUGAAAACAUGUCUUGUCUUCUUAAUAUUCCCACACAAUGUGUAUAUGUGAACAAGCGUACUAGCUGCAAAUGAUAACAGAUCAAACCCAAUCCUCGUCAUAUACCCAUGAACCUGCUUACCCAAUUCUUCCGCAACGAGUUUCUCCAAUCCAUAAGCAUCUUGAGACCCUCUUAACCCCCAUUGAUCAUGGAAAACUCAAGCAUGCCGAAGCUGAUCAUCAUAAUAACUGGAUGGUUGGACUAGAUGAACCCUAUUCCUCCCAUAUUGGCAACAAGGUUAAACGCAUGGUCAAACCCAAUAGUGACCUUCAAGCAGUUGCUCAUCACCUUGAAAUCAAUCAAGAUAGGAUUCAUGACAGAACACAUCUUCAGUCAUAAGCCCUCUCUUCUUCCAGUCAGAAGCAAUAAUGUAGUGGCCCUCCGUCUUCAGACUCCGAGCAAUAUGAAAGGCAAUAAAGCCAUCAGCACUAGUGAUUGAGAUCUGGAACUUUUCAGAUUGUUAGUGUGGUUCCUUCUCAAGCUCCUCAUAAGUGUACCCUUCGUAAGUGGCUCCAUCGGUACUUCCCAUUCUCCUCUGUUUUCUCAAAAACGACUGUGAAUACUUCCCCUCUCAAUAUCUUAAGCUUGUUGUCUUUCCACUUGUUCUACAAGAAACAUGGCAGUAUCUUGAAGAUUUCUGAUGCCAAGACCCCUCAAAGUAACCCCCGAUUUAGACAGCCAAACCCAAACAAGAUGCUCAACACUCCAAGAGAGAGAUAACAAGAACAGGGGAAAGAGAAUGAAGAAAAAUAAAUAAAUAAAUAAAAACAGAGCAUGCAUGAGGAAGAACGAUGCCUUGAAAUCCAAACUCCAUUUUCACGAAUACUAAGAGACUUGUAAAACAAAGUGGUGGGAGAAUCUUAACACGCUAAUAAGUAGCGCAACCAUUGUAAAUACAUACAGAGAAAUAAAGAUGCUCAACAAGUAACAAUGAAAAGCAAGUUUAACAGCUUAGAUGACCAAAGCAAGCAUCCACUAUCAGCCGGAAACCUAGUAAUGCAGUAAUACUGGAGAAUUUAAAGUGAGGAAGGAUCAAACCUGAGCGGUUCCUCCCCUGCCCUGCUAACUUCCUCUCUCGGCUCCCCCCGAAAAACCUCCUCCUCCCUCUGUUUUCCUCCCAAAAUCUAUCUCUAACGGCUUGCUCUCAGACCACCCUCCUGCAGCCCUAGGUACCGUCCCCACUACCAUACAGCUGGCAGCCCCAAAAGCACUCUCUCCUCUGCUCCCCUCAACAACCUGCAGCUUUUGCAGAUUCCUCCUUGCCAGGUGUCAAUCUCUGAUUGGCUUUCAAAAACACUGUUCUGAUUCCAUGAUAGCCAAUCAGGGAUUGACACGUGGCCUCCUAGAAAUGCUCCAUCUGGCCAAAUAAGCUGCAACAAAUUCAAAAAGAAAGUGCUCCCAAAAUGGGGGUCUACACAAAUGCAUUCAUUAAUACAAAGAAAGUGACAAAGUCACAUAUCCCGACUACAAAUACUCCAACACAGAUUGAUGUCACUGUAGAACAAUUAACAAAUGAAUCUAAGAUUUGCUUGAAGCAUGGUAGACUUGUCAGCUCAAAGGAUAUAACUUCCUAGAAGAUGAGAACACAAGAAAAACUUUGUACUUUAGAAGAGGUCGUUAAAAUGACUGAUUAAUCUAAAAUUGAUAAAUCUAUAGCCCCAAAAGAGGCACGAAUAAUGCAAAAAGCACCUGAAGAGGCACAUAUUGAACAAAAAGCUCUUGAAAAGGCACAUAUUGAACAAGAAGCCCUUGAAGAGGCACAAAUACCUAAAAAUUGUGAGAUUUUAGUAAGUUAUGUACACAUGGGAGUAAAAUGGGAUUUAAAUAAUAUUACAAUUAACAAUAUUUUUCACUUUUCAAGUGGCCCAUGUAUCAUAAGAAAUGAUGAAGAUUCCAAACCAUGAAAUAUGGAAGAAUGCCGACAUAGAAAUGAUUGGCCAAAAGGGAAAGAAACUAUGCAAGAAAAGUUAAACUUAUUAACAAAACGAGAAUUGUUUGGACUUAUACUCUAAACACUUGAAGAAGUAAAACCUGUUAGGUAAAAAUGGGUAUUUGUAUGAAAACACAAUGAGAGUAAUGAAAUCAUAAGAUAUAAAGGCGAUUAGUAGCACAAGGUUUCUUUUAGAGACCAGGUAUUGACUACGAGAAAACAUACUCUCCCAUCAUGGACGCAAUCACAUUUCAUUUCUUAAUUAGUUUGGUAGUCUCAUAAGGACUAGAUAUGUGUCUCAUGGACGUUAUUACAACAUAUUUAUAUAGAUCCAUAGAUAAUGAUAUAUAUAAGAAAAUCCCUGGAGGAUUUAAAUUGCCUGAAACAAAUAAUACAAAGACUUGUAACAUGUACUCAAUCAAGUUACAAUGAUCCUUGUAUGGAUUAAAGUAAGUCGGACGCAUGUUGUACAAUCACCUUAGUAAAUACUUACUAAAAGAAGGGUAUGUGAAUAACCCUAUAUGUCCAUGCAUCUUCAUUAAGAAAUCAGAAACCGGAUUUGCAAUUAUUGUAGUGUAUGUUAAUGACUUAAAUCUUAUUGGAACUCCUAAAGAACUCAUAAAAACAAAAAAAUUACUUAAAAAAGGAAUUUGAGAUGAAAGAUCUUGGAAAAACAAAAUUUUCUAUUGUUAUCAAAUCGAGCAUUUUCCAAAUGGAGUUUUAGUACAUUAAGAAAAUUUUAAAGCAUUUUUAUAUGGAUAAAGUGCAUCCUUUAACUUCUCCAAUAGUUUUCUAAUCAUUUGAUGUGAAAAAGGACCCAUUCCGGCCUUGCAAAAAAUGUGAAGAAUUACUUGGUCCUAAAGUACCAUAUAUUAGUGCUAUUGGUGCACUUAUAUAUCUUGCCAAUUGUACAUGUCUAAACAUUCAUUUUUUUGUCAAUUUAUUAGCAAGAUACAGUUCCACUCCAACUCAAAGACAUUGAAAUGGUAUCAAACAUAUAUUGUGCUAUCUUUGCAGAACUAUUGAUGUGGGUCUAUUUUACUCAAGGGAAUCAAGUAAAAAUUGCAUAAAUAUACAGAUGCAGGAUACUUUUCAUAUCCACAUAAAGGUAGGUCACAAACAGGGUAUAUGGUUAAUUGCAAUGAUACUACUAUUUCAUGGAGAUUUGUCAAACAAAUAAUGAUGGCCACAUUAUCAAAUCAUUCAAAAAUUCUUGUAAUUCGUGAAGCAAGUUGUGAAUGUAUAUGACUAAGAUCUAUAAUCCAAUAUAUUCGGGAACCAUGUGGACUCUUAUCUAUCAAGAGUGAUCCGACAAUAUUAUUUGAAAAUAAUGUUGCAUGCAUUGCACAAAUAACAGGGGGUCAUAUUAAAAGAGAUAGAACUAAACACAUUUCAUCAAAUUUCUUUUAUACACAUGAACAUCAAAAGAGUGGUGAAAUUGAUGUGUAACAAAUACGCUCAAGUGAUAAUCUAGUAGAUUUAUUCACAAAGUCAUUGCCAACCUCAACAUUCAAGAAGUUAAUACACAAGAUUGGAAUGCAUCAACUCAAGGAUAUCGACAUGAGGGUGAGUAUGCUUGUAAAAGGAUGUUAGUGUACUAUACUUUUUUUCCCUUCGUCUAGGUUUUAUCCCGUUAGGUUUUACUAGCAAGGUUUUUAAUGAGACAGUCCUAACAUAUCAAGAGCAACUUAAAGAAUUAUUAGAAUAUUGUACUCUUUUUCCUUCGCUAGGUUUUUCCUAUAGGGUUUUUUACUAGCAAGGUUUUAAUGAGACAUAUUCUUCUAAUGUGGUGGACAUCCAAGGAAAAGUGUUAUAAAUGAAGUAAUGAAUACCACCACAUUUAUUAUAUUAAAUCUUCAUUAAUAUUAUUUAUGACUUCCAUUAAUAUUCAUUAAUGGAAGCCAUUUGGAAAGCUUAUAAAACAGUUUCCAAUCCCCUAUAAGAUGUAUCCCAAGGAAAGAAAGAAAUCCUCUCUCUUAUUCUUUAUGUAUUUCAUUCUUUCAACUCAAUUAAUUCUCUUUUCUGGUUCUUUCCUCCCCAUUAUAUUAUUAUUAAAAUAGUAUAUAGUUGUUCUCUGUUUUUAUUUGCAUUGCAUUUAUCCUCGUUUUACAACACUUAUUUUUUUCUUUUCUCUAUUUUUUUCUUCUUCUAGUUAUUAUUAUUAUUAUUAUUAUUAUUAUUAUUAUUAUUAUUAUUAUUAUUGUUGUUGUUGUUGUUAUUGUUAUUUUAUAAACAUAAUAUAACCUAUCAAAAAAUAAUAAUAAUAAUAAUAACACAUAUAUAAAUAAUAUAAUAAUUAAUUUACAAAUUAUUGUUUCAUUAGUUAUUAUUAUUGUUAUUAUUAUUAUAAUUAUUAUUUCAAAAAAUUUUAAAUAUUAUGUAUAACUUAUACAAUAAGAAUAAUAAUAAAAUAAUUUUACAAAUAUUGUUUCAUUCAUGUAUUGAAGACAAAGUUUUCUUAUAUAAACUUUCAUAAAUUAUCAAUUGUUUUUUACAAUAUGAUUAUUAAGAAAAUAUUACAAUAAAAAAUUAGUAUUGAUAAUUAUGAAAAAACAAAAUUAAAGCAUGUGUUAUUGUACUUUUAGUGUACUUAUAUUGUAAUUUCAAUGCAUAACUAUGACACAUACAUUUUGGAACAAACUUAUUAGUGUUCGAAGCAUUGUCUUUAUUCUACUAUAUUGAUUUCUAUAUUAGUAAGGCAUCCCAAUGAAUUAGCAUCAUAUACUAGAUGCAUUCUUAUCAGCAAUAAUUCUUAUAAUGAAACUCAUACACCUUAUAAAAAAAAUGUCUUAUAAGGUUAAUUUAUAGUAGAUGAAAUAUUAAAAAAUAUAUAAAAUAUGUGACAGCCAUUCAUCAAUGCUUGUUUAAAAGGAAAAUUUUAAAAUAAAGUUAGGUUAUGCAGUAAUGUAUAAGACAUUUAAAGUAUUCAUGUUGUAAGAUCAUUAUAUUUUUGUGGUACGUGUACAUUGGCUUUUAUAUUAAUACAUAAUAUCGGUGUACUAGCAUUAUACAUUUAAUGAAUCAUUAUUGUGCAUGAUUUUUAUAAUAAACCUAUAAGUUUUAAGAAUUAGAUGAAAGAAAAAUUAUAUUCUAAGAUUGGUUUAUAAUCAAUGACAUUAUAAUAAUAAAAAUAUGAAUAAUGAUACAUAUGGAAUAUUAAUGAUAUAAAACUAAUAUCAUAAAUAAUAAUAUUAAUAAUAUGUUAAUAAUGAUGAUAAUAAUAAAUAUAUAAUUAUAAUUUUUUUUUAAUAAAUAACAUAGUUAGUCUUAACAUAGAGUAAAUAAAGCACAAAAGGUUGAAAAGAAAAGUAGAAAAGUAAAGUUAUAUGGGAGUAGAAGGAAAAGACAAAAUGAUGUAAUUGGAAUUAUGGAAUGAUCAAAUUAUCAAACUAUAACUUGUGAAUUUGACAAGACUUUGAGACUUGGUGACCCUUGAGGGAGCUUAUCAUCACUUUGAGCUAGGUGACCAUUUUUUUUAAAAAAAAAAAUCGAAAAUAAAGGCCAUGAAAAAUUUAUUUAUAAAGAAUAAUAACAAUUUUGUAUUUUUUUUAUACAAAUUAGAUAUUUAAUUUAUUAGAAUAAUUUUGGUGGUAAUGACAAACAAAAUAACUCCUUAAAUAGGUGAAAUAAUUCAUUUUCUCAAUUUUAUAUGCAAAAGUAUUUUAAAACAAAAAGGAUAAUACAUUAUUUUUGUUCAUCAAUCCACAUUUUGACUUCCAUUUUAAAAUCCAUCUAUAAAAAUCUCUCUUUAUAAAUAUCUGCCUAGAUUGCCUAAUCAUCUAUUUGUUCAUUGUCUAUAACUUCUUGCCUGAUUAUCAAUUUAGAUGUUCAUAUUUGCGUAUAUUUAUUCAUUCCACCAUGGAUUUUGUUGGCUUAUUUGUAAUGUAUACAAUUUUGAUGAAUUGUUUGAUUAUUUGAGAACCGAAUUUCCCCUAACCCACCAAUAAAAUGCAAGUAAAAGUCCGACCAAGAGGGGUGUUCUUGGCCGGUGGCCUUCCUGAUAAGUCACCUUAGCCGUAGACUAGAUUUAGAUUUUGCAAUCACUAUCAUCUUGACCAAUCUAGCCAUGUACCAAAAAGUCAAUUUUGCCAAGUUUAAAAAGUUUGCUUUAAGCCUGUUCAUCAUAAUUGACAGAAGUUAGAAUUACAAUGAAAUAUCUAGGAGAAAAUGUCCGCAGGAGCAGAGAGAGAGAGUAAAGGCAAUACAUUCAGUCAUGAAUUUGAUGCAAAUCCCAAAGUACGUAAUUGUGUCGAAUACUCUCACCAUGAUUGUCGAUCUAUCGGAUCAGACGAUUACUAUGUUUGCCAAAAAUGCCUGGGCCGUAUGUGGAAUAAAUCAAUUCCACAAGGAGGGGAAACUGCAAAAUUCCGUACAAGGUCACAGGCAAACAGGCUAAUGCAGCCAAGGUAAUAAGAAUCCAUGCCUUCUUUUCACCAAAGAGAAGAUAGAUUGCGCUACUGUAGGCUAUCAUCAUGAAUGUUACGGAGAGGAAUAGAGUAACAAGGCCAAAUAUCAACCUCCUGGGAAGGGCAAAAAGAAAAUCAUCUUCUGCAUAUCGUGCCGUGAGAAUGGAUAGGCAUAUCAGCACCGAAGCAAUGGAUAGGAAGAGGGAAAGAGAAUCCGAAGCUGCAAAAACUUUGAAGGCCUUUUCUUUGGAGAAAUUUGGUAUGCCAGUAUCAUCAUGGUUGCCACCCGGGAUGGUAAUUGCUGCUGCAAACACUACAGUAGCAAUAAGCGCUGCUGCUAAUGCGUAACAUUUUGCUGUGCCUUUCAUCCAUUUCUCCCCUUCUUUUAUCAACUUUUCAUGUUCCUUUAUAAAUACCAUUUUCGGUUUAUCUUUGUUUUCGUUCUCAGAUUCACUGAAGGCUCUCGGGGCAUAUUUUUCAAUUUCCUGUGUAAAAAUCAAAAUGUUUCUAAGAUACAGAAAAAGAGUGGAUAUGUAUAAGAAAAUUAAUUCCCCUUCAAAACAAAAAUUAUUACCUUAAACCAAUGUAACUCGCGUUGCAUUUGUAGAGCUGCACCAGAAACGAGACUGAGCCGGUGCGGAGGGGCCAAUUUUCCAGCCAAAUGCAAGAUAUUACCGUUAUUUGAAUCAUCUUCGGUUCGUAUUAUAAGUUGUCUAUGCAUACCGGUUUCGCAGAUGAGGUUGAAAAUCUUUUCAUAACGAUUUAAUACUGCCAAUUUGAAUACAUCCUCAUCCAGAUACUCGAGUGCAUAAGGAUAUGACUUUAUAAUCUCUUCCAGAAUCUCGGGAAUCCCAUAUUUUGCCCCAUUAAUGAAUGAUUGUCUAAAUAUUUUCUUCGCUCUUGAUACUUCCAAAACUUCAGUACAUAGGUGGUUAAGUAAUUGAAGAGUCAGAGUAUGCAUUGUUUUUGUUUCUUGGAUGUGCUUGAUGGGUGGUACUGCAAUUAAAAUUAUAUUAAGGACAACAUAACAUUGAAUUCAAGACUUUUACAUGCUUUAGUGGUAGUUUUGUUGUGUUCCUUACCUAACCAUCCAACCAGUUCCCAGAAUAUUGCAUUCGCCUUUUGGCAAGCUGUGUGCAACGUAAAAUUGAAGCAGUUCAGAUGCAAAAGCAGGACUAACAGAAGAAAAAACAAAAAAGCAACCCUGAACCAAGUACCAAUUAAACACUAAUCUAAAUUAAAGUGAUCGUGAGAAGUUGCCAACUCAUAUUGACUGGUGUAAAGUUUUUUGGGGAUUCAAUAGGUUUCAUAUAUUUCCCUUAAACCGUCACACUUGAAUUUAAAGGCUAGAAUGAAGAAGCCUAAUGAAACUUGGUACAAGCUCAAUUACUUGACUUCUUAUUAAUUAACCAGGAGCAUCAGGUGACAAGAUAUUCACAAAAUCUAUCAGAGCAAUGAAAAUUGUGUAUCCUGCAUAAAUCUCUGAGUAGUAGAGUAUUAUCCAUUGGAAUUUGAUUGUAGAGCUGAUUUCAAAUCCAUUACUCUAACUUAAAAGGAUAAAAAAUGAAGACAAUUUUGUGAGGACAAAUUAAAAUUGUGAGGACCUCGAAUUCAACAAAUUAGCAUUUCUCUACUGAGUGCAAUUUGGCAAAUUGGUUUGACCUAACUCGAAUCUCGGUGAAGUUGAGAAACCAUUUUUAGUACUCAAGUUAGGAUUUGGUCGAGUUUCUCAACCAAAAGUUAAUUUUGGUUGAGCUCAAUUUUGGGCUGAGUUUAAACCAAUGCUUCAACAAUCUAAGCUGAAUUAAACUCCAUUAAUAUUUUAUAAUAUUUGUAGAAUGUAUUACUAUAUAAUAAUAUCAAAUUUUUUUAUAAAAUAAGUUUAAGGGAAAAAUCAUCAAAAUUUAUUAAGCUAACUCUCAGAAAUUUGCCCACCCCCUUGUGAACACUAUUUGGAAGGAAAAUUAAUUAGGAAGUCUCUUAAGCAAGCCAGAAAGGUAUCUUGUCCUUUGUAUCCCAUGCAUUCAAAAGUACAGGGACUAAUGAACACCCAAGCAUGGUGCCUACUACUUCAUCACAUUUACGGAUGGUUAUAUCUACAAGUCGAAAGAUUUGCUUUGAUUUAGAUGUUAUAUGAAUAUUGUAAAAAAAUUGAAAAGAAAAAACUAUUACAACAUUAAGGAUAAAUCAUGGACAUGAGUAUCCAUUGAAGAGUUUUAAAAAACUCUAUGAUGAAAAGGAAAUCCAAAGAACAAUCAAUAGCUUCAAGGACUCCAUAGUAAAAUGGUUGAACUGAAAAAAGUAACCAUAAACUUUUGGAUAUGGUUCACUCAAAAAGGCACAACCCAACUAUCUAACAUCUUUCGGGGUGGGAAAGGAGGGUUAGUAUUUUGAUUGCAACUUAAAUCUUGAAUAGAAUGCCCUCAAAAUCAAUUACUUCAAAUCCAUAUAGUUAAGAAGCCAAACAUAACUCACUUGUGAUCCUAAGGGUUAGCAGGUUUAGUUCAUGUAAAUUCUCAUAGAUAUUGUGCUAUAAAGGAAACAAGUGCACUUUCAUUAGAUAUUCUAAUAAAUCAAAGGUUGUGUGAUGCUUAGUGAACAACUCAAUGGGAGUAUAAUUGAAAUUAAGUUAUAUGAAUAUAAUUUCUUAUAGGAUGAUAUUUUGAGUAAAGGAGCAUUGAAUAGGAGUCUCAAUUUAUUUGAGGCAACUAAACCAAAGGAAAAUACUAUGAUAUCUCAUAUCGAAUAAGGGAAAAAGUUCUUGACAUCAUAUAUAUAUAUAUAUAUAUAUGAGCUUCUCUUAAUUAUUUAGACACAUUUUAAUGUUAUGAGGGCUCUUUGAGCCUAAAGUCGAUAGUAUAUAUUUACACAGUUGGGAGUGAGUUGUUACAAAUGGUAUCAAAGUGUAUCCUCAACCAUGGUAUGAGAGUUUGUUUGUUUGGUCCUGUAAUCAUAUGGGACACAAAUGAGGACUUUAUGUCUUCAUGGGGGUGAUUAUGAUAUGCUACAUUGAAUAGGGAAAAAAGUUCUUAGAAUUAUAUAUGUAAGAGCUCUUCUUAGCCAUGAAAACGUGUUUUAAAUCUCUGAGGUCCCUUUGAGUUCAGAGUAAACAAUAUCUACUUGAUUGGGAGUGAGUUGUUAUAGAUGUUAAAGAUCUUGCUAAGGAUAUGAGUGACUCGACAAGAUAGUAACUUUGAGUAGUAACUUGCCCCUACUAGAUUAUGCCACUAAGUGUGAUUUUACCAUUACAUAUUAAUUCACUAGAUUUAGAUGUGUGUGGGGAAAAACUUGGAACUAUCUCAUCAUUGUAAUUGUGGGCAUUAAGGUGAAGCUUUCAUGUUUGCAUCAUAAGAUCAUGAUGUUAGGAUAGAUUCUUUAAAAGCAUGAUAUGAUGUAACCAUAAAUGGAGUUCAUUAAUACUUACAUUAUGACUUCAAUUUUCUAUUUACUAUCCUAUUUAUGAAUUAUGUAUGUUAAGCAUUCAAACCUACAUCACUUGCAUGUACAUGACUUGAGUGAAUUAGGAGUUACAUGGAAAAUCUAAGUCAUAGAUUCCUUGCAAGUUAAUGACUCAUUCACAACUGGUUCAUGGACUUCAAUAAUCCAUUUGAGGGAUGACUUGCCCUAGUCAUUAGGAUGGGUUUCCCAUGGUCAGUGUACUAGUGUGUUUAGUUAUGUUGGGAAACCUAUAUCUCUCCAUUCCUAUAACCCUAGAUUGUAUAUGUGCAUGCAAAAUACCUUAGGGCUCUAAAUCCUAUGCAACAUAAGCAAAAAUCAAAAUUUUAACAUUCUAUAAUCUAGAGAAAAGUUAUUAAAAACUUUGAGAAAAUAAAAGGCUAAUCUUAAUAGAAAACACCCAAGAGGGGGGGGGGGGGGGGGGGGGGGGGGGGGGGGGGGAAUGGGGUUUUAAAAAAAUUUUUUCAAACCCACAAAAUUCAGGCAAGGGAAACCAAAAAUAAANNNNNNNNNNNNNNNNNNNNNNNNNNNNNNNNNNNNNNNNNNNNNNNNNNNNNNNNNNNNNNNNNNNNNNNNNNNNNNNNNNNNNNNNNNNNNNNNNNNNGGGGGGGGGGGGGGGGGAGGGAGGGGAGGGGUGAAUUGGGUUUUAAAAAAUAUUUUUCAAACACAACAAAUUCAAGCAAAGGAAACACAAAUAUAAAGAGAUAAGGUUAGAAAGAGUAAACUCAGAUUUUAUAGUGGUUCAACACUUGUUUACCUAUGUCCACUCUCCUCAACCUCCUAACUAAGUGAAGGUUCCACUAUACUUGAAGCUUCAACCAAGCUUUUAAUCACCUUUACACUUGGAUUCCAACUUCAAUGGGCUAUUACACAAUCCCUUCAAGUCUUAACUCACUUGAAGCUUUUAACACUCAAAUAAUAAGUUCGAAUCUCUCAACCUAGCUCAACAAGGGCUCAAAUACAACUUAAAUGUUAGGAAGAAUCACAAAGGUGCACUAAGGAAUAUGCAAAUGGAGAUUUAAUGCACUAAGGAAAGAAUGAGAGCUUUUGAGGCAAGAACAAGUAGGUAGACAAAUAAAUGCAGGUGUUCUCUACCUCAUAAAUGAAGUGGAGUUCUCAAUUUAUACGUUUCUAGCCUUGGGAGCCAAAAAUGUCAAAAAGUAGUAUUGAUCAGUUGAGUUGAGGGUCAACCGGUUUACUAACCAUUAGACAAUAAAUGCAUGGUAGGUGACCAUUACGCCUUGACUAAUCCUUGACCAAACCUCGAUCGGAUCUCGACCGAGAAGGCAUAUCCCUCGACCAAGAAUGCAAAGCUACAAGAAGAGAGAAUAUUUUUUGCAUUUCUCAAUCAGACCUUGAUCAAGAAGGUGUAAUCAGUCGACCGGUGCCCUAACCGGUUGAGCCGGUUGACCAGUGCCUUGACCAAUUCACCAUUUUUGGCUUGAAAACCUCUUUUAUAUAUAUAUAUAUAUAUAUAUAUAUUCUUUUCUCUUCUAACACUUAGGCAAGGUAUUUAGGUAAAUUAAUAUGCCACUUUUGAAACAAUUUGCCUAAGGUUCAUUUGAUAAAACUAGGGUUUUGACGGAAAUGUAACUUUAAUGCCUAAACCGAGUUUUUAAAGAGCAUGAAAAGAUAUGAAAUCCUAAGUGCACCAUGCAUUCAUCUUACAUAUGUUUCAUAUUAUUAAAGGGUCUUUUAAUUGUCUUUAUCUUGCAUCCAUUGGGUCCUUUGAUUAAUUUCCAAACUAAUACCUAAAAUUCUUUAUAAUUCAAACCAAUUAACAACUUAACCAUGGUUUGUUAUCAUCAAAACGCAAUUAGGAGAACCCUUGGGCUAACAAAUCUUACCUUUGAUUUGAAUGGUUCUCAAAUCAAUUCUACUGAAUAAAGAUGAAGCCUAAAGAGUCUAGAGGUCUCAUACACCAAAAAUAUUUUGCUUGAUGACUUGAUCCAUGAUCUUGGCACUCCAAAAUGUGGGCUUUGGAAAAGAGGAAUCCUAGGCUCUCUCUCUAGAUGUAGAAGACGAUUGUCUCUCAAAAAGUGAUUGGAACCCUAACCCUUAGAGGGUAUUUAUAGCGUUGCCCUACUAGGCUUAAAUGACUUGAGCCCACUAAGGCUUGGGUCACUUAAUCUUGUCUAAAAUGGGUCCUAAUUGAUUAAUUAACCAUAUAGGGUCAUCUAAUUAAUCAAUUCAUGUCAAUGAGAUAAUAAAGAGAAAGUAAAAAAUAUAAAUAAUACAUUUAUAAAUAAAUCUCUAUUUGUUACAUCAUGUCACUCUUUUUAGGACUCAAUUCUAAUAGUUUACACAUUAAAUAGGAUUUACAGUGAGUCAGACAUUGGUCAUUAGGUAGUCUUGACUUCACCAAGCUGUUAUGUUGUAUAAGCUCUCAACCUUGAGAGAAUAUUGCUAAGGUAUUCAAUGGCUUUAACCCAUGAGUGAGACCCUAAAGUGGUCAUAUAUUCUCUAUAGAUUGGGUCACUAUGAUUGAGGCAUGUGAUAAUAGGUAUUCUCAAGAUAAGCACCACGAUAUCUUAGGGGUUUGAGACAUUAUGUCCCCUUAGGUGAUCCUAAGGACAUGUGAUCAUGAAAAUUGUGGCCACAAUAAUUCCUUAAGUGGAAUUUGAUGUAUGCUCUUAGAGAGAUAUUGUAUGUCAAUUGAUCACAUAAUAGGAGGAUCUAAGACUCAAGGAUUGUAGAGGUAGUCUUGAGAGGUUGAUAACAUUCAUCUUGUUAAAUUAUGAAUACCAAUUCAUGGGGAGCUUGCAUGCAAUUGUUAGU
rnacentral:lncRNA from 1 species